CUGUCACUGGCGAUGUUCUACCAGCCGGAGCCGGAGAGGAUCAUAGGGCCGCCGGAGGUACUGGUUCACGAGAAGCGCCCGGCCAUGUUUAAGAAGUGCCUGGUCCAGACCUUGGCCGAUGGAUAUUGGGAUGCAUUUGCAGCGGGAGAUCGCACCGUCGACUUCCUCAAUGUCAGGAUCAAUGCUGAGGCCGACGCCGAACUAGAGGCGCGUGCAGUGGUUGCAAACAACUAAAUAAUUUAUAGUAGGGAGUGAGUGCAUGAUGUUCCUCUCUCACUCGCAUAAGUGUAAUGUGAAUAGGAGUUGAUCGAUGUCCCUCAUAUAUGAUCACCUCCCUGGAAUAAAAUAAAGAGUCAAUUACAUCAUUGAUGCUUAAACUUGACCGAAAUGAUCACUUUAGUACUAAAACUUGCGGCACACAUCGAACUAGUGGGCGUGGUAAUACAAUGCUAAUCACGGUCGGAUAUGAAAUCAAGGAUGACUAGGCACCAAGCGAGGCUUGGGGCUGUUUUUCAUUUUGUGUGACCCUCUAUAUUUUUGCUAGCGUGUGUAGCAAUCCCAACCAUUACGGUUUGUUGUCUAAUAUGGAUACAACUUCUUUAUAUCCUUAUGGAGUGAAAUAGUGAAUAAGAAUUUCAUUCAAAAUGAAAGCCUGCCACUUUACCGAGAACGUUUCAUGCCUAUAAAUGAUAAUUAAUCUUUCUGUAUGAUAAAUUAUAAUCAUACCUUAUAAAUAUAUACAUAAAAAUAAAAUAAAUUUCAGAAAUGUUCGUGCAAUUUCAGAAAAAAUCACUUGUUAACUUUAAUUACGUCCAUAUAAUUAAUUUAUGAAAUAUAAUAAUUGGUUGCAGUCGGUCCGACCCAUUUUCCACAAGUUGAUCUUUUUUUAGAAAUUUCUAAAAAGGAUAUAAAUUAUAAUCAUAGUAAUAAAAUUCAAGUUAGAUUAUUUGUGCGUUCUAAAUAAUAUACAUACAAAUAAGUUAAAUUAAAAUGUUCCUUGUUUUUAAAAGUCAUGUAUUAUUAUAAAAUAUAUUUAUGUAAUUAAGAAAAUAUUUGUACUCCCUCCAAUCCAUAUUGCUUGUUGCUGAAAUGUAUGUAUUUAGACAUAUUUCAGUGUUAGAUGUUUGGGCGACAAGUAAUAUGGAUCGGAGGGUGUAUAAUUUACAUAAUAUUCAUUUGAGGAUCGGCACUUUUGUGGGACACAGGCUAAUAUAUAUUUAUUCAUACAUAUUUUUUAUUUAGUGUUCUUUAUAAUAUAUUUUUUAGGAAAUAUACAAACUUUUAUUAAAAUAACAUUUUAAAGCAGCAUUAUUUUUUCUAAAAUCAUGAAUAUUUUUAUUAAAAUCGUGAACAUUGUUAGACUUAUAUGAGCAUAUAUUUAAAUAUAUAAGUACUUUUUGAAAUUAUUUGUACAAAUAUUUUGUUUAUAUAAUUUAUUUGUAAAUAUUUAUAAUACAAAAUUUCAUAUAUGUAUAUAAUUAACAUUAAUAAGUGAAUAGUUACGAAAUUACGUGAACAUUUUAAAUUUUAUUUUAUUUUAUUUUUAACCAGAGCUCCCAACUUAUUGCAGCUACUAACUUCCAGUUCACUAAGCUUGCUUUCAAAAGAGAAUUAGAACUCCUGAAAAUUUUCAACUAAAUAACAUUAGAUUUUUAAAUAAAAAUAAAAAUUCUUCAAUUAAAAACUAAAUCACACAACUGUAGCUUUGAAAACAAAGUAAUGAAGCUAUCAUCUCACAUACUACAUCAUUUUUUAUUGGCUAGAUUGGAGAUUCCCCCUCACGAAUUGAUCCCAGAAAAGAACCAGGAUAGAGCUUUCGAUAAAUAUUNNNNNNNNNNNNNNNNNNNNNNNNNNNNNNNNNNNNNNNNNNNNNNNNNNNNNNNNNNNNNNNNNNNNNNNNNNNNNNNNNNNNNNNNNNNNNNNNNNNNNNNNNNNNNNNNNNNNNNNNNNNNNNNNNNNNNNNNNNNNNNNNNNNNNNNNNNNNNNNNNNNNNCGAUAAAUAUUCUCGGUACCGCUUCAAUGGAAUUUCUAAUGGGUGUACCGCACGAGCCGGGGAAGCGAGCGGUUGAUUUGGGGGAGGGGGGGGGGUGUAAUUUUGCAUUUUAAUCACUGCCCUUCUCCAUCUUGUCACAAUCUGACUCCCACACACCCUUACCACCCCAAUUUAAGAAGUAUUCUUGAUUUAAACUUAGAAGCUGAGAGCUUUCUUAUUUUGAGAUACGCCAGGUGAUUUCCAUGAUUAUAAGUUGAUGUAAGCACCGUUUUAUGGUCCACCCAUAUCAGUUUUCAUUUAUCUUCGAUUUGGUAGGUACUUGGGUAUAUUCGAGUUUUUAUUCGUCAAGUUAUUUUAUUCUAGUUUAUACCAGAGUGGAUAUGCUAGAUUGUAUGCAUAUAGCUAGCCUGACUAAUGAGGAAAACCGAACGGGUUGCUUAUGUCUUUGUCAGGUAAAGCAUCCCUUUCGCUUUUUCAUUAUUAAAUUUUGUGUAAUUGAUGUAAAUAGAGAAAUGGGAAAGUAAAUAUUAAUAUGAUUCUUAUUUUCCGUCAAACAGAGAGGAAAAACCAUAAGCUGGUGUUGUCAGUAAUAAGACGCCUUGAUAUAUAAUUUAAGAUGGCGAAGAAGUUAUAUCACACACCUAGUUGAAAACAUUCUGCAAACCACAGAUAAACUGCUACUGAAGCUACCAGCUAGAGUUCUCUGAGCAGAUAUGUUAUCAUCAGUGGAACAACACCAUCUGUCUGGACAAACUACAACAAAUGCAACAAACGCGCUGCCUAAGAAACUACCAAAACUGUGGAGCAGUUCGGCUGAUAAAACUGAUGUGAGACAUACAUAUGAUCAGAGAUACUCCCAUGACUACGUCCUCAGCGAGAAACUUCUCUCCUUUUGUUAAGACUCGCCAUCAUUUCACUGUACGGUUGGAAGUUCACAUCGACAUCUUCAUCAUACUCAAGACCAAGUUCUUCCUGCAGACACAAAGAUUAUUCAUCAAUACGGUGGUUAGUACAUACAAAUAUAGCUCGCCUCAGUAAUGAUGAGAAGUGAAUGGGUUUCUUGUGUCUUUGUCAGUUUUUUAUAGCAAAAGGGGUCUUGGGACCUAGCUCAAAAUACCAUCUAGGCAACUAGAGAUAAACAGUGUCUUUGUCAGGUAAAACAUUGUUUUCUGCUCUGUAUUUAAUUAGUUCUUCUAUUUUCUAAGCAUCAAAACCAACCUCUAAAACUGUACGUUGGAUGAAGCAUGUCCCAUCGAUCUACAAGAAUGGAGGCAGUGAAGUGUAAGCUCAAUUUAUCUUGAAAAGUGCCAGCUAUCCUUUGUCAGUUAUUCCACCAAUGCAAACAUGGAUACUGUGAUAUCUCUCACAUAGUUCUUCCCAAGAAUGCUUCUCGAGAGAAUGACCUCCAUGGUGGAAAUUGCUUAUGUAUUUGUUCAGAUAUGCAAGGGCCUGUUUCUUGCAUUUUGUGUCGAUGCUAAAGGUGUUACAGUGACAAUGCAUGCAAGUUCAUCCAAACAAGCACCAUUUCCCCUCAAACAUUUCUAUUUCUAUUUCUCGUUGACAUUCUUAUCAAAGAGCUAUCCAUUAUACGGAUCGGUGCCCCUUGAGGUGGGCAGGCUCAUGUACUGUGGCCGGAAUACUGCAGUUUUCUUGCCAAGCAGGAAAACUGAACUAUAUGUUCCAGCAAAACUGAACUAGAACAAACACAACAGCACACACACACACUCCUCAAUUUUACGGCCAUUCUUCUCCUGGUUUCUGAUAGUACAACUUGAUAUGCCACGCGAAGAAGAGCAAGCUAAGCAACUUACAAAUUAGCGAGAUAUCAUAGCUAAGACUAAAGACUCCCAUAUCAAACAUAGGAUAAGACUCAAAAUGGAAAUCAGUACCAAAAGAUCAAACUGAACUUCCAUGCUUCUACGACUUACUCUCGAUUCAAACUGUCGCAUCGCCAUGACCUACUUCACUGCCUGAUCUGGCUUUCUUUGGCCACCUCCAUAACACCUGCCACCGCUGAAUGAAGGAAACAGUUUCAGAGGAUGAGUCACUAGGAUGAGAAUUUAUUUAUGCAACUUGGCGAUUUUCUUAAGGAAACUUAGCAUUUGGUGGUGAAUAAAACGCAUCAUAAAAACUAUAUAUGAUGAUAAAGAAGGGGGUUAAAGUAAAAAAAAAUACCAGGUGGAUUGUUGAAGCUCAUGUAGAGAAAGAGACUCCCAAACACAUUAGCCAAGUAUAUGUCCUUAUACGGCUUACUCGACAAUUUCCUCCACCUCAAGGACUUGAGCUCAAUUGUGAAUGCACCAAUAUUUGUGGCCACAACAAGGAUAUCGGUGCCCUCCACACAGCCAACAAACCCUAGAGAAUCUGAGCUCCUGGUAUUGCCAAGGGGUCCCGAAGUCCAUUUCUCUGAGUUUGAUCCAUGACGCUACUCCAUCGACGCUCACCUCCACCGACCACAUAUGGCAUAGCCCAUGCUCGUCUAAGUCUACAACCCCUAACCUACCGUCUUCUGACAAAAUGAGGAGAGGGUUUUUCCGCAUAAACACACACAACCCUGGCAGAUCAAUAACUGAUAGGCUAUGACUACCCAAGUCAUACUUGAUAAUACAACUGUCCCCCUCAUAACGAUCAAUGAGGACGUGGAGUGCUUGUCCAACGAGGACACCAGGCCUUCCAACCAUGCCGGCUCCAAGCGCUCCAACGGAGCCGACGUGAAUAGAGGCUGGUGAGGUCCACUCCUGGGUCUCUGAUGAGUAUACAGACGCCCGCACGACCUUCUUUCGGUCAUCCAUGUUGCCAAGGUCAUCCAUGUUGCAAGGACGACAAACGCCACCAAAAAUGGGGCCAAGUUGCAGGCAUCGUGGUUGCAGCCAUCCGCCGCACAGAGCACCGUGGCCGAAUAGUCUUUCCAGACAUGAUUGAUGCGGGGGUUGAAGAUGCCAGGAUUGCGCAACUUCAUUCGUCUCCCAGACAAGGGGUCCCAGACUACCAUCUCUUCAUAUUCCUCGUAAUCAUCUUCGUCGUAAUAAUCUUCCUCCUCUCCAUCGUCAUCAUCUUCCUCCUCCUCAUCCUCAUCCGCAUCCGCAUACCCAUCGUAGUAACACAUAAGAAGAACGCGGCCAUGGCGGCAAUCGAGCACGGAACUGUCCUGCGGCUUGCAAUUGCGGGGACGGAAUCUUGUGGUGGGGACGAAGCUUUGACCUUCCUUCUCCCAGCUCUGUAGGAAGCCAGGCAUGGGAGGUGUUUUGUGGAAGGUGCGGUAGUGGCUGCGGAAGGCGUGGCCGGAGACGAGGCCGCACCAAGCCUUGCAGACGAGGGAGGCGCGGAUGAGGUCCGCAGGCUCGUCCGGCGGGAUGCGGAUCAGGAUCUCCUCCAUGAGCUCGCACAUCUCCCCCAGCUCCCGCACACGCGGCGGCGCCAUGGCCAGUGCUUGCAGGCGAGGAACUCAGAUCGGGAGGCCACCGCGUCGGAAUCGGCCAGAUCUGCCGCUGCCCGAUGGAGGACGAAGCAGCCGCCGCCUUCAAGCUCGCGCGGCUGCUGCUGCUCCGCUCAAGAGCAACGCCUUGCUGGACCCAUCUCGAUGCAGCCGGCGUUGGUUGAUUUUGUCUUUCUGAGUGGGGUUUCGGUGGCUGGAGCUGCUGGACAGAAGAGUAAGAGGGGUUGAGGAUGAGGGCGAGGACGAAGAGUGGCGCAGUAGACCGCAAUGGGCCUGAGUAAGCAACGGCAACGCGUCCGCGCAGUGGGCUAUCAGAAGACUGAGGCCCAUCCGAGCCCAUAAUACAACUUCAUUUCCUAAAAAAAACAAUUCGUGCCCUGUUUGGGAACAGAGAGUUUUUGCCGCUAUCACGGUAGAAAGGGUCAGAGACAAGUCAAACGGAGGCCACGAUUAGCGAUAUAUAAAUAUCAAAAAGUAUAGAGGCCAAAUGACGAUUCCGAAUUUUAAAUUAGAGUGAAUUCUACACCCUCCAUCCCUAAGAUGAUUUUUGACACUACACUAGAUUCAAAAAAGGUCUUACAUUAUGAGACAGAGGGAGUAGUUUUUACCUCCUACCUUGAUAUUUCUUUUACACAAAUUACCUCAUUUAACAAUUGUUCAUCUGGAUUACCCGAUUUAGUGAAAGUUUUACUUGUCAGCUUUCACCUGUUUAUAGUGAAAGUUUUGCCAGUUUUGACCCUAUUUAGCAACCUACCAUGUGGGUCCUAGCCAUCAGGCACACGUGGCAUGCGGUGCAAUUUUUUCUCCAGACAUUUUUCCCGCACUCGAACUGGUAGCCGAACACUUCUUUUUCUCAUGGUAGUCAAGUGUAUGUGCACACAACUUCUUUCUUGAUGGGUUCCUUCUUGACGUCAUGCAACUCCGAGUUCAUUGGUUCCACCUCAUUCUUCUCCACAACACUUGCUUCUCGAUAGUGCAUCAUACUAGAUAUAACUCCACCAACGCUUUGUCCGGCAAAAGAAUCGCUUGAGGAGCAAUCCUCGGCUUAAAAUACUUUAGAAGGGGUAAAGACCAAUAAAACUUUUUGCGAACUUAGGUACUAAGGAUGAAAAGUUGUUUAAUGUGGUAAUUAGCAUUGAAAAUACUAAAAUAGGGAGAAAAAAACAAAUUAAAUUAUUCAGAUGCCAAAGUUAACUGCUAGCAUUCAGAAAAGCUCAUAGCUCGCGCAAUUAGGAAGAGAUAUCCUUGGGAAAGAUCUAUAAUAGAAAUCAAAAGAGAUGUCGAGAACAAAUGAAAAGAUGAGCCGAUGGGACCUCUUUCGCAGCUCAGCCAUGAAAAACAAACAAAUUGUGUUUCGGUUAACCAUAGCCAACNNNNNNNNNNNNNNNNNNNNNNNNNNNNNNNNNNNNNNNNNNNNNNNNNNNNNNNNNNNNNNNNNNNNNNNNNNNNNNNNNNNNNNNNNNNNNNNNNNNNNNNNNNNNNNNNNNNNNNNNNNNNNNNNNNNNNNNNNNNNNNNNNNNNNNNNNNNNNNNNNNNNNNNNNNNNNNNNNNNNNNNNNNNNNNNNNNNNNNNNNNNNNNNNNNNNNNNNNNNNNNNNNNNNNNNNNNNNNNNNNNNNNNNAUGUUUGGGCCAUCUCAUCGUGCUUUAAUGGCUUGAUAUUGCUAGUCGGCCAAGCUUACUUAUGCAACGCUUGGGGAUGACUGAUUACCUCCGAUUCAGUUUCAGAUGUAGUAAUAGCGUUCUCUAUAGGACCUAAGAUUUAUCGAAUCCAGCAAAUUUCGCUAAGCCUUUGUGAUCGCAAAUCAUUUUCGUUUCCCAGACCAAUGAAUAAUCUUAAGUUCUAUAGCAAUAAAUAAAAUAGGUCAGAGGGAAGGUUUCACUUGCAGUUGUGUACACACACUUGGGUUAUAAUAAGAUAGAGCAACAAUGCAUCGGUAAGUAAUAAUUAGCACAUAUGCACGUUGCAACGAGAAAGAUAUUUUUUUGCGAGAAGCAAUGAGAGAGAUAAUUGAUGUGUCCACCAAAAACGAUCUCCACAACGGUGUGAUAGAGCGAGGAGUUGUGGUAUUCUCGCGAGUCAUGUUUGUCCCGCGAGAUCUUGAUAGUGGUGGGGUUAGUCAGAGUGGCGGCAACCAUUCAACUCGUGCCUUCUUUUCCUCCGGGCCCACCUCUGUCUCGGGGUUGUGUCUGCCUCCUCAUUUGGUAGCUAUGCGGCGACGUUCGGGGCACAGUUGCUUCGACCACUCUCUCUUACGAUGGUGUAACCGGACGUAUUACUAAUUACAGCGCAUAAAUCCCGUUUCAUUAGCGCAUAACCAAACAUCAAUGUUCCUUCUUUAUUAGGGUUUAUUCUUUUUGAUUAUUUUAGCGCUCACGUGCCUGAUUUUUUUUAUUCGAGCCAAACCAACAUAUACUCUUUUAUUGGCACUUGCAAGCUAGCACCGGCAAUAAUUUAUGGUCCCUCAUUCUGCUCAUGAUUCUCAAGAUAACCUCCUUAUUUUUAUAUACAAACUUCUUAUUUCUGGGCAACCUAUGGACAUAUACAAACUGGUGGGGAUUUACUAUAAAGUUAAAAUGCGAUAUUAUUCUCAUCAUAAUUGCAAGAUAGCUGAAUUGGUUUUUUCUAUCGAAACAAUAGGGAAGGUCCAUAGUUUAAUUCCCUCGGGGCUUAAAUUUUUUUUUGCUCACCCAUCUCACAGAAAAGAAAUGUGUGGGUAGGCCCGGUUCGUCCCACCCAGGGGACAAAAAAAUCGGGAACUAUGAGCGGGUUGAACAAAACCUAUACAUAUAUUUAAUAGGAGGACUAGCCAUUUUUAUGUAACAAAGUUGCCCUAGCUAUGAGAGGUAUCCGCCUGAGGAUGUGGAUGCAACGUCGCAUGUUCUAUUCCUUAUGACCGCCAAAUUUUUUUGGCUCCCUUGGCAAGGAUCGAUGGGCCGGAUGCGAACGACCCAGAAGGGGAGUGCGGCUAAGGCCAAAUACUGCCUGUGCGACGAAGAAUCUUUUUCUUUUUCUUGGGCCGACUGCAUGGGGGCUACUAUAUGACGCUAGUUGCGUAAAAUAUCGCGUGGGACGCACAUCAGUUUGUGUAUGGACCAGCACACUGGUAGGCACCAAGACGAGUUGUGUUUGUAAGACGCCAAAAUAUCCAAAAAAACAUGAGUUGAAAGACUGAAAUCAUGCCCUCAAAGACUUGACUACGUGCUGCUAGCCACUCGAAUAAACGAAUCAUGGUAACCAAUGGCCAGCUCGAACCUUUAAGAACAUACUCCAAUGUUUGUUUGGAAACAAUUUUUUGUAUUUUUGAACCCUUUUUAUAAAAUAUAAAUUGCUAAAUAUUCUUGGAAACAUGAAUAAUUUUCAAAAUGCCAAGCAAUUUUUUAAAAUUCUUUACAUUUUUAGAAAUACAUAAUCAAAUUUGAAACAUUUGAAAUUCAGAAUUUUGUUUGAAAACAUGUAUUUUUUUGAAUUUGUGAACAAUUUUUGAAAAAGAAAAAUAUUUCAAACAUUCAAAACAAUUUGAGAAAAUGUGUUAAACUUGGAAAUUAUUUUGAAUUUGCGAACAUUUCACUAUAACAAGAAUAUUAUUCGUAUUUGGAACAUUUUUAAAAUGCAUUUUUUUCUAAAAUCUUGAAUACUUUGGAAAACAAAAAAUGUAACAUUUUUAAAAAAUUCGAACCAAUUUUGGAAUAAGAAGAAAGAUUUAAAAUUCGAACAUUUUUCGGAACGGGAUAUUUUUGGGAAUUCUGAACAUUUUUUAAAGAUUCGAUUUUUUAUGAAAUUAUGAACUUUACACAAAAAAGGGAAAAAGAAAAUAGAAAGAAACAUAAAAACAAAAAUAGAAAGAGAACACAGAACAAAAAAAAUGUUUCAGCACCGCGUUGGCUCCCUGUGCGGAGCUUUAACUAUUUGACGUUCCAUGCGAUGGAUAGGAUUUUCCAACCUGCAUGGGCACAAAAAUAAAUGGGCUGUCUUUGUAGGGCCACACGGCAGGCGGCCCAUAUAUGAAAUUCUGGCGUUUUUCCUUUUCUAAUAGACGAACGGACAAAAAGUAAAAUUUAGUACCACCUCGAAUAGAGAAAAAUCUUUUCGAUGAUGAACAGAUGAAAAAAAAUAAGAGAAACGCACCUUGCUUUAUUAGUAGGUAUAGAUAUAGAUAUAGAUAUAUGCGUUGUGAAAAAUAAUAAGUGGGCAAUGGGUCUUUGUGAUACCACGACCGACUACCGCCGCUUCGACGAUUAGGUUGUCCAACCUUGGCCUUAUCUGACUCAUUGGGUUACCUCGGUUAUUAAGGAUAAAGCACACCAACACAUUAGUGUUUGAUGACUACAUCAUUGUCACCACCAAGGAAUUGGUUCUUGCUACCGCACCGACCUUACUGGCACCGUCUUUCAGCAUAGCCUUCCACUCUUACCUGUGAUCUUCAGUGUCUCGUGUACUGAUGAUCCCUCGGAUCGAGGUAGAGACAAGAGACAAGUAAUACCACAAAAUAUAAAUAAAGUACAUAUCCUCAAUCCGUUCUUGCGCAUACAUGGGGUUACAAGGCUACGCCUCGGUUCUUAGCCCGAGGGGAUUACUCGCAUAUCAUGAGCGAACCACAAGCAAAUUUCAUUGUAUAAAAAGUUAAUUGAAGAUGAAUGAUUGAUAGUUUUACAAUGUCAUUGAUGGCAGUUGAAUCUUGAUUACAAGUAAUUAAUCUAAUGCAGAUGGAGAUGUGAUGUUGAUGACGGAGGUAUAGAUGGAUGUGUCGAAGGGUGAAGCAAAGAGAUGAGCCAUCAGGUCUUCCUAUCCUUUAUAUUCCCUCCGUCCCAGAAUAUAUGACCAUUUUCACUAGUGUAGAAAAUGGUCAUAUACCCUGGGACGGAGGGAGUAUAGUGUAGGCAAGUGGGAUAGGGUUGCAAGGCUUCUCUUUUGUGAAUUUGGCUCAUGCCCCUUCAUUAAAGUUGUUUGGGAUGAUGCCACUGAGCAAAGUUCAAUAUCCGUACUAUCAAAUAUAAAGUAAAGAGUCCUACUUCGUAAUUUGUACCGCACACAACCACCUCCCUCUGAACCCUAGACAAUUGUUACUGCUUCACUCACUCCCAACCGACUAGGCUAAGGGUCCACUCCUUCGGCUACAGCUCCGGCGGUGGGAGGGGGUGGGGACUCUGAAUUUGUGUUGCGGUAAUCUAGUUAGGUCUCUUAGGGUUACAUAGAGUUUGGUUCAUCGACGAUGGGUUGUGGUGGCGAUAGCAGUGCCAUGCAGUUCAAGAACAGUGUUUACUUGGCCCCUGGUCCAUCUCGUUAGCGGCGACUUCAUCGGCGACAUAGAGGAUGGCGGGGGUCGCCUUGUUGCUGCUCUUUUGGAGUGGUUGUGUUAUGCAGGUGGUCUUCGAAUACGUCCACAAAUGGAGUAGACACGGUGCCUCGUGUCUUAGUUUCCUUCUUCAACCGAUGACAUCUAGCCAACUUUGACGUCGCCAGGGAGCUUUUGAGGUUUGGCAACCCUGAUUUCUCUAAGCGGAUUUGGGGUUGUUGUCCAGCCCUUGGCAUAUGUUGUUGGCUCCGAUUAGCCAUUUCCAAUCUUUAUUGGGACAACGUUUUCCUAGCUCUGGUAGUGUUUCCGAGAUCAAGGGCGACAUCGAGCUUCGCUCACGACAUGCACAUAUUGUUGUAAAGAUGAUCUUACAAAGCUUCGACGUCAGAGGAAAACAUCGUCGAUUUCACAGUUGUAAAGAUGAUUUUGUAAGACUUGGUCGAUUUUUUACAUAUACAUAGAGUUAAAAGCACUGGGGGUCCUAGAACUUGCUCAAGAUGUGAUGAUUUGGUCCUACAACUUGCAAAAUGACCCUACCCAGUCCUCAAACUUGCACCAUAUGUGCAACUUUGGUCCUGAACCAAUCACAGCGCGACAACUGGACUCCUCGGGCCCGAGCUGGUCAGCGCGCGCGUUUUUGCAAAUAGCCCCCUGCCUUUCCUUGUAAUCAACCCGCACUCACUUCUCCUGUGUUAUGUUGAAGGCUCUGCUUCUUGCCCUUCAGAAGAUAAAGGCGCUUGAGGACCAGAAAAAGUUCUGCAUUUCGACACCGGAACCACUUCUGACGCUUGCUUUAAAUGUAUUCUUCCCCUGCAGUAAGUUUAGCUCACUCAUUUUAUGGCUUUUAUUUUUAAAUGCUGCACUGUCAUUUUUCACACAAAGUAGCGUGCACUGCAUCCUUUUUGUACUUAAUUGAUGAGCGCUUAUCACUGCAGGUGAAGAUAUACACAGCGGACGAGACUUGCCUGCUCCCUUCCCAUGCUCCCAUCCGUGCUCCCGCAUACGUGGCUUGAUUUGAUUGGAAGAAAAUAAGGCCCGGCCCCACCCCCUGAAAAUCAGGGGGAGAGAUGAUUAGAUUAGAAAAAAAAAAGGAAAAAGAACAGCCGUAGGAUGAAGCGGGAGCACGGAUGGGAGCAUGGAGAGGGAGCAGGCAAGCCGGAUCCAUACACAGCCAGCAACGUAAGGGAAGAGCUGCAGGAUACGCGGCGUGAUUUCAUUAGAGCAUCGGUAGGAGUGAGCCGGAAGGGGAAGCUUCUGAUCCCCAAAAUGCUGCACUGUUUUGCGCGAGGAUUCGUCGACGACAACAGUUUCCCUAUCUGGAUAUCACAUUUCCUGCCUCAGCAGCAGGCUACAUUUGUUGAGCAUUGCAUGUCUCAGAGGCGGCAAAGCCUCCUGGGCACGCGGACUUUCGGCAUCAUCCCGUUCGACUCUCGGUUUCGAUACGUCUUCCUGCCUGAUAUGGGAUCAUUGAACUGACUGGUAAGCUAAAAUAGUGUCCAGCAUUCAAAAUUUGCAUUCUGAGUGUAUUUCCAUGUACUGAAUAUCUGUGUGUUGUAACAGUCGAUUCAUCAGGUCAGAGGUGCAAGGAAGGCCUAUAUCGUCGGUUGUCGAACCGAGACGUUUCGGGCUUUCAGCAAGUGCUCGACCAGGUCUCGGAUCACACAGGUGCACAUCCAGUGAUCAGCCGGUUUGUUUCAGCACUGAACCAAUGUGCAACGGCCGGCUGAAUUAAAAGACUGGUAUCCUCCUCAGGAUGUCAGAUAACUCUUGAGCACGCCAGCUGGAUUAAUUGGCUAGUUUGCCUCGACUUCUAGUCGAAUUCAGCGCAAAAUGUUUGUAUAUGAUAGUGGUUGACGUCUAACUAGCUAGCAAAUAAAAUGAAGGCGAUCGUUACGAAGGUGUUGUGUGUCUACUGACAACAUGUACUGUAUGUGGCAAAAUGUGUUGUGUGCCUGCAGCUCUCAUCUGCGGCACUUAUCAUGUAGUAGUACAAUUUAUAAGCAAGAAAGGAAACCUCGAUUGUUGACAGUUGAAUAUAGCUGUUUCAGCAAGUGCGCGAGUCAGAAAGGAUUGCAAGUGCAGUGUGCUCAGCAUGUUUGUUUCAACACUGGAUCAGUGUGGAACAGCUUGGCUGAAAACAGACAGGGAUCCUCAACUUCUCGGGUUGAUUUCAAGGAAAGGCAGGGGGCUAUUUGCAAAAAAUGCGCGCUGACGGGCUCGGGCCCAGGAGUCCACUUGUCGCGCUGUUAUUGGUCCAGGACCAAAGUUGCACAUCUAAUGCAAGUUGUGGGACUGGAUAGGGUCAUUUUGCAGGUUCUAGGACUAAAUCAUCACAUCUCGGACAAGGUGUAGGACUCCCGGUGCUUUUAACUCAUAUAUAUAUAUAUGGCAUUACAAAGUAUAUACAUAAAUAAUAAAGUAUAUAAGAUCCUUAAAUACAGGAAAAGAAGACGCUAAAAAUAAGGCAUCGAUAGGCGCCGGCGCACCGGCCCAAAUUUGGGCCGGUCAGCGCGCAGCCGUCCGAUUCGCGUAUAUACAGCUGUUGGAUCGGACCUUCCAUGCUCUCUUCGCCCGUGCUUGCCGGCCACACCCGAGCCGCCUGCGCUCGCGCCUGACUCGCCGGCCGCCUGUGCUCGCCCCCGUGCUCGCCGGUCAACCCCGUGCCGCCCGUGCUUGCCAGCCACCCCCACCCGCCGCUAAUCGCCGUCGAGCCUGCAGGUCCACGGUGAAAAGAGUACAGAGGUUGUAGCAAAAAUAGGUCGCCGCCGUCGAGCCUACAGGUUCACCAUGAAAAAAGGAUGUAGCGAAAAUCAUCCACAGACGUAGCAAAAACUACAACAGUUGUAGCAAAAAUAGGUCACCGUCGUCACGGGACGCGGCUCGGCCGUGUAUGAAUGCAGCAAAAUCUGUAGCCGUUUCCAGCAAAAAUCACCGCCGGUACCAGCAAGAAAGAAAAACGGUUGUAGCGCUCGUGUUCCAGCGAAAAGAAAAGUCACCGUUCACCGCAUGCAGCUCCCCCGGAGGCCCGAUUGCAACUCCCCGCCAUCCAUGGUUGCAGCUCGCGUUUCGGCUGCAGCUCCCAUGGACGCCGGUUGUAGCUCCCACGAAAGCGGGUUGCAGCUCCUGCCAUCCAUGGUUGCCGCUCGCCGCUCCAGCCGUCGGGGGAGAAGAGGAUGCAGUUUCACAUCCAUGGACGCAGCUCCCGCUUGCAUCAGCUCUGGCGUCCUCAAAAGUGCAGUCGCUGGCGCUGGUAUUUUGGACUCAGAGAGGGAACGGUGGCGGGGAUGAACUGGAUUAGAUACUCACGAGGUGGGGAUAAGGUUUGUGUGGCCAGCGGUGAGUUGUUUCGUGCGUGGGCCCUACCAUGUAUACGCGUCUCGCGCGAGACGGCCGGACUGCCGGCUCCAAACGUUUACCUAAAAAUAACCUUCACCACGUGCCCUCCUCGGGGUCUUUGUGAAAGGAGCACGGAGGCAGCGCAUCCGUCUGGUCGCCUUGGAACAGGUACGUCUUGCAGCGGAGGUGGCCCAGUCCAGGAACGCUCCCUUCCACGUCGAACUCGGCCCUCCCGAGAGCAUAGGUUUCGGCGCAUAUCUUGUUCCGCAGCUCCUGCUGCAACACAAGCCCCUCCGCCGUGGCCACCACGGUCGCCACGCUGGCGCUCGGCCCCUGCAGGCACCUGCCGUCGACGCAGAACCGCGGAACGCCGCCCCACGCCAGGAUCUUCCCGCGGUACGAGACCCGCAGCAUCGCGUCGCCACCUCCGGCGCAGGGCCCCCGCCUGCUUUCCGACACCCGGCCGACGUCCACGGCCAGCUCGAAGGUCGGGGAACGCACCUCGGUCUCCGGGAUGCACGGGUCCAGCCCCUGGACCUCGACCAGUCGGAUGAACAGCCGGGGCUUCGGGUCAUAGUUGGCAGCCGGCAAGAAGAGGGCCAGGGCGGUGCCUAAGAUGACUAUGGUGAGAAGGAGGGCGUAGAAAAGGUCCAUGAUCGUCGAAUUAGCUGACGAGCUAUGGUAGGCUCCUGCAGCCAUCGCCGCAAGCUCGGCUACUCCCUGGAGCUUCUGUACGAGAAGAUGAAUACGGCCGGCGAAUAUGUAUUGAUCUUGUCGUGGGCUAUGCAUAUUCUGUUCUACACUGUGACUUGGAUCUCAAGCAAACCUAUAUAGAGAUAGAGGUAGAAACUAGUCCUGCCGUGUCACAACAAGCAGUUUUUUUCUUUUGGAUUUGGAGGCAGGUGAGUUCUUGUUCAUAUCUCUGUCUACAUCCAAUUUAGGCCAGUAUGUUAACAAUUUGCAUUAUCGAGCUUAUUAUACUAAGUCCCUGGUGAUAUCAAGCCGAAUGAUGCACACACGGUGAUGAUGCCAUUGGAUCCCAGUAGCUUUACCAAGUGAUGUAGCAGUUCUUUUAGCUGCAGAUUGUAAUCCUGUUUUCAACGCAAAAAAAGAAGAGUAUAGUUUGGGAUGGCCAUGAACCGUGUGCGGUGCUAUCGUCCUAUCAAGUCGUUGUAAACCAUCUCAAAACCGACUGCCUCAAAGUUACAGAAUUCGUGAAAAAAACUAUCUCCCUCCUAAAAAAUCAAUACCAUGGUAAUCUGUUCGAGAGGUAGGUUUAAUGUUCCUGGUAUGAGCCCAUGGAACGACUUCAAAUCCGUUUGAUCUCUAAUCGCGGGAUCUACAUCUGGUCUAGAGUCUUUGUUGUGAUGAUGAUGAAGGAGCUCCCUUGGGACCCGGUGAACCCGCACGCUCCGAUGAUUGGGGACACUAGUGAAAGCCAUCAUGGAUGGGGACAACCUGUCAUGCAAUUCUGGCGCCUUGCACUAAUAGAAAAAGGGCCAUUUGUCCCGGUUCGUAAGGCCCAUUUGUCCCGGUUGGAGAACCGGGACUAAAGGGUCGGUACUAAAGCCCUAUACCUUUAGUCCCGGUUCUUACACAAACCGGGACAGAUGGGUCUCCACGUGGUCGCUGUGGCGAGCCUAGGCAAGAGGGCCUUUGGUCCCGGUUGAUAGCACCAACCGGGACCAAAAGGCAUCCACGCGUUAGCAGCUGGCAGGAGCUGAAGUUUUUUUUUGAAAGAUGGUGGUUUAGGGGGUUUUGGGGGGUUAAUUUAGGGUGUUAGCUAGCUAAUAGAGAGAAGUGUCCUCUCUUAUCUCCGUGCUUGGUUUACCAAUGCUACUGCUAUGCCUAAACAUGGCUUAGAUUGAAGUGAAGGCAACAUGUGGCGCAUGUCGAAAAUAACACUAAUCCUAACUUGAUCAAGUUAGGAUUAGUGUUAUUUUCGACAUGCGCCACAUGUUGCCUUCACUUCAAUCCAAUCCAUGUUCAUUUCACCCACUGUUAUAUAAUAACUCUUCAUGCUCGCAUCAUGCAUCAUCAUAAUAACAAAUCCUACUAAUCAUCAUCAUACAACUUCUACUCGUUAUUAAUAACAAGUCAUACGAUCAUCAUCCUCAUAGUCAUCGAACCAACCCAACUUAAUUGUUAUUAGCACAUGAUCAUCAGUAUUAGGUAGGAUCUAAAUACCCUCUUUAAGGUAAAAUAGCAUAAAACAAUAUAGGCCCUGACUCUCCAUUAUGGAGAAUGGAGAUCAUCCUGUCUUCAAUUCUUGCUCUUCGCUUCCUUUUGCUUCCAAGAACCUCCUUACGACUGUCCAUACAUUUUUUCCAUUCUUUGAUUAGCAUGUGUUCACCGGUUUUAGAAAUCCGGUAUGGACAGGUGAGAUUCAUAGGAUGAGCUGGCUAUAUAUUCAAAACAUCAAGGCGACCAUUCUGAUACAUCAAAUGAGGCACACAAUCCAUCAAAAUUUUCUGUUGAAAAACAUAGUAAUAACUUCGUAGUUAGCAAUGAUGUACUAGUUUUAGAAGUAUGCAAAAGAUGCACAGAUGGCGUAAUAGUAAAAAAUCUUACCAGGGUAUCUCCAUAGAAGUUACCGUAGUUCAACACGUGCACUAGUGGCACGUAUUGACCAUAAUUUGGAGGAGUAUCAUAAUAGGUAUUGUAAUUCUCAAGGUCAGUACAAAAUGCGAUCAGAUGAUUUUUCUCCUGAUAAGUUAAUUCAGAGCCAUCGGUGUAGUGGGUUUUGUCUACCAUCCUCCGCACAUUGUUUGAAGAAUGAAAAUAAGCUGUCAACUAUUUUGAAAUAAACAAUAUAAAUUAGCUAAUAACUAUGUUUGAGAAACUCACAUAGCGGUAGAAUUGGAAGCGUAUCAGCAUGGACCCAAAUGUCCAUAUUGUCUUGCUCGAUGUCAGGAUCACCAAGAUCCAUGGUGACAAGCAUAUCCUCAUAAAAACCAUACAUCUUGCAAAGUGCUUCCCAAUUUGGGCAACCAAAAUGGGUUACGCUCUGAGAAUUGUACAUAUUGACUUCAAAAUCCAUACCAUGAUGGGUCCUUAGGUGAAUUUCUUUGUUUCGAAACUUUCAUGGUCUUCAAAACCCAUCCUCUCCAAGACAUAGCGUCUUGCAUGGCAUGGGAUAAGCUAGUCGAAUUGUAAAAGAUGAAAAUUACAUGUUGAAAUAGUUGAAGUGGUGCUUAAUUACGAAAAAAACACUUGUCGUUGUUGCAUACCGUUUCAACAUCGAAGGUAUCUUGGAGCUUAAUGCUGAAGCGCCGAUCUUCGUCCAGGUGAGGUGCUACCUCUUGAGCACUGCGUUGGUUUUCCCUUGAAGAGGAAAGGGUGAUGCAGCAAAGUAGCGUAAGUAUUUCCCUCAGUUUUUGAGAACCAAGGUAUCAAUCCAGUAGGAGGCUACGCGCGAGUCCCUCGUACCUACACAAAACAAAUAACUCCUCGCAACCAACGCGAUAAGGGGUUGUCAAUUCCUUCACGAUCACCUACGAGAGUGAGAUCUGAUAGAUAUGAUAGGAUAAUAUUUUUGGUAUUUUUGUGAUAGAGAUGCAAAGUAAAAAUAAAAGCAAAGUAAAAAGCAAAGGAAAUAAAUAAGUGUUGGAAGAUUAAUAUGAUGAAGAUAGACCCGGGGGCCAUAGAUUUCACUAGUGGCUUCUCUCAAGAGCAUAAGUAUUUUACGGCGGGUGAAAGAAUUACUGUUGAGCAAUUGACAGAAUUGAGCAUAGUUAUGAGAAUAUCUAGGUAUGAUCAUGUAUAUAGGCAUCACGUCCGAGACAAGUAGACCGACUCCUGCCUGCAUCUACUACUAUUACUCCACUCAUCGACCGCUAUCCAGCAUGCAUCUAGAGUAUUAAGUUCAUGAAAACAGAGUAACGCCUUAAGCAAGAUGACAUGAUGUAGAGGGAUAAAUUCAUGCAAUAUGAUAAAAAAAACCCCAUCUUGUUAUCCUCGAUGGCAACAAUACAAUACGUGCCUUGCUGCCUCUACUGUCACUGGGAAAGGACACCGCAAGAUUGAACCCAAAGCUAAACACUUCUCCCAUUGCAAGAAAGAUCAAUCUAGUAGGCCAAACCAAACUGAUAAUUUGAAGAGACUUGCAAAGAUAACCAAUCAUACAUAAAAGAAUUUAGAGAAGAUUCAAAUAUUGUUCAUAGAUAAUCUUGAUCAUAAACCCACAAUUCAUCGGUCUCAACAAACACACCGCAAAAAAGAAGAUUACAUCGAAUAGAUCUCCACGAGAGAGGGGGAGAACAUUGUAUUGAGAUCCAAAAAGAGAGAAGAAGCCAUCUAGCUACUAACUAUGGACCCGAAGGUCUGAGGUAAACUACUCACACUUCAUAGGAGAGGCUAUGGUGAUGAUGUAGAAGCCCUCCGUGAUGGAUGCCCCCUCCGGCGGAGCUCCGGAACAGGCCCCAAGAUGGGAUCUCGUGGGUACAGAAGGUUGCGGCGGUGGAAUUAGGUUUUUGGCUCCGUAUCUGAUCGUUUGGGGGUACGUAGGUAUAUAUAGGAGGAAGGAGUACGUCGGUGGAGCAACAGGGGGCCCACGAGGGUGGAGGGCGCGCCCCCCUACCUCGUGGCCUCCUCCUUUGUUUCUUGACGUAGGGUCCAAGUCUCCUGGAUCAUAAUCUUCCUAAAAAUCACGUUCCCGAAGGUUUCAUUCCGUUUGGACUCCGUUUGAUAUUCCUUUUCUGCGAAACUCUGAAAUAGGCAAAAAACAACAAUUCUGGGCUGGGCCUCUGGUUAAUAGGUUAGUCCAAAAAAUAAUAUAAAAGUGAAUAAUAAAGCCCAACAAUGUCCAAAACAGUAGAUAAUAUAGCACGGAGCAAUCAAAAAUUAUAGACACGUUGGAGACGUAUCAUGAGGGCACCUGUCGCACAGACCUCGGUCGUCGUUGCACCAGGAGCACUCCCCCGGGAGACUUUCGUCGUCCGAGUAUGACAUUUCCUAUGUUCAUAAUUCAAAGACUAAACUUGUACAAUUGAAUAUAUGUACUACAAAAACUAAAUUAGAACAUUAUUAUUCAUCACGGGUUGACUAUCGGUCUGUCGAGUCUUUUCUUGAAAACUCUCAGUUCACGUGGUGUAAAUAUUCGACCGUCGGUGAUGGUAGCUCCUCCUUUCGUUCCCGAGUGCAUUACACCAAAUUGUCUAGCACACGGGAACGAAGGAGAAACUACCCCCACGACAAUAGUCGAGAUUCUUCAUCCUCUCAUAUAUGGUGGAGACUCUCCCUCACUGAUUCCUCUUUGACAUUUGCGACCGUCGGUGAUGGUAGCUCCUCCUUUUGUUCCCGAGUGCAUUACACCAAAUUGUCUAGCAAACGGGAACGAAGGAGAAGCUACCCCCACGACAACAGUCGGAAUUCUUCAUCCUCUCAUAUAUGGUGGAUACUCGACAGACUUAAAGUCAACCCGAAAUAUCGUUUAAUUAUCUUUCUAAAAAAGGACAUAUCGAGCGCCUGAAAUUUGCCGGAACGGAAAUAUACAUGUUUUUAUCUACAUCAUAUGAGCAUUCAAACUUGAUGGCCAUUACACUUCAAUGGUUGAAAAUAUGAGCAAAAAUAUUUCAAAAUAUCUUAUAGGACUCAUAUUGACAUGGAGAUUUGGCUAGUCUCACCUCGAGGUCGGAGGGGGGGUCGGUGACGGGGACGAUGGCGGAGAUGAUGGAGGGGGCUCCUAGAUUUCUGCAAAAACAAAAACCCUAUAAGCUAUCAACUAAUCAAAUGCAUACGCCUUGCAUAGUGCUCUCCAAUUUUAGCAUUCAAAGUAGGAGUAGUUUUCCAAUUUGAGCAUUCAAUAAGCAAAACCAAAUCGUAAAAUAAAUUAGUAUUCAAAUUAGCAUGCAUUCAAUUAUAAGCAAAACUACACCAUCUCUUGCGUCCGUACAUCGUUGAAUAUUAUCACUAAUACACCUCGAAUAUUAUCAUACAUAUAGCAUCGCUAAUACAGCUAGAACCGUAGCGCCCGACGGGUAUCGGCGCGGGCGGUGGACACCCAAAGAGAAGGAACCAUCACAGGAUCAUAGCUCCAGUGAGAUCCCUGAAGAACCUGCCAGGUAUUGUCGAACCUGCCCUCCAACGCAACCAUGUAGCGACGGACGUGCUCGUCCUCCUCGCUGACACGGUGACGUUCCACCUCCGCGGUGUCCGGAAGCCUCGGCAUCGUCAGUGGCCCACGCGACUGCCACCAAACAAGGUUCGGGUCAACGACGGGCUGGCUCCUCACCAACCUACGCCCCCCGGAAGGUAGCACCUCCCAAUACCAGCCCGGCGGAGCCCAGUCUCGGACAUGGCCCCUCUGAUCAAGCAGGCCUCCUCCGCCGAGUCAAUGACGAGGAUGCGAGAUAGGCAUCGUCGACGUCGAUGCGGGAAUAAUUGCUUUAACUAAAAAAAUAAACUAGUUUUAUUAAUUUUCUUGCUAAAAAUAAACUACUUCUAUAGUAAAAUAAAUUAGUUUUAUUAAAUCAACUAGUUCAACUACUAAGCACUUACUAUAAAUAAAAUAAAGUAGUACUUACUAAAAAUAAACUACUUCUAUAGUAAAAUAAAGUAGUUUUAUUAAAUCAACUAGUUCAACUACUAAGCACUUACUAUAAAUAAAAUAAAGUAGUACUUACUAAAAAUAAACUAUUUCUAUAGUAAAAUAAAGUAGUUUUAUUAAAUCAACUAGUUCAACUACUAAGCACUUACUAUAAAUAAAAUAAAGUAGUACUUCCUAAAAAUAAACUAGUUUAACUAGUUCUAUUCCUUCUCCUUCUCCUCUUUUUAUUUUUCUUCUUCUUCUUCUUCUUCCAUCUUCCUUCUUCCUCUUUUCUUCCUCUUUUCUUCUUUCCUUAUUUUCCUUCCUCGACGACCCUAACCCUAAACAAUACAACUAACGACAACGACUUCGCUUGCAUACAUAUGAACAAAUAUGAUCGAUCAUCUAUGAACAAUAUAAAAACAUCAUAUGAUAUAUGAACAAAAAAUAUCACAUCUAUGAACAAAAAAAUCAUAUGAUCAUAUAUAUAUGCAGAAAAAACAUCAUAUAUGACGACGCUGAACAAAAAAUCAUCAUAUAUGCUCCAUACAUCAACAUUACAUAUACAUCAACAUAUAUGCAAAAAAACAUAUAUGCAUACUGAUACGUCACCAACGCAUCUAUAAUUUUUUAUUGUUCCAUGCUAUGUUAUAUUCCGUUUUGGAUGUUUAAUGGGCUUUAUUAUACACUUUUAUAUUAUUUUUGGGACUAACCUACUAACCCAAGGCCCAGUGCAAAUUGCUGUUUUUUGCCUAUUUCAGUGUUUCCCAGAAAAGGAAUAUCAAACGGAGUCCAAACGGAAUGAAACCUUCGGGAGCGUGAUUUUUGGAACAAACAUGAUCCAGAGGACUUGGAGUGGACGUCAAGAAAUCAACAAGGAGGCCACGAGGCAGGGAGGCGCGCCUGCCCCCUGUGCACGCCCCCACCCUCGUGGGCCCCUCGUGGCUCCACCGACCUACUUCUUCCUCCUAUAUAUACCUACGUACCCCGAAACCAUCCAGGAGCACCACGAAACCCUAUUUCCACUGCCGCAACCUUAUGUACCCGUGAGAUCCCAUCUUGGAGCCUUUUCCGGCGCUCCGCCGGAGGGGGCAUCGAUCACGGAGGGCUUCUACAUCAACACCAUAGCCUCUCCGAUGAUGUGUGAGUAGUUUACCUCAGACCUUCGGGUCCAUAGUUAUUAGCUAGAUGGCUUCUUCUCUCUCUUUGGAUCUCAAUACAAAGUUCUCCUCGAUCUUCUUGGAGAUCUAUUCGAUGUAACACUUUUUGCGGUGUGUUUGUCGAGAUCCGAUGAAUUGUGGGUUUAUGAUCAAGAUUAUCUAUGAACAAUAUUUGAAUCUUCUCUGAAUUCUUUUAUGUAUGAUUGGUUAUCUUUGCAAGUCUCUUCGAAUUAUUAGUUUGGUUUGGCCUACUAGAUUGAUCUUUCUUGCAAUGGGAGAAGUGCUUAGCUUUGGGUUCAAUCAUGCGGUGCUCGAUCCCAGUGACAGUAGGGGAAACGACACGUAUUGUAUUGUUGCCAUCGAGGAUAAAAAGAUGGGGUUUAUAUCAUAUUGCUUGAGUUUAUCCCUCUACAUCUGCCAUCUUGCCUAAUGCGUUACUCUGUUCUUAUGAACUUAAUACUCUAGAUGCAUGCUGGAUAGCGGUCGGUGUGUGGAGUAAUAGUAGUAGAUGCAGGCAGGAGUCGGUCUACUUGUCGCGGACGUGGUGCCUAUAUACAUGAUCAUGCCUAGAUAUUCUCAUAACUAUGCACUUUUCUAUCAAUUGCUCGAUAGUAAUUUGUUCACCCACCGUAAUACUUAUGCUAUCUUGAGAGAAGCCACUAGUGAAACCUAUGGCCCCCGGGUCUAUUUUCCAUCAUAUAAGUUUCCAAUCUAUUUUUAUUUUGCAAUCUUUACUUUCAACCUUUAUCACAAAAAUACCAAAAAUAUUAUCAUCUCUAUCAGAUCUCACUUUUGCAAGUGGCCGUGAAGGGAUUGACAACCCCUUUAUCGCAUUUGUUGCAAGGUUCUUAUUUGUUUGUGUAGGUACGAGGGACUUGCGUGUGGCCUCCUACUGGAUUGAUACCUUGGUUCUAAAAAACUGAGGGAAAUACUUACGCUACUUUGUGCAUCACCCUUUCCUCUUCAAUGGAAAACCAACGCAUGCUCAAGAGGUAGCACAUACGGCGGCCACGGCGGGGGGCAGGGCAGGGGCGCAGGGGCUCACUGGGGGCGGCAUCGGCGACGGCGUCGGGGCAGGGGCGGCGCGGACCGGGGCGGNNNNNNNNNNNNNNNNNNNNNNNNNNNNNNNNNNNNNNNNNNNNNNNNNNNNNNNNNNNNNNNNNNNNNNNNNNNNNNNNNNNNNNNNNNNNNNNNNNNNNNNNNNNNNNNNNNNNNNNNNNNNNNNNNNNNNNNNNNNNNNNNNNNNNNNNNNNNNNNNNNNNNNNNNNNNNNNNNNNNNNNNNNNNNNNNNNNNNNNNNNNNNNNNNNNNNNNNNNNNNNNNNNNNNNNNNNNNNNNNNNNNNNNNNNNNNNNNNNNNNNNNNNNNNNNNNNNNNNNNNNNNNNNNNNNNNNNNNNNNNNNNNNNNNNNNNNNNNNNNNNNNNNNNNNNNNNNNNNNNNNNNNNNNNNNNNNNNNNNNNNNNNNNNNNNNNNNNNNNNNNNNNNNNNNNNNNNNNNNNNNNNNNGGUCCCGGUUCGUGGCACCAACCGGGACCAAUGCACCCCUUUAGUCCCGGUUGGUGCCACCAACCGGGACCAAAGGUCUCUUUUAAGCAGUCCAAAGGGCGGGAAGCAGAGGCCUUUGGUCCCGGUUGGUGGCACCAACCAGGACUAAAGGUGGGCAUCGGUCCCGGUUGGUGGCACUAACCGGUACCAAAGGUGGGCAUUGGUCCCGGUUCGUGCCAUCAACCGGUACCAAAGGUGGGCAUUGGUCCCGGUUCGUGCCACCAACCGGGACCAAUGGUCUUGCACAGCGGCGUGGUGGUGGGAGUUUAGUCCCACCUCGCUAGUUGAGAGCGCCCAACACUUGUUUAUAAGCUCCGCUGCCUCCUCCCUCUCGAACUCCUCUGAACUGCAGGCCUAUGGGCCUAAUCUGACACUGCUUUGCUUGUGGGCCUGCUGGGCCUUCUGCUGACCUAAAUCCUGGCCCAACUAGUUGGGUUUCUAGUCGUAUUCAGGCCGUGGUGGCCCAGUAGGUGGCAUUUUUUAUUUUUCCAGUUUUUUUUGUUUUCUUUGUUGCUUUAUUUUUUAUUUUGUUUCUACUUACAACAAAAUACUUACUGUUGCUAUAUUUAUUUAUUUUAUUAAGGUUUAUUUAUUUUAUUAUAGUUUAUUUUACUUUAUUUUAUUUUAUUUUAUUUUAUUUUGUUUCUACUUAUUUAUAAAAGUUUAUUUUGUUUCUACUUAUUUAUUUUAUUUUGCUUUUAAUGUUUUGAACAGAAAAUACUUUGAUAAUUUUAGUUGCAUAAAUUCUAUAUAAUUCUAGUUUCAAUAAUACUAGAGGUUUAUAAAAGCUUUUUCGUUGAUUCCUUUAGUACUGGUUCUAAGGCUGUUACAAAGGCAUUUCAUUUAGUACCGGUUCUAACGUUGGGGCCCCACGAGCACCUUUAGUACCGGUUCGUGGCAUGAACCGGUAAUAGAGUUUUUUAGUUGAUUCUUUCUGCAUCUAUUUUUUAGUCCCACCUCGCCAAGCGAGAGGCACUCGCAACGGUUUAUAAGCCCUGAGUGCAGAGACGAUGAAGGAGAGGCGCAAUGCUCAACUGCACGUUGCUUAGCUUCAGGCCUGCGCCUCUCUUUUAUUUUUAAUAACUUAUUACAACUCCGGACUUCUUGUCUAUUCAAAAUGCACCAUUCAAAGCCACAUCAUCAAUUUUCAACCCUUUCUGACUUCAUUUGUUAUUUUUCAUGCAUUUACUAAUUUUUUUGAGCUAUAAGACCCUGAAAUUGAAAAGCAUUUCAAAUGAACUAUGAAAAGGGUGAAAGUUGGCAUGGUAUCAUCAUUUCACCCACAUAGCAUGUGCUGAAAAGUUGAGAGGGUUACGACAAAACCUGGAUGCACUUCGUGUACAAAACGGACAAUCUGUUUCGAGAUAUCAGGGUUUCAUACGGGAACUCGUCUGUUACAACAGGCAUUUCAAAUGAACUAUGAAAAGAUUGAAAGUUGGCAUGGUAUCAUCAUAAUAGUUGUGGAGAGAAAGUCUUCACUUUUUCUUCGCUUGUGUCCUUUGCUUAUUAUGCCGUAACCAUGGAUAAUCUUCAUCGUUUAACAGGGUGCUUGGGUCAGCCUUGACUUUGAAUGGAGGAAUUUCAUGCAACUUUUCAUAAUCUUCAGACAUGUAUGUCUUGCCCUCCACUCCCACGAUGUCCCUUUUUCCUGAAAGAACUAUGUGGCGCUUUGGCUCAUCGUAUGAUGUAUUCGCUUCCUUAUCUUUUCUUUUUCUCGGUUUGGUAGACAUGUCCUUCACAUAGAUAACCUACGCCACAUCAUUGGCUAGGACGAACGGUUCGUCAGUGUACCCAAGAUUGUUCAGAUCCACUGUUGUAAUUCCGUACUGUGGGUCUACCUGUACCCCGCCUCCUGACAGAUUGACCCAUUUGCACUUAAACAAAGGGACCUUAAAAUCAUGUCCGUAGUCAAGUUCCCAUAUGUCCACUAUAUAACCAUAAUAUGUGUCCUUUCCCCUCUUGGUUGCUGCAUCAAAGCGGACACCGCUGUUUUGGUUUGUGCUCUUUUCAUCUUGGGCGAUCGUGUAAAAUGUAUUCUCAUUUAUCUCGUAUCCUUUGUAAGUCAAUACAGUCGAAGAUGGUCCCCUGGACAACGAGUACAACUCAUCACAAACAGUGUUGUCACCUCUGAGACGUGUUUCCAACCAACUGUUGAAAGUCCUCAUGUGUUCACAUGUAAUCUAGUCGUCACACUGCUCUGGGUGUUUGGAGCGCAGACUGUUCUUGUGUUCAUCGACAUACGGGAUCACCAAGGUAGAGUUCUGUAGAACUGUGUAGUGUGCUUGAGACUAAGAAUGCCCAUCCCAACAUAUUAUUGAGUCCCCUCCAAGCAUGCCUUUUCCAGUCAGUCUCCCCUCAUACCGCGAUAUAGGGAGACCUAUCUUCUUAAGGCCAGGAAUGAAGUCAACACAAAACCCAAUGACAUCCUCUGUUUGAUGGCCCAUGGAGACGCUUCCUUCUGGCCUACGCGGUUACGGACAUAUUUCUUUAGGACUCACAUGAACCUCUCAAAGGGGAACAUAUUGUGUAGAAAUACGGGGCCCAGAAUGACAAUCUCGUCGACUAGAUGAACUAGGACGUGCGUCAUGAUAUUGAAGAAGGAUGGUGGGAACACCAGCUCGAAACUGACAAGACAUUGCGCCACAUCACUCCUUAGCCUUGGUAUGAUUUCUGGAUAGAUCACCUUUUGAGAGAUUGCAUUGAGGAAUGCACAUAGCUUCACAAUGGCUAAUCGGACGUUUUCCGAUAGAAGCCCCCUCAAUGCAACCGGAAGCAGUUGCGUCAUAAUCACGUGGCAGUCAUGAGACUUUAGGUUCUGGAACUUUUUCUUUGGCAUAUUUAUUAUUCCCUUUAUAUUCGACGAGAAGCCAGACGGGAGCUUCAUACUGAGCAGGCAUUCAAAGAAGAUUUCCUUCUCUUCUUUGGUAAGAGCGUAGCUGGCAGGACCUUCAUAUUGCUUUGGAGGCAUGCCGUCUUUUUCGUGCAAACGUUGCAGGUCCUCCCGUGCCUCCGGUGUAUCUUUUGUCUUCCCAUACACGCCCAAGAAGCCUAGCAGGUUCACGCAAAGGUUCUUCGUCAUGUGCAUCACGUCGAUUGAAGAGCGGACCUCUAGGUCUUUCCACUAGGGUAGGUCCCAAAAUAUAGAUUUCUUCUUCCACAUGGGUGCGCGUCCCUCAGCGUCAUUCGGAACAGCUAUUCCACCGGGACCCUUUCCAAAGAUUACGUGUAAAUCAUUGACCAUAGCAAGUACGUGAUCACCGGUACGCAUGGCGAGCUUCUUCCGGUGAUCUGCCUCGCCUUUGAAAUGCUUGCCUUUCUUUCAACAUUGAUGGUUGGUCGGAAGAAAUCGACGAUGGCCCAGGUACACAUUCUUCCUGCAUUUGUCCAGGUAUAUACUUUCAGUGUCAGCUAAACAGUGUGUGCAUGUGUGGUAUCCCUUGUUUGUCUGUCCUGAAAGGUUACUGAGAGCGGGCCAAUCGUUGAUGGUUACAAACAGCAACACGUGCAGGUUAAAUUCCUCCUAUUUGUGCUCAUCCCACACACGUACACCAUUUCCAUUCCACAGCUGUAAAAGUUCUUCAACUAAUGGCCUUAGGUACACAUCAAUGUCGUUGUCGGGUUGCUUAGGGCCUUGGAUGAGAACUGGCAUCAUAAUGAACUUCUGCUUCAUGCACAUCCAAGGAGGAAGGUUAUACAUACAUAGAGUCACGGGCCAGGUGCUGUGAUUGCUGCUCUGCUCCCCGAAAGGAUUAAUGCCAUCCAAGCUUAAACCAAACCAUACGUUCCUUGGGUCACCUGCAAACUCAGCCCAGUACUUUCUCUCGAUUUUUCUCCACUGCGACCCGUCAGCGGGUGCUCUCAACUUCCCGUAUUUCUUACGGUCCUCUCUGUCAACUUGGCAUGCUCUUCGUUUCUAAACACACGUUUCAACCAUGGUAUUAUAGGAGCAUACCACAUCACCUUCGCAGGAACCCUCUUCCUGGGGGGCUCACCGUCAACAUCACCAGAGUCAUCUCGUCUGAUCUUAUACCGCAAUGCACCGCAUACCGGGCAUGCGUUCAAAUCCUCAUACACACCGCGGUAGAGGAUGCAGUCAUUAGGGCAUACAUGUAUCUUCUGCACCUCCAAUCCUAGAGGGCAUACAACCUUCUUUGCUGCGUACGCACUGUCGGGCAAUUCGUUAUCCUUUGGAAGCUUCUUCUUCAAUAUUUUCAGUAGCUUCUCAAAUCCUUUGUCAGGCACAGAAUUCUCUGCCUUUCACUGCAGCAAUUCCAGUACAGUAGCGAGCUUUGUUUUGCCAUCUUCGCAAUUGGGGUACAACCCUUUUUUGUGAUCCUCUAACAUGCGAUCGAACUUCAGCUUCUCCUUUUGACUUUCGCAUUGUGUCCUUGCAUCGACAAUGACCUGGCGGAGAUCAUCAUCAUCGGGCACAUCGUCUGGUUCCUCUUGAUCUUCAGCAGCUUCCCCCGUUGCAGCAUCACCGUAUUCAGGGGGCACAUAGUUGUCAUCAUCCUCUUCUUCUUUGCUGUCUUCCAUCAUAACCCAUAUUUCUCCGUGCUUUGUCCAAACAUUAUAGUGUGGCAUGAAACCCUUAUAAAGCAGGUGGGUGUGAAGGAUUUUCCGGUCAGAGUAAGACUUCGUAUUCCCACAAUUAGGGCAUGGACAACACAUAAAACCAUUCUGCUUGUUUGCCUCAGCCACUUCGAGAAAAUUAUGCAGGCCCUUAUGAAAGUGCUGGUUAUCGACUAGAGGGGGGGUGAAUAGGCGAUUUUUACGAAAGUCUUCAGAACAUGAGAGUUUCGAAGACAAACAACAGAAAUGAACCUAUUGAUAUGCAACGGAAGGUAGACUACACUAAGCAAGCCAUAGUCAAGUAUUCAAUGAAGUGAAAGCACGAAGACUAAUAGCAGCUAGGUAGUAGAGAUCAGGAUGGACGAUAGUAUGAAGCCAAACAACUAUAGUAGUCACACAGUGAAGUCAAACAGGUAGUGCAAGUAGGCAAUGACUUCACGAAGACAAACUAUAAGUAAAGAGAGGGAGAGGAUAGAACCAGUCACUUGGUGAGGACAAGGAUUUGUUGGACCAGUUCUAGUUGCUGUGACAACUGUACGUCUGGUUAGGGAGGCUGAGAUUUAACUCAGAAGACCGUAUCUUCACCUUAUUCCCCAUGAGCUAAGGACACCCAGUCCUCGGCCAAUCACUCUGGUAAGUCUUCAAGGUAGACUUCCAAACCUUCACAGACUUCGUUCACCGGCGAUCCACAAUGACUCUUGGAUGCUCAGAACGCGACGCCUAACCGGCUGGAGGAUUCACAGUCCUCAAGUGUAACAAGUCUUCAGGUCACGCGGACAGAAAGACUUCAGUGAUGCCUAACACUCUUUGGCUCUGGGUGUUUGGGCUUUGUUCUCGCAAGGAUUUCUCCCUCUCAAAAGCUUCGGAGGUGGGUUGCUCUCAAACGACAAAAGCCGUGCACUAACUCUGAGCAGCCACCAAUUUAUGGUGUAGGGGGUGGGCUAUUUAUAGCCACUAGGCAACCCGACCUGAUUUGUCCGAAAUGACCCUGGGUCACUAAGGAACUGACACGUGUUCCAACGGUCAGGUUUCAAACACACGCGGCAGCUUGACUUGAGCUACAAGUAAAGCUGACUCAUCCAACUCUGGAUAAGAUUUGCUCUCAUUGUCUUCGCUCGAAGACAUAGGUUUUGGUUGAGCAUCACUUCAGUCACUCUGACUUUGUUCACUGGGACCCCUCUUAACAGUACGGUGGUUCCUAUGACUCAACAAAGAAGAAAAGGAAACAAGGAAACAACUAAGUCUUCGCGCUCCAUAGUCUUCACACAAUGUCUUCUCUUGUCAUAGUCUUCAAUGUGAAUAUCUUCACAUACCACCAUUGUCUUCAAUGUCUUCAUACAUUUUUAGGGGUCAUCUCCGGUAGGUAAACCGAAUCAAUGAGGGACUACUACCUAUGUUAUCCUGCAAUUCUCACAAACACAUUAGUCCCUCAACCAGGUUUGUCGUCAAUACUCUAAAACCAACUAGGGUGGCACUAGAUACACUUACAAUCUCCCCCUUUUUGGUUAUUGAUGACAAACUGGUUGAAGUUUUCAACGGGGAUAAAAGUAUGUGAAAUUGUAAAGGAUAAAGGUAUUGUCUUCAUAAGUAGCAAAAGGCUCCCCCUGAAGAUGUUCAUAUAAGUAAUUUGCUUUUGGAAUGCAAAUGCACAUGGCAGGUUGUACUUGUGGAGAUCCUCUUCAACUUAUGAAGACAAUUCAUCAUGCAUGAUUUGAUAUAACAAAGAUAAUGACAUGCAUAAUGAAAAAUGGACGUCUGCAAUAUGACUUCGUGCGGGAUUUAUCAUCGCACAUGCGGAAUUUAUCAUCGCAUCACAGAAUAGCAAACAAGUAGCAGACGACCAUCAAGUUUAAGUGUUACAACUCAAAGAACCAAAUGUAUCAAAAGCGAGAGUUGUAAGCACUUGGCAAAAUAUAAAGCAACCGCCCAUAUGGACCCGCUUGAAGACUAUCAACUCAUAUGCUUCUCCCCCUUUUGUCAGUAAGGACCAAAAAGGUUUGAAGACAUAGAGCCUCUACUCGUUCCCAGAAGGAGUAGGAGAAGCUCCAGGGUCGGCGUCGGGGUUUGGCGGUGCAGAAGAACUUGGUGCAGUGUCGACACGCGCUGAGGUUGGAGGAGGUGAAGUAGCAUCAUCUUGAUCAUCUAUGACUCUGGCAUUCACCGUUGCAGCUGAGGAGGAAUAGUCAGAGUCUUCAAGAGACAGAGUUCGACGCAAGACAGCAUUCCUUGGAGGAGUGGAGUCAAACUUGAAUCUUUCAGUGAAGCCAUCGUCUUGAAGAUCUGCUUCAGCACUCAGGAAUGUCAAACUCUUCCAUGACCUCCGACAAGUUUCAUGAGUGACAAAGGCAUUCUUGGUGGCAAGAUUGCGAAUGCGAUUGACAUCCACCAAGAGACUUUGCAUCUGUCGCUUCAGCCAGUAGUGAUGCUUAUCUUGUUUCUGAUGAAGGGCAACGAGAAGCUCUCGGUCAUUGAGAACACGAGAUUGCUUACGAGGCCUUUGUGCAAUAGUGCUUUCAGUGGCUUCAAUUUGAGCAUGGUGAGGUAGACAUGUAUUGCCAGCCAAAGGAUAAACACGAGUGACGGCCUGGACUCCUUCAACGGGCUGUGUGAAGCUUUGGUGAUCAGCAUUGUGAAGACAAACAGGCUCCUUGGCAGGCUGGGGGUAUAUGGCUUCAACUGACAUAUCAACCUCUGGCAGAAAGAUCAGAUGGUUGUGAGCAGAGGGCUGAUAGUUGACAGCUGAAUGAACCUUGAUGAGGCGCAUAAUCCAUGGAGCGUAGAACUUCAGUCCAAAGAGAUCAAACCCUGAUGCAGCCAACUGCCUGAUAAAGAAGUCUUGAGCAUUGAAGCUGAUGCCAUUGAAGAUAUAAAAUACCAAAGUCUUCAUUGCUCCUUCAAGUUUCGCUGCUGAAGAAUGUCCUUUGACAGGCCAUAGAGUUCGCCUGAUGAUAUGAUAAAUAGUGCGGGGCAGAUACUCUAGGUCUUCAACAAAGAACUCCUUUGGGUAAUCAGCGUCAUAUCAACAUGGACUCAGCAUGUUGGGCUCAAUGAACUCCUUUGGGUAAUAGUGCGGGGCAGAGGCUUCAUCAUGCUCAGCAUUUGGCUCAUGUUGGGCUCUGGCUUCUGAAAGAUGCUCUCCAAUGCAUUGCGGUGAAGCUGACAACCAGGUUCAUAUAGUUCACCUGGAGUGUGCAGACCAGUGAGCUCAAUGAGGUCAAGAGCUUUGGCUUCAUGAUGGAUAUUGCCUGUCAUCCACUCAAGGACCCAAGUCUUCGGAUCCCUGUUGUAGCCGCGAAUGUGGAGGGUAGCAUAAAAUUGUAGCAGUAGCUCUUCAUUCUAAUGCUCCUUAUCAGUCACAAAGUUCAGCAGUCCAGCAUCACGGAAGCAAUCAAGGGCUUCUUCAAGGCAUGGCAAUCCAGCAAUGGCUUCACAGUCAAGACGCAUAUGAGGGAAGAUCCGCCCUUGAUCAUAGAGAACACAUGAGUAGUAGCUGCGCUGCUGAUAGCUCCAGAACCGAUCAGAUGAAAUCCUUGACUUGGAAUAGGGGUUCUUGGCGCUAUCAAAGAAAGUGUUGUGCGCAAUGAAGCCAUUUGCAUUGAAGGACCCUGGUGAAGUAGCAGUACCUGGAAACCUGGGCAGUCUUGGCUUUGGCUUGUGGACCUGAGGCCUGUGCUCGACAUGAUAGUCAAAUUGCGGACCAGCAGCAGGAGAAGGAACCAGAAUGGGCCAUCUGACAGUGACCAGCUGACCAUAAUUGUAUGCUUGCUUGAUAGUAUGUGGCCUAGGAGGCGGUACAGGAGCAGGGGCAGUGGCAGUGGCUUCAGGCUGCAGAUUUGCAUCGGGUGCAGCAUUGGCUUCAGGUGCAAUCACUUCGGGCACCACAUUAACUUCAGGUGCCACAUGAUCGUCAGCCAUGACAACGUCAUUGGCUUCAGUGUUGGAGUUGGUGGUCGCCUCAAUGUUGUUAACCUCCACUUGAGUAGCUGGAGGGUCGGACACGUUCUCCUCGAGAACAACUUCAGGGUUGGUUGGGGGUGUAGCAACACGAUCUUCUUCAACUCUUGGUUCUUCUUGGUCAUCGGCUGAUGCAGCCGGAAUAUCUUCAGCCGCGUUGGCUUCAGACUCGGAGUUGUUCACAGUUGGAGAGGCUUCAGGAAAUACUUGGCGUGAUACCGAUUGGCGCUCCUCUCCUUCUGGAACACUCGACAAAGUGACUUGAGGCCUUGGUCCUUUACGAAGCCUGCGGAAAGCUGGCGACGCUUGUGGAGAUGGAGUAGGUUGGGCCUCAAGGUCAUCAUCUUCAAGCACCGGAGCGGUGACUUGAGUUGGGGGGGUAGUUGGUGUUUCUUCUUCACGGGGUGAGUUUUGUGGGUGAUCAGCCCAUGAGUCAUCCUGAGCAAUUGGCCUCAAAGGAUGACCUGAUGAGUUCGCUGUUCAGGAGAACAGGCGAUGAUACCACAUUGUGCUCGAUCUGAGGAAGGACUUCAUCAUCUUCAACAUUGUCUUGAUGACCAAUGUCUUCAGCUGCGGUGGGGUCAAUAGCUGGAAUGUCUUCAGCUUCAGGAGCCUCUGGGGAAGCAGGCUCAUGAACUAUCAAACGGCGCUCUUGUUGUGCAGAUGCAGGACGAGCAACAGAAAUUGGCUCGACGACAAGGGGCUCUGUGGGAGCAGCCCGAUCUUUCUUCUUGGUUUUACGCUUCUUGGUGGGUGGAGCAUCGUCAGUGGUGUUCUUGGUCUUGCACUUUCUGGCUUUGGCUUCAGCUGCCCUUGUCUUCUGAAGCUUUGAAGCCACUGUGGGAACCUUAGGCUUCAUGCCUGUCAUACUGGCUGGGAAGACAAUGCGAGGUUCUUCCCGCCUGGAUGGUUCAGCUUGGUCCACAGUAGGCUUCUUCUGCUUGGCAGCCAUCUUGGGGUCGAUGCCAGGACGCCCAAGUGCCUUGCGCUUCUCAGCUUCAUUGUAAGCUUGAACACACUUUGCAGCCAGAAGCUUCAUUCACUCUCAAGAACCUUUGGCUUCUUCACGUUUCUUGUGAAACGCUUCCUUGAGCUCAUGCAGCAUGGUCUUGAAGUUUUGGACGUCUGUCAUGCUGAACUUGGCCACAUGCUUCUUUAACUGAGCCUUUUCAUAAUCAAUCUUGUGCUUCAGCUCAACAAUUUUCUGAGCAAGAGCCAGCUCAGGAGCAAUGGCGCCAUGGAAGGAGACGCUUAGGCCAACGGGAAGUUGCAGAUCAUCAAAGCUGAGAUUGGGAGUGUCAAACCACUCGUCAAUGAAAUUGUUUAACACUUCCAUGUCAAAGAGAGGCAAACCAUUGAAGAUUUCCGCCUCUUGCUUGCUCUUUAUCAGCAGUUCAAGAGCGUCAUCAGCAAGAUCGUCGUCACUCGACAGAUCAAUAGCGUCGUUCUCAUUCCUUAGAACAGCAGCAGGAGUCAGAGCUGGACCAGUGGUGUGCAUGAGCUUCUUUUUCUGCUUCUCAGACUUGGAGAUGCGUGAGAGAUCUUCUGACUGCACACUUGGUGCAGGAGGAGCAGUGGCCAGAGGCUUCGCUCGCGAAGCUUUUGGUGCAGGGGAAGGCUUCGAAGCCUUGGGUUUCUUCAGCUUCUUAGGCGUCGGUGGAGCAGGCGCUUCGUCAGAAUUAGCGUCAUCUGCAGGUUGAUCCACGGCUAUCCCUUGAACCAAAAUGUGGGUGAUGAGACCUUCUAGGUUGUAGAAGGGCCCAACAAGAUUGGGUUCAGCUUCGCGUGUGCCAUCGGCACGAGGAGUAGAGGGACCAGGGUUGAAGUCUAAUCCCCGCGACUUCUUGUUCUCUUUGGCCGAUUUCUUGGCAAACUAAAGGUUGCGCUUAAACAGAUUGUCGUCACGACACCAUAGCAAUGAAGAUGGGUCGGCAUCAGCUGGCUGUGGUCCACGGACCAUGCAAGGGUAGAAGCCUUGUUCAAUGGCUUCAGCUCUGGAUCUAGGUGGAAGAUUUUUGUACAAGAUGUCUCCCCAGGGUCGCUUGAUGGCAUUCUUCUCAGCAUAUUCCUGGGUCACGAACCUGUACUUGUACCAUUGUUCUGCCCAAUAUCUUCGAAUCCAUUGGAUUCGGGUUUUUCGUUGAUUGUAAUCCUCUUCUGGAUCUAUCUUGUACAGCUCAUAGAGGUCUGGUGGCAAAUCCUUCGAUGUAUUCCCACGGCGCUGUCUGCCACCCUUCCUUGCUGACUUAUCUGUUGCCAUGAAGUUCAAACUGAAUGGCUUCAAAACUGUCAAAGGCUUCCGUCUGCUGGUCAGACAGGAACUGGCUUCGGGAGAGUUGAUAUGAUGCUGUAAGAAUUCUGCAAAUGAAUGCAGACUAUGAGAACCAAGGGAUUCUCCCACGGACAUGUACCUGUGACAGCAUUAGAGCUGCGAGGGAAGGGGAAGAGGUCAUAUGCAUUCUCAGAAGAUUUUGAAGAUAAAUCAGUUUAGAAGACAUUGACCUCAUAGCACGAAGACAUUCACUUAUAUGUUGUGAGUUGAUUCCAGAUUUGUAUGAAUCCAAGAAUAAGUACAAGUGAGGAAUCUAACUACGUGUGAAGCAUAAGUGAAUAUACUUGGCAUCAUAUGAGAUGCAGAACAGGGUAGAUCCAAAUUUGUGGAGGCAGAAACAACUUUUGGUAGAAAGGAUGAAUCUUUCGGAUCAAAAAGACGGUAAAAAGAGAGUUUUAAUUUACCACACGAUGAACUGCUAGACGGAGUAGAAGAUGAGGCCGAGCAGUUCGAUCUUCCGUGCCCUAACUUGGCGACGGAGGACACCUAUGGCGGCGGUGGAGAAGACGAUGUCCGCGGCCGGCGUGAAGACGGCGUCGGUGAGGUCGCGACAGCUAAGCGCUUCGUCGCCGGCGUCGUUGAGAGCUAGCGGUGGCGCUAGGGUUUGUUGGGGUGGAGAGGUGGAAGAAGUAUUUUGACCGCAAUGUUAUGUGUAUUUAUAAGGAGAGGGACGACACAGCACAAUUACGCAGGUGCCCCUGGAGGUUCACAUCUGAGGGACACGUGGCGAACAUGCAACACAUUGGAAGUUGUCCAUGUUCCCACGCACGCCUGGACUGUCGGGUGGUCGUUCCGGCUUCUCCGGGUUUCAGGCAAUAAGAAUUGAGCAUUUAAAAUAGAUUUAAUGUUUGUCUCUGUAUCUUGUGCUGACAAGGACGCAGAGAAGACAUUCGACAGUUUCAACAGAAUGCAUAUGAUUUGGAUAGAUAGAGUUUGAGAUAGGAAGCAUAGAGAGGUUAGGGUCCGAUCACAUUCACUUAGUUCAAAAGUUUCAAACGAGAAGACAUAGCUAUAAGUGAAUGCUGUAGAGGACAGAACACUAAUAUAUGUAUAUAUCAGAAAAAGACCAAAUCAACAUUGUGAAGAUAAACAUGAAGUCAUGUUGAUAUUGAAGACAAACCAAACGCGAAGACAUAGCAAAUGUAACGCCAUGAGAAAAACACUUCAAAAAGAAGAAUUUGGUGGUGGCGUUACCCACCGUAUAGGAAGUAUUAGACCCAGACAUGGCGCACAAUUAUCGUGGCGCUCCGAAGUCAAAUUCCGCAUUAAUGUAUUCACACCCAGAGUGUAAGUCUUCAUUGAUUGAAGACAUACAUUACUUUGUGUGUUGCACAUCUAAGUCAUCAACAUGCAUAAGUGUUAGGAUGUGUGCCUGAUCACAAGACAUUCGAGGAUUCCAAGAUAUUUAGCUCACACCGCAACUUGCAAACCUUUUCUCAUCCAAGGGCUUUGUGAAGAUAUCUGCCAAUUGCUCUUCAGUGUUGACGUGUAUGAUAUCAAUAUCUUCCUUCAUGACAUGAUCUCUGAGAAAGUGAUGACGAAUUUCAAUGUGCUUUGUCUUCGAGUGCUGAACUGGGUUGUUGGCAAUCUUGAUGGCGCUUUCGUUGUCGCAGUAGAGUGGUACUUGCUUCAGAUGGAUGCCAUAGUCCUUAAGUGUGUGCUUCAUCCAUAGAAGCUGAGCGCAGCAAGAUCCAGCAGCAAUGUAUUCGGAUUCAGCAGUGGAGAGUGAUACACAGUUCUGCUUCUUUGAAGACCAACAGACAAGUGAUCGUCCCAGAAAGUGACAUGUGCCUGAUGUAGACUUGCGAUCCACCUUGUCACCAGCAUAAUCAGCAUCCGAGAAUCCAACUAGAUCAAUCUCUGAGCCCUUUGGAUACCAUAAUCCUAAUGUUGGGGUGUAAGCCAAAUAUCGAAGUAUUCGCUUCACAGCUAAGUGAUGCGAUUCCUUUGGUGCCGCUUGGAAUCGAGCACACAUGCAAACACUAAGCAUGAUAUCUGGCCUAGAUGCACAUAAAUAAAGUAAAGAACCAAUCAUGGAGCGGUAUACCUUUUGAUCAAACUCUUUACCAUUGGCGUCAGGACUCAGAUGACUCUUGGUUGGCAUUGGCGUCGUAUAACCUUUGCAGUCUUGCAUUCCAAACUUCUUCAGGCAACCUUUGAGAUACUUCUCUUGAGAUAUGAUGAUGCCAUUGCUUUUCUGACGAAUUUGAAGACCAAGGAAGAACUUCAGCUCACCCAUCAUGGACAUCUGAUAUUGCUCUUGCAUCAUAUGUCCAAACUCAUCACUGUAUUUCUGGUUGGUGCAGCCGAAGACAAUGUCAUCCACAUAUAUUUGGCACACAAACAGUUCACCAUCAUAUGUCUUCGUGAAGAGUGUGGGAUCCAGGGAACCAGGUUUGAAGCCUUUGCUCUUCAGGAAGUCUUUGAGUGUGUCAUACCAAGCGCGAGGGGCUUGUUUGAGGCCAUACAGUGCCUUGUUUAGCUUGUACACCAUAUGAGGAUGUUUUGGAUCUUCAAAGCUAGGAGGUUGUGCAACAUACACUUCUUCUUCAAUCUUUCCGUUGAGAAAAGCACUCUUUACAUCCAUUUGAUACAGCAGGAUGUUGUGAUGAUUUGCAUAGGCUAGUAAUAUACGAAUAGCUUCAAGUCUAGCCACAGGAGCAUAUGUUGCAUCGAAGUCAAUCCCUCAACUUGAGUGUAUCCUUGAGCAACGAGGCGAGCCUUGUUUCUGACAACUUGACCAUGCUCAUCUUGCUUGUUGCGAUAUAUCCAUUUUGUGCCUAUUAUGUUGUGCUUGCGGGGGUCAGGACGCUUGACAAGUUCCCAGACAUUGUUCAGCUUGAACUGUUGAAGCUCUUCUUGCAUAGCUUGAAUCCAUUCAGGCUCCAUGAAGGCUUCAGCAACUUUCUUGGGUUCAGAUAUUGAGACAAAUGCAAAGUGCCCACAGAAAUUUGCUAGCUGUGUUGCUAUCAAUUAUCUUCUCAAUCUGUACUUCAUUUGCAACUCGAGGAUGAACUGGACGAAGAUUUUGCUCUUGCUGAUCAUUGUCAUCAUUUGGAGGAUUGUCUUCAGGCUGAGCAUUGUCUUCAGGUUGAUUAGGUGCAGAAAUGAUAAGUUCCUCUUCAGGUUGUGCUUCAUUUGGUAUGAUUUCUCCAGUUCCCAUGAGCUUGAUGGAUUCACUAGGUGGAACUUCAUCUAGCACAUUUGGCAGGUGCUCUCUUUGCGAGCCGUUAGUCUCAUCGAACCGCACAUCCAUAGUUUCAACCACUUUAUAGUGAAAGAGGUUGAAGACUCUGUAGGAGUGCGAAUCCUUUUCGUAACCAAGCAUAAAACCUUCAUGUGCUUUAGGUGCAAAUUUUGAAGUGUGAUGUGGAUCCUUGAUCUAGCACCUAGCACCAAAUACUCUGAAGUAACUGACAUUUGGCUUCUUACCAGUGAGGAGUUCAUAGGAUGUUUUCUUCAGAAGCUUGUGAAGAUAAACACGGUUGAUGACAUGGCAUGCAGUAUCAAUAGCUUCAGGCUAGAACUUUCUUGGAGUCUUGUAUUCAUCGAGCAUCGUCCGAGCCAUCUCAAUGAGUGUUCUAUUCUUGCGCUCCAUGAUGCCAUUCUGCUGAGGUGUGUACGGAGCUAAGAACUCAUGAGUGAUGCCCAAUGUAUCCAGGUAAAGAUCGAGGCCGGUGUUCUUGAACUCUGUGCCGUUGUCACUUCUGAUAUGCUUGAUCUUGACGCCAUAAUUGUUCAUGGCACGGUUGGCGAAGCGUCCGAAGACAUCCUGCACUUCAGUCUUGUAGAGAAUUAUGUGCACCCACGUAUAUCUUGAAUAAUCAUCAACAAUGACGAAGCCAUAGAGACAAGCAGUAGUAGUGAGAGUAGAGUAGUGAGUAGGGCCAAAUAAGUCCAUGUGUAGCAGCUCGAAGGGUUGAGAUGUCGUCAUGAUUGUCUUCGAGGGAUGCUUGGCCCUUGUCAUCUUUCCAGCUUCGCAGGCACCGCACAAGUGAUCCUUCUUGAACUUGACACCCUCGAUGCCUAUGACAUGCUUCUUCUUUGCGAGAGUGUGUAAGUUCCUCAUGCCAGCAUGCCCUAGCCUUCGAUGCCAGAGCCAGCACUCUGAAGCUUUUGCUAGAAGACAUACGGCAAGCUGUGGACCUGAUGAGAAAUCUACCAUGUACAGAUCAUCUUUUCGGUACCCUUCAAAGACUAGAGAUUUAUCAGAUUCCAUUAGUACAAGGCAACGAUAUUUUCCAAAUAUCACAAUCAUGUUCAAAUCGCAAAGCAUUGAGACAGACAUUAAGUUGAAGCCAAGGGAUUCAACAAGCAUCACUUUAUCCAUGUGCUGAUCCUUUGAGAUUGCAACUCUACCUAGACCCAAUACCUUGCUUUUACCAGUGUCAGCAAAUGUGAUGUGACUCUUGUCAGAUGGACGUAAGGUUGAGUCCAUGAGAAGACUUCGAUCACCAGUCAUAUGAUUAGUGCAUCCGCUGUGUCCAUAAUCCAUUCUGAAGCAUGAGGUGUCAUACCCUACAGUACAGUUAGGGGGAUAGGCUUCACCAAGAGUAUUGUGAAGCAUAAACAUUUGACGGGCAAGAGGAUUAUCAAAGCUCAGAUCAAGAUUAGGACUGAUAGGGUGAUUGGCAAACGAUUCAGGAACAAAAUACAUAGUAAGACCAUUUGGGCAUUUGAUCUUACGCCCUACAAGAUGUUUUAGGUCCCCAGCAAUAGCAUCAGACGCCUUUGAUUUCCGGCUGGAGACCUUUCCCUGCAAAAGAAAGUUAAUUCUUCUUAACCACCCACAUCUUCACGGGUGGCUUAGCAGCAAUGAGUCUAAGUGCAGCAUCUGAGAACUUCGGCUUUGGAGCCCUAGCAAAUAGCCUUGCAGGAGAUGAAUGAUACUCAUAUGAAUAAGCAGGAAAGUUCUUAGUUUUAUGAACAUAGCGGUUUGAAGACACACGCUCAUAUUCAUAAGUUUGAGUAUGAUUUCCCUGCAAAACAUUGGCGUUAGGGUGACUCAGUUGAGUCCUGUAUCUGUAUGAAGCCUUUGGAACGUAUGAAGCUGUUGGUCUGGGAUUUUUCUUCUUCCCGGGCGGUGUCAUGAUGACAUUCACAGGAAGAUUCUCAAGACAACUUUUGGUAACCCAGAUCUUCUUCAUAGGUGGCCCAUUCCUGCAGUUAGUACCAAUAUACUUGGCAAACACUUCACCAUUCUGAUUCUUAAACAGUUUAUAGUUUGCAUCAAAGGAUUCAUCAAUGAUAAUAGGAUUAGCACAAGUGAAGCCAGAUAAGGUGGAUGGAUCCACUGAAGGUCCCUUUGUAGCAACCCAUGUGGUUUUGGGGUACUGCUCAGGCUUCCAGUAGGAGCCAUCAACAUUCAUUUUCCUUUCGAACCCAACACCCUCUUUCCUAGGGUUUCGGUUCAGAAUCUGCUUUUUGAGGACAUCGCACAGUGUCUGAUGCCCUUUGAGACUUUUGUAGAUCCCUGUUUCAAGCAAUGUCUUCAACCUAGCAUUUUCAUCAGCAAUAGUAGUGGUAUCCUCAGCAGAGGGGUUAGUUACCACAUCAACAGUUGAAGACAUUGCAACAGUAGCAGCAGUAGAACAUUCUGCAAUAGAAGUAACGUUAUCACGCUCAAGGCAUUUUAGACAUGGUGGUUCAAAUCCUUCCUGAGCGGGACUGAUCUGUUGAGCGCGAAGUGACUCAUUCUCUUUUUGAAGAUCUUCAUGAGCCGAUCUCAAUUUCUCAAGCUCUUGCUUCCUUUGAAGAUAAUCAUAGGGAAGCUUUUCAUGAGUGGUUGAGAGCGUUUCAUGACGACUUUCAAGUUCCUGGUACUUAACAUGAAGAUUUUUUAUGUCUUCAAUUAAGGACUAAGAACGGGUCAUUUCCGCGUCCAACAGGUCAUCGCUUUUGUCUAACAGUUUUUGAGUAUGUUCCAUAGCUUUUUGUUGUUCAGUUGCAAUUUUAGCAAGUGUUUUAUAGCUGGGUUUGGAUUCACAAUCAGAGUCAUCUUCACUUGAUGUUUGAAAGUAAGCAUCACGUGAUUUUACCUUGUCACCAUGUGCCAUGAAGCAGUAGGUGGGAGCAGAGUCGUCCUUGUCAUUAGCAUCAGCGUUGGUGACGGGGCCAUUGUCUUCAGUGUUGAAGAUGGACUUGGCAAUGUAGGCUGUAGCUAGAGCCAGACUUGCAACGCCAGGGUCGGACUCCUCCUCAGACUCCACCUCCGCCUCCUCAGAAGCAGACUCCUCCUCUGAAUCCAUCUCCUUGCCAACAAAAGCAUGAGCCUUGCCAGAUGAGCUCUUCUUAUGAGAUGAAGACUUGGAUGAGGACUUGGAAGAAGACUUUGAGGAUUUCUUCUUCUUGUCAUCAGAAUCAUAUUCCUUGCUCUUCUUCUUCUUGUUGUUCUCAUUGUCCCACUGUGGACACUCAAAGAUGUAGUGUCCAGGUUUCUUGCACUUGUGACAUGUUCUCUUCUUGUAGUCAUGAGUGGAAGCUUCAUCAUUUCUUGAGCUGGAUCGUGAAGACUUUCUGAAGCCCUUCUUCUUAGUGAACUUCUGGAACUUCUUCACAAGCAUAGCAAGCUCCUUCCCAAUGUCUUCAGGAUCACCAGAACUAUAGUCAUAUCCUUCUUCAGAUGAGGAAACAGCUUUUGCCUUCAAAGCACGAGUUCGGCCAUAGUUGGGACCAUAGAUAUCUCUUUUCUCAAAUAGCUGGAACUCAUGUGUGUUGAGCCUCUCUAGUAUGUCAGAGGGAUCGAGUGUCUUGAAGUCAGGGCGUUCUUGUAUCAUCAGGGCAAGGGUGUCGAAUGAGGUGUCAAGUGAUCUCAGCAGUGUCUUGACGAUUUCAUGCUUGGUAAUCUCAGUGGCGCCGAGAGCACGAAGCUCAUUUGUGAUGUCAGUGAGGCGAUCAAACGUGAGCUGGACAUUCUCAUUGUCGUUUCUCUUGAAGAGGUUGCGAAGAACACUGAUCCUUUGAUCUCUCUGGGUUGAGACGCCUUCGUUGACCUUGGAGAGCCAGUCCCAGACUAGCUUCAACGUUUCCAGAGCACUCACACGGCCAUACUGUCCUUUGGUCAGAUGACCACAGAUGAUGUUCUUGGCAGUAGAAUCCAGUUGAAUGAACUUCUUGACAUCAGCAGGGGUGACACCUUCACCAGUCUUGGGGACACCAUUCUCGACGACAUACCAGAGGUCGACAUCAAUGGCUUCAAGAUGCAUGCGCAUCUUAUUCUUCCAGUAGGGAUAUUCAGUUCCAUCGAAGACGGGGCAAGCAGCGAAGACUUUGAUUAUCCUUGCAGUCGACAUAGCUAAAACUCCAGGUGGUUAAACUGAAUCACACAGAACAAGGGAGUACCAAGCUCUGAUACCAAUUGAAAGUGCUAGUUAUCGACUAGAGGGGGGUGAAUAGGCGAUUUUUAUGAAAGUCUUCAGAACAUGAGAGUUUCGAAGACAAACAUAGAUGAACCUAUUGAUAUGCAGCGGAAGAUAGACUACACUAAGCAAGCCAUAGUCAAGUAUUCAAUAAAGUGAAAGCACGAAGACUAAUAGCAGCUAGGUAGUAAAGAUCAGGAUGGAAGAUAGUAUGAAGCCAAACAACGAUAUUAGUCACAAAGUGAAGUCAAACAGGUAGUGCAAGCAGGCAAUGACUUCACGAAGACAAACUGUAAGUAAAGAGAGGGAGAGGAUAGAACCAGUCACUUGGUGAGGACAAGGAUUUGUUGGACCAGUUCCAGUUGCUGUGACACCUGUACGUCUGGUUAGGGAGGCUGAGAUUUAACUCAGAAGACUGUGUCUUCACCUUAUUCCCCUUGAGCUAAGGACACCCAGUGCUCGCCCAAUCACUCUGGUAAGUCUUCAAGGUAGACUUCCAAACCUUCACAGACUUCGUUCACCGGCGAUCCACAAUGACUCUUGGAUGCUCAGAACGCGACGCCUAACCGGCUGGAGGAUUCACAGUCCUCAAGUGUAACAAGUCUUCAGGUCACGCGGACAGAAAGACUUCAGUGAUGCCUAACACUCUUUGGCUCUGGGUGUUUGGGCUUUGUCCUCGCAGGGAUUUCUCUCUCUCAAAAGCUUCGGAGGUGGGUUGCUCUCAAAGGACAAAAGUCGUGCACUAACUCUGAGCAGCCACCAAUUUAUGGUGUAGGGGUGGGCUAUUUAUAGCCACUAGGCAACCCGACCUGAUUUGUCUGAAAUGACCCUGGGUCACUAAGGAACUGACACGUGUUCCAACGGUCAGAUUUCAAACACACGCGGCAGCUUGACUUGAGCUACAAGUAAAGCUGACUCAUCCAACUCUGGAUAAGAUUUGCUCUCAUUGUCUUCGCUCGAAGACAUAGGUUUUGGUUGAGCAUCACUUCAGUCACUCUGACUUUGUUCACUGGGACCCCACUUAACAGUACGGUGGUUCCUAUGACUCAACAAAGAAGAAAAGGAAACAACGAAACAACUAAGUCUUCGCGCUCCAUAGUCUUCACGCAAUGUCUUCUCUUGUCAUAGUCUUCAAUGUGAAUAUCUUCACAUACCACCAUUGUCUUCAAUGUCUUCAUACACUUUUAGGGGUCAUCUCGGUAGGUAAAUCGAAUCAAUGAGGGACUACUACCUGUGUUAUCCUGCAAUUCUCACAAACACAUUAGUCCCUCACCCAGGUUUGUCGUCAAUACUCCAAAACCAACUAGGGGUGGCACUAGAUGCACUUACACCUUAAUGUACCCGGAGGUGUGUCUGUCACCGUACAUCCAUUGCCAGUUCAUCUGCGUGCGUUAUAUAUAAUUAUGUGUGUCAAAAGUAAGAAAAUUAGACAAGUAUCUAUCUAAAGUAAGAAUUUUUUUCUUUCAGAAAGAAGAUAAGAACAAGAGGCUCACCACGGUGGUUCCGGCGACGAGAUCAGCGCGGGCGAUCGACGGUGGUGAAGACGGGGACGAGACGUGACACACCGCUAAACCUAGACAAAUCUCGGGAAAAAUAGAGCUCGGAGGUCGUGUUUCGAGAGGAGAAAGCUUAACUAGUGUGGCUCGGGCAUUUGAUCGAAGACCUCAUGUGCAUAGGAGGUGAGCUAGAGCGCCACAAAGCUCUCCCCUCGUCGGCCAGAAAAAACAAAGCAGUGGAGUGCUCUGCUCGCCGGCGAGGGGGUAUAUAUAGCCACCUCAUUGGUCCCGGUUCGUGGCUGGAACCGGGACUAAAGGCCACCCUUCUGUCCCGGUUCUAGGCACGAACCGGGACCAAUGGCUGUGGGCCAGGAGCGAGGACCAUUGCUCCCGGUUCGUGCCUAGAACCGGGACAAAUGGGUCCACACGAACCGGGACAAAUGCCCCCGAGGCCCGGCCGGCCCCCUGGGCGCACGAACCGGGACGUAUGCCCCCCAUGGGUCCCGGUUCAUGCAGAACCGGGACUAAUGGGCUGGCCGGGCCCCAACCAAAGCCCUGUUUUCUACUAGUGUUGGCCCGUCUUAACCUGACUGCGUGACUCGCACUGGGGAUGCCAAGACUUCCUACAUGGGUGUCUUUGCCUCGGUAUGAGACCUAUAAAGUCGUCACUCCUCCCCAUAGGUGAUUCACCUACAUCAUGGCCCUUAGGGUGUGUGUCCAUGCUGUCUUCACUCGACGGCUUCGAGGCUGAAGUCCCCCCAGUGUCUGUUCCUCCUUCAUGAGGUCCAUGAGAGUUUUACACCGAGAUAUUCCAUGAGAACCAGUCAUUUGGAACUAGCACGAGUUGUGGAAAGCGCUCUUGUCCUGGACAUCGGGUCUGGCGGUUGUCACUUCUUCAACCAUGGCUUGUGUUGCCUAAAUGGGUCUCCCAGCGUGGGCAGGUCGACUCGACUGAACCCGCCUAGCAUGUUCAAGCCGCACAUAUGCUGAUUUUGUGGGCGCUUGUCAUCCCGCAAGUGUAGGGGAUCAAUUGUAGAUCUUUCGAUAAGUAGAAGUAUCAAUCCCACGAGAAGUGGUAAGUGCGAAAUAACAAUAAGUCAUUGUAUGGGCUCAAAGGUGUAAUGGUGUAACUGUUUGUGAUGGUGGAGCUGCAAGGUAAUGUGAGUAACAAUAUAAGUAAAGGAGUGCAACAAGUGGCCUAGUCUUUAAUUGUGCUAAGGGCGAGCUGAUUAUGUUUCUUAUAUGGGUCAAACUUUCUCGAGGACGGCAAGAAUAUUGCAUAAUUGUUAAUUUCAUAAUGAUUUGUAUUGAUUAUUGUUGCUUGGUUGGUGUUGUGUUGGUAGAGACUAAGCCUAUGUGAUGCAAAAUCAUUGACCGGCGCAUACUUGUGAUAGAGACUAAGCCUAUGGAGAUAACGGCGAUGAUGGUGAUCUCGAUGGAUAUGGUGGCUUGGAUGUAGAGGUUCCCCUUGAUGCACUAGAGUUGGUGAUGAGGAUUGCCUUGAAUUGCCCACACUUUCUUGGUGUAAAGGUGAUAAAAUGUGCAUGAAAGUGGGGCAUUUAUUCUCUGAAAUUGUGGUGCAAAAUGCAUGUAUCAGCGCUCCUUUUCGGCCUUAGGGUACUUGGACCGUAACCCACGAAUGGUGUCUCUUGGCGGGCAAAAUUGCUCGAUCGCGACCACUUUCUUGACGAUCUCGAAGAGUUGGCUAACUAUGAUAGUAUCCACCAGUAUUAUCAAUCCACACACCAGAUGACUACCAGAAAGGUCUCUAUCACUUCCCUAUCUCGAGAGAUGCAGGAUCACAUGCAUCUUCUACUAGAACUAUGAAGGAAGUCACGCAACUUCUCGCCCUUUAUCAUCCAUAUGUGCUUGAAGUCAUCUUCAACUUGUUCUCAUCCCUUGAGGUGGAGAAACUCUCAAUGAAAAUAUUUUUGAAGGUGUUCCAGCAGUUGAUGGACUCAGUUGUUCAGUUCUGAAGCUAUGAAAGGGUGUUACUCUAUAGGAAAGUUGGUAGGAUAUUUUUCAUGUCAUAGGUAUCGCUCUCCAUAAUUCGUAUCUCAUGCGAGAACUUCGUCUGGAAGGCAAGAGGGUCGGCAAGGCCUACAUAGCUCACAAAGUUUUUGGGUCUACACAUGUCAUGGUACCAGGAUCAUGGUGAUCAUGCGAGUAAGCUCCCGGCACCCUGUAAUGUCGUCACCAAAGUCGAAAGCGACGGGGACUGGGGGGCAUUGCCUUGAGGUUAGGUUGUUUCUCUCCUCCCACUCAGUCCGAUGUCAUGCCAUAGGGACUUUAGCGACCUAGCAGGCUGAUGGUCACCAGGUCGGGAUGACUUGAUCCCCCACGAUCGUCGAUUAUGUCGUUUGAUCCACGGCAUGGCCUUGUCACUCCAUGUUGUGCUCUCGCUCAGCACCGUCUUCCGGCCAUGAGAUGCGAGAAAGAUGAUGGUUCUAUCGCUCGCGUAUGUGGGACUGUUCUCUGGUAGGUACCAAGAUAUUGGUUCAUUGUGGUCCUUCUGGUAUCUCUCACAGGGUCCAUGGCUGGGCUGGCUAGUAAUAUGAUAGCGCCUUGAAGAGUCCCAGGGGUUCCUAGCCAACUGAUCAUCUUCUAGGAUCGCUGGGCGUAGUUAUAUUGAAUACAUGCUCCAACCACAGUUACUCCAAAAGUCCAAACUGAUGGGGAGAGACGACCAAUAAUAUUUCACUACCCNNNNNNNNNNNNNNNNNNNNNNNNNNNNNNNNNNNNNNNNNNNNNNNNNNNNNNNNNNNNNNNNNNNNNNNNNNNNNNNNNNNNNNNNNNNNNNNNNNNNNNNNNNNNNNNNNNNNNNNNNNNNNNNNNNNNNNNNNNNNNNNNNNNNNNNNNNNNNNNNNNNNNNNNNNNNNNNNNNNNNNNNNNNNNNNNNNNNNNNNNNNNNNNNNNNNNNNNNNNNNNNNNNNNNNNNNNNNNNNNNNNNNGGGGCCGCCUUAUGUUUAGGCCGCUCUAUGCCUUAGACAUGGGAUCGAUGUAGACUGCAACUAUUUAUUAUUAAUAGUAUGUUGCUCGGGUCUUGAACUCAAGACCUCCUGCCUUGGAUACCAUACCCAAUACACGCUCCAACUAGUUAUUUAAAAGUUCAAACUAAUGGAGAGAGGCCGGCAAUAAUAUUUCAACACUUCGGUUGUGUAAGUAGCGGACUCAAGCAACACAUCUGUGGAGGAGUGCGCUGCACCAGCCCCCCCGGUUCUCGGCCCUCAUGUCCAUCGUAGGAGUGGCACCGAACGCCCAGUUUGCGCCGACGUCCAGGUCCAUAUCUGACAACGGUGAGCUCCCGUUGUUAACAGUGUCAGACAUCAGACACUGACACAAGUUGCUCGACUUGUUGCGGCUUGAUCCUAUCAUGGAGUUUGAGUUAAUCCCCCGGAUAUGAUCAUGCCUCCAUAAGAGCAGGCAACAUAUAGUAUAGCUAGUGCCUUGCAUACCAGAGGAGCAUGGGUCCAGUUGGACUCUACUUUGUGCCAUGGCGUGGGUGUAUGGAAAGCUUGGUAAGCGGUAAGUCGUGUUCACACUUGCAACAUAGUCUGUGUAGGUUAUGGGUGACCCAUAGUAAACCUUGCAUUGUACACGAGAUAGUCCAUAUCGUACUGUGUUGCCGGAAGGCCACUAAUCAUGUUUGAGGCCAUCGGGGACUCAAAGGAUGAAGUUGCCCAAAUGGGCAUGCGGUGUGGUUUUUGAUGAAACCAUCGUUGGCCCGAUCAGGAAUGGUGUCGACUAAGUCUCCAAUGAGGUCAUCGGUGAAGCUGUUGGGAGUGACAUCGACAUGUCACAGAUGACGUUGUAAGAACCAAUUAAGUGGCUAGAAACAUAGUCAACGAAGGUUUCGAUCAAGAUGGUGCCGCAGAUCUGAUUUGGCGGCACGUGGUUCCAACGGUCAGCGAAAGUUGUCGAGUGUGUUUUACAGAGUACCUAACAACAACAUGUGAACAUGCAUAGAUUUUUUGGUGGUAGAACGUGACCACAGGUUACUAAAUGGACACGAGGAACAAGUUUACCUAGGUUCGGACCAUCACUAGUCGAGUAACAACCUUACUCCUCCUUAUAUAGGAUUAUGGCGUUNNNNNNNNNNNNNNNNNNNNNNNNNNNNNNNNNNNNNNNNNNNNNNNNNNNNNNNNNNNNNNNNNNNNNNNNNNNNNNNNNNNNNNNNNNNNNNNNNNNNNNNNNNNNNNNNNNNNNNNNNNNNNNNNNNNNNNNNNNNNNNNNNNNNNNNNNNNNNNNNNNNNNNNNNNNNNNNNNNNNNNNNNNNNNNNNNNNNNNNNNNNNNNNNNNNNNNNNNNNNNNNNNNNNNNNNNNUCUAUGUGAGAGUAUAUGAAAAUGAUUGUUGUUAAAGUAUCUCUUGUAAAACUAUCAUUUAGUAAAUUUAUAUAGACUAAGCAGGCAGGAAUAAGUUGCAUGUAAUUUUUUCAACUGACCGCGGUAUGAAAAGUGGAUUCCUUCCUAUAAAGCCACCAUUGUCUAGAAUCUCCCACCCUUUCUGCCCCGACGGUUUGUCCUCUCCCACCCCGACUCCUUUUCGGGCAAUGGCCCAUCCUCACCGGCCUCAUCUAGCCUCUUCCGCAGCUCGGACUUUGUCCCAUUGCUGGUGAGUGACACCGUUGAGUUCACCUCCCCCCUCCCCCCUUCUUGGUGAGAGGUCGUACCGUGCGAGUGCUCAAGGUGGGACCCAGAGCUUCAUGUUAGGAUCCAUUCUGUGCGAGCACCAAGGUGAGGACCCGAAGCGUCAUGAAGUCCAUUGCGACACCGGAGCAAAAGCCCCGCCGGCCAGCCCCUUCAGACGAGUACCCUUGAUGCCGACUGCUGGCCACAUGCUACGGUACACACACGUACCCUCCUCCUGCUACAAUGUCAUCUCACACCCCGCGUGGUGCCGGGCUGCCCAACUAUUUGUCAUGCCCCGGCACCCACCUGAACUUUACAAAACCAGGCGUCAGAGAGACACGCGGUGUAGUAGGGUAGGAGCGGAGGUGGUUUCCUAGUUCGACAUCUUGGAAGCAAGACGAAAUGGGAGAAAAGGCCAUGACCGUGGUGAAUCUAGUACGUACAUAAUAAGCUUGAGAUGCACGCAACGCAACGCAACCAAAUCCGAUGCUGAAACUGACUCGAAAUGUAAACAUUUCGAUUUCUUCACCGAGCAAACACGGCUUCGAUUCCCAUCAGGCUUCACUAGUUAGUUAAAAGGCCUUGCCCUGAGUCGAUCUUCUCCGCCGCACUUCCAAUCUUUCUUUCCCAUCAUCUCCUCUCCUCUCCUCUCAUCCACCGCAGCUGUUCCCAUGGAGAUUGCCCACCGGAACCGGGAGCCCUUCAGCAUCAUGUCCGGCCGGAAGCGCCCGCGCCCGCUGGAGAUCCUUCGCCAGCGGUUCCAGACUGAGCUCGUCGCGGUCCGUCGCCUCCUCGCCGAGGCGCACGCCGUGCUUCCCGCGUCGUCCCCGUCGGCUCCCCGCGUGCGCGUCCGCCAAGCCGAGGAGCCGCCAGCCAAGAAGAGGAAGGCGCCCCCUUCCGUCGUCCCCGUGAAGAAGAUGACGCCCAAGGAGAGGAACCAACUCUACGGGGACCUCACAACGCUAGCGAAGCAAUCUGAAUCUCAUGUGCUCCCUGCUCAUAUCUUGGAGCUGCUGAAGAAGCACAGCCGCCACGGCCUCUGCGACGAUUACAUCGAGAUCGAGAUGCACGCCGUCCAAGACUCGGCCCUCGUCGAGAUACAGAAGCAGCUGGACAAGUUCGUCCGAGAGAGCAAGAAUCCGUGGACGCAUCAUCAACACAAACAGAUGAUGGCCCAAGCAGAGGACGAAGACGUCGACAUCGUCGGCGGCGUCUCCCCUUUGCCGGUCAGGCCGACACCGGUGCAGCUCGUCGUCGAAGAGGACGAGUACGUGGACAUCUGCGGCGACGCCUCAUCGGUGAAGAAUCUUGGCCAAGGUGCAACCAUCAGCGGCAGCAGCGGUUCGGAUUCUGGUUCAUCUCACCAGAGUGUUGACAGUCGUCCAGCUCCGGCAGAGCGCGCCGCCAACACGCCUCCAACACGCGUCCUCAUCGCCCGUGCCAGCAAGAUUCUGGAAAGGCGGCGAAAGGAGGAGACGUCCCGGGCGAGGGAGAAGGCCCGUCAGGAGCUGCUGGAGACGGAGAGGACGGCAAUGCCGAAGGACACCCUAGACGAGGACGUGAAGGCGCUCGGCAUUGAUCAGUACAACACGGCCAGGCCGAACAACUUGUUGCGACAGAUGGGGCUCUUCCUCAAGCUUGACGACCACGACCUGAAGCAGCAGCAGCAGCAGCAGCAUCAAAGCUUCCAAGAAGAUUUAGAGGAAGGUGAGAUUCGGCUGUGAUCGUCGUUUUCAUUUUUAGAAGUGAUCGUCGUGGCUAGUAAGAAAGCUUGUAAUAGUUCUCUUCUGCUGCAACGUGAUUGAAAAUGUAUGAAAUUACUGAUUAAUUCGAGCCUCAGAUCUCAGCUCAAUUAGUGAUUUUUUUUCUGCAUUGUAAUAGUUCUCUUCUGCUGCUGAAUGUAUGAAAUUACUUGAUCGAUUAAUUCGAGUCUCAGCUCAAUUAGUGAUUUUCUUUUGUGUCUACACAUGUUUGUGGUGUGACGGCGGCAGCUAAUCGAUUUGGUUGUCAAUCUUGUCUAGCAACAAGCUGACACUUGAUGCUGUUAUUUGGUCCUCAGAGGUGUGUAAGCAUGAUUGAAUGAGAAAGUUGUGGUUGUGUGGCCACCUCUUAUCUAGACCAUAUGAAAGUAGAUGAUCGAUUAUACGCAGUGCUUGAUUGUGGUCAAAUAAUGACCCGUAGCCCCUGAGGCGUUCGCUUCUUGCCCUAAACCUCAUCAAUUAUCUGGAUAUGUCACGUGGUGCUUGUGAAAAAAGAACAAUCUCUUGGUACCGAAACGAGAUGCGGUAAGAAUGCAACAAAGCAUCGAGAACACAUUGAUCAGGCCGACCCGGUUAUUCUUUCAGAGUUACAAAGCAGGAUCUGCAGCGGUCUGUGGAAUCGUGUCCACUCUUUGCUUCUUGGCAACUACGGAUGAUGAUGUUUCAGGCGGUGUCACGGUGACUUUUGUUUUCCCCACCGCGAUGAAUGCCACUCUCUUCCUCGUAUCAGGCUUGACAUCUCUGCAUGGAGUCGGCGAAGCAGCGGGCAUGCCAAGAAGAGAACCCGGAGUGUUUUGAUCAUCUGGUAGUUGCCUCCCGCUGUGAGAAUCUCCAGCAUCGCUGCAAUGGGUGGGUUUAUCUGGUUGGUCAGCCAGAGAAGCAUCAUGUUGUUGCUUGGCUGGGGUGUUUGCUCCAUCAAGGCUUUCCAUCUCUGAUAUGUCACAAGUGCAGCAUUAGAACUUAUAAGAACCCUUUUCAAAGUAUGACACGAUAAACACAUAAAUAAACAAGCAUUCAUGUUCUAUUAGAUACAAAACAAACAACUGAUGUUAAAAAAAAAGUACAGCAUUUUGUCAGCACAUGCACUUCAAUUUCCAGUUGGAGCACGCAACCCAAAAUAUGCAUUAAAAUUGCAAUGGAAAUAACAGCAAAUAAGAUCAUAGUGGCAAUUCACACAAUCCCUGACAUCAUCCAGCUAGGCUAACUGACUAACUGUUGUUUUCGUUGUUAAAACUGUCAGUCGUAUAGAGAUAUGUCGCUACUAUACCAAAAUAUCAUGCUAAACAACAGUAGUCCACCAUAAGUUACAAAUCCCAAACGCAUACUCUUGAGAGUUUUGUCAAAUGUCAUCUAACAUAAGAUACAUGGAGAUGGUAUCAGAACAUACUUAAGUGUCAUCAUUACUUCCAUAUAGUCAACUGAACGUGAAUGUAAUAGUGCCACCAAGGCCCUUCAUCUCCAUUCAUACUCAUUCCAUAUCACUUCCUACUACAUAUAUUUGUUAUUAAUACAUACUGUAUUUUCAGUUUAGAUUACUUAACAGAAAACUAUUUUUCAUUUGCAUGCCUUUUAGAUACAAUUGCAUGGGAUUCUUUUAGUAUCAGCAGGAACUCAUGUAUAAGUAUUGCAGAAAAUGCAACCAUUAUGAACUCCAAAGGUUCAUAUAUCAUGAAUCCGAGAAGGUAAGGUGUUCCAACCUUCACUAACAAGUCCAAGGGUCUCAUACUGGAUUGAUGAAUCUGGAGUGCAUGACUUCAGAUCCUCAUCUUGGGUUUUCUGACUGCUAGCUUUUGUCUUUUCAUGCAAAACAAAUUUAUCUUUCACCCAUACACACUCCAGUAUAGUACUGGGAUCGUUGCUCGAGGGGUAGUACUCUCUGAAAGCCUGUGAAAUGAAGAGGCGAAACCAAGGAGUUAUGUGGAGAGGUAACUGCAAGGUCCAGCCACUGCACUUUUGUGUGAAAGCAUGAUCUUACGCUUUACAUAUUUUUUUCCAUGAUCAAGGAUUACAGAGUAAUAGUGUGGAAGCAAAACAUACCUGCACUUUAUCAAUACUGAUCUUAACAGCCUGCUUUUUAUCCCUAAGAUCAGUAACCUUGUUGUAUACUGAUACAACAUCAAGUAACAUCUGUGAACACAAUAUCAAAGGGUCAGCAUCUUAAGCAAAAUAUCUGCACAAAGAGACAAAGAAGAUAACUAGCACACGUAUGAUUCCAAGUUGACAUUUCUUAGAUUCAUGAAUUAAUACACCAUAACAGUUUGACUACCAAGGUAGUUGCUGUAUAAAUAUAUGGGCGGCUAUUUUACGGAAUUUAAUUGAUACAAUCAUUCAUAGCCAUGCCUGUAGACUAUGUGGCUCACCUGUUGGGUUAGGACCCUCACUCGUGCAAGCAAAGCAAGCACUGCAGUGCAAAGUUCUACGAAAAAAGAUCUAGCAAGUAAAAAGCUGAUCUGACUGUAGUAUGGAUUAAGGAACUUUGGAUAGGUACCAAUCAACUCAGAAUGAAAGUUAAUAUGAGAUUUAUUUCCUUUUUGGUACACAAAGAGUAAAAUGAUGUACACAAAGACAUUUUUUAACACUACAUAGUGUCAAAAAGCAUCUUACAUUAUGGGACGGAGGGAGUACAUGCUUUACCUAAGGCAAGCCAAGUGUGGGUGUACACCUUGUUUUAUUUGCUAAGAAAACAACAAAACAAAAAAAAGGAUACACUGCUCCCUUCAUAACAGGUUCAGACAUAUGCACAAAAUACAGAAAGCAUUAGUGUUCAAACCAAGUUAGCUAUCUCCUGUCUCGAAGUUGAUCAAGAAUGAUCUGUAAACUAGAACAGCUCAUCCAGAAGUAUGUAUCAUGCAGUUACAAAAUAUAGAAUUUCUAGGGUAAUGAGCUUCAUGUACCAUAUAAGGGUUUAUGCUAAAUUACAUCGGAAAUCUUGCAAACGUGCAGGGAUAAUCACAACCCUUUUCUGCUGUACCCUAGUUAGCUAAACAAAAGUAAAACAACCAGGCAAUAUAGGCAGACUUUCACAGAUUCAAAUUUCAAUAUUGUGUAACUCGUUACUUGAAAACAACCACAAGGAACAAAGGUUGUGCUCUAUCAACGGUGACAUUGCAUUUAUGGUUCCAUCAAAAUAUUUGAUUCAGCUGCAAUAGGAUAUUUUGCAAAAUGCAAUCAGUGUCAACAGACAACAAAACACACCUGGGACAGCAAACGGGCAAUCCCCAAAAGCCUCUUAUAUUGGCUAUGGUUUGCACCAGGCUUUCCUCUUACCCUGCCUAUAAAAGAAAACAUUAAGCAAUAACCUGAAUAGCAUACUAAUAUGAUUAUAGCAUCAUUGUACCAAGAAUAAAAACAAACGAAAUAAUCCGAACUGCGAAGAAAUUAAGCACUGCCCAUACAAGUAGAAACUUCUAGCUAUAAGUCACUAGUGAAUACAUUUUUCUUUGUUAUCUCCUAGGAUCAAUACAAGGACCACAAAUAUCAUCACAAGACCACACCAUGUCCCCAACAUGAAGGAUUUGUGCAAGGAAAUUAGUUGUGCCAUGGUGUACCAUACACAUAUUUUAUUUUAUUUUUGCGAUUGGCAUACACGUAAUAAAUGACAAAGAUUGUUUUACAGGGGAGUGCAACCGCACCAGGGAUGCAAAACCUGACGAACCUGUUUCCCAACCCAAACACAUACAAAUCACACCUACGCGCCCAACCGAAACACAUACAAAUCACACUCAUCAGUGCAGAGCCACUCGCCGGAAAAAAAAAUGGGGGAAGGGGCGAGCAGGUAGUAGUGGUAGGCGUACCUUGAGGAGGUACUGGAAGUAGGCGUCACCGCGGUGCUGGUUCCGGUGCUUGUAGACCAGGCGCUCGAGCACUCCGGCCUCCGCCUGCAGGUGGCGCAGCGCCGCCCGCAGCCGAUGCUCCUCCCCCUCCUCCGCCGAACCCACCUGACGCUGCGCCAUGGCGGCCACCUCCGGCUUGGCAGCUGCCAUGCCUAGGUCGUGGAUGGAUGUAGAAUUUAACUUCAAUGCUCAACGAUCUAACAAAGUAGAAGGAUAAUAGUGCGUGAAUUGGUAGCAAAAUCCAUCAACUUAAGUUAACAAAUCGAUAACAAAAAUAACUGGUACCAGGUGGGACGGCGGCAGGAGGCGAGCAGCGUGCUCUACCCGGCGUUCCUCGGGGUCGGGUGUCGGUGCCUGGCCGGCGGUAGCAGGGCGGCAGUCCUGGUACCAGGUGGCACCUGGCACGGCGGCAGGAGCCCGGCGGACGGGGCCAAAAAUGACGGGCGAGAAGGCGGACUGGCGAGGGGCCGGGGAACGGCGGCAGGUCGCGGUUGACCGAAGCGGCUGGGGCAGACCAGGCAGAACGGCGGCGGCCGGCGGAGGACAGGACAGCGAACAGGCGGCGCGUGUGUGCGUUUGGGCAUUCGGCGCAGCGAGGAGGCCUCCUUCGGGCCUUCUUCGUGUUUUGGGCCUUGGUGGGUUGCUACUGUGCGGGCUGAACACCUAGGGAGCUGAUGUUGUGUAUCGCUCAUAGCGAGGGCAAAUCUUAUACGACGCCCUUUUGCUUCGGUUUGUUGAGCAGGGAUGUAUUAACGAGCUGCUCGGCUCGUUAAGUUCGUGCUCAUUAAGACUAGGCUCAUUAAGCUCGUUAUGCUUAAGAGCAAAAAAACCUUGCUCGGCUCUGUUCAUUAGAAGCUUGUUAAGUUCGUGAGCGCUCGCGGACGCUCGUUAACAGACCAUGAUGUGUUACAGUGUACGGGCUGAGAGUGUAGGUGUGGUUUUUAUAAAGGAAGAUGGUGACUACAUGAGUAAGUGCGCUAGUUUUCAACCUCCUAUGGGCUUGGUUGGUUCAAUUAGAUGGACAGAUGCUACAAAAAUAUUAUAACGAAGACAAAAAAAUGUAUUGUGAUGUACUAACGAGCUGCUCGUAAAACUUGUUAGCUCCUUCAUUAAGCUCGUUAAGCUUAAUGACCUGAAAUUGGUUAUUGGCUCUGUUCAUUAAGAAGCGAACUUCAAGCUUAACAAGUUGAACUAUCAAGCGCUUAUUAAGCUCGCGAGCUACGAGUUUUUGGUCCAGCCCUAGUCGAGCAAGCACACAGACGGAGCAAGUCGAGCGACGAUUUAGCGUUCCACAUAUCCUGUUUUUCGAAACCUUCUGGAAGGUUCCUGACCGAUUCAGGUCUUUUUUAUGUUUUUCUUUUUCUUGUUGUUUCUCUUAUAGAUGUUCAGUGGUUUCCCUAUCUUUUUCCCCUUUUUUGCUUUUUAAAAAUGUUUACUUUUCAAAAUGAAAAGGUUCAGCAUUUUUACAAAAUGCUCACGUAUUCAAAAAAAUAUGCCGAUUUUUUUCAAAAAUUGUUUGUGUUUUAAAAUAUUGUUGAGAACUUCAAAAAAUAUUCCCAUUUUCAAAAGUUGUUCACAAAUUCAAAAAAUAUUUCGAAAUACCAAAAAAUGUUUGUAUUUAAGAUUGUUCAGAAUUUUAAAAAUGUUAGGAUUUUUAAAAAUUGUUCUCAUUUCAAAAAGUGUUCAUAUUUUCAAAAAAAAUCAAGCAACAGAGAAUUGAUUAUUUUUAGGGGUAAAGCUAAGUUUUCUUUAUCAUAGUCCACAUGUUGUGGGAUACAAUACGGAUCGUGAAGAUGAGCCAACCAAAUGUGGCGUCUCGAACCAAGAGCAUGCGAGUACUUAGCUAAAUUUCGUGCUUCGCCGUCAACUGCAUGACCUUCAAAAAUAAAGUUACAAUAAAAAGUUGCUGCUAACUUGAUCUCUAUAAUAAUGGACCCAUAGCGGCCCUGGUUGCCCUUGACGAUGUCGCCCACCACUUGCCUGAAGUAUGACGAGAUGGUGAAAUUCUGAAGAGGGAAUCCUCCGCCAGGGCAAGGCCUCCCUGAACGCUAUCGCCUCCAGUGUAGCAGGAUCAAGUAAUCCCUCGAUGACUAGUGACGAACUCCCAAGAUAAUUACCUGAAACAUUGCGACACACUUCAGUUGCUGAUACGCCUCUUGUUCGCGUGAGACACCCCAUCCACAUGGACUUUUGCAUGUCCAGGAGGUGGUGUCGAUGGCCUCGCAUGGUUAUGUCUCAACCUGGUUAUAUGCCGGGCCGGACCAGGUUUCAGGACGGGCUUCAAAAGGCCCGAACCCUAGACUCCAAGCCUGAGCCUGACCCGAAGCCUGAGAAUACACAUUUUCUCAAGCCCGAGCCUGGCCUGAAUGAUGUUUCCCAUUGCUGUUACAUGUAAGCUCAGCCCGAAUAGUGGUUGGGCAUUCGGCGCAGCGAGGAGGCCUCCUUCGGGCCUUCUUCGUGUUUUGGGCCUUGGUGGGUUGCUACUGUGCGGGCUGAACACCUAGGGAGCUGAUGUUGUGUAUCGCUCAUAGCGAGGGCAAAUCUUAUACGACGCCCUUUUGCUUCGGUUUGUUGAGCAGGGAUGUAUUAACGAGCUGCUCGGCUCGUUAAGUUCGUGCUUAUUAAGACUAGGCUCAUUAAGCUCGUUAUGCUUAACGAGCAAAAAAACCUUGCUCGGCUCUGUUCAUUAGAAGCUUGUUAAGUUCGUGAGCGCUCGCGGACGCUCGUUAACAGACCAUGAUGUGUUACAGUGUACGGGCUGAGAGUGUAGGUGUGGUUUUUAUAAAGGAAGAUGGUGACUACAUGAGUAAGUGCGCUAGUUUUCAACCUCCUAUGGGCUUGGUUGGUUCAAUUAGAUGGACAGAUGCUACAAAAAUAUUAUAACGAAGACAAAAAAAUGUAUUGUGAUGUACUAACGAGCUGCUCGUAAAACUUGUUAGCUCCUUCAUUAAGCUCGUUAAGCUUAAUGACCUGAAAUUGGUUAUUGGCUCUGUUCAUUAAGAAGCGAACUUCAAGCUUAACAAGUUGAACUAUCAAGCGCUUAUUAAGCUCGCGAGCUACGAGUUUUUGGUCCAGCCCUAGUCGAGCAAGCACACAGACGGAGCAAGUCGAGCGACGAUUUAGCGUUCCACAUAUCCUGUUUUUGAAACCUUCUGGAAGGUUCCUGACCGAUUCAGGUCUUUUUUAUGUUUUUCUUUUUCUUGUUGUUUCUCUUAUAGAUGUUCAGUGGUUUCCCUAUCUUUUUCCCCUUUUUUGCUUUUUAAAAAUGUUUACUUUUCAAAAUGAAAAGGUUCAGCAUUUUUACAAAAUGCUCACGUAUUCAAAAAAAUAUGCCGAUUUUUUUCAAAAAUUGUUUGUGUUUUAAAAUAUUGUUGAGAACUUCAAAAAAUAUUCCCAUUUUCAAAAGUUGUUCACAAAUUCAAAAAAUAUUUCGAAAUACCAAAAAAUGUUUGUAUUUAAGAUUGUUCAGAAUUUUAAAAAUGUUAGGAUUUUUAAAAAUUGUUCUCAUUUCAAAAAGUGUUCAUAUUUUCAAAAAAAAUCAAGCAACAGAGAAUUGAUUAUUUUUAGGGGUAAAGCUAAGUUUUCUUUAUCAUAGUCCACAUGUUGUGGGAUACAAUACGGAUCGUGAGGAUGAGCCAACCAAAUGUGGCGUCUCGAACCAAGAGCAUGCGAGUACUUAGCUAAAUUUCGUGCUUCGCCGUCAACUGCAUGACCUUCAAAAAUAAAGUUACAAUAAAAAGUUGCUGCUAACUUGAUCUCUAUAAUAAUGGACCCAUAGCGGCCCUGGUUGCCCUUGACGAUGUCGCCCACCACUUGCCUGAAGUAUGACGAGAUGGUGAAAUUCUGAAGAGGUGAUCCUCCGCCAGGGCAAGGCCUCCCUGAACGCUAUCGCCUCCAGUGUAGCAGGAUCAAGUAAUCCCUCGAUGACUAGUGACGAACUCCCAAGAUAAUUACCUGAAACAUUGCGACACACUUCAGUUGCUGAUCCGCCUCUUGUUCGCGUGAGACACCCCAUCCACAUGGACUUUUGCAUGUCCAGGAGGUGGUGUCGAUGGCCUCGCAUGGUUAUGUCUCAACCUGGUUAUAUGCCGGGCCGGACCAGGUUUCAGGACGGGCUUCAAAAGGCCCGAACCCUAGACUCCAAGCCUGAGCCUGACCCGAAGCCUGAGAAUACACAUUUUCUCAAGCCCGAGCAUGGCCUGAAUGAUGUUUCCCAUUGCUGUUACAUGUAAGCUCAGCCCGAAUAGUGGUUGGGCAUUCGGCGCAGCGAGGAGGCCUCCUUCGGGCCUUCUUCGUGUUUUGGGCCUUGGUGGGUUGCUACUGUGCGGGCUGAACACCUAGGGAGCUGAUGUUGUGUAUCGCUCAUAGCGAGGGCAAAUCUUAUACGACGCCCUUUUGCUUCGGUUUGUUGAGCAGGGAUGUAUUAACGAGCUGCUCGGCUCGUUAAGUUCGUGCUCAUUAAGACUAGGCUCAUUAAGCUCGUUAUGCUUAAGAGCAAAAAAACCUUGCUCGGCUCUGUUCAUUAGAAGCUUGUUAAGUUCGUGAGCGCUCGCGGACGCUCGUUAACAGACCAUGAUGUGUUACAGUGUACGGGCUGAGAGUGUAGGUGUGGUUUUUAUAAAGGAAGAUGGUGACUACAUGAGUAAGUGCGCUAGUUUUCAACCUCCUAUGGGCUUGGUUGGUUCAAUUAGAUGGACAGAUGCUACAAAAAUAUUAUAACGAAGACAAAAAAAUGUAUUGUGAUGUACUAACGAGCUGCUCGUAAAACUUGUUAGCUCCUUCAUUAAGCUCGUUAAGCUUAAUGACCUGAAAUUGGUUAUUGGCUCUGUUCAUUAAGAAGCGAACUUCAAGCUUAACAAGUUGAACUAUCAAGCGCUUAUUAAGCUCGCGAGCUACGAGUUUUUGGUCCAGCCCUAGUCGAGCAAGCACACAGACGGAGCAAGUCGAGCGACGAUUUAGCGUUCCACAUAUCCUGUUUUUCGAAACCUUCUGGAAGGUUCCUGACCGAUUCAGGUCUUUUUUAUGUUUUUCUUUUUCUUGUUGUUUCUCUUAUAGAUGUUCAGUGGUUUCCCUAUCUUUUUCCCCUUUUUUGUUUUUUAAAAAUGUUUACUUUUCAAAAUGAAAAGGUUCAGCAUUUUUACAAAAUGCUCACGUAUUCAAAAAAAUAUGCCGAUUUUUUUCAAAAAUUGUUUGUGUUUUAAAAUAUUGUUGAGAACUUCAAAAAAUAUUCCCAUUUUCAAAAGUUGUUCACAAAUUCAAAAAAUAUUUCGAAAUACCAAAAAAUGUUUGUAUUUAAGAUUGUUCAGAAUUUUAAAAAUGUUAGGAUUUUUAAAAAUUGUUCUCAUUUCAAAAAGUGUUCAUAUUUUCAAAAAAAAUCAAGCAACAGAGAAUUGAUUAUUUUUAGGGGUAAAGCUAAGUUUUCUUUAUCAUAGUCCACAUGUUGUGGGAUACAAUACGAAUCGUGAAGAUGAGCCAACCAAAUGUGGCGUCUCGAACCAAGAGCAUGCGAGUACUUAGCUAAAUUUCGUGCUUCGCCGUCAACUGCAUGACCUUCAAAAAUAAAGUUACAAUAAAAAGUUGCUGCUAACUUGAUCUCUAUAAUAAUGGACCCAUAGCGGCCCUGGUUGCCCUUGACGAUGUCGCCCACCACUUGCCUGAAGUAUGACGAGAUGGUGAAAUUCUGAAGAGGGGAUCCUCCGCCAGGGCAAGGCCUCCCUGAACGCUAUCGCCUCCAGUGUAGCAGGAUCAAGUAAUCCCUCGAUGACUAGUGACGAACUCCCAAGAUAAUUACCUGAAACAUUGCGACACACUUCAGUUGCUGAUCCGCCUCUUGUUCGCGUGAGACACCCCAUCCACAUGGACUUUUGCAUGUCCAGGAGGUGGUGUCGAUGGCCUCGCAUGGUUAUGUCUCAACCUGGUUAUAUGCCGGGCCGGACCAGGUUUCAGGACGGGCUUCAAAAGGCCCGAACCCUAGACUCCAAGCCUGAGCCUGACCCGAAGCCUGAGAAUACACAUUUUCUCAAGCCCGAGCCUGGCCUGAAUGAUGUUUCCCAUUGCUGUUACAUGUAAGCUCAGCCCGAAUAGUGCAAGAACGAAAGCCCAACCCAGCCCGAAUAUACAUCCGGGAUGCAAAACAAAGCCUGAGCCCGCCCUGAGAGGCAAGCCUGACCCGGCCCGGGCCGGGCUGCCCAUGAUCAGGUUUAGUUCUAUCGAGCUGCGUUGAUCGGAGGUGCAACUUGUGAGCUCAUCGGUGGCUUCUCCUUCAGUAAUUCGAGCUCUGUAAUUAAUCUAUUUAUGAAUGUGUUAGUCGCUUGCAGACUUUGAAAGAUUCCUUCGUGGAUGGCCUUCCCCCGUGCCGACCAUAUAGCCCACAUCGUUACCGCCAACUGGACAAACUCCGGGAAGCUUACUAAUUUGCCCCCAAAGUUCUGUAGCACUUCCGACAAUAGCAAAUCUUCACAUCUGAUGGGCACCAGCGAAGAUUUCUCCUGGUUCAGUUUCAAACUAGUUGCAUGUCCAAAGAAAUGUAGGAGCUCCAUCAGUACUAGAUCGGCAUCGCGCCUUGGCGCGGGGUGCCCGUCCCAACACAUGGUCAAGCGAUUAUUAAAGAUCAAGCAUUAGUGAGAAGGCAAGUUUAGCACAUUUAUUCAACAUAAGAACUAAUUUUCUGGUUCAAGAUAAAAAAAAUCAUCAUUCACUCUGCACCACAAGCAAGACAACAUCAAGUUCAGCACGGUCAUGAGAUUAUAAAAUAUAAUAUGUCACAAAAGCAAGCAACAUUGGGUUCAGUACAGUCAAGAGAUUACAUGGCAUGAUGCUUUAGUAAAAAGGUAAGUUUACCACAUGUAUUCGACAUGACAAUUGUUUUCUGGUAUAUGAGAGAAAGAAGAAACAUUCAACACGAUCAUGAUGAGAUUAUAAAAGCUAAUAAGAGAACAACAGGCAAUGGAGAUGCUAAAACUAUACAAUACUACGACAAUAAGUAGACCCUAAAUUCAACUCUUAAUGGUUCAACAUUCCUCAAUGAUUCAUUAUUGGCCAGCAUCGACAGCGGUAAGAAAACUCGGUCAAUUCGCCACAACAAAUACAACCUAAGGACAAGCCAUAAAAAAUAGACGUGUUCCCAGUUUUCCUGAUUCACUCUUCUUGCUCCACUUCUUCACAUGGCUUGAGCAUCGACAAUUUCCUCUCCAACCCACCUUUGCAAGUACAGUUUCUGCAGGUUAAUUCCAUUGGUGUAUUUAACAAUAAUAAAUAGGAAUAUACUCAAAUUGAUAGUUUAACUGAAAAUUCUACAAAGGAUACAUUUAAUGGAUGUGGUACCCACUUCAGCUUUGUAUACAAUGGUGCGGGAGGCAAUUUAAUUAUAGGAAAACAGGUUGAAUUUUGAACCUGUUGGAACAUGAGGUCUAUGGUUGUAUGCCAUUUUUUUAUGCAGGGAGAUAGACCGACAUUAUUAUCAUUUAUGGGUAAUAAACAAAAUGGUUGUAAGCCAUGUUUACAUCUCAAAACUCAUGGAUUUUGCUAUCUAUGAUUUAGCAAGAAACAUCCAACAUCUUGACUUACCAGAACAUGGAUCAAGUAUCUAAAACUAUUUAUUUUUUCAAGGGAAGUAUCUAAAACCUUCACUCAAGCGAAGAAAUAAUCCAUGCAAACUGAAGGGAAAUAAAAAGGGGAAACGGAAUGAAAGGGGUACAAUUGUAUGCCUAAUCAUGAUCUCAACAUAUGUGACUUUGGUACAUGUAUUUCUUUGAUCAUUUUUCAUUUGAAUAAUCGUGAUCUUAAAAUUAUGAUGGUUCAGUUUGAUUAUAAUCAAAUAAAUUAACCAGCUAUGCAAGCAUGGUGGUUAUCAACAGAGAGCCACAUUACACCAGUUCUAAAUUUCAUGAUACGUGCUUACUAUAUUUUUCUAAGAUUGGCAUGCAUCUUGUUAGAAUGAUGAAAUACAUGUAUACGCCAGCAGCUAGUGCUCACACGGGAACUGAAUUAUGCUGAUGCAUCGCCAUGAAUAUUUUACUGAAUAUAUAUGGUGGAUUUACUUUGUUUUUUCAGCUGGCAUGGACAAAAGUUCUAAAAUUGACUUAUAUGCUACAAAAAUAUUUACCAGAAUUGCUAGGCUUUCCACCGUGAGGAUUCUUCCAUGCAGGACAAGCCAGGCGAAGAGCUUGCAUUUGGGGGUGGCCUGUGCUUUCCAAACCUUAGCAGAGCAGAAAGGCACCAAGAUCCAGUUGCUUUCUCAUUCGCGAGUAAUCCGCAUGCCGGUGAUGUUUGAGAGGCUCCCCCGCCUCCAGACUCUUGUAGGGAAAAGCCUUGUGUAAACUAUUUGUAACACUCUCUUCUUCUACUUGAAAGGCAGCGCUCCUGACAGUUUAUCGAAAUUAAAUAAAAGCAAGGCACAAAGAUAGCCCAGAAUAACCAAUCUAUUUGAUUCUACUAUUGUAUAGUAACAGAUUACACAUAUAGAUAGCUUUGGUUAAACGCCUUAUCAUGUGACUCGCUCAAGCAUAGCGCUAUAAUGACCUGUUCAACACCGACUGCUGAAAUUUUCAGUAUAAUCAUGGAGUGCUAGAACAAUAUCUAAAUCAACAGGCAAACCUUGGACCAGGCGUGGAAGUGCAGUGAAGUUAGCUUCUCGGAGUUGACUUGACCCAUGCUGAUAUUAAGGCUCUGGCUUUGACCAAUGUAGCAGCCACGAUUGACAGCCAUGCCAAGAACAAUUUUCUGCUUGAUAUCCCAAACAGUCCUGGUUUAAUUAUAAACGUUUUGAAACUAAAGCAUUGGGUGGUCAUAUUUCACGUACGACAAAAGGACAGACAAAAAUUACACAACGGAAGAAAUGGAAAGUGAAGCAACACAAAUAGAUGCUUUUAAUUUAAAACAUACAGUGUGCGGUUAAUAUUACCUGAAAGUGAGAAUUAUUCAGACAACCUGCAAUCUGGCGGAAAAGAGGAACCGUGCAUUUCUGAAACUCCGCAGGCUGUGUAGCUUCUAGUAUCUCUUCCAACUCUCCCAAACACAUCACCUCCUUGGUGCUGUUUCUAAUGGGCCAAUAUUUCAGUAGGCCCUUGAUAACUGUGUAUGAAAGCUUGCAAUCUUUUUCGACAAACUGGGUAAUGUAGUAAGACAACUGUUGAUGGUACAUUGCAAUGCACUUGGCUUGUGAAGUGGAAUCAAGGCCCAGGUAAGGAACAAUUCAUGCUCUUCCUUAAGUGGCAAUACGAAUCCGUUGAUGACGCUCCCUAAGAUCUGCAGUAGCUUAAGGACAAUGCUUGGACGGGCAUGAAUUGCUCCUUACCCGGGUCACGAAUACUAAGUGUGUUGUUACAAGUACAAAUAUAUAUAUAUAUAAUCAAUCAUUUGUACAUCUCUAACCUCUACGCUCUAGCCAUGAUUACAUUGUAACUAUGAAGUUCUUAACUUUCUCUUCAUUUACAAUUAGAACACAACACACUACCUUGAUAUAUCCCCUUAUUGACAGAGAUCCUAAAAAACAUCAAGCACAUAAGCCUAAAACAAAACAAUGGUGAUUACCUUGGAAAAAGAUCACUUUGACCCCUGUCUUUCUACAUUAAUGAAUGAACCAAAUUCUACUCUAGAUGGCCACAUCUUGCCCAUUCAUAUUUUUUAUAAGGUGUGAUUAUAAUCACAUACCGAACCAAGGUGGAUCCAGGUUAAAAUGUUUUCGGAAAGAUCUAAUUUAUGCAGGACACAAUUGAGCUACUCCCUUUGGACUAAACGGAAGCACUAAACAUGGCCAUAACAGAGAGAGAGAGAGAGCAGCUGAAGGAAAUAUGCCCUAGAGGCAAUAAUAAAGUAUUAUUUAUUUCCUUGUAUCAUGAUAAAUGUUUAUUAUUCAUGCUAGAAUUGUAUUAACCGGAAACAUAAUACAUGUGUGAAUAUAUAGACAAACAGAGUGUCACUAGUAUGCCUCUACUUGACUAGCUCGUUAAUCAAAGAUGGUUAUGUUUCCUAGCCAUAAACAUAAGUUGUCAUUUGAUUAACGAGAUCACCUCAUUAGGAGAAUGACAUGAUUGACUUGACCCAUUCCGUUAGCUUAGCACUCGAUCGUUUAGUAUGUUGCUAUUGCUUUCUUCAUGACUUAUACAUGUUCCUAUGACUAUGAGAUUAUGCAACUCCCGUUUACCGGAGGAACACUUUGUGUGCUACCAAACGUCACAACGUAAAUGGGUGAUUAUAAAAGUGCUCUACAGGUGUCUCCAAAGGUACUUGUUGGGUUGGCGUAUUUCUAGAUUAGGAUUUGUCACUCCAAUUGUCGGAGAGGUAUCUCUGGGCCCACUCGGUAAUGCACAUCACUAUAAGCCAUGCAAGCAUUGUGACUAAUGAGUUAGUUGCGGGAUGAUGUGUUAUGGAACGAGUAAAGAGACUUGCCGGUAACGAGAUUGAACUAGGUAUCGAGAUACCGACGAUCAAAUCUCGGGCAAGUAACAUACCGGUGACAAAGGGAACAAGGUAUGUUGUUAUGCGGUCUGACCGAUAAAGAUCUUCGUAGAAUAUGUGGGAGCCAAUAUGGGCAUCCAGGUCCCGCUAUUGGUUAUUGACCGGAGACGUGUCUCGGUCAUGUCUACAUAGAUCUCAAACCCGUAGGGUCCGCACGCUUAACGUUACGAUGACAGUUUUAUUGAGUUUUGAUGUACGGAAGGAGUUCGGAGUCCCGGAUGAGAUCGGGGAUAUGACGAGGAGUCUCGAAAUGGUCGAGACGUAAAAAUCGAUAUAUUGGACGACUAUAUUCGGACUUCGGAAAGGUUCCGAGUGAUUCGGGUAUUUUUCGGAGUACCGGAGAGUUACGGGAAUUCGUAUUGGGCCUUAAUGGGCCAUACGGGAAAGGAGAGAAAGGCCUCAAAAGGUGGCCGCACCCCUCCCCAUGGUCUGGUCCGAAUUGGACUAGGGAAGGGGGGCGCACCCUUCCUUCUUUCUCCUUCCCCCUUCCCUGCUCCUACUCUCACAAGGAAAGGAGGAGUCCUACUCCCCCCUAUGGCGCGCCUCUCCCCUUGGCCGGCUGCCUCCCCCUUGCUCCUUUAUAUACGGGGGCAGGGGGCACCCCAGAGACACAACAAUUGAUCCUUGAGAUCUCUUAGCCGUGUGCGGUGCCCCCCUCCACCAUAUUACACCUCGAUAAUACCGUUGCGGAGCUUAGGUGAAGACCUGCGUCGGUGGAACAUCAUCAUCGUCACCACGCCGUCGUGCUGACGAAACUCUCCCUCAACACUCGGCUGGAUCGGAGUUCGAGGGACGUCAUCGAGCUGAACGUGUGUAGAACUCGGAGGUGCCGUACGUUCGGUACUUGAUCGGUCGGAUCGUGAAGACGUACGACUACAUCAUCCGCGUUGUGGUAACGCUUCCGUUGUCGGUCUACGAGGGUACGUGGACAACACUCUCCCCUCUCGUUGCUAUGCAUCACCAUGAUCUUGCGUGUGCGUAGGAAUUUUUUUGAAAUUACUACGUUCUCCAACAGUGGCAUCCGAGCCUGGUUUUAUGCGUUGAUGCUAUGCACGAGUAGAACACAAGUGAGUUGUGGGCGAGAUAAGUCAUACUGCUUACCAGCAUGUCAUACUUUGGUUCAGCGGUAUUGUGAGAUGAAGCGGCCCGGACCGACAUUACGCGUACGCUUACGCGAGACUGGUUUCACCGUUGCGAGCACUCAUUGCUUAAAGGUGACCGGCGGGUGUCUGUCUCUCUCACUUUAGUUGAACCGAGUGUGGCUACGCCCGGUCCUUGCGAAGGUUAAAACAGCAUCAACUUGACAAACUAUCGUUGUGGUUUUGAUGCGUAGGUAAGAACGGUUCUUGCUUAGCCCGUAGCAGCCACGUAAAACAUGCAACAACAAAGUAGAGGACGUCUAACUUGUUUUUGCAGGGCAUGUUGUGAUGUGAUAUGGUCAAGACAUGAUGUGAUAUAAUUUGUUGUAUGAGAUGAUCAUGUUUUGUAACCGAGUUAUCGGCAACUGGCAGGAGCCAUAUGGUUGACGCUUUAUUGUAUGAAAUGCAAUCGCCAUGUAAUAGUUUUACUUUAUCACUAAGCGGUAGCGAUAGUAGUAAAAGAAAAAGUUGGCGAGACAACAACGAUACUACGAUGGAGAUCAAGGUGUCGCGCUGGUGACGAUGGUGAUCAUGACGGUGCUUCGGAGAUGGAGAUCACAAGCACGGUGCUUCGGAGAUGGAGAUCACAAGCACAAGAUGAUGAUGGCCAUAUCAUAUCACUUAUAUUGAUUGCAUGUGAUGUUAAUCCUUUAUGCAUCUUAUCUUGCUUUGUUUGACGGUAGCAUUAUAAGAUGAUCCUUCACUAAAUUAUCAAAGUAUAAGUGUUCUCCCUGAGUAUGCACCGUUGCGAAAGUUCUUCGUGCUGAGACACCACGUGAUGAUCGGGUGUGAUAGGCUCUACGUUCAAAUACAACGGGUGCAAAAUAGUUGCACACGUGGAAUACUCAGGUUAAACUUGACGAGCCUAGCAUAUAACAGAUAUGGCCUCGGAACACGGAGACCGAAAGGUCGAGCGUGAAUCAUAUAGUAGAUAUGAUCAACAUAGUGAUGUUCACCAUUGAAACUACUCCAUCUCACGUGAUGAUCGGACAUGGUUUAGUUGAUAUGGAUCACGUGAUCACUUAGAGGAUUAGAGGGAUGUCUAUCUAAGUGGGAGUUCUUAAGUAAUAUGAUUAAUUGAACUUGAAUUUAUCAUGAACUUAGUACCUGAUAGUAUUUUGCUUGUCUAUGUUAAUUGUAGAUAGAUGGCCCGUGCUGUUGUUCCGUUGAAUUUUAAUGCGUUUCUUGAGAAAGCAAAGUUGAAAGAUGAUGGUAGCAAUUACACGGACUGGGUCCGUAACUUGAGGAUUAUCCUCAUUGCUGCACAGAAGAAUUACGUCCUGGAAGCACCGCUGGGUGCCAGGCCUGCUGCAGGAGCAACACCAGAUGUUAUGAACAUCUGGCAGAGCAAAGCUGAUGACUACUCGAUAGUUCAGUGUGCCAUGCUUUACGGCUUAGAACCGGGUCUUCAACGACGUUUUGAACGUCAUGGAGCAUAUGAGAUGUUCCAGGAGUUGAAGUUAAUAUUUCAAGCAAAUGCCCGAAUUGAGAGAUAUGAAGUCUCCAAUAAGUUCUUCAGCUGCAAGAUGGAAGAGAAUAGUUCUGUCAGUGAGCAUAUACUCAAAAUGUCUGGGUAUAACAAUCACUUAAUUCAACUGGGAGUUAAUCUUCCGGAUGAUAGCGUUAUUGACAGAAUUCUUCAAUCACUGCCACCAAGCUACAAGAGCUUCGUGAUGAACUAUAAUAUGCAAGGGAUGAGUAAGACAAUUCCCGAGCUCUUCGCAAUGCUAAAGGCUGCGGAGGUAGAAAUCAAAAAGGAGCAUCAAGUGUUGAUGGUCAAUAAGACCACCAGUUUCAAGAAAAAGGGUAAAGGGAAGAAGAAAGGGAACUUCAAGAAGAACAGCAAACAAGUUGCUGCUCAGGAGAAGAAACCCAAGUCUGGACCUAAGCCUGAAACUGAGUGCUUCUACUGCAAGCAAACUGGUCACUGGAAGCGGAACUUCCCAAAGUAUUUGGCGGAUAAGAAGGAUGGCAAGGUGAACAAAGGUAUAUGUGAUAUACAUGUUAUUGAUGUGUACCUUACUAAUGCUCGCAGUAGCACCUGGGUAUUUGAUACUGGUUCUGUUGCUAAUAUUUGCAACUCGAAACAGGGGCUACGGAUUAAGCAAAGAUUGGCUAAGGACGAGGUGACGAUGCGCGUGGGAAAUGGUUCCAAAGUCGAUGUGAUCGCGGUCGGCACGCUACCUCUACAUCUACCUUCGGGAUUAGUUUUAGACCUAAAUAAUUGUUAUUUGGUGCCAGCGUUGAGCAUGAACAUUAUAUCUGGAUCUUGUUUGAUGCGAGACGGUUAUUCAUUUAAAUCAGAGAAUAAUGGUUGUUCUAUUUAUAUGAGUAAUAUCUUUUAUGGUCAUGCACCCUUGAAGAGUGGUCUAUUUUUGUUGAAUCUCGAUAGUAGUGACACACAUAUUCAUAAUAUUGAAACCAAAAGAUGCAGAGUUGAUAAUGAUAGUGCAACUUAUUUGUGGCACUGCCGUUUAGGUCAUAUCGGUGUAAAGCGCAUGAAGAAACUCCAUACUGAUGGACUUUUGGAACCACUUGAUUAUGAAUCACUUGGUACUUGCGAACCGUGCCUCAUGGGCAAGAUGACUAAAACACCGUUCUCCGGAACUAUGGAGAGAGCAACAGAUUUGUUGGAAAUCAUACAUACAGAUGUAUGUGGUCCGAUGAAUGUUGAGGCUCGUGGCGGAUAUCGUUAUUUUCUCACCUUCACAGAUGAUUUAAGCAGAUAUGGGUAUAUCUACUUAAUGAAACAUAAGUAUGAAACAUUUGAAAAGUUCAAAGAAUUUCAGAGUGAAGUUGAAAAUCAUCGUAACAAGAAAAUAAAGUUUCUACGAUCAGAUCGUGGAGGAGAAUAUUUGAGUUACGAGUUUGGUCUACAUUUGAAACAAUGCGGAAUAGUUUCGCAACUCACGCCACCCGGAACACCACAGCGUAAUGGUGUGUCCGAACGUCGUAAUCGCACUUUACUAGAUAUGGUGCGAUCUAUGAUGUCUCUUACUGAUUUACCGCUAUCGUUUUGGGGUUAUGCUUUACAGACGGCUGCAUUCACGUUAAAUAGGACACCAUCAAAAUCCGUUGAGACGACGCCUUAUGAACUGUGGUUUGGCAAGAAACCAAAGUUGUCGUUUCUUAAAGUUUGGGGCUGCGAUGCUUAUGUGAAGAAACUUCAACCUGAUAAGCUCGAACCCAAAUCGGAGAAAUGUGUCUUCAUAGGAUACCCAAAGGAGACUGUUGGGUAUACCUUCUAUCACAGAUCCGAAGGCAAAACUUUUGUUGCUAAAUUCGGAAAUUUUCUAGAGAAGGAGUUUUUCUCGAAAGAAGUGAGUGGGAGGAAAGUAGAACUUGAUGAGGUAACUAUACCUGCUCCCUUAUUGGAAAGUAGUUCAUCACAUAAACCAGUUUAUGAGACACCUACACCAAUUAGUGAGGAAGUUAAUGAUGAUGAUCAUGAAACUUCAGAUCAAGUUAUUACUGAACAUCGUAGAUCAACCAGAGUAAGAUCCGCACCAGAGUGGUACGGUAAUCCUGUUCUGGAAGUUAUGUUACUAGACCAUGACGAACCUACGAACUAUGAAGAAGCGAUGGUGAGCCCAGAUUCCGCAAAAUGGCUUGAGGCCAUGAAAUCUGAGAUGGGAUCCAUGUAUGAGAACAAAGUAUGGACUUUGGUUGACUUGCCCAAUGAUCGGCAAGCCAUUGAAAAUAAAUGGAUCUUCAAGAAGAAGACUGACGCUGAUGGUAAUGUUACUGUCUAUAAAGCUCGACUUGUUGCGAAAGGUUUUUGACAAGUUCAAGGGAUUGACUACGAUGAGACCUUCUCACCCGUAGCGAUGCUUAAGUCUGUCCGAAUCAUGUUAGCAAUUGCCGCAUUUUAUGAUUAUGAAAUUUGGCAAAUGGAUGUCAAAACUGCAUUCCUGAAUGGAUUUCUGGAAGAAGAGUUGUAUAUGAUGCAACCAGAAGGUUUUGUCGAUCCAAAGGGAGCUAACAAAGUGUGCAAGCUCCAGCGAUCCAUUUAUGGACCGGUGCAAGCCUCUCGGAGUUGGAAUAAACGCUUUGAUAGUGUGAUCAAAGCACUUGAUUUUAUACAGACUUUUGGAGAAGCCUGUAUUUACAAGAAAGUGAGUGGGAGCUCUGUAGCAUUUCUGAUAUUAUAUGUGGAUGACAUAUUACUGAUUGGAAAUGAUAUAGAAUUUCUGGAUAGCAUAAAGGGAUACUUGAAUAAGAGUUUUUCAAUGAAAGACCUCGGUGAAGCUGCGUAUAUAUUGGGCAUCAAGAUCUAUAGAGAUAUAUCAAGACGCUUAAUUGGACUUUCACAAAGCACAUACCUUGACAAAGUUUUGAAGAAGUUCAAAAUGGAUCAAGCAAAGAAAGGAUUCUUGCCUAUGUUGCAAGGUGUGAAGUUGAGUAAGACUCAAUGCCCGACCACUGCAGAAGAUAGAGAGAAGAUGAAAGAUGUCCCCUAUGCUUCAUCCAUAGGCUCUAUCAUGUAUGCAAUGCUGUGUACCAGACCUGAUGUAUGCCUUGCUAUAAGUCUAGCAGGAAGGUACCAAAGUAAUCCAGGAGUGGAUCAUUGGACAGCGGUCAAGAACAUCCUGAAAUACCUGAAAAGGACUAAGGAUAUAUUUCUCGUAUAUGGAGGUGACAAAGAGCUCAUCGUAAAUGGUUACGUUGAUGCAAGCUUUGACACUGAUCCGGACGAUUCUAAAUCGCAAACCGGAUACGUAUUUACAUUGAACGGUGGAGCUGUCAGUUGGUGCAGUUCUAAACAAAGCGUCGUGGCGGGAUCUACAUGUGAAGCGGAGUACAUAGCUACUUCGGAAGCAGCAAAUGAAGGAGUCUGGAUGAAGGAGUUCAUAUCCGAUCUAGGUGUCAUACCUAGUGCAUCGGGUCCUAUGAAAAUCUUUUGUGACAAUACUGGUGCAAUUGCCUUGGCAAAGGAAUCCAUAUUUCACAAGAGAACCAAGCACAUCAAAAGACGCUUCAAUUCCAUCCGGGAUUUAGUCCAGGUGGGAGACAUAGAAAUUUGCAAGAUACAUACGGAUCUGAAUGUUGCAGACCCGUUGACUAAGCCUCUUCCACGAGCAAAACAUGAUCAGCACCAAGGCUCCAUGGGUGUAAGAAUCAUUACUGUGUAAUCUAGAUUAUUGACUCUAGUGCAAGUGGGAGACUGAAGGAAAUAUGCCCUAGAGGCAAUAAUAAAGUAUUAUUUAUUUCCUUGUAUCAUGAUAAAUGUUUAUUAUUCAUGCUAGAAUUGUAUUAUCCGGAAACAUAAUACAUGUGUGAAUAUAUAGACAAACAGAGUGUCACUAGUAUGCCUCUACUUGACUAGCUCGUUAAUCAAAGAUGGUUAUGUUUCCUAGCCAUAGACAUAAGUUGUCAUUUGAUUAACGAGAUCACCUCAUUAGGAGAAUGACGUGAUUGACUUGACCCAUUCCCUUAGCUUAGCACUCGAUCGUUUAGUAUGUUGCUAUUGCUUUCUUCAUGACUUAUACAUGUUCCUAUGACUAUGAGAUUAUGCAACUCCCGUUUACCGGAGGAACAGUUUGUGUGCUACCAAACGUCACAACGUAAAUGGGUGAUUAUAAAGGUGCUCUACAGGUGUCUCCAAAGGUACUUGUUGGGUUGGCGUAUUUCGAGAUUAGGAUUUGUCACUCCAAUUGUCGGAGAGGUAUCUCUGGGCCCACUCGGUAAUGCACAUCACUAUAAGCCUUGCAAGCAUUGUGACUAAUGAGUUAGUUGCGGGAUGAUGUGUUACGGAACGAGUAAAGAGACUUGCCGGUAAUGAGAUUGAACUAGGUAUCGAGAUACGACGAUCAAAUCUCGGGCAAGUAACAUACCGGUGACAAAGGGAACAACGUAUGUUGUUAUGCGGUCUGACCGAUAAAGAUCUUCGUAGAAUAUGUGGGAGCCAAUAUGGGCAUCCAGGUCCCGCUAUUGGUUAUUGACCGGAGACGUGUCUCGGUCAUGUCUACAUAGUUCUCGAACCCGUAGGGUCCGCACGCUUAACGUUACGAUGACAGUUUUAUUGAGUUUUGAUGUACCGAAGGAGUUCGGAGUCCCGGAUGAGAUCGGGGAUAUGACGAGGAGUCUCGAAAUGGUCGAGACGUAAAAAUCGAUAUAUUGGACGACUAUAUUCGGACUUCGGAAAGGUUCCGAGUGAUUCGGGUAUUUUUCGGAGUACCGGAGAGUUACGGGAAUUCGUAUUGGGCCUUAAUGGGCCAUACGGGAAAGGAGAGAAAGGCCUCAAAAGGUGGCCGCACCCCUCCCCAUGGUCUGGUCCGAAUUGGACUAGGGAAGGGGGGCGCACCCUUCCUUCUUUCUCCUUCCCCCUUCCCUUCUCCUACUCCCACAAGGAAAGGAGGAGUCCCCUAUGGCGCGCCUCUCCCCUUGGCCGGCUGCCUCCCCCUUGCUCCUUUAUAUACGGGGGCAGGGGGGCACCCCAGAGACACAACAAUUGAUCCUUGAGAUCUCUUAGCCGUGUGCGGUGCCCCCCUCCACCAUAUUACACCUCGAUAAUACCGUUGCGGAGCUUAGGUGAAGACCUGCGUCGGUGGAACAUCAUCAUCGUCACCACGCCGUCGUGCUGACGAAACUCUCCCUCAACACUCGGCUGGAUCGGAGUUCGAGGGACGUCAUCGAGCUGAACGUGUGUAGAACUCGGAGGUGCCGUACGUUCGGUACUUGAUCGGUCGGAUCGUGAAGACGUACGACUACAUCAUCCGCGUUGUGGUAACGCUUCCGCUGUCGGUCUACGAGGGUACGUGGACAACACUCUCCCCUCUCGUUGCUAUGCAUCACCAUGAUCUUGCGUGUGCGUAGGAAUUUUUUUGAAAUUACUACGUUCUCCAACAGUGGCAUCCGAGCCUGGUUUUAUGCGUUGAUGCUAUGCACGAGUAGAACACAAGUGAGUUGUGGGCGAGAUAAGUCACACUGCUUACCAGCAUGUCAUACUUUGGUUCAGCGGUAUUGUGAGAUGAAGCGGCCCGGACCGACAUUACGCGUACGCUUACGCGAGACUGGUUUCACCGUUGCGAGCACUCAUUGCUUAAAGGUGACCGGCGGGUGUCUGUCUCUCUCACUUUAGUUGAACCGAGUGUGGCUACGCCCGGUCCUUGCGAAGGUUAAAACAGCAUCAACUUGACAAACUAUCGUUGUGGUUUUGAUGCGUAGGUAAGAACGGUUCUUGCUUAGCCCGUAGCAGCCACGUAAAACAUGCAACAACAAAGUAGAGGACGUCUAACUUGUUUUUGCAGGGCAUGUUGUGAUGUGAUAUGGUCAAGACAUGAUGUGAUAUAAUUUGUUGUAUGAGAUGAUCAUGUUUUGUAACCGAGUUAUCGGCAACUGGCAGGAGCCAUAUGGUUGACGCUUUAUUGUAUGAAAUGCAAUCGCCAUGUAAUAGUUUUACUUUAUCACUAAGCGGUAGCGAUAGUAGUAAAAGAAAAAGUUGGCGAGACAACAACGAUACUACGAUGGAGAUCAAGGUGUCGCGCUGGUGACGAUGGUGAUCAUGACGGUGCUUCGGAGAUGGAGAUCACAAGCACGGUGCUUCGGAGAUGGAGAUCACAAGCACAAGAUGAUGAUGGCCAUAUCAUAUCACUUAUAUUGAUUGCAUGUGAUGUUGAUCCUUUAUGCAUCUUAUCUUGCUUUGUUUGACGGUAGCAUUAUAAGAUGAUCCUUCACUAAAUUAUCAAAGUAUAAGUGUUCUCCCUGAGUAUGCACCGUUGCGAAAGUUCUUCGUGCUGAGACACCACGUGAUGAUCGGGUGUGAUAGGCUCUACGUUCAAAUACAACGGGUGCAAAAUAGUUGCACACGCGGAAUACUCAGGUUAAACUUGACGAGCCUAGCAUAUAACAGAUAUGGCCUCGGAACACGGAGACCGAAAGGUCGAGCGUGAAUCAUAUAGUAGAUAUGAUCAACAUAGUGAUGUUCACCAUUGAAACUACUCCAUCUCACGUGAUGAUCGGACAUGGUUUAGUUGAUAUGGAUCACGUGAUCACUUAGAGGAUUAGAGGGAUGUCUAUCUAAGUGGGAGUUCUUAAGUAAUAUGAUUAAUUGAACUUGAAUUUAUCAUGAACUUAGUACCUGAUAGUAUAUUUUGCUUGUCUAUGUUAAUUGUAGAUAGAUGGCCCGUGCUGUUGUUCCGUUGAAUUUUAAUGCGUUUCUUGAGAAAGCAAAGUUGAAAGAUGAUGGUAGCAAUUACACGGACUGGGUCCGUAACUUGAGGAUUAUCCUCAUUGCUGCACAGAAGAAUUACGUCCUGGAAGCACCGCUGGGUGCCAGGCCUGCUGCAGGAGCAACACCAGAUGUUAUGAACGUCUGGCAGAGCAAAGCUGAUGACUACUCGAUAGUUCAGUGUGCCAUGCUUUACGGCUUAGAACCGGGUCUUCAACGACGUUUUGAACGUCAUGGAGCAUAUGAGAUGUUCCAGGAGUUGAAGUUAAUAUUUCAAGCAAAUGCCCGAAUUGAGAGAUAUGAAGUCUCCAAUAAGUUCUUCAGCUGCAAGAUGGAAGAGAAUAGUUCUGUCAGUGAGCAUAUACUCAAAAUGUCUGGGUAUAACAAUCACUUAAUUCAACUGGGAGUUAAUCUUCCGGAUGAUAGCGUUAUUGACAGAAUUCUUCAAUCACUGCCACCAAGCUACAAGAGCUUCGUGAUGAACUAUAAUAUGCAAGGGAUGAGUAAGACAAUUCCCGAGCUCUUCGCAAUGCUAAAGGCUGCGGAGGUAGAAAUCAAAAAGGAGCAUCAAGUGUUGAUGGUCAAUAAGACCACCAGUUUCAAGAAAAAGGGUAAAGGAAAGAAGAAAGGGAACUUCAAGAAGAACAGCAAACAAGUUGCUGCUCAGGAGAAGAAACCCAAGUCUGGACCUAAGCCUGAAACUGAGUGCUUCUACUGCAAGCAAACUGGUCACUGGAAGCGGAACUGCCCAAAGUAUUUGGCGGAUAAGAAGGAUGACAAGGUGAACAAAGGUAUAUGUGAUAUACAUGUUAUUGAUGUGUACCUUACUAAUGCUCGCAGUAGCACCUGGGUAUUUGAUACUGGUUCUGUUGCUAAUAUUUGCAACUCGAAACAGGGGCUACGGAUUAAGCAAAGAUUGGCUAAGGACGAGGUGACGAUGCGCGUGGGAAAUGGUUCCAAAGUCGAUGUGAUCGCGGUCGGCACGCUACCUCUACAUCUACCUUCGGGAUUAGUUUUAGACCUAAAUAAUUGUUAUUUGGUGCCAGCGUUGAGCAUGAACAUUAUAUCUGGAUCUUGUUUGAUGCGAGACGGUUAUUCAUUUAAAUCAGAGAAUAAUGGUUGUUCUAUUUAUAUGAGUAAUAUCUUUUAUGGUCAUGCACCCUUGAAGAGUGGUCUAUUUUUGUUGAAUCUCGAUAGUAGUGACACACAUAUUCAUAAUAUUGAAACCAAAAGAUGCAGAGUUGAUAAUGAUAGUGCAACUUAUUUGUGGCACUGCCGUUUAGGUCAUAUCGGUGUAAAGCGCAUGAAGAAACUCCAUACUGAUGGACUUUUGGAACCACUUGAUUAUGAAUCACUUGGUACUUGCGAACCGUGCCUCAUGGGCAAGAUGACUAAAACACCGUUCUCCGGAACUAUGGAGAGAGCAACAGAUUUGUUGGAAAUCAUACAUACAGAUGUAUGUGGUCCGAUGAAUGUUGAGGCUGUUUUAUUGAGUUCUCGAACCCGUAGGGUCCGCACGCUUAACGUUACGAUGACAGUUUUAUUGAGUUUUGAUGUACCGAAGGAGUUCGGAGUCCCGGAUGAGAUCGGGGAUAUGACGAGGAGUCUCGAAAUGGUCGAGACGUAAAAAUCGAUAUAUUGGACGACUAUAUUCGGACUUCGGAAAGGUUCCGAGUGAUUCGGGUAUUUUUCGGAGUACCGGAGAGUUACGGGAAUUCGUAUUGGGCCUUAAUGGGCCAUACGGGAAAUGAGAGAAAGGCCUCAAAAGGUGGCCGCACCCCUCCCCAUGGUCUGGUCCGAAUUGGACUAGGGAAGGGGGCGCACCCUUCCUUCUUUCUCCUUCCCCCUUCCCUUCUCCUACUCCCACAAGGAAAGGAGGAGUCCUACUCCCGGUGGGAGUAGGACUCCCCCUAUGGCGCACCUCUCCCCUUGGCCGGCUGCCUCCCCCUUGCUCCUUUAUAUACGGGGGCAGGGGGGCACCCCAGAGACACAACAAUUGAUUCUUGAGAUCUCUUAGCCGUGUGCGGUGCCCCCCUCCACCAUAUUACACCUCGAUAAUACCGUUGCGGAGCUUAGGCGAAGCCCUGCGUCGGUGGAACAUCAUCAUCGUCACCACGCCGUCGUGCUGACGAAACUCUCCCUCAACACUCGGCUGGAUUGGAGUUCGAGGGAUGUCAUCGAGCUGAACGUGUGUAGAACUCGGAGGUGCCGUACGUUCGGUACUUGAUCGGUCGGAUCGUGAAGACGUACGACUACAUCAACCGCGUUGUGAUAACGCUUCCGCUGUCGGUCUACGAGGGUACGUGGACAACACUCUCCCCUCUCGUUGCUAUGCAUCACCAUGAUCUUGCGUGUGCGUAGGAAUUUUUUUGAAAUUACUACGUUCCCCAACAGCAGCAUCCAUAGUUAAAAAUAUGGGCAGAGGGGGGUAGUAAGUCACAAAUGGAUCUUUUAGAAUGAUUUAUAGGAAAGGCAUUUGGGCAUGACUUAGUAAAAUGUAAGUGGAACUUGAAGAAUAAUAUACUAAGAAAAGAACUCUUGACAGACUAAUUAUCAAAAUGGUUGAGCGAUUUACAUUAGUACCUUGGGUCUAGCUGCUUGCUCAGGUGUAUCUCCUUACUUGGUAAUCCCUCCUUAAUUCUGCCCACCAAUCAUCUGAAAGAAGAGACAAGUAACACAUUUGAGUAAAACAUAUAUACUAUUAAAAAUAUUCUAGCAAUUCUGUCCAACAUGUCAUGAGAAAUAUGGUCCAGAGAGCAAUCCAUACCGAUGUUCACAUAUUUAUAGCUCAGUUUCGCCAGACCGGUGUUGAUCAAUGCAUCAGCUGAAGGAAAUGAAAAUAACAACGUAAUUAUUUAGCGGUACAAUUUGACGGCAUAUCAAACUCAAGAUCGGACGACCGGAAAUCAAUCGAUAACAUGCAUUUGAAAACAUUUCAACGAAAAAAAAAGAUCUGCACAUGCAUCUAAUUAUCAUGGCAUUAGCAUUUCGCAAGACAUGGCAUUUCAGUCAAUUAACUAUCGGGACAUUUCCAAUAUGCAAAAUAAGAGGGGAUCUAGCUUGACAUUUGAGAGACAGAGAGAUGGACCUGCAAGUCAUCGACAGUCACUAUGACGUCGACCUUGACGGCAUCAUCUGGUACGUGGUGGUGGCGAUUCACGCUCCUUAGUCAGUACCUCACCACGCAGCGGCCUGCAAACCGAGACGUCGGAGAGAGAGAGCCAGCUCGAGUAGCAGGAAAUAUAGAACUACAGUUCAUAUAGACAUAUUCAACGCCUCAAUGCUUAAAUCCCAAAUUGGGGAAUCCAGGAAAUACAGUAGUGCUAAGCUGCAGAUUGUUUGAUUGUACUUUGUAGCCCUAUGCAAAAUGAAAUGUCUGUACAAAACUAUGUAUAAUUCUAUUAACACAAGGUGGUGAUUCAGACAGCCUCUCAAAGCCUUUCCAAAAUAAGCCUCCCAAAAUAAUCAACCAAACUGGAUGCGCUGAACAUUAGAACUUGUCUAGGGAUAUGUCAAGAUGCCUAGGGAUAUGUCAAGAAGUAGAUCACACUGGAAGGCACACACACAAAGAACGGCGCUGGACAAGAGAGUGGUAUGCCUAGCCUGUUGUUCGUUCAGAUCCUGAGGCACAUCCAACACCGUGGACACAUCCGACACCUCCAACUCAUCUGCGCAACCAAAAUCCUGUCAUCAGUCAAUCCGCCGCUCCAAGUCCCCUAACCCGAACCAUGAGUAAACAGUACCUUGCAAGGUAUACGUUUACACAAGUCUUCUACAUAGGGCAUGCACCAUAAAAGGAAUAGGUGGAGAUAUUAAGCUACUAAAGCCACAGACAACAGCAAAGGACCGAUCUGGUCCUAGGCACAAGAACCAACAAUCAACUAAAUCAUACCGAGUCUACAAGCAGUCCUAUGCAGCAAGAAAAGCUUAACAGAUUAAUACAUGUUAUCCAUGGUAAUGUAAUAUGGCAGAAUUGAACCGGCAAACACUCGGACACAUUUUUUGUUAUCAGGGGCAAGUCCAGGACAAGCAAGGUAUACGUGCAACAGGAAUUUGAAAAAAAAAACAGAGAUUUGUAGCAACAUAACGAUGAUGCGGACCUGCUUUUAAACAUGGGAGGGCUACAAACAUCAAUCGUGUGAUGGGUUGACUACAAUUAGCAGAGGCAAGCGGUCAAACUAAAUAGCCAUACAAACAUCAAUCGUGUGAUGGGUUGACUACAAUUAGCAGAGUCAAGCGGUCAAACUAAACAGUCUGAUACAUGGUCGACCAUAGAGCAAACAUGUACAUGUAAAAAAUGGCCACUCAUGGGAUCUGAACAAUAUGAUACACGGUGGAUUACACAGCAAGCAUCGAAAGGGCUAAAUGGACUACUCAACCACAAAUCACUCGUUCUGUGCAUAACAUCAGGCCCAAUCACAUAAAAUCCUGGACAGAUCUAUAAUAGGAAUGUAUUAGAGUUGACCAAGCAAAGGGGCUCACCUAGCUAGUGGGCGACGCCGUGGAGCGGAGAUGCCGGCCGUUGUUCAUUAAAGAUGGAGAAUUGUGUGAUGUGCUCUCCUAUCCUCUACAGCAGCUGUAGGAGUACAUCAAUUGCUCUACUCCAAAUCGAAUUGAAGCACAUCAGGAGCUACAAGCUCGUCCCCGCUCCUCUCCUCUGCUGCUACAAAAGAAGAGAGAUAUUAGAAAGAGAUAGAGGAAGAAGAGGAGGAGGAGGAAGGAGGGGCAGGGAAUGAACCCACCAGAGGCAGAGAGGAGGCGCAGCCCCAUGGCUGCCGGUGUCGGGCCAGGAGGGGAUGAACUCUCCUCUUCUACUGCUUAUCUUGGCGGCGUCGACGUCGCUCAAGCCCAAGGCCUGCUGUUGCGCCGCCUUGGCCUGCUGCUGCUGCUCCCCGCCGCCGCUGCCGCCGUCGCGCUCCUCGUCCUUCCUCCGCUGCUGCUCGUCGUCGUUGGGAGGGGGGCUCUGUUGCGGCGGAUCUGGCCGCCGACGGCGCGGUUCGAGCCGGUGGGCGGCGGCGGCGGCGAUGUGGGUGGGAGGAGAGGAGGCGCGUGGGAGGGAAGGGGAGAGGACGCGCGGGGGAGGAGAGAGGAGGCGGCGUCUAGGGUUCAACACAGAGCGGCUGCCCUUUAUAAACCUGCACGUGAAAUGACCAAAAUGCCCACGGCGGGGCAAGGAAAUUACAGGGGGUGGCAGGAACGAGACGGUAACUAUUCAUUGCAGCAGUAACUUUUUUCUCGAUCCAGCGGCUGAGAUCAAUCCGGGGCAAGAUCGGACAGUCCAAAUCGGAUCAAGCAAACCGAUCCGACGGCUGAGAGUUACCAAACUCUGAGAGAGCCUGGGAGUGACUGCAUCUCUUAUUUCUCGAUGUCUACCCCUUUUGCAAAAAUAACAGCAUCAUCUUCUUAAAGACCGAUUCUCAUGCUUGGUCUCCUUGUAGGAAAAGGGGCUAGGGAGCCUUGUUCAGUAGCCACGGCAAGCAGACGAUGCAGUGGAUCAAUGGCUAAACUGAAAAGCAACGGCGACAGGGGAUCUCCUUGCCCCAGUACACGGCAGUGCCAAAUUUGAGCACCCGGAGUUCCAUUGAGCAGGCAAGCAGAGGAGGCCGAGGAAAACAACAUGGAUAUCCGUUCACGCUAGCGAGCACUGGAUUCCAUUCUCUGUCGAAGUUCUAGAAUGUACUCCCAGGAAACUGAAUCAUAAGCUCUCUGAAUGUUCAGUUACUUCUCUGUCAGAAACCUUGAGAAUGUGUAUAAAAUUGUCCUUCUUUUCGAACAGAUUUUUGCGUGAAAAAACUUUGUGUUGGCCAUGUGAUCCUGGAAGCUUGCCGUUUCCUUGAUCUCGCUAUAGCCUCCAAGCCUAUCACAUUCAGUUUUAGUUGCUUCCUCAAUCUGAAUUCCGCGUCAAAAAGUUUUUUGAACUCUGGAGCUGCUGCAUUUGGUAGCAAGAGAGGAGAAUGAUCUGAGAAUGAUGUUGAUGCUGCAGCAAGCUGAGAACCCAGGAUGCAUUGCCUCCCAGCCCCAGGAGUAGGAGAAUGAUCUUGUGAUGGUUCCGCAUCUUGGAAGAUGUCAGCGAGCAGGACGAACUGGGGAGAAAUGAAGACAUGCAUGGCCGUGGUGAAUCAAAGCUAAGCUUGAGAUGCACGCGAUCAAAUCCGAAGCUUGAACUGAGUUGGAGUGCAUUCCGAUUUCUUCACGGAUCACUCACAGCAGCACACGGCUUCGAUCUCAUCACGAAUCACUUCACAAGUUAAAAGGCCUUGCCCUCUGUCUUCUCUAGCGCACUUCCAAUCUUCCCCAUCGUCUCCUCUCCUCUCCUCCACCGCGCGCAUCCUCUCCUCCACCCCAGCGACCGGCAUCCACUGCUCCCAUGGAGAUUGCCCGCCGGGAGCCCUUCAGCAUCAUGUCCGGCUCCGGCCGGAAGCGCCCGCGCCCGCUGGAGAUCCUUCGCCAGCGGUUCCAGUCAGAGCUCGCCGCGGUCCGUCGCCUCCUCGACGAGGCGCACGCCGUGCUUCCCGCCUCGUCCCCGUCGGCUCCCCGCGUGCGCGUCCCUCCAGCCGUGGAGCCGCCAGCCAAGAAGAGGAAGGCUUCCCCCCUUCCCGUUCCCGUGAAGAAGAUGACGUCCAAGGAGAGGAACCAGCUCUACGGGGACCUCGCGAAGCUAGCCAAGCUGUCUGAAUCACAUGUACUCCCUGCUCAUAUCUUGGAGCUGCUGAAGAAGCACAGCCGCCGCGGCCUCUGCGGCGAUUACAUCGAGAUCGAGAUGCACGCCGUCCAGGACGCGGCCCUUGUGGAGAUGCAGAAGCAGCUGGACAAAUUCCUUCGAGAGAGGGCGAAUCCGACGACGCAUCAUCAACACAAAAAGAUGAUGGCCCAAGACCAAGAGGAGGACGAAGACGUCGACAUCGUCGGCGGCGUCUCUCCUUUGCCGGUCAGGCCGACACCAGUGCAGCUCGUCGAAGAGGAUGGGGUGUACGUAGACAUCUGCGGCGACGCCUCACCCUCACCGGUGAAGAAUCUUGGCCAAGGUGCAACCAUCAGCGGCAGCAGCGGUUCGGAUUCUGAUUCUUCUCACCAGAGCGUCGACAGUCGUCCAGCUCCGGCAGAGCGCGCCGCCAACACUACGCCUCCAACACGCGACCUGAUCGCCCGUGCCAACGAGAUUCUGGAAAGGCGGCGAAAGGAGGCGACGUCCCGGGCGAGGGAGAAGGCCCGUCAGCAAGUGCUAGAGAUGGAGAGGACGGCAAUGCCGAAGGACACCCUAGACGAGGACGUGAAGGCCCUCGGCAUUGAUCAGCACAACACGGCCAGGCCCAACAACUUGCUGCGACAGAUGGGACUCUUUCUCAAGGUUGACGACCACGACCUGAAGCAGCAGCAUCAAUGCUGUCAAGAAGAUUUAGAGGAAGGGGAGAUUCGGUUGUGAUCGUCGUUUUCUUUCUUAGAAGUGAUCGUCGUGGCUAGUAAGAAAGCUUGUAAUAGUUCUCCUCUGCUGCUGAACGUGAUUGAAAAUGUAUGAAAAUACUUGAUCGAUUAAUUCGAGUCUCAGCUCAGUUAGUGAUUUUUACUUUUGUAUGUACACAUGUUUUGUGGUGUGUGACGACGGUUUUGCUGAAUUGGUUGAAUUCGUUGUUUUGCUGAAUUGCAGAGAGCAGAGGGACAUUUGGGCCGGGGCAUUUUGUUUAUUAACCGUGCUCUGGUCGUCAGGCUGCUGCCAUCGCUCUGAACUUCUGAACUUCUGAAGGUUGUUAAGAUUUAAGAACUGAUUCUGUGGCAGCUAGUUAUAGUAGCUAGUUAGUAGUUGUUGUAAUUAGUCCAAGAAUUGAUUUCUGUUCUUGUUUGUAGAAAUGAAGAGAAAGACUUUUAGACAGUUAUUUUGCAAGUAAUUCAAAUGUCUCCCUGUUGUUCCCGAACCCAACACUGUAUAUGGUCAAACAUGAAAUCUCUACAAAAACUAAUUAUUUAGGCACGGAGGGAGUAGGACUUUUGCUUAUUUGGAUUAUAGGAUUAGGAGAUAUUGAAUCUUUUGGUAAGCAGAUCCAGAUUUUGGUUCAGAAUUUUAGAUUAAAAAAAAUCUUGCAAAUAUUACAAUAUGUUGCCAGUAGUAUUCAGGGAAAUUUCGACCUUAUUUGGACUAGGAUUGGGAGAUAAUGACUUUUUUUCGCACUGUUAACUUUAAGCCUACCCUCAAUUUUUGCCAUGGAUUCACCACUCUCUGGGAUGAUGGAUUUACCUUAACAGGAGAUUUAUGAGGCCUUUGUGGAGUAUUAUUUUUUUCCAGAUUUUUCUGGAUAGUUCAUGUUUUGGGCUAAAAUUUAUUUUUUGGCAAAAUUAUUUUGUUAUUUUGGUCUGUCCAGCCUCUCAUUUCUGUCAUCCAACAAAGAAACAUGUAAUGUGUGUUUGGCAAAGCUAAGGGGUAUUUGCUGAAUUGCAGAGGAAGAAGGAACAUUUUGACCGGGGCAGAGCAAACACGAGGCAUUUUGUCUAUUAGCCCUGAAAGUUUUGGUGGGAGAAAAGGGAGUGCAGGGAGCAGUUCAUGGCGGCCGCGGGGCUCGACCGACGGCGAAGGGGGUGCGCUCCUGGGGCAGCCUCUGCCGUUGCUCCUGGGGCACUUGAACCCUUCCUCUCGGACGUGGCACCCUCGUCCUCGAGAGUCCAGUUCAGGUGCGUGCUGUCUUGCGGUUCAUCUGUUUGUGGCUGGUGGUGCGCUUCUGGAUCGUUCAUGGGGCUGUAUAUGCUGUGGUGCAGGAAUAUGGCGUCGCUGGCGCGGUGGGUGGAGGAGGGUGGUGCGGCGGAGGUGUUGGACAACAAGGUGAAGCUCUGGCAAGCUGUUGUACAAUGUCGAGGAGAUCGGGUACGCCACCUGUUUGUUGAAAUGCCUUAACAACGUGGCAUUGGUUCUGUUUUCAAGUACUUCAACUUGCAGUCUGAGGCUUGUUGGGUGAUCAAACUAUGCAGGUUUUUGGUAGAAAGAGGGGCAUUGGUUCUUCUCAACGACAAGGAUGUAACCAUAGCAAUGGAGGAAAUCUAUGGAAAGAUUGCAGGAGGGAGUUACGGGUGCUCCCGGCUUGCCUUCCAAGCUUACAAGCACUUGAAGUUGCUUGGCUACAUUGUUGGGCGAUAUGGUGUUCCAUGGACAAUGAUAUGCGUAAAGCCAUAUGUUGCAGAACAAAACUAUCAUAGAAGGUAUAGAAGUAGGUAAGGAGAUGCAAAAAGAUCGCAAUAAAUGAAUUUGGGCUUAGCAGUUUACGGUUGAUUUCGUCACCAAAUUUGAUAGUGCUGAUGGUGCCUGAAAUGACAUCACCAAAUUUCUCGAAGUAAUGCACAUAGAUGGGAUGUAUCCAUCCUUUAAAGUGCAUCUACCAAAUAGCAAAUUUAAGAAGUCGUCCCCAGGAGUCCCUAAUUUUCUUGUAUGUCUGUUAAGGUAAUGCUACUUUCCCCGUCGCUUACAAAUCGCGGAUCCAUGCUUUUAAACUUGUGCAUUUUUGUUUACAUUGAUCCGUUCCUUUUGACAUGGAUGCUUAAUUGUUUUUGGCUCAUGUGUUUGACAUGAUUUUAGCUAUCUAUCGUUUGAAAUGUAUGAUUUCCCCUUUCACUUAUAUGUUCUGAAACUAUGGGAUAUUUAGGCAUGUAGGAUGUGUCUAUGAUGUGUUAUUGGCUGUCUUUGCACAUGGAUAUAAUUUAUCUGUUGUUCACUCUAUUCUGUGAACACAGAUUUAUUUUAUUUGUCCAUUAUACCUGAGUGGUUAGCAUGCUUGAGCUAUAUAAAUGCAAGAAAUUUAAGCCUACUGUCAAAGGUGAUGGAUUUUUUUUGGGGAGGUUCUAAGCGCAGUUACAGUCAGCUGAACUCUGUCUUGCAAUCAAAUUGUGCAAUCAGUCAUGAUUUCCUGUAUUUAUAUGCUUAUCAUGGUUGCAUCACUUGCGACUUAUCACGAGUUAUCAUCGUUUUCUUGACUGACCUUUACCCAAAGAAAGAAAUCCGAGUAACAGUAGGUAGCAAUGUGCGUAAAGCCAUAAACUGUAGAACAGAACUAUCAGAAGCUUUAGAAGUAGGUAAGGAGAUGCAAAAAGGGUCUCAAUAUACGAACUUGGGCUUAACAGUUUACGGUUGAUUUCGUACAAUCUGGUGAUUGACACCUCUAGCCAUCCUAACUUUUUGUUGUUCGAUUUGCCGCAGAAACAAGCCACCCUCAAGGGAUGAACUGGAAACUGUGGAGAAGUUCGCCGGCAUUCGUCUUAAAUUCUGCCAAGUUGAUAAUGGACGCAUCAGCUUACUCUCCUUGGACAGAGUUACACUUCCUACUUUGCCCUGAUACAUAGAUAGCAGCAGGAAUGUUUUGUAGUUGUCGCCUGUUCUGGUCCUGUAAGCUGUUAGCUAAGCCUGCCUCAGGGUGUAUGUUUCUGUUCCGGUUAUCCGCAUUCUUGGCAGGACCAAGGAAGGCAUCAUAUAGAUCUUCAGGUUCUUGAGUUGCUUGGUUACUGCUGAUGAUGUCGUUUCGGCUCGUGCAACAGGAAAUUUGGUCUUCCGAGGGCGAUGAAUGCUGCUCUUUUCAUUGUCCCUGGCUUGAUGUCUGGGUGUGGAGUUUGAAUGCUCAUGAGUAGCCAGCGUGCCGGAAGCGAAACCGCAAUGCAAUACCAGAUUUGCAGUCCAGAAAACAUGUAUUCCAGCAAGAGGCCGUCGUACCAUUGUCAUUAGCUCAUGUUUGAUCAGUAUUGUAACCACUGUUUGUCAAUGGAUUGGCCAUAUGCAUACAGAUAAUGAUAUCAUGGUAUUGGUACACAGACGUAGCCUACCUGUAAUGUUACUUUCAGCUAGCGGAUGCCGCAUCUCCACUGAUACAGACGCUAGGAAGCUCGAGUGCCUGAGCUAUCGCUCUUGAUCUAAACUUAUACGAUGCUCUUUAGCCUGAAAAACAAGUAAACUACUUUGAAUUUGACUAUCAGUUGAAAGAAAAUGCUAUAUAUAGUACAAUUUAACAUGCAUAAGCUGAAAGCUGCCCUUCUGUUUUGCAGAGCCUCUCUGGGCAUUAGAAUUUGUUGCCCUUGUUAGAUGUUAGGUAUUAUGUACUGCACUAGCAAGAUGCCCGUGCAUUGCACGGAACAUCAAGAUGCAUUUUUUUUUUACAAAACACUUGUUGUGAUUGACCCAUGCAGGAGUAAUCCCAUGUGUAAAAACUAAUGAUAUCUCGAGAAUUUUAUCGAAAAAAUGGUAUCUCGGGAAUUUCAUCAAAAAAAUGAAAGAUGGGAGAUAAGGUGAGGAGGAGUGGAGCGUGGUGGUGACUGGUGGUCGGACUGGGCGGAGGCAUGGGGAUGGAUGGCGCCGGCAGGCGACAGCGGCCACCAUGCUAGAUUGUUUCAAAGACUUUCUUUUUUAAUUACUCAUCAAUGAGGUUGUGGGAGAUAAGGAUGAACGAGGCAAGGCCUUAUCUGUCAAUGUGGAGAGAGGUGCGGGUAUCUUUUGUAAAAUUGUCAUAGUUUGCUCUCUAUCCGUCAGAUAUAUAUCGGACGGUCUAUAUUACAAAAUGGCAGGCACACCAUCAUCACCAACUCGGUUUUUUUAUAAGAGUAGAGAUAUUGUCAAUCUUCUCAAUGCUGAAGACAAUCAAAUUUCACCUUGAACAGUCUGAAAUAGACAAGCAAAUCAGUGAGCUACAACAAAUCCAGAAUGAGCUUUAGGAUUAUUAUUUUUCUUGAUGGUGUACUAAUACUCAUGAGUAAACUGAGAACUGAAAUCAAAUUCAUGAUGGUGUGCUACUAAGCUUUUAUCGAUUUUACACUGAGUUUUCUAUAUACUAAUUAGUAGUGUUAGUAAACCAAAGAUUAUUAUUCAAAUAUUCAAGUAAUUAUUUUAACAUGUGUACAGGGCACCAUUAGAUUCCAGGGACAUUUUGAUUUGAAAUCCAUGCAAGAAACAUUCACUACGUAUCGAGACUAGAGUUUUUUUGGCUGCGNNNNNNNNNNNNNNNNNNNNNNNNNNNNNNNNNNNNNNNNNNNNNNNNNNNNNNNNNNNNNNNNNNNNNNNNNNNNNNNNNNNNNNNNNNNNNNNNNNNNNNNNNNNNNNNNNNNNNNNNNNNNNNNNNNNNNNNNNNNNNNNNNNNNNNNNNNNNNNNNNNNNNNNNNNNNNNNNNNNNNNNNNNNNNNNNNNNNNNNNNNNNNNNNNNNNNNNNNNNNNNNNNNNNNNNNNNNNNNNNNNNNNNNNNNNNNNNNNNNNNNNNNNNNNNNNNNNNNNNNNNNNNNNNNNNNNNNNNNNNNNGUAUCGAGGGUAGAUUUUAUUACUCAAAUAAUUAUUUUAACAUGUGGAUAGUGCACCAUUAGAUUGCAGGGACAUUUUCAGUUGAAAUCCAUGCAAAAAACGAGAGUAAGAGUUUUUCUCCUAACUCCACAUCGUAGAUGCACACAACCACAGCCACAUGAAUUUGAUUUCUUAUAUCUCCCCCGACACAAUUGUCACUAUUUAGUGGAUGUAAUUAAAUGAUAGUUGGAAUUUAGUCAUUGGAAAUGCAUCAUAAGUGAUAUCAUGAUUGGUUCCAGUGCGUCAAAUAUAUUUAAAGGUCCAGACUGAGGUUUGCCACUGUCAACAUUGGUACGUAUAUAUGGUACAUAUGAACAAUUUUAAUAUAUGGCAUUCGCCUGCUCGCAAAAAUAUAUAUUCAUAUCCAUUUUACCUAUUUUUUGUUAACUCUACCUAAUCUCUAUCUAAUAGUAAGUCAGGAAAACGUUUGAAAUUUACAUAAAGCCCCUUUAGUUUUCUUGACAUUAACCCGCGGUCCGGGUUUAAUGAGUCGAAGAAAAUAUUUUGGCUUUUGCAGAACCCCUUGAAUUUCUCACGAAUCAACCCGCAGUCCACUCGCCCAAACUAUAAGUUAAAUGCUUAAGUUGUGAUUCGAACACGGGACCCUAGCACUGUAGUUGCAUCAUGCUGGCCACCAUCACGAGUAGGUGAGUCCGCUAAAUAUUUUUUGAACUUAGACGGGUCUGUUAUUAAUUCCUUAGCCAACCAGGGAAUGGGAGGAGAAAAUUGUUAGCACUAUAAUUGGAAGUUAAUAUAUACGUUAUUAAUGAUUCGCAUGGAAUCAGCCAAUGAAGGCGACAGUUCAAUUGCCACUUCAAUUUAAUGGGGCUGACUAAAAAAGGGGAAUCUUAUGAUGACUACCCGACUAAUAUACCCACCCGAAGGCAGUGCUAGGAACGACAUUCCGUAUAACACACGACUAUUCACACUUAAAUAGUCCCACAUCGAUUUCUUACACUAAAUCCCCGCAAAAAAAGAUUUCUUAAAUAUCAUCAAUCUAUAUACAUUCAUAAAUUGUUUGAAAUAUUAACAAGCCCCCUUGGAAAUAACGAGGAGAGAAUGAGAAUGGAGGAGGUGCAUCAUCGGGCGUUAAUCGCACUAGAUGACCGGUUGCGUCAAUUGACGCACAGUCCCAUUUAAAACCUUGAGUGCUUUCAGAAUACUUACAUUUGUUAGUAACUUCAGGUGUGAGCAACCACUUAGGUACCCACACAAAAUCUUUUAAUAAAAAAUUAAUACGAAUUUCUUUUUACAAAUAUAUACGUGAGAAUAUGCAAUUUGUAGUCAAUCCAUUUUCAAACAUGGGAUUAAAACUGCAGUUUAUUUGCAUUCUGAUCAAACCAUGGCGCAUAUUGUUUAUUUGCAUUCUGAACCAAGAGGCCACAAAACCUCCUAAACUGAAAAAUUCGUCAAUGAGUGAGUGACACAAAAGGCAAGCCAACUAAUGCUCCAUCACAAUGUAUCCAUGAAAUACAUCAUUAAAAAGGGUGUUCUAGCUAGUACCUAUCUGCUAACAUGGGAGACAAUCAAACAAUACAUUCUAGAAAGCUCAUGCCAACAAAGUAACGAUCAUGGGGGGAAGAAGGUUGAUGCUCCCCGGUAGAAAAAAUCUGACUUGCUGCUGAUGCAAAAACUCAAACCAUCAACACACCUUUUUUCCGAGUGAACCAACUCCGAAAUACCUCAACCUACAUGAAGGAAUAAAGACCAAUAGCCUCAUAUCCCCCCAACCUGUUUUCUCCUGUAAUUUUCAGUGAUUCAGAUGCAUGAAGAGAUAUAUGCAGCAGCAAGAACAAUGAAAUAAGAGAAAACGAUCUCACAUUAGUUGAUCCCAAGAACACAUAGAAAGUAUGUAUUUUUUUACGUGCCUGUAAAUCGGCAAGUCAUCGAUGAUUGAUCUUCUUAUAGGGCUAUGCGUAAACCUCGAGAGCUGAUUCAGUUGGAAAAUGAAAUGAAUCAAACAACUCAAAAAAAUGGAAGGCAAAAACUGCGGUAAAGAGAUGGUACUGAUGACUGUAUACAUUGGCAAAGUUGCGGAGGUGCGGCUACUGGGCUGCUCUCAUCAGGCUAUCCAUACCCUACCCAUGAAAUAUAUAAAUGAAUUAGAGAAAGGAAAGAGAAUAAACACGGCUGAAGGCCGAGCUCAUGGUGGGGUGGUGAAACAGUAGUAGAACUGAAACAUUCAUCAAGCAAAUGCCGACUGCCAUAUGACACAACCAGCAAGGUAAGAAAUCGGGUCAUGGAGGAGCUCAACCCCGCAGAAAUAAUCCACCUCUGGGAGAAAACAACAAACUGAUGUUGUUGGCAAACCUGAGCAGCCAGCGGAACAAUGAACAAUGAACCGAACGAUCCCGCACCAACACUGGAAGGAGAAGUAAGCAAAAGAGGAAAAUCGAACAGCAGGAGGCAAGGUAACGGAAAAUCGACGCGGCCAUGUAUGACGGCUGGCUGGGGCAGCGUGCCGCUUACUGCUGUGGAUGUCAUCCUCUCCUCCCAUAGAUAACAACCAUGAGACGUCCCCUAGGAACCUGAGCAACCAGCAGCACCGUCGGAAGCGAGGCAGGGCGGUUAUGACUGGUUGGAAUUUUUUUAUGGACUCUACCAACAAGCUGUCCACACACUGACUCCGCAUCUUCAGUUGAACCAACAGUCUUCCUAUUAGAAUUACUUGACUGCAGCUAAAAACAAAGGAAUGGGUAAACAAGCAGUUCUCAAAACACAUUCUCGAGAUUAAAACAUCUGAUCACUUGAUAAACUACUAAAUGAGGAAUAUAGUAGAGCCACCUGAAUCAGGAAAUCACAUGGCUUACAUAGAUCAUUCUUCCCCUGCCAGCCUUCUGGGAUUUUCGUCGAACACCUUGUAGGCGUACAGAAAUAAAAUCUGCACAAGCACAGAUGAUCCACGACCUGUCACUGCCAACGCUUCCUCCCGAUUUCUUCCACACGAGUACCCCCUCUUCUCCGCUCACACGAGUACCCCCUCUUCUCCGCCCCUUCAAUAGGAGCUGCGGGUCACCGCCUCCAUCUCCCUCACCCCUGCAUAUCACCGCGACACCGCCUCUCGCCCUCUCUCAACAUCCGGGCCACGGAGCAAGAGACGAAGGAUGGAGGCGUACCAGGGGUUGAUCGUAAAUCGAGCGAUGAAGGACGAAGACGGCCGCACAGGGGAGGGAGGAGGACCAACGAGCUCAGCAGGUGGGAAGGCAUGAAGGAAAAGAUCUCACCGCCUCCAACUCGAGCUUGUCGGCGAGCCGUCCUCUCCUGCCCCACCUUAGCAGCUCCCUCAUCACCUCCACCAGAUUCCCCCUCGUCCUUCCUUGCCUGGCCAUCGAUGUCCCCUCUCCUCUAUAAUCCCGCGCCGGCGCCGGCGCCGACGCCUGGGUGGCCGCAUCCGUCCUUCUGCUCCGAAUCGCGAGGAAGAGAGGGUGGGCAGAGAUGGGCCUAGCGAGGAGGUGGCGCCGCCCGCGAUGUGAGCGAGCAGGGAGGAGGAGGAGGGACGCGGGGCGGGGCUCGAGGAGGACGGGCGGUUGGAGAGGAGGGAACGGGGAUGAAGGAGAAAGCGGACGGGCGGAGCGGUGGUCUUUUCCCUCGCGUGGUGCGGUGCGCUCGCCUGACCCUCGCUGUUUUUUCUCACGCGCGGUCGCGUUGCGGUGGUUUUUUUUCUUCACGUGGUGCGGUGCGCUCGAGCCAUUGGUUGUGCGUAGCAACUCCUUCAUCCUUUAUAUGUUCAAUGAGUAUGCAGAAUUAAAUGAGGACGUGCCCCUCCUGCAUAAAAGAGGGCCUUGCACUAUUGAUUUGAAAACGGGAAUUGUGGUCUCCCACACAAUCCUCACUACAAUCACGCCAAUUUUAUCUUCCGUUGCAACGCACGGUCCCUUUUGCUAGUACUAAUAAAUGGACUAUUGCUUCUAUCCAUCUGUCAUUAAAAUUACCCCCGAAGUUGAUAGAAGUCACCCACUAUGCCACCUAUAAAUAGAAAAACGAUUUGAUUCGCUACAUGGGCCGUUUUCUUUGGUUUAUAUACGGUGCGGCCCUAAUGACACACAACAACACAGCCAACCCACUAGCCAAAGCUUUACUCCCCCAUCCAAGAGACUUUAGUUCGACCCAGUGCCGCCCUUUUUUUCACUUUUCUUUCUUUUUGCAAAUUCAAAUGCCUUUAAAAUAAUCAUAUCUUUCAAACCCUAACUCCAAAUUUAACAUGUUGUAUAUGAAAAUCGCGUAGAAAAAUAUGUAGAUAGCUACGUUCGCUAGCAAAAUAUAGAGGGUUACAAAAAAAGGCCUCGCUUGGGGCCUAGUCGGCGUCGAUUUUGUGCCCGACUUUGAGUAUGUUUGCACGCCCACCAAUUUGAUAUAUGCCACAAGUCUUAGUAUUAAAAGUGACAAUUUCCAUCAAGUUUAAGCACCGAUGGUGUAAUUGACUCUUUAUUUUAUUCCAUGGAGGUGAUCAUAUGUGAAGUACACUGAUCAACUCGUAUUCACACUACACUUGUGGGAGUGAGAGAGGAACAUCAUGCACUCGUGCUCAGCGUCGGCCACUGCAUUGAUCCUGACAUUGAGGAAGUCAACGGUGCGAUCUCCUGCUGCAAAUGCAUCCCAGUAUCCAUCGGCCAAUGUCUGGACCAAGCAGUUCUUGAACAUCGCCGGGCGCUUCUCGUGGACUAGCACCCCCGGCGGCCCUAUGAUCCUCUCGGGCUCCGGCUGGUAGAACAUCGCCAGUGACAGCCUCUCCUUGUCGGCGCUCGUCACCACACGGCGCCACGGCGCCUUGAAGAUUGCAUUGCUGAUGAUCUGUGUGCAUAGGAAUGAGAUACUACUCUCUUUCAUGAUCUUUGCAAAUUACAGUAGUUAUAUGCAUGUAUACGUACCUCCAUGCCCUCGCCGACAACGACCAACAGGUCAUUACUGAGCACGGGAACAUCAACCCAGUGGCCGUCCUUAAGCACCUGGAAGCCGCCGACGUCCUUGUCCAUGAGGAGCAGUGUGAUGACAGAGUUGUCGGUGUGCGGCUUCAGCCCGUUCACGAGGUCCGGGCGUGGGCAGGGAGGGUAGUAGGUGAACCUCGAGUAUGACUUGAACCUCUCACCCACCAUGUUGAUGAAGAAGCCCUCCUCCUGGUUCAGAAGCUUUGCCAUGGCCUUCAGCACAUCCAUGGUCACUCUCCCACUCUCUAAGGUGUACUCGUGUAGGAGAUCCCUGCAGAUUAUAUAUGAUCUCCAAUAUAAAUGCAAAUAAAAAAGGAUUUUAAAUCACCGAGGGCAACAAUUAAUGUGUAGGUCGAGUACCUUAGAUUCUGCGGCCAGAACUGGAGCCGCCUCUCGUCCUCCGGCUGGAGCUGGAGCCAGAGCCGGUCACACCAGUCGAGGAUCUGCUCGUGGGAGUCGAUGCGGUCGAUGCCGUACCCUUCGUUCUGGAAUUUGACGCCGUCGAUCACGUUGCCGCACUUCUGCUUCUCCUCCAGCGGCAGGUGGAAGAACUUCCUUGUCGCCUCGAGGAUCUCGUCGAGGAACUCCUUUGGCAUGCCAUGGCCGGUAACCACAAAGAGGCCCCAUGAAUGGAGCACAGACCGAAGCUUGGCCGCCUCCUCAACGUCAUCGGGCAUGGCCAGACGGCUCACGUCCACGAUGGGGAUGACCAGCUUGGCUUGCUGUGCAACGGUGGUCGGCCUGUUCUCCUCGCUUAGCACGUACCUGAUCGGCGGCGCCACAAGUCCAACGUCCACGGCCACCAUCUGCACCAGCUUUCCCUGAUCCUGAUGAACCAUCUUGACGCUAGAAUAGGUCUUCUAAACCAAGUGCACGUACUCUUUCCUUUGGCAGUCUAUAUAUAUAGGCUUCAGGUGUGCGCCUAUUUCAACGUUAGGUGACAACCAGCAGCAGUGGCCUGAAUCGAGGGAGGGCGGGUCUUCUCAGGUGAGCUUCUCCCUCUCAAGUCAAGUGUAAUGCCCCAUGCCUUUGGUCACUUCCUCGAUUUGGACGAUUUCAGGGUUUGGUGUGUGUUGCAAUUUAUUUGGUAUGAACACUAGCAUGGGGAAUGUAUCUGGAUGGUGGAUUUAUCGUCAUACCAGAUGGAUUGGCUUUUGUGCAGCGUUGUUUUUUCAGAUUAAGUUUGUUUUACCAAAAUUCUUUUGUUACUUACUUUGGUUAGGGAUAUUUUCGGCAUCCAACAAAGAAACAUGAUAAAUUGUAAUGUGUCACAUUUUAUCAAUCGGCAAAGCUAAGUUGGGGGUAUUUGCUUAAUUGCAGAGAAAGAAGGGCAUUUUGGCCAGGGAAGAGCUAACAUGGGACAUUUUGUCAACUAUUAGCCUUGAAAGUUUUGGUGAUAGAAGGGCGUACAACCGUGCAGGGAUUGGUUCAUGGCAGCCGUGGCACGCGACCGGCGGAGAAGGGGCCGUGCUCCUGGGGUUGCCUCCCCCGCUCGCGGCUGAAGACGACGGGGAGGAGCAGCACCUCAACCCCUUCCUCUCGGACGCGGCACCCUCUUCCUCGAGAGUCCAGUUUGUUAGGAAUAAGCCAUGGCCGUCACGGUGGCGACCACGUCGGGUGCGUGUGCGUGCGCGCACCGGACGCGUCGGGUGCAGACUGAGCUGCAUCGGGUCCGUGGCGGGAGUGCAUGGGUGUGUGUGUGUGUAUGACAGCGCGUGUGUGGGUUGGUUAGAGAGACGCGUGGGGGUGUGACCGCGCCGGGCACUGACCCGGUCGCGUCCCGUUUGCGUGCGUGCGCGUCGGGCGCGGAAGCUGUGAAGCGCGGGGCGUGAUGAAGUGGGCAGUGGGGCUGCGUCGGGAGCAGACGUGGGCGUUGGUGCGCGCAUGUAUAAGCCCCGACCCCGCGUGUUGUAGCCAGUCGCUCGAGUUUGUGGCUUGAGUAAAGCGGCCGUUGUUGCGGCCGGCGGCGUUCGUGCGUCUCGUAUAUUUUGUUGUGUGCUUCUCGUUCUUCCUCCUUUUCUCUUCUUCAGUGUGUGCCAACGAGAGAGAGAGAGGUCAGUAAAGAGACAGAGAGGUGAGCUAGGGCGGCCACGACUCCAACAAUUGGUAUUCAGAGCCUCGUUGCGAAGGUGAUCGCUGGCGAUGUCGCUUGCGGAUCGGGGAGCUCGCUGCCGCAGCCCGUUCCCAUGCUCACUGGUGAGAAUUACAUCACGUGGGCGAUCAAGGUGGAGGCCAACCGGGAUGCGGCCGGAUUGUGGGAGGCGGUGGUGCCGGCGGAGGACGCGGCGACGGCGGUGAUUGCCAAGAAGGACAAGCCGGCGCGGGCGUACCUGCUUGGCGCGCUCGCCGAGGAUCUCCUGCUGCAGGUGGCGCUCAAGAAGACGGCGGCGGAGGUCUGGAGCAGCCUCAAGGCACGGUUCGUCAGAGCCGAUCACGUCUGGGCGGCGCGGCUGGCCUCGCUUCGGAGCGAUUUCGAGCUGCUGCGGAUGGAGAGCAGCGAGACGCUGGACGCCUUCGCCGGCAAGAUCAGCGGCAUGGCGGGUCGCUAUGCCGGGUUGGGGUCGACGCUCGACGAUCCGGCGAUGGUGAAGAAGCUCCUGGACUCCGUCCCGGAUCGCUUGUACGCCGCCGUCGCCGGAAUGGAGCAGUUCUGCGACGUGAACGCCAUGCCAUUCGAGGAAGCUCUCAGGCGGCUGAAAGUGUUCGAGGAGAGGCUGCGACGGCAUGGACAAGGCGGCGACGAGCGGGCAGAUGGCCAGCUGAUGUACACGGCGGCGCAGUGGCAGGCGCGGCAGCGACGUUAGGGUGGUGGCGGCUUCAACGAUGAUGGCGGCGCGGCGAGCACGGCAUCAGGCGGCGGGAACAAGCGGCACGGGCGAUGCUACAAGUGCGGCAAGCGCGACCACUUCAAGCGCGAGUGCCCCCAGCUGUGGAAGGCGCCGGCGGCAGAACAUGCACUGCUGGCGGACGUCGACGUCGAGGACGCCGGCCUCCUCUGAGCCACGGCUUAGGGGAUGAAUGUUAAGAAUAAGUCAUGGCCGUCACGGUGGCGACCACGUCGGGUGCGUGUGCAUGUGCGCACCGGACGCAUCGGGUCCGUGGCGGGAGUGCACGGGUGUGUGUGUGACAGCACGUGUAUGUGCGCGUGUGUGGGUUGGUUAGAGAGACGCGCGGGGGUGUGAUCGCGCCGGGCGCUGGACCCGGCCGCGUCCCGUUUGCGUGCAUGCGCGGCGGGCGCGGAAGUUGUGGAGCGCGGGGCAUGGCGAAGUGGGCAGGUGGGGCUGUGUCGGGAGCGGAUGUGGGCGUUGGUGCGCGCAUGUAUAAGCCCUGACCCUGCGUGUUGUAGCCAGUCGCUCGAGUUUGUGGCUUGAGUAAAGCGGCCGUUAUUGCGGCCGGCGGUGUUCGUGCGCCGGGUAUAUCUUGAUGUGUGCUUCUCGUUCUUCCUCCUUUUCUCUUCUUCAGUGUGCCAACGAGAGAGAGGGGUCAAUAAAGAGACAGAGAGGUGAGCUAGGGCGUCCACGACUCCAACACAGUUCAGGUGUGUGCUAUCUUGUGGUUGAUCUGUUUGUGCUGCUGGCGCACUUCUGGACCUUUCAUCUCAUCGGGUUGUACAUGUUGUGGUGCAGGAACGUCGCGUCGCGGGCGCGGUGGGUGGAGGAGGCUGGUGCGGCAGAGGUGUUGGACAACAAGGGGAAGCUCUGGCUGACCACUGGCAUAGCACGGGGUGGCAAGCUCUACUACAAUGUGGAGGAGAUCGGGUACGCCACCUGUUUGAUGAAAUGCUGUAACAUUGCAACAUGCCCUGGAUUCCUUGUAUUUGAAAUCGCAUGGCUAUUACCCAUUUUUUUACUAGUUACAUCAUGUCGCAUUUAAAAUAGUGCACUAGUGCAACAUCAUUGUUUAGAGAUUAUGCAUGAAUCACAUAUCAUGGUUUUUGUUUUCAAAUACUCCGACUUGCGGUUUAAGGCUUGUUGCAUGAUCAAACUACGCAGGUUCUUGGCAGAAAGAGGGGCAUUGGUUAUUCUCGAUGACAAGGAUGAAACCGUUGGAAUGGAGGAGAUCUAUGGAAAGAUUGCAAGUGGAAGUUAUGGGUGCUCCUGGGAUGCCUUCCAAGCUUACACGCACUUGAAGUUCCUUGGCUACAUUGUUGGACGAUAUGACGUUCCCUGGACAAUGAAGCAUAUCUGUUCUGGUGACGUCACCAAUUCCCCCGAGAGUAUGGAUGCCACAAGCCAGAGCUUUGGUAAAGCCAAUGGUGCCUGCAACGACAUUACCAAAUUGCUCAUAGGAAUGCACAUAGGUGGGAUGUAUCCAUCCUUUAAAGUGCAUCUACCAAAUAGCAAAUUUAAGAAGUCGUACCCAGGAGUCCCUAGUUUUCUUGUAUGUCUGUUAAGGUAAUGUUACUUUUCCUGCCACAUGCAGAUCGUGGAUCCAUGCUUUUAAACUUGUGUGGCAUUUUCGUUUACAGCAAUCCAUUCCUGGGUUAUCUCUUCACACACAUGCUUAAUUUUUUGGUCAUGUGUUUGAUAUGAUUAGUUAUAUCGUUUGAAAUGUAUGAUUUCCCCUUUCAGUUUUAUGUUCUGAAACUUCUAUAUAUUUAGGCAUGCAGGAUGUGCCUGUGAUGUGCUAUUGGCGCUCUUUGCACAUGGAUAUAUUUUCUAUGUUGUUAACUGUCUUUCUGUGAACAUAGAUUUAAUUUAUCUGUUCUAUUGAACCUGAGUGGUUAUCAUGUCUGAGCUAUAUAAAUGCAAGUAGUUUAAGUCUAUUCAGCCUAAUAUUAAAGGUGAUAGAGUUUUUUUUGGUUACUAAGCAUAGUUAUUGUCAGCUGAACUCUGUUUUGCAAUCAAACAUUGAUUCCUAUAUUUAUAUGCUUAUUAUGCAUCCAUCAGUUGUGACUUGUCACUAGUUCUUUUCUGGGCCGACUAUAAAUCCGAUUCUAAGCCGCAAUGAGAUGCAAGGCAUAAAUAGCAUAACAGAAGAACUUUAAUAGAAGCUCUAGAAGUACUAUGUAAGAAGAUACAAAAAGGAUCACAAUAUAUGAAUUUGGGCUCAACAGUUUUCGUUAGGGUUGUGUCAAAUAUUGUGUAUAAGGUAGGUUACAGUUGGACUUGUAAUUGUAUUGUGUUUAGAUAGGAUAUGGAGUCGUGUCCAAGUAGGACACUUGUAUCCUAGGCCUCUCAUAUAUAGCGGGGCCAACAUAAUAGUACAGAAACGCAGGGAAAGCCGGCGGCGUGUACCGGCGUCUAGGGCGACCUGGUGCGGUAUUGUAGCGGUGUCAUGGGGAGGAGCGCCCAUAGUCAGGCCCCGGGGAUGUAGCCAUCUCGGUGAAUCUCAUUAACAAAUCUCGGUGUCGUGCUCGUGUGGAUUGCUUGGUCCUCGGAUCGUGUUGUACUCUUCAAGCAGCGAUCGGAACAUGCGUGUGUGCUUGUGGCAGCAUCUGGCGAGACAUGCGGCGAUCGGAUUGAUCGGGCGAGCGUACUGCAGUAGCGGAGACAGAUUAAUCGGGGCAUGUGCUAGCAAGCGGCGGCGGCGCACGAGGCCUAGCGGCUAGCGGGGAGCACAGUCCAAGUAGUGUGUGGCACUUGAAUCUAAGUCUCGAGCGUGGGCUAGAAAGAUGCUGGAAGUUACAAGGCGUGCCGGAUUUGUUUUGAAGCAAAAAAGAGGGACCGAGUCCCAAGAGGAGACGUGAUCUCCUUGUCUCCGAGCUGGGCAGCUGCAGCCGUGCACGCGCACGUCGAAAGUAGCAGCGGCUGUAGGGAGACAAGGCACACAACAGAUCCAAUCGGCAGAAGAAAAGGGCCAUCGCUGGUUGUUGCAUCCAUCGGAAUUAGCAAGGGCAAGGCAAAGCAAAUAGCUUAGCAUACGGAAGUUGAGCCAACGGAGCACUUCAUGUGAAGACCAACUAGCUAGAUUGCUAGUAGUAGACAUAGGUUCUGUUCUUGUACUUGGGGAUCACUGGAAGACUGCUCCAUUAUUUUUCACAGGGUCAGCCGUACAAAGAACUAUGGCGCUAUCGGGUAUUAGGUUUGAGGUGGAGAAGUUCAACGGAACUGGAAGCCUUGGGUUGUGGCAGACAAGAGUGAAAGAUUCGUUGGCACAACAUGGAUGCUUGAAGGUGUUGCAGAAAGUCAUGACAGCUAUGAUGGUGUUAUCAUGUGAUGGAUGAAAAUUCGUGGAAUGAUCUGGGAGCCUGGUCGGACUAGAUAGUCUGAAGGAUCGACGCAAGUCGGUUGAUACAGAAGACGGUGGUGGGAUCGGCGCUGACGACAUAAGAGCGUGAUGCUGAUGGUGACCGACUUCUGGGGCGUGGAAACACGUGGCGCAAGCCCGAGAGCUUGUGUGGCUUUGACAAGACUAUGGUGCGGGGUUGAUUCAAGGUGAUGUAUACACGGAGCUUGAAGUCGACGGGGCGCGUGGGUGGACUGAUCAUCUACCAUGGAGUCAUGUUGAAGCUGGAGCUGGAGUCUGGAGGACUUCACUUGGUGCUGAUUGAGAGGCUACGACGUAAGAGCUCAGAGAGUCGAAGCCUAUUCAGCGGGGAAAAGCGAGGGACACGUAAUUCGGACUGGAGCCCAGUGGUCUGAUGGAAGCGUGAAACUCGUCAUCGAUCGGUGAUGAUCGAUGGUACUCUACAGUGGGGGUUGAGUGGUGUGGUUUCGUGACCCUUGGGACUCGAUCAGGACAGCGGAGGCUCGACGCGAUAAUAGCGGCGAGGCGUGCGGUUAGCACGGGGCAUGGAGACGGGCCAUGGCUCUGGUGGUCAUACAUGUGAUGAGACAAUUGCGAAUUUGACUCGGGAUGACUACAAACAAUGGUGAAAUUCCUUCAUGUUUCAGAUAUGCGGUCAAGAAAGGAGCGGUGAUGUUGAGUUCAGGUAACUCUUAUGGGUGACACCCAAUAUGUGAGUUGUUCACUUUCACGCAGGUCAGUGAUCGGUGUGUGAUGGCGUUGAACUGAUACUCUGGAAGUUGGGAGCACAAACUAGAGUAAUAAGGAACUUAAUUUUGCUCGAGUGUUGACUGUGGUCAAGAAAAGAAGGGACUACAAGUUGCAGGUGGAGUCAUAUGGAGUCUUUGGAGUAGCAGUGGUUCUCAUGGGAUAAGCUCAGGUCCAAUGUACAUGGAAGUUUGACACAUGGACGAAUUCAAGAUGGUGGAGAAUAUUCGCCAAGGUGGAGUUUGUUAGGGUUGUGUCAAAUAUUGUCUACAAGGUAGGUUACAGUUGGACUUGUAAUUGUAUUGUGUUUAGAUAGGAUAUGGAGUCGUGUCCAAGUAGGACACUUGUAUCCUAGGCCUCUCAUAUAUAGCGGGGCUAGACACACGAUGUAACCUAUGCCAACAUAAUAGUACAGGAACGCAGGGGAAGCCGGCGGCGUGUACCGGCGUUCAGGGCGACCUGGUGCGGUAUUGUAGCGGUGUCAUGGGAAGGAGCGCCCAUAGUCAGGCCCCGGGAUGUAGCCAUCUCGGUGAACCUCGUUAACAAAUCUCGGUGUCGUGCUCGUGUGGAUUGCUUGGUCCUCGGAUGAUCGACGGAGUGCCUCAAAUUUAUUCUAACAGUUUUCAGUUUAUUUCAUACAACCUGCCGAUCGGUAUUUCUGGCCAUAACCUUUUUUGUUGUUGGAUUUGGCACAAAGACAAGCCACCUUCAAGGGAUGAACUGGAAACGGUAGAGAACAAGUUUGACGACAUUCCUCUUAAAUUCUGUCAAGUUGAUAAUGGGCGUAUCAGCUUCCUCUCCUUUGAUAAAGUUACACUUCCUAGUUUGCCCUGAUAGAUAGCUGCAGGAAGGGUUAUAGGUUUCGCCUGUUCUGUCCUGUAUGCAUCUGCAUCAGGAUGUCUGCUUCUGUGCCGCUUCUCAGGGCCGAGAAAGUUGCCAGGUUGAUCUUCAUGUUCUUCAUUUGUGUGCGGAAUCGUGUCAACUCUUUGCUGAUUGGUUACUACUGAAUACUGGUGAUGUUGUUUCGGGUGGUGCAACAGGAAAAUUUGGGUUUUCCGACUGCGAUGAGUGCCACUCUUUUCCCUCUCUGCCUUGAGGCAUGGGCAUGGAGUUGGAAUGCUCAUGAGCAGGAUGAGAGCCACUCUUUUCCCUCUCUGCCUUGAGGCCUGGGCAUGGAGUUGGAAUGCUCAUGAGCAGCCAGCGUGUCAGGAAGCGAAACCAUGAUUUUUUAUUCGUUUGGUAACGAGGAGUGCAUCACUUUCGUGAGGUUCCCUAACACAGCAGAUGGCCUUUAACUUCUAGUUGGAGCUUGCAACCUAUAAAGACGUUCUAAAUUUUGAAAGGAAGGCAUAUCAGAUUUGCAGUCCAGAAAACAUGUUGUGUUCGAGCAAGAGAUCAUCGUACCAUUGUCAUUCGGCCAGUCUAGCUCAUGUUUGAUUAGUACUCCCUUCAUCUCAUAAUAUAAGAGCGUUUUUGACACCAUACUAGUAUAAAAAACGCUUUUAUAUUAUGAAACAGAGGGAGUAUUUUAUAACCACCGUCUGAGGUGAUAUGCCACCGCAUCUGCUAUCAUGGUAAACAGAUGUAGCCUACAUGUAAUUUUAUUUUUUGCGGGUGAGCCUACCUGUAAUGUUACUUCAGCUAGCGGAUGCCGCAUCUCCACUGAUACAAAAAGCACCACUUCCCGAGGUCCUGCCACGCUAGGAAGCUCGAGUGCCUGAGCUAUGGAUCUUGGUCUAAACUUCUACGAUGCUCUUUAUUAGCCUGGAAACACAAGUAAACUACUACAUUGAUUUCGAUUGUCAGUUGAACGAAAAUGUUUUAUACAUACAAUUUAACAUGCAUAAGCUGAUAAUUAUCCUUCUAUUUUGGAGAGCCUGCCUGGACAUUAUAAUUUGCCAUUAGCCUUGUCUAAUUUCACCUUGAACAGGUUGAAAUAGACAAGCAAAUCAAGGAGCUACACCUAAUCCGGAAUGAGCUUUAUGAUUAUAUUUUUUGCGGGACAUGAUUUUUGUUCUUGACGGUGUACUGAUACUCAUGAGUAAGCUGAGGACUGAAAUCGAAUUCAUGAUGGUGUGCUACUAAGGUUUUAUCGGUUUUACACUGAGUUUUCUAUAUACUAAUUAGUACUCACUCCGUUCCAUAAUGUCGUGCGAAUAAACUUUUGAGAAGUCAAACUUUACUAAGUUUGACCAAGUUUGUAGAGAAAAAAACUAUAUAUAUCUAGAAUAGCAAAUACAUUUCAUUAGAUACAUCAGAAUAUGUACUUUCAUAUUGUAUACAUUUUGGUGUUGUAGAUAUAAAUAGUUUUCUUUAUAAAUUUACUCAAAGUUUGCAAAGUUUGAGUUUUCAAAAAAUCUAUAUGCACUACAUAAUGGAAUAGAGGAAGUAGUAUUAGUAAACCAAAGAUUAUUAUUCAAAUAUUGAAGUAAUUAUUUUAACAUGUGUACAGGGCACCAUUAGAUUCCAGGGACGUUUUCAGUUGAAAUCCAAGCAAAAAACGAGAGUAAGAGUUUUUCUCCAACUCCACAUCGUACAUGCUGUUGAGUAAAUAGGCAAUUUUUUGACUAAUUUAAUCCAUAAAUAAAUCACUAGCAUGGCAUUGACAGAAUUAACGACAUACUGGUUCUGAUCUAGACAAGCACGUACUAUGCAAACAGUAGACAAAUCUACACAUAAUGGUAGUACUGCUAAUAUGAAAAUAAGCAGGAGAGGGAUAAACGCGUUAUACCCUCCAGUAGGCCAUGCAGAAGGCACGACGGCGGUGGCGGUAGCAGCAGUGUCCUCGGCGGCCUUCUUGUCAGCCUCGUGCUUCUCGGCGGCGAGACGGUUGGCUUCGGUCUGAGACAUGGUGAUGAAGAAGACGGCGCGGACGUAGAGGAAGUAGCGGAUCGAAGGCGAGCAGUCGCGUGGUCGCUUCCCAAAAACCUAAUCGCCCCCCUCCCGUACAUUAUCCGGAGAGGCGGGUUUCGGAGACCUGCUCUCCUGUCGACCGUGUACGCGGCGGACAGGAUGGAGUCGCCGGCGGCAGCAACAGCAAAGGAACGAUAGUGGGAGGUGCGCGUGGAGCAGAUGCGGUCUGUUCGUGGCGGCUAGGGUUUGGCAGCCCACUAUCUGAUGUCUCAGAUCGUGACCCCGGCUGUCAGAAACUCUCCAUUACUGAUUGGCCAAAAUAAGCGCAUAGGAGCUCGGCUCGGCUCAUUCCCGCAACCCGUGUCGCGUCGUGACGUGGCGAGGCGAGCGGUAGAGGAGGAGUGUGUGAGGGCCUCUUCUCUUCUCAAGCUCCAAUGACACGUGGAAGAAAAACCCUUAUCAGGAGGUCCAACUCCUCUCCAACUUUCGGGGUGGGACUAAACUUCCCACUACACCUAGUGCCAAUUAAAUCCACAUGGGUCCGUAGAGAUUUUCAAAAAAAAUUAGAUGGGCCUUAGGCCCACCCUAAUAUUUCAACAAUCCCUCACCAGAUCUCGAGGGCCCAUUGUGUCCUCUGUUCCAAUCAUUGUUUUGAUAUACCAACAUAUCAGUGGAGACCUGUUAAGGUUGAGCUCCACCUAGAGCAAGUAGCUACACUCCUUCACAACUGAACAAUGGACUAUGCAUUGAAUUGUCAGUUUGGCGUAAAGAAGUUUCACCACAUGUCUUACUAGUACUAGGCUACCGAAGGCGGACCCCUCGGGUGAAGCAUAUAAGUCACACUCCUGGCCUAUUCAUAAGCUUGCUAGCAGAGAUCACCCCAAUCUCAUAGACUAUGACCAACAGUCAGGCUCAUAUAGGUGUGUUCCUCCAAAGACCGCUCUGUAGGACAACAUCUUGCUUGGAAGCCUUAGAACACAUUAAGACAGUAGUCAACCUACCAUACAGUAUCCGGGAGUAUUGCAUCUCCAAAGGAGUGGGUUAGUAAAGUUAAUCUCCUCAGUUCACCACUAGCUUGUUUUCCCAGGUCCUACUUCACGGGAUCUCCGAUCACAUAGGUUGGGUUACCACCAUGGCAACUCAUGUGGGUCUCAUACCCAUCUCCCUCGAUGCAUUAUAUCUAUCACAACACGCGAUAGCCCUUUUGUAAAGGCAUCUGCCAGAUUCUUAGCCGUUUGGAUAUAAUCCAACGCUAUCACUCCGGAGUUUCUUAAUUUUCUGACAGCUUUUAAUCUCAUUCUUAUAUGUUUGUUGGACUUCAUGUUGUCUUUUGAACUCUUUACUUUGGUGAUAAUAGUCUGAUUGUCACAGUUCAUAAGGAUGGCUGGAACCGGCUUCUCAACCAAUGGCAAGUCCAUCAAAAUAUCUCGAAGCCAUCCUGCUUCGACACCAGAUGUGUCUAACAAUGUUUAUUCUGCUUCGAUUUUCGAUCUCGUUAAGAUCGUUUGCUUGCAAGACUUCUAGGAAACAACGCCACCUCCAAGAGUAAACAUAUACCCAGUUGUGGACUUCAUCUCAUUAGCAUCAGAGAUACAAUUCGCAUCACUAUACACUUCAAGUACCGACGGGUCUCCGGUAUAGUGAAGUCCAUAGUUCAUAGUGCCUUUCAGAUAGCGCAUAACUCUUUGAAUAGCAUGCCAGUGUACAUCAUCCGGUUUGGAAACAAAUCGGCUCAGUUUGCUCACAGCAAAUGCGACGUCAGGCCUCGUUGCGCUCUCUAGCACCACUGCAGGAUGCUGCUAACGCAACACUAUGAUCAGAGUCCCUUCGAGAAACUGUGUGCGAUGCAAUAAUCGCAAACGGUGGUGUAUGAAAACCGUCAAAAAUGUAUAAAACAUUUGCGAUGACGGAUGCAUCAAACACGGUUCAGAUUUUAGUUGCGUGUGCGAUGAAGGGCAUAUGGUUCAGUUCAAUUAACUAUUUGCGAUGAGGAGGAACAAAAGAAAUGGGCAGCCAGAUGAAGGCGUGUGCGAUACAAAUCAUACGGUUCACUCGGAUAAACUGUUUGUGAUUAGGCAACACAAAAGAAACGGGCAGCAGAUGAAGGUGUGUGCGAUAUACAUCAUACGUCACUCGGAUGAACUGUUUGUGAUUAGGCAACACAAAAGAAACAGUCAGCCAGAUCAAGGUGUGUGUGAUAUACGCAUGCGGUUCACUCGGCCCUUGUCGCCAGUGUGAGACCUCUGUGGCAACCGUUCGCUCCCCAGGCGCCUCUUCAUGUACCGUGGCAACCGUCCACCGCCUCUUCGCCUUUCCCUCUCGAUUUGGAACUGCUGUCGCACGCUCUUCCUCCCUCCAUUUGCCUUCACCCUUCCUUCUGCCAUUGUUCGAUCAUCUUCUCCAUGGAGGGAACAGGCCGGAAAUGACCCCAUUAUUCUUUCCCCGGUCUGAAAGAUGACGUGGUGGAGGAACACAUUGAUCGGUGUGACGUCAUCACCUCGGCUAGCAUGGCAGGUUCAUUCAAGACCAUUCUCAACUCAACUAAUAACAUCAUUACAAGGAACCCAAGGGUCCAGGAGCAGUUUGAUCUCCCCUAUCUUCUUCGCCAUGACCCUGCUGACUGGCGCGGGGAUGAGGGAAGCCUCGCCUUGUGCAAGUUGAUGCCGCUUGAUAAUGAUACGUAUGAUGUUAAGAUGGCAUCGCUUGAGGGCAAGGCUUGGGCAGGUGCAAAUGGAGAUUGGGUUGUUUAUAUUGGGUACAACUGCGAGUGGGAACUUGUGAAUGUGUACACUCGUCACCGGGUUCCACUUCCAAAAAUCUCAGACGACUGCCCAAAGGAUGAGUACACCGGUAUUCUAUGUGAGUUCAAAUACAAUCAUGGUGACUGUCGUCUACGGAAGAUAGCAAUUUGUCGAGUUCCCAACCGCUCUUGGGAUUACACGAACUAUGAAGUUGUUGCUAUCUUCGACAAGCUUGUUGCCGUCCUUACUUCCACGCCUCGAUGGAUAUUGCUCAAAAAUCAAUUUCUGUACAUGGAUGAGUACUGUGAUGCAAUUCAAUACGAGGGUCUUGUGUUUGCUGCCACCACUCGUGGCACUGUUUUUGCAUGGAAUCCUGAUGCUUUUGGUACGUUUAUCUUCCACCGUAAUUAUAAUUGUUUCAUCCACAUGCCUGCGGGUUAGCUACUUUUCCUUUACUAAUUAACUUUCUUGUGUUUCCAAGGUCCUGUGAACAUUCCACCACCUAUACUUGAAAAUUUUUAUAACCAAGGGGGAGAUGACGAUGCUGAUGAUCACGAGCAUGAGGACGAGCAGGACCCAUAUACUCAGUGGCACCUAGCAACUUAUUCCGAUGGAUCACCUCUUCUUGUCUGUAUACAGGGCACUGCUGAUGUUACUAAGGAAGCACGUGUUGUCUCGCAUGGUCGCACUCUCCGGACCUAUUCCAACAUCCGUUGCAGGGUAUUCGGGAUGGAUACUAGUGUAGUAGUGCCAACACCUUCUCCCUGGUUCAGUAUUGGAAGUCUUGGAGGAAACUUGCUCUUCCUUGGACAAAACUAUCCAAUGAUGGUGGAAGGUGAUCCAGCUGCUGUUGACACAACGUUACUACCAUUUAUGAGAAGCAACUGUAUCUAUACCUCGGACAUUGCUAUGCUUCCCUACCGCCUCAGCCUGGAUGAUCAGUCCUAUGUUGGUCUCGAGAUUGAUAGUAGCUGGCCCUUCCCAGAGAAUCACUUCUGGUUCAAAGCAAGCGUUUCCAACGCCGACGAGUGUUUGAGCUGAAGUUCAUUUCAUCGCUUUGUUAUUUGUUGUGUGAGAAAAACUUUACUGGAAUGUUUUGUUGGAAAUGAUCUAUAAUCCAACGUGUAUCCUUGUUGUCGUUGUGGGUUGAUGACUUGUUGUAUGUAAUCAAUGGUACAUUUGCAUAUGUGGCCAUCAACUCAGGCCUGCUAGUGGUGUCCAUAUGAACAGUGCUAGUGAUUUUACUUGCAAAAGUUAUAUAGUGCUAGUGAUUUUUAGCUGCAUAUUUUGACAAAUCGCAGUGUUACAAGGUUGACAAAUGGCAAUGUUACUAGAUAAACAAAUGUCAAUCUUUCCAGUUUGACAAAUGGCAACAUACCCAAAAUGACAGAUAUGCAAAUCUUACCCAAUUGUUUAUACGUGGUUGCACACGGGUCAUGCAAAACAACCGUUUGCGUUGAAGGGAUGCAGAAAUCCUGCUCCGCACAUUUUCCCUUGGCUUCCUAGGGAAGCUGUCGGUUUGCAUACGGGUGUUCUAACUAAAACAUUUGCGAUGAGUGUUUUAUAUUUAAAAACCAUUGACGUUUUUUCAAAAGAAAAUCGUUUGAUAAGUCUGUACAUUAAGAGAGAAAAACGCAAGUUCGUCCAAACCAUAUCUUUCACUCAGUCACACUGCGAAUUUAUAUUCAUAUGAUUGAGAAUUCGAGAUACAAUAUUAAACCCCAAAAAAACUAUUUCCAGCGGCGGCGGAGGCGGCGUGCUGCGCCGUCGUUGUCGUCCUCCGGGACGCCGUUGUUGAAGUCUUCAAGGCAGCACAAAAUGUUCUUCACUUGUAAAUCAAACAUCAUGUCGUUCCGCGAUCAAUGGGCGGGGCGCGAGAGGACGACAACUGGCGCCGCUGAGAGGUAGCGAUCGACGGCAGCGGCCCAUGCCACUGAGGAGGGCACGGGCAUGGGCGCGGCGGGUGCAACCAAACGCACAGGGACCGGCGCCAAGGUGGGUGGAGGGGCGCGCACGGGCAGGGGCACGGGCGCGCGGGUGCAGCCAAACGCACGGGGUCGGCGCCACGGUGGGUGGAGGGGCGCGCACGGGCACAUGCACGGGCGCUGGCGUUGGCAUGUACACGAGCUCGCGCGGGUCCGUGGAGACCUCGCUGACGCCCGCGGCUUCGAGCUCCGCGAUAGUGCUCGGCGACCAGCCCGUCAAUGCUACGGGGAUGGUCGCUGGCGCGAGCGUGGGGAUGGGAGCUGGGACGGGAGCGGGGGCAGCAACCACCGCGGCCAGCUCAUUUUGGGCCAUGUCCAUGAGGCCCCAUUCCUACUUAUUUUUGAUCACCUCCGGCUCGGAGUCGACUUCACCAAACUUGAAUAGUAGUGGCAGAUGAUCAUUCUGUGCGAUGGCGUUGGUGUAGGUCUGCGGGAGGGAGGGGAAUGGGAGGCGAACAGUAAGGCCGCCCGUAUUAAACAGCGGCUCGGGCGCCAUUAAUGGAGAGGAAGGCGGGCGGCCAUCUAAGUCAAAGGGCUCACUUCCCAGUAAGCCUGCGCAGCGUACAGCUUGCGCGCUUCCCGGUGAGCUUGCACAUUGGAGGACAGCUUGCACGCCUCUCGGUCAGCCUGCGCACCGGACAGCGCUCGCACGCCUCCCGUUCAGUCAAGGUCAAACAGCUGUCCGCAUGGCACCACCUACAGCCAUUAAAACCAAGACACGUGGCGUCACGUGAAUGGUUAACAGAAUGCACACUGUUUGAAUUAUACAAACGUUUGAGAUAUUAAAGUGGCAGCUAUUGUUUCAAAAUGCCUUUGUUGGCUGUCGUUAUUCGAGGGCGCCUUCUCUCAAAAUGGACACGAAAAAUGCCACAACAUGUCGGAUGCCAUUCCAUGAUAGCAUGCCAAGUUUCAUGAAUUUCAGACGAGUUUUGGAUUUACUAGAAUUUAAAAACCAUGCAUCUCAAUGUUUUGCUGGCAAUCAACGGUUCCCUGGUGUUUGAAAUUCAUUCCCAUUUCUUGCAUGGGACCUAAGCAUGCAACCAAGGACACAUAUUUGAUUUUCCAACCAAUUUAUAUGCACUGGAGCAUGUGCAUGUAGUUCAAAUUUGAAUUAUGCACAUAAAUGCAUUGAAAACUUAGUUAAUGCAUAAAAAUAUCCAAACGAACCCCGAAAAAUCCCAAAAAUUGACACAACACUCCUGUUGUUCUAUGUUGACACGAGAAAAAAAUUUAAAGCAAGAAGAGGCAAUGGAUAUCGUUUUGUCCCCAAAGGUGGGACGUUCCCUACCGAAACCAUCAUGCUUCUUGUGAGAAGCUCUGGUUUGUGAGAAGCAUAUACCUGAACCUGCCCCAAAUGGGACACAUUUUUACCGCGGCAUGUUGAUGCUGAUCCAUGAUAGCAUGCCAAGUUUCAUGAAUUUCAGACGACUUAUGGAUUUACUAGAAUUUAAAAACCAGGCAUCUCAACAUUUUGCCGGCAAUCAACAGUGCCCUGGUGUUUGAAUUUCAUUCCCAUCUCUUGCAUGUGACCUAGAAAUUCACCCAAGGACACACAUGUGAUUUUUUAACCAACUUUAGUGCAUUGGAGCAUGUGCUUGUAGUUCAAAUUUGAAUUAUGCACAUAAAAUGCCUGGAAGUCCCAGUUAAUGUAUAAAAAAGGCCAAAUGAACCAUGAAAAAUUCCAAGAUUAAACACAACACUCCUGUUGUUCUAUGUUGACACUAGAAAUUUUUUGAAAGCAAUAAGAGGCAACGGAUAUUGUCCCGUCCCCGAAGGUGGUACGUUCCCUAUCGAAACCAUCAUGCUUGUUGUGAGAAGCUCUGGUUUGUGAGAAGCUUAUAUCCAAACCUGCCCCAAAUGGGACAAAAUUUUCACCAUGGCAUGUUGAUGCCGCUCCAUGAUAGCAUGCCAAGUUUCAUGAAUUUCAGACGAGUUUUGGAUUUACUAGAGUUUAAAAUCAGGUAUCUCAAUGUUUUGCCGGCAAUCGACAGUGCCCUGGUGUUUGAAAUUCAUUCCCGUCUCUUCCAUGGGACCUAAGCAUGCACCCAAGGACACACGUGAUUUUAUAACCAACUUUAGUGCAUUGGAACAUGUGCUUGUAGUCCAAAUUUGAAUUAUGCACAUAAAAUGCCUAGAAAACCCAGUUAAUGUAUAAAAAAGGCCAAACGAACCCCAAAAAAUUCCAAGAUUAAACACAACACUCUUGUUGUUUUAUGUUGACACUAGAAUUUUUUUUAAAGCAAUAAGAGGCAACGGAUAUCGUCCCGUCCCCAAAGGUGGUACGUUCCCUAUCGAAACCAUCAUGCUUGUUGUGAGAAGCUCUGGUUUGUGAGAAGCUUAUACCCAAACCUGCCCCAAAUGGGACAAAAUUUUCACCACGGCGUGUUGAUGCCGCUCCAUGAUAGCAUGCCAAGUUUCAUGAAUUUCAGACGAGUUUUGGAUUUACUAGAAUUUAAAAACCAGGUAUCUCAACGUUUUGUCGGCAAUCAACAGUGCCCUGGUGUUUGAAAUUCAUUCCCGUCUCUUGCAUGGGACCUAAGCAUGCACCCAAGGACACACAUGUGAUUUUUCAACCAACUUUGGUGCAUUGGAGCAUGUGCUUGUAGUUGAAAUUUGAAUUAUGCACACAAAAUGCCUAGAAAACCCAGUUAAUGUAUAAAAAUGGCCAAACGAACCGCGAAAAAUUCAUUCCCAUUUCUUGCAUGGGACCUAAGCAAGCACCCAGGGACACAUAUUUGAUUUUUCAACCAAUUUAUAUGCAUUGGAGCAUGUGCAUGUACGUAGUUCAAAUUUGAAUUAUGCACAUAAAUGCAUUGAAAACUCAGUUAAUGCAUAAAAAUGUCCAAACGAACCCCGAAAUAUCCCAAAAAUUGACACAACACUCGUGUUGUUCUAUGUUGACACGAGAAAUUUUUUGAAAGCAAUAAGAGGCAAUCGAUAUCUUAUCGUCCCCAAAGUUGGGACGUACGUUCCCUACCGAAACCAUCAGGCUUGUUAUGAGAAGCUCUGGUUUGUGAAAAGCAUAUGCCCAAACCUGCCCCAAAUGGGACAAUUUUUUUACCACGGCAUGUUGAUGCCGCUCCAUGAUAGCAUGCCAAGUUUCAUGAAUUUCAGACGAGUUAUGGAUUUACUAGAAUUUAAAAACCAGGCAUCUCAACGUUUUGCCAGCAAUCAACAGUGCCCUGGUGUUUGAAUUUGAUUCCCAUCUCUUGCAUGGGCCCUAAAAUCCACCCAAGGACACACAUGUGAUUUUUCAACCAACUUUAGUGCAUUGGAGCAUGUGCUUGUAGUUCAAAUUUGAAUUAUGCACAUAAGAUGCCUAGAAAACCCAGUUAAAGUAUAAAAAGGGCUAAACGAACCCCGAAAAAUUCCAAGACUAACACAACACUCCUGUUGUUCUAUGUUGACACUAGAAUUUUUUUGAAAGCAAUAAGAGGCAACGGAUUUCGUCCCGUCCCCAAAGGUGGUACGUUCCCUAUCGAAACCAUCAUCCUUGUUGUGAGAAGCUUAUACCCAAACCUGCCCCAAAUGGGACAAAAUUUUCACCACGGCAUGUUGAUGCCGCUCCAUGAUAGCAUGCCAAGUUUCAUGAAUUUCAGACGAGUUUUGGAUUUACUAGAAUUUAAAAACCAGGUAUCUCAAAGUUUUGUCGGCAAUCAACAGUGCCCUGGUGUUUGAAAUUCAUUCCCAUCUCUUGCAUGGGACCUAGAAAUUCACCCAAGGACACACAUGUGAUUUUUCAACCAACUUUGGUGCAUUGGAGCAUGUGCUUGUAGUUCAAAUUUGAAUUAUGCACAUAAAAUGCCUAGAAAACCAGUUAAUGUAUAAAAAAGGCCAAACAAACCCCGAAAAAUUCAUUCCCAUUUCUUGCAUGGGACCUAAGCAUGCACCCAAGGACACAGAUUUGAUUUUUCAACCAAUUUAUAUGCAUCGGAGCAUGUGCAUGUAGUUUAAUUUUGAAUUCUGCACCUGAAAUGGCUAGAAAACCAGUUUAAUGUAUAAAAAGUCCAAAUGAACCCUGAAUAAUUCCAAUUCUUUUACGACACACAUAUAGUUGCAUGUUCACUGCAGAUAAAAGGUCUAGCAAUUCAAACAGCGUCCAUUGCCGCUAUGACCCCAUUUUGUAAUUAAAAUGAAGUAGUUCCCACACAGUUUAUUACCAGCAACCGUGUGAGAUGUAGUACAAAAUAUCUUGGAGCACUUUCGGUGUAUAGUACGCCUAUGGAUUACGCGAGAAGGUGCGUCGGCUACAGCCCACAGCCGGUUUUUCAAGCACACUAGCUCGCUCCCCAAAUACUCCCGCCUCUGCAUCCCUCGUAAUCUCGAAAAUAUUACUGCCUCGUAAUCUUGAAAAUAUCUACCGCCUGGAAGGUUUUAAUGUUUGAUAGCACACGAUUAGUAUGUACGGACCGUGUGCGAUGUCUGUUACUCCCGCUCUGCUUCAGUCCCUUGGUUCAAAUUUUCAGUAGCCCCGGCAUUUUACUCCCGCCUCUGCAUCCCUUGCAAUCUCAAAAAUAUCUGCUCGCCCCUGAUCCAAAUUUUCAGUAGCCCCGCCUUGUUACUCCCGCCUAGUAAAAUUUUCAGUUGCCGUAGUAUUUCCUCAAACACAACCUUGCCCCCCGCCCCCACACACCCCAAAACCUCCGCGCACAUAGACACACACAACCCUCGAAACCAUUGGUAGGUCGCCGCCAUCGCCGGCGCCUCCAUCCUCAACCUCUGCCUGUGUGCCGGGGAGCUCGAGGAGGCAAUGGCCAAAAAGAGGUUUAUCGCGGCCUUUUUGCCCGACGCCGGCGAGGUGGCCACCGAGGUGUCCCCUUCGUCCUCCGCGGGCCUGAUCCGUCGUCGCCGGUCCCCCGAUCCGCCCGCCGCCGCGCCCCUAUGCCGGUUCGAGGACUUCCCCCUCCUCCCUCGGACCCGGCAACUGACGAAGUCCUACCUCGGGGUCCGGCGGCGGCGGUGGGGGAUGUGGGUCGCCGAGAUCACAGAUCGAGAGACCCACACCCGCCGGUGGCUCGAUAGCUUCCACACGGCCGAGCUCGCGGCCAUGGAGUAUGACCGCUGGCAGGUCCACUUGAUGACGACAUGUACCUAGGGUAGGGUCAUAGUCGUGACCUAGACACCCUCGCCAAGGACAUUCACCUAAAGUCAGAGGCAUUCAAGGGAUACCAUCAUCCACUCGACCAGAAACAUCCGACUCGAAAGACUCAAGUUCAUUCGACCAGGAAGUACUCACUCGAUCGUAACAAGAAUCACUCGACGGAUAGAAGAUCUAAAGUCACUCUGUAUGGCAACGGUCAGGCGUUACUCUGUAGACUUAAUGGUCAUUCAUGUAUCUUUAUUGCUGGCGUUAUCAGUAAUGCCCUAUCUUUAUGUACCUUAAAUCCUGUGUAACUGAGGGCCGGAAGGGCCUGGCGAACUCUAUAUAAGCCACCCCCCCUCCUCAGGGACAAGGGUUCUUGUCGGUGUCAAAACCGGCAGAUCUCGGGUAGGGGGUCCCGAACUGUGCGUCUAAGGCGGAUGGUAACAGGAGGCAUGGGACAUGAUGUUUACCCAGGUUCGGGCCCUCUCGACGGAGGUAAUACCCUACUUCCUGCUUGAUUGAUCUUGAUGAUAUGAGUAUUACAAGAGUUGAUCUACCAUGAGAUCGUAGAGGCUAAACCCUAGAAGCUAGCCUAUGGUAUGAUUGUUGUUGUCCUACGGACUAAACCCUCCGGUUUAUAUAGACACCGGAGGGGGCUAGGGUUACACAGAGUCGGUUACAAGGGAGGAGAUCUACAUAUCCGUAUUGCCAAGCUUGCCUUCCACGCCAAGGAGAGUCCCAACCGGACACGGGACGAAGUCUUCAAUCUUGUAUCUUCAUAGUCCAACAGUCCGGCUGUCCAAGGACCCCCUAAUCCAGGACUCCCUCAGUUCUCACCCCCUGUAACUCCACACACGUAAUCCAAUCGACCGAGCUCCCGAGCACCGAGACGUAGGGCUGUUACUUCCACUGUGAAGGGCCUGAACUGGUAAAUCUCGUGUGUACAACUUCGCCAUAGCUAGGAUCUUGCCUCCUCAUACCUACCCCCAUUCUACAGUCAAUCUUAGAACCACGACAGUUGGCGCCCACCGUGGGGCGUCUUAGCGACUUUCUGGCGAGGUUGCGAUUUUUUCGAUUCCCAUCAUCAUGGUUUCCGGCGGUGGAUUGGCUGAGGGCCGCGAGAUCCGUCUCGGCGCGCUCGUCUUCGUCGCCGACGACUCCGCCUGGCUCCAGGAAGCUUCCCUCGACGUCGAGACGCUCCCCGUCCGCGGGGCGACGCCCUUUCGCGCGUGCGUUCGCAGCGUCCUUCUACGGCAGCCGUCGACCCAGUAUCGGUCGGCUCCCGUGGUGUCCUCGCUCCCCGCUGUUCGCCGGCGCAACCGAUCCAGUCGGUCGCGGCUUCAGCGGUGGGUGAAACACACGGUGGCAUGUCAGUCGGCCACCCCACAAGUCGCGGCGAUCGAGCCCGACAAGUCUCUCUACGGCCUGUUCGACUGGCUCCGUCGAGACCCUCUCCGAAUGCGACAGCAGCGACCCGGCGGCGGAGGUCUUGGUGGUCAAUGCGCCGCACAGCCCACCUGGGUUUCGUCGUGAUGGCGGCGGCGACGGCGGCGACCCGCCACAUGUUCACGAGGAGUAUCAUCCCGAAACCCUUUCCUCGCAGCAGAGGGAGGAAGUUCACCGCCGCAACGAAGAAGUGCUUCACACAUCUAUCGUCGGGGAGACCUCCGAGGCUCGGGCCUUGGUGGCAGCGCGCUUGGCCACUUUGGCUGAGCGCACUCGUCUGGAGAACCUUCAGCAUGCACUCGACGAGCGUGCUCGGUAAUGGAUCCCUGAGUUCAGUCGAUGGCCAUGACAGCUUUUCCCACCUCAGCAUCAGGUAUACCACACUCCGAUUCAGAAUCUUACAGCUGCAGCCCGCAUAGUAGAGUCCAUUCAACCUUCCCAGUCGGAGGCUGGAAGAGGUUUGAUGCAAAUCCGGGCUUUACUUCGGGCAGAAGGAGAGCAGAACACAACAGUGUCUCAGUCGCGGCAUAGAAUUCAUAGCAGGUCUGUAAUGGCUGAUAUAGUUCAGUCGGCACAUAGCCCAAGAUCGCCCCUGAGGCGUGAAGGAUGUGGGCAUCGCCAAGAGCAGUAUGUGGGUCAGAAUCACGAGCAGUAUGAUCACCGACUCGGCCGUGAUGAUCACCGUCGAGUGCCUUCCCCUCCUCCGAGGAGUGGAUCAUAUGUGCCCCGGCAGUAUGACGACAGGCGCCCACACAGUGGCGAGCGGAGAGUUCCAGUCGACCCUAGAGAGCUAGGUUUUGAUGCAAGAUCAAUUCUCGUUCAAGGUCUGGUUGCCAGAAACAGAGCUCAUAGAGAAGGACUCGGCAGAGAUCGUCCGACUGGAAGCAGAGUGCAUGUCUCAGGUCCCGAGUGUUUUAGCAGAGCCAUCAGAGCCGUGGAGAUCCCUCCCAACUUCAGGUUGGCGACUGGGGUUAGUAAGUUUACCGGUGACUCCAAGCCUGACACUUGGCUGGAAGAUUACCGAGUGGCUAUUCAGAUCAGUGGUGGGAAUGAUGAGGUAGCCAUGAACACGUUCCUUUGAUGUUAGAGGGUUCAGCCAGAGCUUGGUUGAAUCAGUUAGCCCCAGGCAGUAUAUUCAGCUGGGAAGAGCUAGCCGAAGUGUUUGUCAGAACUUUUGAAGGUACAUGCAAACAACCAGCAGGGUUGGUAGAAUUGCAACAUUGUGUUCAUAAGCCGAAUGAGACUUUGAGAGAUUACAUUCAGAGGUGGACCACUUUGCAUCACACAGUGGAAAAUGUAUCUCAGCAUCAAGCAGUUUGUGCCUUUAAGGAAGGCAUUAGGUAUCGAGAGCUUAACCUGAAAUUCGGUCGGACAGGAGAUAUGUCUCUGACUCGGAUGAUGGAAAUAGCCACUUGGUAUGCUAACGGAGAAGAAGAAGAUCGACUCCGUAGUUGAAAGAGCAAACCAGUCAGUCAGGACACCGGUGGAGGCAAUUCCAAUCGGAAACAGAAGCAUAAAGCUGAGCCUGCAGGACCUGGUGAAACUGCGGCAGUGAUCCAAGGAAAGUUUAAAGGGAAACCCAAGGGGCCCUGGACCCCCAAGAAAGUGAAAGAUCAAUCAGGAAAUGAUGUGUUGGAUUUGCCAUGUGUCAGUGUACAAAAGAAGGGGUGCACCUUUGUACCCCUUUACCUGUGCACGGGCAGUCGGAGCCGCGCCCACGGUCACACCAAGCAGAACAGGGGAGGUGAGCCAAGGUAAGACCGAAGCCCAAGAUAACCAGAGCAACGUCGAGGCCAAGACCACAAAGAGCAGAGGGACGAAGCCGGUUCCCCCGGCAAGACCCUUGCCGGGGCAGCUCGCCCCACACCAACAGAGCGAGCCACCCUUGAGCGCACGGUCCCCAACACCAUCAUCCACGUGGGGCCAGGGCUCGGGAGGCACCUCUGUGGUGGCAUGCAGAUCUUUGUGAAGACAUAUUCAAGAUCAGAUGAGGAUUAGAAGACAACGAUCCUUGGCAAGAUCCUUGCCGAGGAAAGCCACGAGACCCCCGACAAGGUCCUUGCCGGGGACGACAGCGUGCCACGGCAAGACCCUUGCCGGGGCACCCGGCAAGGCCCUCACCAAGGACGCCAGCAGGGCCACCGCCAGGACUGCACCAACCAAGUUUCCACCAUCGUUCGCAUCUAGCUGCCAGCUCAACCAGCUGAGCAGGCACCUACGUGGCAACAUGCAGCUCCCGGGCCAACUCGUCAAGCGCCUGUGUGGCGGCAUGCAGAUCUUCGUGAAGGCUCCACCACCACGCCACCUCAGCUGCCUGCCUGCCUACAUGGCACCACAUGCCUCACUGGCCAGGGCACGUGUCGAAGCGAGGAGGAGCGGCGACGGACGGGACGGGCCUCGCCCCCGUCCCUGAUAAAGCAAGAGGACACCUAAGCUAUGCAUUAAAUGCGUCUUGUCCUGUAAUACGAGCGAUAAGCUCAUAGCACUGUGCGCCUUUCCACCUCCUGUGUGCCACUGUGGCAGCCCCUUUCGACUAUAAAAGGAGGCCCAUGGCAUACUGGAGAAGGAUUCGGCUCUUUCGAACCACGCACUCACCACAGCUAGUUCGAGAGCUCAAGAACUCUCUGAAAUACACCCACCAAAGCAGGACUAGGGUUUUACGCAUCCUCACGGCCCGAACCUGGGUAAACGAUCCUUGUGCUGGCUACUGAUCCUACUCUUCUUGCAACCCCGUGCGCCGGCAACCGUAGUAGGGAUUCCCGUGAUCCCAUAGGUGUCGUUUCCCCGACAUCUUUGGCGCGCCAGGUAGGGGGCGCAAUUGUGAGAAUCUGGUCUAGUAGUUAGCCCAGCAGUUCUUCAUCGCCAUGGCUCCCAAAAAGGAGACAGCCAGAAAAAAAGAGCGCCGCCUGCAAACGCGAAGGACGCCAGUGCGGCGACAGAAAAGCUAAGUCAUUCAGAGCCUUGAGUUAUUUCCUCUUAUACAUAAGGUUAUCGUCCUCGGAGAUCUUGCCUAUGUGUGGAAAACCUGCACGCGAAGGGGCCUUUCCACGAUUGGCAAAGCCCUUGUUCUGUUUCGAGUCCGCUCAACAGCUCAAAGCGGCCGCGUCGAGAGUGGCGGGGUAGCCUUCCGCACCUAGCAACGCUCCCGACUCUAACUCGAGUGAAGCUCGACAGUUCGGGCGGCUGCGCUAAGGGCGGUAAGGUGGUUCGCCCGGCUGCAAGCACACCCGGCAGGCCAAUGGGGAUCCGUCCCCAAGACGCCGCCCUGGGUUUACGCGCCGGCAAACCUAUCCAGUUAACAUAGGGUGGACAUACGAAGGAAAAUCGAACAGGAAAAUAACAUGCAUGAUACUAAAAGUGUUGCAGAGUUAUGUUACAUCAAAUUGUUGUUGCGGUUCUGACUAGAGAUAGCAAUUGUCUUGGUUGUGAACCUACAACGGCGAUAAAAAACGGGGUGCCUAAUCCCCGCGUUGGCCCUCUACCCUCUGGAUUUCACCGACACGGCUGAUGAUGGGCUUGAUGCGCUCCCUGAGCGGCGCGAGGUCAGUACCCUCCGGCAAGCUCUCCAGCGCGGCGUCGAAGUCGAGGUCGGGGUACCAGUACGCCACCUUGGUGAGAACCUUGGUCAUGGCACCCUGGCAAAGCCUCCGGGACUUGUCGGCCAGUGAGGCCGCCCGGUUGGCGUGAAGCCGCUCCAAAGCGCCGACGACCUUCUCAAAGAACAUGGCCAGGCUGCAAUUGGCGCUCACGCUCCACUCCGGGGCAUACCUCACGUCCGGCAUCCCCAUGGUGGCCAGCUGUGCGGCAGCCUUGUUGGCAACGGCGGCAAGGCGGUCGAGCCAGUGGUUCUUGCCCUCCAUGUGAUCCAUGAAGUUGAGGGCCUCGUUCUUCCGCAGCUGCUUCUCGUCCUCCAGGUUUUUGGUCAGGGUCUCCUCCCGGGCCCUGGCCUCUGACAGCAUCUUCUCGAGACCCUCCAGCUUCAGCUUGAGGUCCUGGAUGGAGUUGUUAGCCUCAGAAAGCUCCCCGGCCUUGCUGACGACCGCGCCCUGCGCCUCUGUCAGGGCGCUGUUAAGUGUGUCCUUCUCCUGGGACAGCUUCAGGGCUUGCUCCUUCAGCCCAUCGCGCUCCACCUCCAGCUCCUUCUGUUGGAAAUAUGCCCUAGAGGCAAUAAUAAAAUGGUUAUUAUUAUAUUUCCUUGUUCAUGAUAAUUGUCUAUUGUUCAUGCUAUAAUUGUGUUAUCCGGAAAUCGUAAUACAUGUGUGAAUACAUAGACCACAACAUGUCCCUAGUGAGCCUCUAGUUGACUAGCUCGUUGAUCAAUAGAUAGUCAUGGUUUCCUGACUAUGGACAUUGGAUGUCAUUGAUAACGGGAUCACAUCAUUAGGAGAAUGAUGUGAUGGACAAGACCCAAUCCUAAGCAUAGCACAAGAUCGUGUAGUUCGUUUGCUAGAGCUUUUCCAAAUGUCAAGUAUCAUUUCCUUAGACCAUGAGAUUGUGCAACUCCCGGAUACCAUCGGAGUGCUUUGGGUGUGCCAAACGUCACAACGUAAAUGGGUGGCUAUAAAGGUGCACUACGGGUAUCUCCGAAAGUGUCUGUUGGGUUGGCACGAAUCGAGACUGGGAUUUGUCACUCCGUAUGACGGAGAGGUAUCUCUGGGCCCACUCGGUAAUGCAUCAUCAUAAUGAGCUCAAUGUGACCAAGUGUUUGGUCACGGGAUCAUGCAUUACGGUACGAGUAAAGUGGCUUGCCGGUAACGAGAUUGAACAAGGUAUUGGGAUACCGACGAUCGAAUCUCGGGCAAGUAACGUACCGAUUGACAAAGGGAAUUGUAUACAGGAUUGAUUGAAUCCUCGACAUCGUGGUUCAUCUGAUGAGAUCAUCGUGGAACAUGUGGGAGCCAACAUGGGUAUCCAGAUCCCGCUGUUGGUUUUUGACCGGAGAGUCGUCUCGGUCAUGUCUGGAUGUCUCCCGAACCCGUAGGGUCUACACACUUAAGGUUCGGUGACGCUAGAGUUGUAGAGAUAUUAGUAUGCGGUUAACCGAAAGUUGUUCGGAGUCCCGGAUGAGAUCCCGGACGUCACGAGGAGUUCCGGAAUGGUCCGGAGGUAAAGAUUUAUAUAUGGGAAGUCCUAUUUUGGCCACCGGAAAAUGUUCGGGAUUUUUCGGUAUUGUACCGGGAAGGUUCUAGAAGGUUCCGAAGUGGGGCCCACCUGCAUGGGGGGACCCACAUGAACGUGGGUAGUGGGGGCAAGGCCCCACACCCCUGGUCAAGGCGCACCAUGAUCCCACCUUAGAAGGAAUAAGAUCAUAUCCCGAAGGGAUAAUAUCAAGAUCCCUAAAAAAGGGGGAUAACAAUCGGUGGGGAAGGGAAAUGAUGGGAUUUCUUUCCCCCCCUUUGCCAAUGCCCCAAUGGACUUGGAGGGCAAGAAACCAGCCCCCUCCACCCCUAUAUAUAGUGGGGAGGCGCAUGGGAGCAGCACCCCAAGCCCCUGGCGCCUCCCUCUCCCUCCCGUGACACCUCUCCCUCUCGUUGAGCUUGGCGAAGCCCUGCCGAGAUCCCCGCUGCUUCCACCACCACGCCGUCGUGCUGCUGGAUCUCCAUCAACCUCUCCCUACCCUUGCUGGAUCAAGAAGGAGGAGACGUCGUACCCAACCGUACGUGUGUUGAACGCGGAGGUGCCGUCCGUUCGGCGCUCGGUCAUCGGUGAUUUGGAUCACGACGAGUACGACUCCAUCAACCCCGUUCACUUGAACGCUUCCGCUCGCGAUCUACAAGGGCAUGUAGAUGCACUCUUUUCCCUCUCGUUGCUAGAAGACUCCAUAGAUUGUUCUUGGUGAUGCGUAGAAUUUUUUUAAUUUCUGCAACGAUCUCCAACAGUGGCAUCAUGAGCCAGGUCUAUGCGUAGUUUCUAUGCACGAGUAGAACACAAACUUGUUGUGGGCGUAGAUGUUGUCAAUUUUCUUGCCACUACUAGUCUUAUCUUGUUUCGGCGGCAUCGUGGGAUGAAGCGGCCCGGACUGACCUUACACGUACGCUUACGUGAGACAGGUUCCACGGACUGACAUGCACUAGUUGCAUAAGGUGGCUAGCGGGUGUCUGUCUCUCCCACUUUAGUCGGAUCGGAUUCGAUGAAAAGGGUCCUUAUGAAGGGUAAAUAGAAGUUGGCAUAUCACGUUGUGGUUUUACGUAGGUAAGAAACGUUCUUGCUAGAAACCUAUAGAAGCCACGUAAAAACAUGCAACAACAAUUAGAGGAUGUCUAACUUGUUUUUGCAGCAUAUGCCUUGUGAUGUGAUAUGGCCAAAAGGAUGUGAUGAAUGAAAUAUAUGUGAUGUAUGAGAUUGAUCAUGUUCUUGUAAUAGGAAUCACGACUUGCAUGUCGAUGAGUAUGACAACCGGUAGGAGCCAUAGGAGUUGUCUUUAUUUUUUGUAUGACCUGCGUGUCAUUGAAUAACGCCAUGUAAAUUACUUUACUUUAUUGCUAAACACGUUAGCCAUAGAAGUAGAUGUAAUCGUUGGCGUGACAACUUCAUGAAGACACGAUGAUGGAGAUCAUGGUGUCAUGCCUGUGACGAAGAUGAUCAUGGCGCCCCGAAGAUGGAGAUCAAAGGAGCAAUAUGAUACUGGCCAUAUCAUGUCACUAUUUGAUUGCAUGUGAUGUUUAUCAUGUUUUACAUCUUAUUUGCUUGGAACGACGGUAGCUUAAAUAAGAUGAUCCCUUGCAAUAAUUUCAAGAAAGUGUUCCCCCUAACUGUGCACCGUUGCGAAGGUUCGUUGUUUCGAAGCACCACGUGAUGAUCGGGUGUGAUAGAUUCUAACGUUCGAAUACAACGGGUGUAAGCCAGAUUUACACACGCAAUACACUUAGGUUGACUUGACGAGCCUAGCAUGUACAGACAUGGCCUCGGAACACGGAAGACCGAAAGGUCGAGCAUGAGUCGUAUAGAAGAUACGAUCAACAUGAAGAUGUUCACCGAUGUUGACUAGCCCGUUCUACGUGAUGAUCGGACACGGCGUAGUUGACUCGGAUCAUGUUUCACUUAGAUGACUAGAGGGAUGUCUAUCUGAGUGGGAGUUCAUUGAAGAAUUUGAUUAGAUGAACUUAAUUAUCAUGAACUUAGUCUAAAAUCUUUACAAUAUGUCUUGUAGAUCAAAUGGCCCACGCUAAUGUUGCCCUCAACUUUAACGCGUUCCUAGAGAAAACCAAGCUGAAAGAUGAUGGCAGCAACUAUACGGACUGGGUCCGGAACCUGAGGAUCAUCCUCAUAGCUGCCAAGAAAGAUUAUGUCCUAGAAGCACCGCUAGGUGACGCACCCAUCCCAGAGAACCAAGAUGUUAUGAACGCUUGGCAGCAGCGUGCUGAUGAUUACUCCCUCGUUCAGUGCGGCAUGCUUUACAGCUUAAAACCGGGGCUCCAAAAGCGUUUUGAGCAACACGGAGCAUAUGAGAUGUUCGAAGAGCUGAAAAUGGUUUUCCAAGCUCAUGCCCGGGUCGAGAGAUAUGAAGUCUCCGACAAGUUCUUCAGUUGUAAGAUGGAGGAAAAUAGUUCUGUCAGUGAGCACAUACUCAAAAUGUCUGGGUUACACAACCGCUUGACUCAGCUGGGAGUUAAUCUCCCGGAUGACGCGGUCAUUGACAGAAUCCUUCAGUCGCUUCCACCGAGCUACAAGAGCUUUGUGAUGAACUUCAAUAUGCAGGGGAUGGAAAAGACCAUUCCUGAGGUAUAUUCAAUGCUGAAAUCAGCGGAGGUGGAGAUCAAAAAGGAACAUCAAGUGUUGAUGGUGAAUAAAACCACUAAGUUCAAGAAAGGCAAGGGUAAGAAGAACUUCAAGAAGGACGGCAAGGGAGUUGCCGCGCCCGGUAAGCCAGUUGCCAGGAAGAAGCCAAAGAAUGGACCCAAGCAUGAGACUCAGUGCUUUUAUUGCAAGGGAAGUGGUCACUGGAAGCGGAACUGCCCCAAGUACUUAGCGGACAAGAAGGCCGGCAACACCAAAGGUAUAUGUGAUAUACAUGUUAUUGAUGUGUACCUUACCAGCACUCGUAGUAGCUCCUGGGUAUUUGAUACCGGUGCGGUUGCUCAUAUUUGUAACUCAAAGCAGGAGCUGCGGAAUAAACGGAGACUGGCAAAGGACGAGGUGACGAUGCGCGUCGGGAAUGGUUCCAAGGUCGAUGUGAUCGCCGUCAGCACACUACCUCUACAUUUACCUACGGGAUUAGUUUUAAACCUCAAUAAUUGUUAUUUAGUGCCAGCUUUGAGCAUGAACAUUGUAUCAGGAUCUCGUUUAAUUCGAGAUGGCUACUCAUUUAAAUCCGAGAAUAAUGGUUGUUCUAUUUAUAUGAGAGAUAUGUUUUAUGGUCAUGCCCCGCUAGUUAAUGGUUUAUUCUUAAUGAAUCUCGAACGUAGUGUUACACAUAUUCAUAGUGUGAAUACCAAAAGAUGUAAGGUUGAUAAUGAUAGUCCCACAUACUUGUGGCACUACCGUCUUGGUCACAUUGGUGUCAAACGCAUGAAGAAGCUCCAUGCAGAUGGACUUUUGGAGUCUCUUGAUUAUGAAUCAUUUGACACAUGCGAACCAUGCCUCAUGGGUAAGAUGACCAAGACUCCGUUCUCCUGAACAAUGGAGCGAGCAACCAACUUAUUGGAAAUCAUACAUACUGAUGUGUGCGGUCCAAUGAGUGUUGAGGCUCGCAGUGGCUAUUGUUAUGUUCUCACUCUCACUGAUGACUUGAGUAGAUAUGGGUAUGUCUACCUAAUGAAACACAAGUCUGAGACCUUUGAAAAGUUCAAAGAAUUUCAGAGUGAGGUUGAGAAUCAACGUGACAGGAAAAUAAAGUUCUUACGACCAGAUCGUGGAGGGGAAUAUUUGAGUCACGAAUUUGGCACACACUUAAGGAAAUGUGGAAUAGUUUCACAACUCACGCCGCCUGGAACACCUCAGCGAAAUGGUGUGUCCGAACGUCGUAAUCGCACUCUAUUGGAUAUGGUGCGAUCUAUGAUGUCUCUUACCGAUCUACCGCUCUCAUUUUGGGGCUAUGCUUUAGAGACUGCCGCAUUCACUUUAAAUAGGGCUCCGUCGAAAUCCGUUGAGACGACACCGUACGAAUUAUGGUUUGGGAAGAAACCUAAGCUGUCGUUUCUAAAAGUUUGGGGAUGCGAUGCUUAUGUCAAGAAACUUCAACCUGAAAAGCUCGAACCCAAGUCGGAAAAAUGCGUCUUCAUAGGAUACCCUAAGGAAACCAUUGGGUAUACCUUCUACCUCAGAUCCGAAGGCAAGAUCUUUGUUGCCAAGAACGGGUCCUUUCUGGAGAAAGAGUUUCUCUCGAAAGAAGUAAGUGGGAGGAAAGUGGAACUUGAUGAAGUACUACCUCUUGAACUAGAAAGUAGCGCAGCUCAGGAAGAUGUUCCUGUGGUGCCUGCACUGACUAGAGAGGAAGCUAAUGAUGAUGAUCAAGGUACUUCGGAUCAAGUUACUACUGAACUUCGUAGGUCCACGAGGACACGUUCCACACCAGAGUGGUAUGGCAACCCUGUCCUGGAAAUCAUGUUGUUAGACAACGGUGAACCUUCGAACUAUGAAGAAGCAAUGGCGGGCCCAAAUUCCAACAAAUGGCUUGAAGCCAUGCAAUCCGAGAUAGGAUCCAUGUAUGAAAACAAAGUGUGGACUUUGACAGACUUGCCCGAUGAUCGGCGAGCGAUAGAAAUCAAAUGGAUCUUUAAGAAGAAGACGGACGCGGAUGGUAAUGUUACCAUCUAUAAAGCUCGACUUGUCGCUAAGGGUUAUCGACAAGUUCAAGGGGUUGACUACGAUGAGACUUUCUCACUCGUAGCAAAGCUGAAGUCUGUCCGUAUCAUGUUAGCAAUUGCCGCAUACUAUGAUUAUGAGAUAUGGCAAAUGGACGUCAAAACGGCAUUCCUUAACGGCUUUCUUAAGGAAGAAUUGUAUAUGAUGCAGCCGGAAGGUUUUGUCGAUCCUAAGAAUACUAACAAGGUAUGCAAGCUCCAGCGCUCCAUCUAUGGGCUGGUGCAAGCAUCUCGGAGUUGGAACAUUCGAUUUGAUGAGAUGAUCAAAGUGUUUGGGUUUACACAGACUUAUGGAGAAGCCUGUGUUUACAAGAAAGUGAGUGGGAGCUCUGUAGCAUUUCUCAUAUUAUAUGUGGAUGACAUACUGUUGAUGGGAAAUGAUAUAGAAUUCUUGGGAAGCAUAAAGGCCUACUAGAACAAGUGUUUUUCAAUGAAGGACCUUGGAGAAGCUGCUUAUAUAUUAGGCAUCAAGAUCUAUAGAGAUAGAUCAAGACGCCUCAUUGGUCUUUCACAAAGUAGUACCUUGACAAGAUAUUGAAGAAGUUCAAUAUGGAUCAGUCCAAGAAGGGGUUCUUGCCUGUAUUGCAAGGUGUGCAAUUGAGCACGGCUCAAUGCCCGACCACGGCAGAAGAUAGAGAAAAGAUGAGUGUCGUCCCCUAUGCCUCGGCCAUAGGGUCUAUUAUGUAUGCCAUGCUGUGUACGAGACCUGAUGUAAACCUUGCCGUAAGUUUGGUAGGAAGGUACCAAAGUAAUCCCGCCAUGGAACACUGGACAGGGGUCAAGAAUAUCCUGAAGUACCUGAAGAGGACUAAGGAUAUGUUUCUCGUUUAUGGAGGUGACGAAGAGCUCGUCGUAAAGGGUUACGUCGAUGCUAGUUUCGACACAGAUCUGGAUGACUCUAAGUCAUAAACUGGAUACGUGUAUAUUUUGAAUGGUGGGGCAGUAAGCUGGUGUAGUUGCAAGCAAAGCGUUGUGGCGGGAUCUACAUGUGAAGCGGAAUACAUGGCGGCCUCAGAGGCAGCACAAGAAGCAAUCUGGGUGAAGGAGUUCAUUACCGACCUAGGAGUUAUUCCCAAUGCGUCGGGCCCGAUGACUCUCUUCUGUGACAACACUGGAGCUAUUGCCCUUGCCAAGGAGCCCAGGUUUCACAGGAAGACCAGGCAUAUCAAGCGUCGCUUCAACUCCAUUCGUGAAAAUGUUCAAAAUGGAGACAUAGAUAUUUGUAAAGUACAUACGGACCUGAAUGUAGCAGAUCCGUUGACUAAACCUCUCCCUAGAGCAAAACAUGAUCAACACCAGAACUCUAUGGGUGUUCGCUUCAUCACAAUGUAACUAGAUUAUUGACUCUAGUGCAAGUGGGAGACUGUUGGAAAUAUGCCCUAGAGGCAAUAAUAAAAUGGUUAUUAUUAUAUUUCCUUGUUCAUGAUAAUUGGCUACUGUUCAUGCUAUAAUUGUGUUAUCCGGAAAUCGUAAUACAUGUGUGAAUACAUAGACCACAACAUGUCCCUAGUGAGCCUCUAGUUGACUAGCUCGUUGAUCAACAGAUAGUCAUGGUUUCCUGACUAUGGACAUUGGAUGUCAUUGAUAACAGGAUCACAUCAUUAGGAGAAUGAUGUGAUGGACAAGACCCAAUCCUAAGCAUAGCACAAGAUCGUGUAGUUCGUUUGCUAGAGCUUUUCCAAAUGUCAAGUAUCAUUUCCUUAGACCAUGAGAUUGUGCAACUCCCGGAUACCAUAGGAGUGCUUUGGGUGUGCCAAACGUCACAAGGUAACUGGGUGGCUAUAAAGGUGCACUACGGGUAUCUCCGAAAGUGUCUGUUGGGUUGGCACGAAUCGAGACUGGGAUUUGUCACUCCGUAUGACGGAGAGGUAUCUCUGGGCCCACUCGGUAAUGCAUCAUCAUAAUGAGCUCAAUGUGACCAAGUGUUUGGUCACGGGAUCAUGCGUUAUGGUAUGAGUAAAGUGACUUGCCGGUAACGAGAUUGAACAAGGUAUUGGGAUACCGACGAUCGAAUCUCGGGCAAGUAACGUACCGAUUGACAAAGGGAAUUGUAUAUGGGAUUGAUUGAACCCUCGACAUCGUGGUUCAUCCGAUGAGAUCAUCGUGGAACAUGUGGGAGCCAACAUGGGUAUCCAGAUCCCGCUGUUGGUUAUUGACCGGAGAGUCGUCUCGGUCAUGUCUGCAUGUCUCCCGAACCCGUAGGGUCUACACACUUAAGGUUCGGUGACGCUAGAGUUGUAGAGAUAUUAGUAUGCGGUUAACCGAAAGUUGUUCGGAGUCCCGGAUGAGAUCCCGGACGUCACGAGGAGUUCCGGAAUGGUCCGGAGGUAAAGAUUUAUAUAUGGGAAGUCCUAUUUUGGCCACCGGAAAAUGUUCGGGAUUUUUCGGUAUUGUACCGGGAAGGUUCUAGAAGGUUCCGAAGUGGGGCCCACCUGCAUGGGGGGACCCACAUGAACGUGGGUAGUGGGGGCAAGGCCCCACACCCCUGGUCAAGGCGCACCAAGAUCCCACCUUAGAAGGAAUAAGAUCAUAUCCCGAAGGGAUAAGAUCAAGAUCCUAAAAAAGGGGGAUAACAAUCGGUGGGGAAGGGAAAUGAUGGGAUUUCUUUCCCCCACCUUUGCCAACGCCCCAAUGGACUUGGAGGGCAAGAAACAAGCCCCCUCCACCCCUAUAUAUAGUGGGGAGGCGCAUGGGAGCAGCACCCCAAGCCCUGGCGCCUCCCUCUCCCUCCCGUGACACCUCUCCCUCUCGUUGAGCUUGGCGAAGCCCUGCCGAGAUCCCCGCUGCUUCCACCACCACGCCGUCGUGCUGCUGGAUCUCCAUCAACCUCUCCCUCCCCUUGCUGGAUCAAGAAGGAGGAGACGUCUUCCCCAACCGUACGUGUGUUGAACGCGGAGGUGCCGUCCGUUCGGCGCUCGGUCAUCGGUGAUUUGGAUCACGACGAGUACGACUCCAUCAACCCCGUUCACUUGAACGCUUCCGCUCACGAUCUACAAGGGCAUGUAGAUGAACUCUUUUCCCUCUCGUUGCUAGAAGACUCCAUAGAUUGUUCUUGGUGAUGCGUAGAAUUUUUAUUUAUUUCUGCAACGAUCUCCAACACCUUCACCUUGCCGGCGUGAACCUGGGCCUGGGCAUUGAGUGCCUCUUUGUGCCUCUGCUCCAGCUCACUGGUCCGCCGCAAGACAAGAUUCUCCACCUCUUCAUCCUUGCCGCGAAGCGUGGCGGCAAUGUUCUCCUCACGCGCGGCAAGGUCCUCCUCCUGGGAGUUCAGCGCGGCCUCGUGCUGGGUCCGGGCGGCCUCGGCGGCCGCGGCCAAGUUCCUCGCCGUCUCUUGGGCUUUCUCGACGUCGGCGAGCUUCAUGGUGAGCUCCACGUCGCGCUUGGCCAGCUUGCCCUAGGCAGCCUUCAACUCCUUGUGAGCCUCGCGGAACCAGUCCUGCGUCUCAGCAACGCGCUUCUGGAGGUCCACCUCCGCCUUCUCCACCACCGCCGUCCUGGACUUAGCUUUAUACAGUCGGGCGCGGUGGAGCGCCUGGAGCUUCCGGUAGCUGGCGCCCAUGGCGUGGAGGAGCCUCUCUUCCUACGAGCCGUCGCCGCCAACGCUUGGCUCGUCGACGACCUCAAGCCCGGCGGCGGCAAGCACUUCGUCGUCAAACACCUCUCCCUCGACGGGUGUCCUGGUGCUCGACACGCCUGGAAGGUGGACGAACAAGUCAUCACUCACCCUCAGGUACCGGCCGGAGCCGGAAGCGGCAGAGGAGGAAGGCUGGUCAUCAGCCACCUCCUCCUCCUCCUCGGCAGCGGCCCUGCCGGCCUCCCUGGUAGGCCCCUGCCGGUCUCCUCAGCGGUGGCCUUGCCGGCCUCCCCGGCAGGCCCCUUGGCAGCGUCCUCAGCAGCGCCCUCGGCGGCCUCCUCAGCGGCGAUCUUCUCGGCGUCCGCCUCGGCGGCCUUGGCGACGUCCUCAAUGAUGGCGUCCACGUCCUUUGGCUCACCGAGGAGGAAUCUGGACACCGAUGAAGGGAGUGAGGCAAGGACAAGACCAAGAGCCAGAAAGAAAAAGGAACAGGGACGAACGGCGAGCGACUUACCAGCACCAGUACCAGGCUGGGAAACGGAAGUCCCCUCCCCGCCAACAUUUGGCGUCGAGGCAAAGCCGCCGGCGCCCAAGUUCUUCUCCUCCUCCUCCAUGUGCGUGGGCUCGGUGCUUGGCGCCCUUGCCGGGGACGCCCCUCGGGGCGGUGUGGUCGAUUGGGGCAGCGUGUUGGGAGUAGCCCUCUGCGGCUCCUCCUACUGCUGCUCUCCUCCUACAUACCUGACAAGGUCAGCACCAAAGUGUCGUGCCCCUGACACAUGUCGACGGGGGAAGAGUGAUGAACUUACGCUGGGGGCUAUGCCGGAGGCUGCUGUCCGGGCUGCUCAACACCACCAGUGGCGCCCUCGAAGUACCAACCGGGGGCUGGCCACCCGCCGAGACCUUGUCCCUCUUCACUCUCUGGGCCAGCGUCUCCACGUCCCUGCGAAGACGAAGACAAGUCAAGACGGGCGACACAGAUUGAGGAGGCAGAGAUAACAAAAAGGAACCAGAUACUUACUCGUCGUCCGCCUCCUCCUCUGCUGUCUUUCUCUUCCUCCUCGGGCUGAGGGAUCCAUAGUCGAAAGUGACCUCCGCGUCAACAUCCGCCGGAGGAGGAGAAGGAGGCAGUGUCUGGACACGCCUGGAUGAAGAAGGGGCGGCUGUCUUCUUCUUCACCGCGGCCUUCGCCGGCUUCUUCGCCGCUGCGGCCCUCGUGUGGCGCCCGGACCCCUCCAAGGUCAGCUGCGGCCGCGCAACCCUGCCGGGCCGGACCGGCUCGUCGGAACUAGCCUGUCGCAGGACUCGCCCUCUCCCCAUAGCCGGCAUCGGGCCUGCAGCCUCGGCCUCCUCCUCCGACGACUCGCCGACCACAUCUUCAACCAGAGGGGCUCGGUGUCGGUGCUGCUGGCUUCCCCGGCGGCCGCCGCCCACCGGGCGAGCUCCUCCUCCUCCGCAGCCGUCGCGGCCUUGUCCUCCACACCGCCAGUGCUGCCGGCCUCCUCGGCAAGCUGUGCCUCCCUCGCUCUGGUGGCGAUGUAGUCCAGUUCCGCCUGGGUGGUGUCCUGGACGAGCAGCCACUCGACGUCGGCGUUGACGUACCCCUCGUGCAGGGUGUCGAAGAACUGCUGCACCUCGGCGUCAUCCGGCUCGGCCCAGCUCGGGUCAGGCCCAUGCGCGUUGCAAUCCGGCUUCAUGGCGAUGAUGUCGGUCCGGCGUGAAUUGUUGCACAACGGGACCACCCCCGUCGGCAGCUUGAACAAAGGCCCCUUGAGGACCUUGCCGGCCUUCGCGGCGGCCCUCGCGACCUUGCCGGUCCGCUUGGCCACGCCGUCGCGGCUCACAUCGAGCUGGAAGAGCCGCUGGCAGAAAUGGGCGUGUCCCAUCACCGUGAAGUUGUGACCGAGGCCGGGACGAAGCCGCAUGAUGUCGGCGGGGUUCGUGAAGAGCCUGGCUGGCCUCCCCUUGUUGUCCAGUGGAGCAAUCCGGCGGCGGAUGAAGUCCGCCCCGAUCAUCUCAAGGGUGAGCCCGGCCUCGGUGAGCCGGAGGAUCCUGGUGGUGGCGACCGUGAGCUUCUCGUCGUCAGUGUCGAAGUCACUCCAAUCGCUUCUGCGGACCGGCGGCACCCGGCGAACUUCACAGAACGCCGGCGGGUCCUCCUCCUCGAUCCAGCACCACCGGCCCCGCCAUUCUUCCCACUUCUCUUUCAUGGCGCCCUCCGGAUAUGCUCCCUUGGACCUUGAGACCCAAGCGAUGCAACCGGAGAUGGCGCCCCCUGGUUGGAUCCGAGGGGAGAAGUAAUGGCGAAAGAGCGCCGUGUUGGGGUGUCCGGCGAAGCCCUCGCAGAGAUGCGCAAAAAGGGCCAUGCACGCCACCGCAUUCGGGGUAAAAUCCAGGAGGCGGAAGCCAAAAGUGUGCAUGAUGUCGCUGAAGAAAUCAGAGAAGGGAGGACAAAGCCCGCAAGAAAAAUAAUCGACGAAGAAGGGGUACCGAUUUGGGGCAGCCUCGGCGUAGUCGGCGGGGAUGACGCGUGUGGCUGGAUGCCCNNNNNNNNNNNNNNNNNNNNNNNNNNNNNNNNNNNNNNNNNNNNNNNNNNNNNNNNNNNNNNNNNNNNNNNNNNNNNNNNNNNNNNNNNNNNNNNNNNNNNNNNNNNNNNNNNNNNNNNNNNNNNNNNNNNNNNNNNNNNNNNNNNNNNNNNNNNNNNNNNNNNNNNNNNNNNNNNNNNNNNNNNNNNNNNNNNNNNNNNNNNNNNNNNNNNNNNNNNNNNNNNNNNNNNNNNNNNNNNNNNNNNNNNNNNNNNNNNNNNNNNNNNNNNNNNNNNNNNNNNNNNNNCCCCCCACAGGGGCCUGAAGGAUUCCCAAAGCUCGAACACGUCAACUGUUAAGGGGAAGAAGGCGGACUCUCUGGCGGCUCCGCCGCUCCGGCGUCCUUGGCCACUCCCUUGCCCUUGGUGGAUUUUGGCACCAUGGCGGCUGGGGGAGGGGGCAAGACAGAGGACGACGGGAACGCAAUGGCGGCGAGCAGGGGCAAAGCUUGAAGUAGAAGAAGACGAGUGGAAGCUUUCGAGAUUGGGAUUGCGCGAAGGGUGAAAGGAACAGUGCGCUCGCGGUUAUCCCUUUUUAUGGGGAAACCGCGGGUCACGCUGCCCAUUUACUGUGAUGUGACGCAUGCGUGCAGGAACCGCCCCACGCAUGCCGCCCACGUCACGCGCACCCCUCCACGCCACGCUGCGCCGCGCGUGGGUCGUGGGAAGCACAGCGCGCAAAAAGUUUUACCGCGGUAAAAAGCGCCCCGCCUGCCCGCGCACCGUUUUGGGCCUGGCCCAACAACGUGUCGCGCUUAUGUGUGGCCCAGGCCCGGGGGCUCCUGUCGUUGUACAAAAGAAGGGGCGCACCUUCUUACCCCUUUACCUGUGCACGGGCAGUCGGAGCCGCGCCCACGGUCACACCAAGCAGAACAGGGGAGGUGAGCCAAGGUAAGACCGAAGCCCAAGAUAACCAGAGCAACGCCGAGGCCAAGACCACAAAGAGCAAAGGGACAAAGCCGGUUCCCCCGGCAAGACCCUUGCCGGGGCAGCCUCAGCAGCCCCGGCAAGACCCUUGCCGGGGCAGCUCGCCCCACACCAACAGAGCGAGCCACCCUUGAGCCCACGGUCCCCAACACCAUCAUCCACAUGGGGCCAGGGCUCGGGAGGCACCCCUGUGGUGGCAUGCAGAUCUUUGUGAAGACAUAUUCAAGAUCAGAUGAGGAUUAGAAGACGACGAUCCUCGGCAAGAUCCUUGCCGAGGAAAGCCACGAGACCCCCGGCAAGGUCCUUGCCGGGGACGACAGCGCGCCACGGCAAGACCCUUGCCGGGCCGCCCGGCAAGGCCCUCACCAAGGACGCCAGCAGGGCUACCGCCAGGACUGCGCCAACCAAGUUUCCACCAUCGUUCGCAUGCAGCUGCCAGCUCAACCAGCUGAGCAGGCACCUGCGUGGCAACAUGCAGCUCCCUGGCCAACUCGUCAAGCGCCUGCGUGGCGGCAUGCAGAUCUUCGUGAAGGCUCCACCACCGCUCCACCUCAGCUGACUGCCUGCCUACAUGGCACCGCAUGUCUCACUGGCCAGGGCGCGUGUCGAAGCGAGGAGGAGCGGCGACGGACGGGACGGGCCUCGUCCCCGUCCCCGAUAAAGCAAGAGGACACCUAAGCUACGCAUUAAAUGCGUCUUGUCCUGUAAUACGAGCGAUAAGCUCAUAGCACUGUGCGCCUUUCCACCUCCUGUGUGCCACUGUGGCAGCCCCUUUCGACUAUAAAAGGAGGCCCAUGGCAUACUCGAGAAGGAUUCGGCUCUUUCGAACCACGCACUCACCACAGCUAGUUCAAGAGAAAGCAGGACUAGGGUUUUACGCAUCCUCGCGGCCCGAACCUAGGUAAACGAUCCUUGUGCUGGCUACUGAUCAUGCUCUUCUUGCAACCCCGCGCCCCGGCAACCGUAGUAGGGAUUCCCAUGAUCCCAUAGGUGUCGUUUCCCCGACACCAUGUCACAUUCACACUAAGAAAGAUGAAGAGGGUAAUCUGAUUUAUCCUAAACACACCACUCGAUAGUGACGGCUCCUGAUUCAGCAAUUCCGAGAGAAGCAGCCCAGUGAAAAGGAAAAGGAGUCAGACAGGGAUAACGACAAAGAAGAAGGUGAUGAUGGUUUUCCCAACGUCAAUUCCACUCUGGUGAUUUUUGCUGACAUCGAAAGCAAAAGUCGACUGAAAGUGAUAAAUAGAGAAGUUAACAUGGUUGCCCCGGCAACGACGACAUACUUGAAAUGGUCACAAACUGUGAUCACGUUCGACCAGUCUGAUCACCCAGCACGCGUUGCCACUCCAGAGUGGCAGGCGCUGGUUGUCGACCCAGUGGUUGGAGGCACUCGACUGACCAAAGUGUUGAUGGAUGGUGGCAGUGGUCUGAAUAUUCUUUACGCUGAAACAUUGAAGGGGAUGGGCAUUCUGAUGUCCAAGCUUAGUGAGAGCAACAUGAGCUUUCACGGCAUUAUCCUUGGAAAGAAGGCUGAAUCACUCGGCUAGAUAACACUUGAUGUGGUUUUCGGUGAUUCAAAGAAUUGCCGUAAGGAAAAGUUGACAUUUGAGGUGGUAGAUUUUCAGAGUGCUUAUCAUGCAAUUCUGGGCAGGCCUGCAUAUGUCCGUUUUAUGGCUCGACCGUGCUACGUCUAUCUUAAGUUGAAAAUUCCUGGGCCCAGAGGCAUGAUCACAGUUACUGGUAAUCGGCAGAAAGCAGAAGAGUGCCUUCAAAAGGGAUAAAAAAUUGCUGAUGAAUAGAUGGCAGCAGUUGAAAUGCAGGAAUACCAGAAGAAUGCUGAUCUGAGUGAUUUGCUGCGGGCUAAGAAGCCUGCCUCAGAGUCUGCAUUUCAGUCGUCAGGUGAAACAAAGUCGGUUCAUAUUCACCCGACCGAUCCCAAUGCUGCUCCAACUCAUAUCUCAAUGACGCUCGACAACAAAUAGGAAGAAGCGCUCAUCCAGUUCCUCUGUGAGAACUGGGACAUCUUUGCAUGGAAACCUUCUGACAUGCCGGGUGUACCCAGGGGACUAGCUGAGCACCGUUUGCGAGUCGACCCAAAAGUAAAACCGGUCAAAGAGCAUCUUCGAUGGUCUGCCGUAUAGAAGAGAAAGGCAAUUGUUGAGGAGGUGGCUCGGCUUCUGGCAGCUGAGUUCAUCCGAGAGAUUUACCACUCCGAGUGGCUCGGCAAUGUUGUCAUGGUUCCUAAGAAAGAUGAUUCACUCCGCAUGUGUAUUGAGUUCAAUCAUAUCAAUCGGGCCUGCCCGAAGGAUCACUUCCCUCUUCCUCGCAUCGAUCAGAUAGUCGACUCAACUGCGGGAUGUGAGCGGUUGUCUUUCCUGGAUGCAUAUUCCGGGUACCAUCAGAUCCGACUGUAUGGGCCCGAUGAGAUAAAAACAGCUUUCAUCACCCCAUUCGGGUGCUUUUGUUAUGUCACCAUGCCCUUUGGUCUCAAGAAUGCUGGCGCCACAUUCAUGCGCAUGAUUUAGAAGUGCCUGCUCACUCAAAUCAGUCGGAAUGUGGAGGCAUAUAUGGAUGACAUCGUGGUUAAGUCAUGCAAAGGUUCCGACCCGCUGACUGAUCUCGCUGAAACCUUUGCCAAUCUAAGGAGAUAUGAUAUCAAGCUCAAUCCGUCGAAGUGUCCGUUUGGAGUUCCGGGUGGCAAAUUACUGAUAACCCACACGAAUAGGGGAUCAAUUGUAGCCUCUUUCGAUAAGUAAGAGUGUCGAACCCAACGAGGAGCUAAAGCUAGAACAAAUAUUCCCUCAAGUUCUAUCGACCACCGAUACAACUCUACGCACGCUUAACGUUCGCUUUACCUAGAACAAGUAUGAAACUAGAAGUACUUUGUAGGUGUUUUUGGAUAGGUUUGCAAGAUAAUAAAGAGCAGGUAAAUAAAAAGUAGGGGCUGUUUAGGUAAAGAAGCAAUAGAGUUAGUAUAGCGAGUGUGGAAAAGUGGAGGUAGGAGUUGUGAAAUUGUCCCUAAGCAAUUGACUACUUUACUAGACCGAUAGCAAGUUUUAUGUGGGAAAGGCCACUGCUAGCAUGUCAUCCCUGACUUGGAAUUCUAUGCACUUAUGAUUGGAACUAUUAGCAAGCAUCCGCAACUACUAACAUUCAUUAAGGUAAAACCCAACCAUAGCACUAAGAUAUAUUGGUCCCCCUUCAAUCCCGUAUGCAUCAAUUUCUAUGCUAGGUUGAAGCUUCCAUCACUCUUGCCCUCCAAUACAUAGUCCUAUCAACACACAACUAACCUUAUGGUGUGAUCCACGUGCGCGCUCAUAUGAUGGGCACCAAAGGAUAGCAACAUAACCACAAGCAAAUUAAACCAAUCAUAGCAAUUCAUCAAUUACCGAUAGGACAACGAAAAUCUACUCAUACAUCAUAAGAUGGCAACACAUCAUUGGAUAAUAAUAUGAAGCAUAAAGCACCAUGUUCAAGUAGAGGUUACAGCGGGUUGCGGGAGAGUGGACCGCUGUAGAUAGAUGGGGGAAGGUGAUGGAGAUGUUGGUGAAGAUGACGGAGGUGUUGGUGUAGAUUGCGGUGAUGAUGAUGGCCCCGGCGGUGUUCCGGCACCACCGGGAGAGAGGGGGUGAUAGCCCCCCUUCUUCUUCUUCUUCCUUGACCUUCUCCCUAGAUGGGAGAAGGGUUUCCUCUCUGGUCCUUGGUCUCCAUGGCAUGGGAGGGGAGAGAGCACCUCCGAGAUUGGAUAUGUCUCUCUAUCUCUCUCUGUUUCUGCGUUCUGGAUUCUGCCCUUUCACCGUUUCUUUUAUAACCGGAGAUCCGUAACUCCGAUUGGGCUGAAUUUUGGACACGAUCUCUAUCCAGAAAUUAGCUUUCUUGCGGUGAAAGAAGGGCUCCAACCGCCUUACGGGGUGACCACGAGGGUCCAGGGCGCUCCCCCCUGCCUCGUGGCCCCCUCGGGCAUCGUAUCGCGUUGAUUCUUCUUCCCAAAAAUCAUAAAUAUUCAAAAAAAAUCUCCGUCAGUUUUUAUCCCGUUUGGACUCCGUUUGAUAUGGAUUUUCUGCGAAACAAAAAAAUGCAACAGACAGGAACUGGCACUCGGCACUGGAUCAAUAUGUUAGUCCCAAAAAUAGUAUAAAAAGUUGCCAAAAGUAUAUGAAAGUUGUAUAAUAUUGGCAUGGAACAAUAAAAAAUUAUAGAUACGACGGAGACAUAUCAGUUACUCGGUUUCCUCGUUUCCGAACGCGGGAUCGAUGCCAACCCAGAGAAGGUUGGGGCAAUUCUCCGAAUGAAAUGCCCCGUGCGUGUACACGACGUUCAGAAGCUUACUGGUUGUUUGGCCGCUCUGAGUCGAUUCAUCUCUCGUCUCGGCGAAAAGGCAUUGCCUCUUUACCGACUAAUGAAGAAGUCUGACAAGUUCGAGUGGACUCCUGAAGCUGACGCAGCGUUUGCAGAACUGAAACCCUGCUUUCCACCCAGCCGGUGCUUGCUGCUCCAAUCAGCAAAGAGCCUUUACUGCUUUAUAUUGCAGCCACUGGAAAGGUUGUUAGUAUAGUACUCACGGUCGAGCGGGAAGAGGAAGGCAAGGCUUACAAGGUUCAGCGCCCAGUGUACUAUAUUUCUGAAGUUUUAACCCCAUCCAAGCAAAGAUACCCGCAUUAUCAGAAGCUUGUCUAUGGGAUUUACUUGACCACAAAGAAGGUUGCACAUUACUUCUCAGAUCAUUCAAUUACAGUUGUCAGCGACACUCCAUUGUCAGAAAUAUUGAAUAACAGAGAUGCAACUGGUCGAGUGGCUAAAUGGGCGAUUGAACUUCUCCCGCUGGAUAUCAAGUUUGAGGCAAAGAAAGCAAUCAAAUCUUAGGCAAUAGCAGAUUUUCUCGUCGAGUGGAUUGAACAGCAGCUGCCGACUCAGGUUCAGUCGGAACAUUAGACUAUGUUUUUCAACGGGUCCAAGAUGUUGAAUGGUUCAGGUGCUGGGGUAGUCCUGGUAUCUCCACGAGGCGACAAGCUCAGUUAUGUUCUCCAGAUUCACUUUGACUCCUCCAAUAAUGAAGCUGAGUAUGAGACACUUUUGUAUGGGUUGCGUAUGGCCAUUUCAGUCGGCGUCCGGCGCCUAAUGGUCUAUGGCGACUCAGAUUUGGUAGUCAAUCAAGUGAUGAAGGAAUGGGAUGUGAGGAGUCCAGCCAUGACUGGUUAUUGCAAUGCAGUAAGAAAGUUGGAAAAGAAGUUUGUGGGGUUAGAGCUUCACCAUAUACCCCGACUGAAAAAUCAAGCAGUUGAUGACUUGGCAAAGAUAGGUUCCAAGAGGGAGCCCAUUCCCAGCAAUGUGUUUUUGGAACAUAUUCACACACCUUCAGUUCAAGAAGAUCCUUUAACUAAAGAGCCCCCACAGCCUAAGAGUGCCACUAAUCCGAUUGAAGUUGAAAUCCCAGCCGUUGUUGACUUGGUCAUGGAGGUUUUGGUUGUCAUUCCCGACUGGACAGUGCCAUACAUUGCAUAUAUCCUCAGGAAGGAACUACCAGAGGAUGAAGAAGAGGCUCGUCAGAUCGUCCGUCGAUCCAAAGCCUUUACUGUGAUGGGUGGACAACUUUAUAGAGAGAGUGUCACUGGAUUCAGUCAGAAAUGCAUCACACCGGAAGAAGGCCGAAUGAUCCUCAAUGAUAUUCACUUGGGAACCUGUGGUCACCAUGCGUCCUCUCGGACCAUCGUGGCCAAAGCAUACCGAGCCUGGUUUUACUGGCCACAUGCCAAUGAGAUGGCGAAAGAAAUAGUCGACAAGUGCGAAGGCUGUCAGUUCUACUCCAACAUGUCCCACAAACCCGCUUCAGCUUUGAAGACCAUUCCACUCGUCUGGCCAUUCACAGUUUGGGGAUUGGAUAUGGUAGGACCUCUGAGGACUGGUAGGAGUGGCUUCACCCAUGUGCUCAUGGCAGUCGACAAAUUCACCAAAUGGAUUAAAGCUAAACCUAUAAAAAAACCUUGAAGCAAGUACUGCUGUCAGCUUCAUCAGAGAAUUAACAUUCAGAUAUGGAGUUCCGCACAGCAUCAUCACAGAUAACGGAUCAAACUUCGAUUCAGAUGAGUUCAGAGCUUUCUGCGCUUCACAAGGCACUCGGGUCAACUAUGCUUCAGUCGCCCACCCACAGUCGAAUGGACAAGCAGAAAGAGCAACCAGUUUGAUCCUCAAAGGGCUGAAGCCCCGAUUGAUGCGUGAUCUCAAGCAUGCUGCAGGUGCUUGGGUCGACGAGCUACCAUCAGUACUUUGGGGAUUGAGGACAACUCCAAAUCGGUCGACUGGCCGAACUCCGUUCUUCUUGGUCUAUGGAGCUGAAGCCGUACUUCCGAGUGAUUUACUUCACAAUGCACCCCGAGUGGAACUUUUCUCAGAGGCCGAAGCAGAACAAGCUCGGCAAGAUGUUGUUGAUCUUCUAGAAGAGGAAAGAGAAAUGGCCCUAAUCCGGUCGACCAUUUACCAGCAAGACCUUCGUCGUUUUCACGCUAGAAACGUGAGAGGUCGAGCAUUUCAAGAAGGGGACCUAGUUCUCCAAGUGGAUCAGCAACGGCCUCACAAGCUUGCUCCUGCGUGGGAAGGUCCCUUCAUCAUCACCAAGGUACUCCACAACGGAGCAUACCACCUCUACAAUGUGGAACACAAUAAGGACGAGACACGCCCUUGGAAUGCAGAGUUACUCUGUCGUUUUUAUACCUAAAACACUCAGUCUGUUGAGAUGUAAUAAGAAAUACCUUUUUAGUCUGUUUAUCAAAGACAUAAUUUUACAGUCUUCUAAAUGAUUGUUAUCGCUUAUACAUGUGUUUAAAAUCCCCCAGUGGGUGGCUUAGCCGCGAAUCCGUUUCGCCUAAGUUUGAAAAAAUCCUACCGAGUGAAGAGCAACCCUCUCACUCGGGGGCUUAGCCGCGAAUCCGUUUCGCCUAAGUUUGAAAAAUCCUACCGAGUGAAGAGGAAGCCUCUCACUCGGGGGCUUAGCUACACUUCCGUACUCGCCUAAGUUCAAGAAAUCCCACCGAGUGAAGAGCAACCCUCUCACUCGGGGGCUUAGCUACAGUUCCGUACUCGCCUAAGUUCAAAAAAUCCCACUGAGUGGUGAGCAAGCCUCUCACUCGAGGGCUUAGCUGCAGUCUAGUACUCGCGUAAGUUNNNNNNNNNNNNNNNNNNNNNNNNNNNNNNNNNNNNNNNNNNNNNNNNNNNNNNNNNNNNNNNNNNNNNNNNNNNNNNNNNNNNNNNNNNNNNNNNNNNNNNNNNNNNNNNNNNNNNNNNNNNNNNNNNNNNNNNNNNNNNNNNNNNNNNNNNNNNNNNNNNNNNNNNNNNNNNNNNNNNNNNNNNNNNNNNNNNNNNNNNNNNNNNNNNNNNNNNNNNNNNNNNNNNNNNNNNNNNNNNNNNNNNNNNNNNNNNNNNNNNNNNNNNNNNNNNNNNNNNNNNNNNNNNNNNNNNNNNNNNNNNNNNNNNNNNNNNNNNNNNNNNNNNNNNNNNNNNNNNNNNNNNNNNNNNNNNNNNNNNNNNNNNNNNNNNNNNNNNNNNNNNNNNNNNNNNNNNNNNNNNNNNNNNNNNNNNNNNNNNNNNNNNNNNNNNNNNNNNNNNNNNNNNNNNNNNNNNNNNNNNNNNNNNNNNNNNNNNNNNNNNNNNNNNNNNNNNNNNNNNNNNNNNNNNNNNNNNNNNNNNNNNNNNNNNNNNNNNNNNNNNNNNNNNNNNNNNNNNNNNNNNNNNNNNNNNNNNNNNNNNNNNNNNNNNNNNNNNNNNNNNNNNNNNNNNNNNNNNNNNNNNNNNNNNNNNNNNNNNNNNNNNNNNNNNNNNNNNNNNNNNNNNNNNNNNNNNNNNNNNNNNNNNNNNNNNNNNNNNNNNNNNNNNNNNNNNNNNNNNNNNNNNNNNNNNNNNNNNNNNNNNNNNNNNNNNNNNNNNNNNNNNNNNNNNNNNNNNNNNNNNNNUAAGUUCAAGAAAUCCCACCGAGUGAAGAGCAAACCUCUCACUCCGGGGCUUAGCUGCAGUCUCGUACUCGCCUAUAAGUUCAAAAAAUCCCACCGAGUGGUGAGAAAGCCUCUCACUCGGGGGCUUAGCUGCAGUCUCUUACUCGCCUAAGUUCAAGAAAUCCCACCGAGUGAAGAGCAACCCUCUCACUCGGGGGCUUAGCUGCAGUUCCGUACUCGUCUAAGUUCAAAAAAUCCUACCGAGUGGUGAGCAAACCUCUCACUCGGGGGCUUAGCCGCAGUCCCCUACUUGCCUAAGUUCAAAGAAAUCCCACCGAGUGAAGAGAAACCCUCUCACUCGGGGGCUUAGCUGCAGUCCAGUACUCGCUUAAGUAUAAAACACGUUCCGAGUGAGGAUCGAUCUUCUUGCUCGGGGACUUGGCCACAUGCACGCUCUAUCCAGAUCAGCAAGGACGAUGAUAACCCACAAGUAUAGGGGAUCAAUUGUAGCCUCUUUCGAUAAGUAAGAGUGUCGAACCCAACGAGGAGCUAAAGGUAGAACAAAUAUUCCCUCAAGUUCUAUCGACCACCGAUACAACUCUACGCACGCUUAACGUUUGCUUUACCUAGAACAAGUAUGAAACUAGAAGUACUUUCUAGGUGUUUUUGGAUAGGUUUGCUAGAAAGUAAAGAGCGAGUAAAUAAAAGCUAGGGGCUGUUUAGAUGAAGACACAACUAAAUUAGUUUUAGUAGAGAGCUUUUUGUUACGAGAAAGUUAUUUGUCCCUAGGCAAUCGAUAACUAGACCGGUAAUCAUUAUUGCAAUUUUAUUUGAGGGAGAGGCAUAAGCUAACAUACUUUCUCUACUUGGAUCAUAUGCACUUAUGAUUGGAACUCUAGCAAGCAUCCGCAACUACUAAAGACCAUUAAGGUAAAACCCAACCAUAGCAUUAAUGCAUCAAGUCCUCUUUAUCCCAUACGCAAACAACCUACUUACUCGGGUCUGUGCUUCUGUCACUCACGCCACCCACCAUAAGCAAAUCAUGAACAUAUUGCAACACCCUACAGCGGGAAUCCCUCAAGCUUGCACGACAUGGAGAGCACCAUAGGACAGCACCAAUAAUAAAACAUGCAAUUCAAACCAAUCUUGAUCAUCAAAUAGCCCAUAGGACAAAACGGAUCUACUCAAACAUCAUAGGAUAGCCAUACAUCAUUGGGAAAUAAUAUAUAGCGUUGAGCACCAUGUUUAAGUAGAGAUUACAGCGGGUAAGAGAGAGGUUACACCGCUGCAUAGAGGGGGGAAGAGUUGGUGAUGAUGGCGGUGAAGUUGUUGGUGAAGAUUGCGGUGAUGAUGAUGGCCACAACGGCGUUCCGGCGCCACCGGAAGAGAAGGGGAGAGGGGGGCCCUUCGUCUUAUUCUUCCUUGACCUCCUCCCAAGAUGGGAGAAGGGUGUCCCCUCUGGUCCUUAGCCUCCAUGGCGUGGGAGGGGCGAGAGCCCCUCCGAGAUUGGAUCUGCCUCUCUGUUUCUGCGUUCUGUUCUGCUGCCCUUUCACCGUUUCGUAUAUAUAUAUAUGGAGAUCCGUAACUCCGAUUGGACUGAAACCUUCGCCGUGAUUUUUUUACCAAAAAUUAGCUUUCUUGCGGCCGAAGAAGGGCAUCAACCGCCUUACGGGUGGCCCACGUGGGUCAGGGGCGCGCCCAGGAGGGCAGGGGCGCCCCCUGCCUCGUGGCCAUCUCAGGCACCGUCUCGCGUGGAUUUUUCUUCCGGAAUUUUCCAAAUAUUCCAAAAAUAAGCUCCGUCCGUUUUUAUCCCAUUUGGAUUCCGUUUGAUAUGGAUAUUCUGCAAGACAUAAAACAUGCAACAAACAGGAACUGGCACUGGGCACUGGAUCAAUAUGUUAGUCCCAAAAAUAGUAUAAAAACUUGCCAAAAAGUAUAUGAAAGUUGCAUAAUAUUGGCAUGGAACAAUAAAAAAUUAUAGAUACGACGGAGACGUAUCAGUAUCCCCAAGCUUAAUUCCUGCUCGUCCUCGAGUAGGUAAAUGAUAAAAAAGAUAAUUUUUGAUGUGGAAUGCUACCUAGCAUAAUCUUGAUCAUAUGUCUAAUCAUGGCAUGAAUAUUAAGACACGAGUGAUUCAAAGCAAUAGUCUAUCCUUUGACAUAAAAACAAUAAUACUUCAAGCAUACCAACCAAGCAAUUAUGUCUUAUUGAAAUAACAUAGCUAAAGAAAGCUCAUCCCUACAAAAUCAUAUAGUCUGGCUAUGCUCCAUCUUCACCACACAAAAUAUUCAGAUCAUGCACAACCCCGAUGACAAGCCAAGCAAUUGUUUCAUACUUUUGACGUUUCUCAAACCUUUUCAACUUUCACGCAAUACAUGAGCAUGAGCCAUGGACAUAUCACUAUAGGUGGAAUAGAAUAUGAUGAUGGGGGUUAUGUGGAGAAGACAAAAAAGGAGAAAGUCUCACAUCGACGCGGCUAAUCAACGGGCUAUGGAGAUGCCCAUCAAUUGAUGUCAAUGUGAGGAGUAGGGAUUGCCAGGCAACAGAUGCACUAGAGCUAUAAGUGUAUGAAAGCUCAAACUGAAACUAAGUGGGUGUGCAUCCAACUUGCUUGCUCAUGAAGACCUGGGGCAUUUGAGGAAGCCCAUCAUUGGAAUAUACAAGCCAAGUUCUAUAAUGAAAAUUCCCACUAGUAUAUAAAAGUGAUAACUCAAGAGACUCUCUAUAUGAAGAACAUGGUGCUACUUUGAAGCACAAGUGUGGUAAAAGGAUAGUAACAUUGCCCCUUCUCUCUUUUUCUCUCAUUUUUUUGUGUUCUUUUUUUUCUUUUUUUGGGCCUUCUCUUUUUUUGGCCUUUCUCUCUUUUUUUAUUUUUUUAUUUUAUUUUUUUUGUCCGGAGUGUCAUCCUGACUUGUGGGGGAAUCAUAGUCUCCAUAAUCCUUUCCUCACUGGGGCAAUGCUCUAAUAAUGAUGAUCAUCACACUUUUAUUUACUUACAACUCAAUAUUAUAACUCGAUAUCUAGAACAAAGAUAUGACUCUAUAUGAAUGCCUCCGGCGGUGUACUGGGAUGUGCAAUGAUCUAGUGUAGCAAUGACAUCAAAAAACGGACAAGCCAUGAAAACAUCAUGCUAGCUAUCUUACGAUCAUGCAAAGCAAUACGACAAUAAAUGCUCAAGUCAUGUAUAUGAUGAUGAUGGAAGUUGCAUGGCAAUAUAUCUCGGAGUGGCUAUGGAAAUGCCAUAAUAGGUAGGUAUGGUGGCUGUUUUGAGGAAGAUAUAAGGAGGUUUAUGUGUGAUAGAGCGUAUCAUAUCACGGGGUUUGGAUGCACCGGCGAAGUUUGCACCAACUCUCGAGGUGAGAAAGGGCAAUGUACGGUACCAAAGAGGCUAACAAUGAUGGAAGGGUGAGAGUGCGUAUAAUCCAUGGACUCAACAUUAGUCAUAAAGAACUCACAUACUUAUUGCAAAAGUCUAUUAGCUAUCGAAACAAAGUACUACGCGCCUGCUCCUAGGGGGAUAGAUUGGUAGGAAAAGACCAUCGCUCGUCCCCGACCGCCACUUAUAAGGAAGACAAUCAAUAAACACCUCAUGCUCCAACUUCGUUACAUAACGGUUCACCAUACGUGCAUGCUACGGGACUUGCAAACCUCAACACAAGUAUUUCUCAAUUUCACAAUUACUCAACUAGCACGACUCUAAUAUCACCACCUUUAUAUCACAAAACUAUUGCAAGGAAUCAAACAUAUCAUAUUCAGUGAUCUACAAGUUUUAUGUAGGGUUUUAUGACUAACCAUGUGAAUGACCAGUUCCUGUCAUCUCUCUACAUAGAUAUAAGUGAAGCACGAGAGUUUAAUUCUUUCUACAAAAAAUAUGCCCACGCUCUAACAAAUAUAAGUGAAGCAAAAGAGCAUUCUACAAAUGGCGGUUGUCUAUGUAAAGAGAAACAGGCAAUCCAAGCUUCAAAUGAUAUAAGUGAAGCACAUGAAGCAUUCUAUAAAGCCAUACUCAAAAGAUAUAAGUGAAGUGCAAUGAGCAUUCUAUAAAUCAACCAAGGACUAUCUCAUACCAGUGUGGUGCAUAAAAGAAAAAUGAAAACUAAAUGCAAAAGACGCUCCAAGAUUGCACAUAUCACAUGAACGAAACGAAUCCAAAAAUAUACCGAUACUUGUUGAAGAAAGAGGGGAUGCCUUCCGGGGCAUCCCCAAGCUUAGACGCUUGAGCCUCCUUGAAUAUUUACUUGGGGUGCCUCGGGCAUCCCCAAGCUUGAGCCCUUGCCUCUCUUCCUUCUUCUCACAUCGAAACCUUCUCGAUCAUCAAACACUUCAUCCACACAAAACUUCAACAGAAAACUCGGUAAGAUCCGUUAGUAUAAUAAAGCAAAUCACCACUCUAAGUACUGUUGCAAACCAAUUAAUAUUUUAUUUUUGCAUUAUGUCUACUGUAAUAUAACUUUUUCAUGGCUUAAUCCACUGAUAUAAAUUGAUAGUUUCAUCAAAACAAGCAAACUAUGCAUCAAAAACAGAAUCUGUCUAAAACAGAACAGUCUGUAAUAAUCUGAACAUUCACCAUACUUCUGAUACUUGAAAAAUUCUGCCAAAAUUAGGAAACAUAAAUAAUUUGUAUAGAAAGACAGUUCAAAAAGAAUCAGAACCAUUUGACGUUCCAGUAAAACAUUAAAAAUCGCGCACUACAGCCAAAGUUUCUGUCCUGCACCGUACAAACCAACAAGUAUUGUAAACAUCCUAAAGGGAAACCUUGGCACAUUAUUUUUAUAAUACAAUGGAAUUGUACAAGGGGAUAAUUAUUUUUGUUGAAAAGUUUCUGUAAUCAAGAUUCACAAAGUUUCCGUGAGCAUGAACAAAGUUCAAGGCUAGCUCCCACUUUAACAAUGCUUGUCUUUCUCACUUUCGCUUUUCUUUUUGAAAAAGUUUUAGGUUCCCCUCUUUAUUUUUUGUUUUUAAACUAUAUGAAAGCACUCAACAGAAAUAAAUGAAUCUCUAAAACUUCCGGAUUGUCUCCCUGGCAGCGCUUUCUUUAAAGCCAUUAAGCUAGGCAUAUAGUGCUCAAGUAGUGAAUCCACCCGGAUCCCAAGGUAUAUCAAAGCCAAUUUUAAUUAGCAAUGAUUUGUAAUUUAGUAGUGAGCACAAAGCAACAUAUAUCAUGUAAUGACGAAGUCUAACUCUCUUCCUAUGCAUCGGCAUGUCAUAAAAGAACAAUUAAUGCACACAAAGUAAAGGCCAAUGCAUAGUAUAAACAGUUUCUUGCAAUUUUACCAUGUUGGAAACAUAGAGAGGUGGAGAUAUAGUUCCUCUCUCAUAAUAAUAGCAAGUAGGAGCAGCAAGCACAUGCAUAUUAUAUUCAUCAAAAUCAUCAUGUGCAACGGUAAAAGGCAACCCAUCAAUAUAAUCCUUAAUAAAAGCAGACUUCUCUGAUAUAGUGUAGUUUGGAGAAUUCAAAAAGAUAAUAGGACUAUCAUGUGUGGGUGCAAUAGCAACAAUUUCAUGUUUAACAUAAGGAACUAUAGAAAGUUCAUCUCCAUAAGCAUAAUUCAUAUUGGCAUCUUGGCCACAAGCAUAGCAAGUAUCAUCAAAAAGGGAUAUUUCAAGAGAGUCAACGGGAUCAUAGCAAUCAUCCUUCGGUAAGCACGAAGGGAAAUUAAACAAUGUAUGAGUUGAAGAGUUACUCUCAUUAGAAGGUGGGCACGGGUAGCUAAUCCGCUCUUCCAGCUUUUGUUCUUCGCUCUCCUCAUCAUGUUUUUCAUCCAAUGAGCCCACAGUUUCAUCAACUUCUUCUUCCAUAGAUUCCUGCAAAAUAUUAGUCUCUUCUUGGACAGCGGAGACUUUCUCAAUAAGUGCAUUAAUAUUGUAAUUGUAUUCAUAAUUCUCAUAACAAUAUUUAAGGAUAGCUAAAUUUUCAGGUCUUUAAACCGAAUCAUCAAAAUCUUCAAACUCUUUAAAGGAAGAUUCAAUUUCAUAAGCACCCAUAAAAGCAACAAAUUCUUCUAUUUGUUCCACAUCAUAGUAAUCAUAGAUACCAUUAGCAUAAGAAGCAAAGGUUUUAUUAUCAUUAAAUUUGCAUGAAAAGGGAAGGUGUGGAGCCUUCAUUCUAGAGCAACAAGUAUAAUCAUAUCUCAAGCAUAGUUGCCUAGCAUACCACUUCAACAUAUAAAUUUGAUCCCAUAAUAGUUUCCCUUUUUGUGUCAAGCGAUAAUCCCUAAAGUAUUCACGUUGAUCCAACGUUACUCCCAUUACCAAAUUGAAUGGGGUUUUCUCUGGAUUAUCAAAGUAGUACAUAAUAUCUGUCACAUAACGAGCAUCGAGGGUUUUAGGAGGUUCCCCAUCUCCAUGAGCAGCAAGUACACCUAAUAUUUUUGGUAUUCCGUGUUCCAUAUCCAUAACUAAAGAUAAAGAACAACUAAGAACAGUAAAUAAAAAUUACUUAGUGAUAAAGCAAACAAGCACACACGAGAAUAUUCACCCCACGCUAUUGCUCCCCGGCAACGGCGCCAGAAAAAUGUCUUGAUAACCCACAAGUAUAGGGGAUCAAUUGCAGCCUCUUUUGAUAAGUAAGAGUGUCGAACCCAACGAGGAGCUAAAGGUAGAACAAAUAUUCCCUCAAGUUUUAUCGACCACCGAUACAACUCUACGCACGCUUAACGUUCGCUUUACCUAGAACAAGUAUGAAACUAGAAGUACUUUCUAGGUGUUUAUGGGUAGGUUUGCUAGAAAUUAAAGAGCGAGUAAAUAAAAGCUAGGGGCUGUUUAGAUGAAGACACAACUAAAUUAGUUUUAGUAGGGAGCUUUUUGUUACGAGAAAGUUAUUUGUCCCUAGGCAAUCGAUAACUAGACCGGUAAUCAUUAUUGCAAUUUUAUUUGAGGGAGAGGCAUAAGCUAACAUACUUUCUCUACUUGGAUCAUAUGCACUUAUGAUUGGAACUCUAGCAAGCAUCCGCAACUACUAAGGAUCAUUAAGGUAAAACCCAACCAUAGCAUUAAAGCAUCAAGUCCUCUUUAUCCCAUACGCAAACAACCUACUUACUCGGGUCUGUGCUUCUGUCACUCACGCCACCCACCAUAAGCAAAUCAUGAACAUAUUGCAACACCCUACAACGGGAAUCCCUCACACUUGCGCGACACAGAGAGCACCACAGGACAACACCAAUAAUAAAACAUGCAACUCAAACCAAUCUUGAUCAUCAAAUAGCCCAUAGGACAAAACGGAUCUACUCAAACAUCAUAGGAUAGCCAUACAUCAUUGGGAAAUAAUAUAUAGCGUUGAGAACCAUGUUUAAGUAGAGAUUACAGCGGGUAAGAGAGAGGUUACACCGCUGCAUAGAGGGGGGAAGAGUUGGUGAUGAUGGCGGUGAAGUUGUUGGUGAAGAUUGCGGUGAUGAUGAUGGCCACGGCGGCGUUCUGGCGCCACCGGAAGAGAAGGGGAGAGGGGGCCCCUUCGUCUUCUUCUUCCUUGACCUCCUCCCUAGAUGGGAGAAGGGUUUCCCCUCUAGUCCUUGGCCUCCAUGGCGUGGGAGGGGCGAGAGCCCCUCCGAGAUGGAUCUGUCUCUCUGUUCUUUCUGUUUCUGCGUUCUGUUCUGCUGCCCUUUCACUGUUUCGUAUAUAUAUGGAGAUCUGUAACUCCGAUUGGACUGAAACCUUCACCGUGAUUUUUACCAAAAAUUAGCUUUCUUGCGGCCGAAGAAGGGCAUCAACCGCCUUACGGGUGGCCCACGAGGGUCAGGGGCGCGCCCAGGGGGGCAGGGGCGCCCCCCUGCCUCAUGGCCACCUCGGGCACCGUCUCGCGUGGAUUUUUCUUCCGGAAUUUUCCAAAUAUUCCAAAAAUAAGGUCUGUCCGUUUUUAUCCCGUUUGGAUUCCGUUUGAUAUGGAUAUUCUGCAAGACAUAAAACAUGCAACAAACAGGAACUGGCACUGGGCACUGGAUCAAUAUGUUAGUCCCAAAAAUAGUAUAAAAAGUUGCCAAAAGGUAUAUGAAAGUUGCAUAAUAUUGGCAUGGAACAAUAAAAAAUUAUAGAUACGACAGAGACGUAUCAGACGACGAGGUACAGGUCGACUGCGACAUACUCCUCAGAGCUGCGCCAUAAAUACAAUGUGCUCUCGGUCCUGAUCCGCAAGGAAGACGAGGUGCAGGUCGAAUGCUACCUUCUCCUUGGAGCUGCGUCACAAAUACAAAGACUAUUCCGAGUGGAGAAACAAGCUCCACUCGAAGGAAAACACAAGCAUAUUCAGAGAUAAACCAAGUUCAUAUAAAUCCUAAGGCUCAAGACCGCGGAUUAAAGUACUCAGACAUUAGACCCGAAGGAGUUUAAUGGUUACAAAAUCACUCGGCAUUCCGAGGCAAAUUUAAGGCGAGGCAUAAAGUUUGUUCACUCCGCAGGAGGAGGGCUAGCAGGUUCGACGAACUCGUCCAGGUCGAUUCCAUCAGCAAUCCGAGUGGUAGCAGCAAUGAAGGUUUCCAUGAAAGAUUGGAAGUCGUGGCUUUUGGUAUUGGCAACCUUGAUCGCCGCCAGCUUCUCUUCUCGGGCUUCCUUGUAGUGGACACGAACCAGAGACAAAUCCACGUCAGCACCGCGUCGAGCAGAAGACUUCUUCCAUUCCUGCACUCGACCAGGGACCUCAUUGAGUCGAGUCAUAAGAGACUCGAGGUCACUUUGGAGUGUCAUCCCUGGCCAGAGCGUUGUGUCGAUUCGCGACACCGCAACUUUCAGCCGAGUAAGGUAGUCGACAACACCAGCGACUCGAGAUUCCAGACGGAGCAUGUUCAUGGCAGCUUCAUCCUUAACAGGAGAGAGGAUGGGGUCCAAGCUUGUCUCAAUUUGCCCAGUCUCUUCCUCGAAAUUUUGGCAAAAUUCUGCACACGCAAUACAGCGAUGAGUCAAUAGUUAUAUAUCGAGUCGAUAGAAACAAGUCAGUCGGGCAAAGGAAAUCACCUUCAAGCAUAACGAAUAACUUCUUGGCAAGUCCUCCCAGAUAAUUCUGCAGCUCAUCUCUCUUGUGGGGGAUGUUUUCUACUUUCUCGGUCAGGGCCCUCUUGUCCUUCUUCAGACGAGUCACUUCCUUGUUGGCUUCAUCAAGGGCAGCCUUCAGCUUGAUGUUCUCUUCUUCCAGUUUACCGACUGAAGCCAGCUUAUGGUCGGCGAGUGCAGUUUUCUCUUCUGCUGCUUUCUGCGUGGCCGCAUGGUCCAGAUCCUUCUGCGCCAGAGCCUUGUUCAUGGUUUCUGAAGAAAAUAACGCUCGGUUCAGAAGAAGGAGAUAACACUCGGGUCAAGAACGAAUUAGUCGAUAAGUUUUCAUACCAACGGCUUCAUCCUUGGCCUUCUGCAAGUUUGUCUUGGCCAGCUCCAGAUCAAGAUUGACCUGAAUCUGCUUUUGUUCCAAGUCAGCAAACCGAGCUCCAAGUUCACAAGAUUUCUGUAGUCAGGAGAUAGUCAGACAGACACGGAGAUUGGCUGCUUCCGAGCAAUAAAAUAACAAGUUCAAAGAGUUCUAAGACUACCGCCGAAUCAAACAUUCAACAGCAGUCUAGGGGACUACAGCCAGUGGGUGCACUCAGCGUGCCCCCACUGGUUAGACGUUUUCAUUGACUUGGUCCAUCCAGUCGGGAAAAAAAAAGAGAAGAGGAAUGUUGUUCUCAGACCACAGUCGACUGCCCGGAGUCGACUACGGUCUCGAGGACUACACCCAGUGGGUGCACUCAGCGUGCCCCCACUGGUUCAGGUUCCACUCGACAUGGUCCUGAUACGUCUCCAACGUAUCUAUAAUUUUUGAUUGCUCCAUGCUAUAUUAUCUACUGUUUUGGACAUUAUUGGGCUUUAUUAUUCACUUUUAUAUUCUUUUUGGGACUAACCUCUUAACCGGAGGCCCAGCCCAGAAUUGUUGUUUUUUUUUGCCUAUUUCAGAGUUUCGCAGAAAAACAAUAUCAAACGGAGUCCAAACGGAAUGGAACCUUCGGGAACGUGAUUUUUAGGAAGAUUAUGAUCCAGGAGACUUGGACCCUCCGUCAAGAAACAAAGGAGGAGGCCACGAGGUAGGGGGGCGCGCCCACCCCCCCAGGGCGCGCUCUCCACCCUCGUGGGCCCCCUGUUGCUCCACCGACGUACUCCUUCCUCCUAUAUAUACCUACGUACCCCCAAACGAUCAGAUACGGAGCCAAAAACCUAAUUCCGCCGCCGCAACCUUCUGUACCCACGAGAUCCCAUCUUGGGGCCUGUUCCGGAGCUCCGACGGAGGGGGCAUCCAUCACGGAGGGCUUCUACAUCAUCACCAUAGCCUUUCCGAUGAAGUGUGAGUAGUUUACCUCAGACCUUCGGGUCCAUAGUUAGUAGCUAGAUGGCUUCUUCUCUCUUUUUGGAUCUCAAUACAAUGUUCUCCCCCUCUCUCGUGGAGAUCUAUUCGAUGUAUUGUUCUUUUUGCGGUGUGUUUGUUGAGACCGAUGAAUUGUGGGUUUAUGAUCAAGAUUAUCUAUGAACAAUAUUUGAAUCUUCUCUGAAUUCUUUUAUGUAUGAUUGGUUAUCUUUGCAAGUCUCUUCGAAUUAUCAGUUUGGUUUGGCCUACUAGAUUGAUCUUUUUUGCAAUGGGAGAAGUGCUUAGCUUUUGGUUCAAUCUUGUGGUGUCCUUUCCCAGUGACUGUAGGGGCAGCAAGGCACGUAUUGUAUUGUUGCCAUCGAGGAUAACAAGAUGGGGUUUUUUAUCAUAUUGCAUGAAUUUAUCCCUCUACAUCAUGUCAUCUUGCUUAAGGCGUUACUCUGUUUUCAUGAACUUAAUACUCUAGAUGCAUGCUGGAUAGCGGCCGAUGAGUGGAGUAAUAGUAGUAGAUGCAGGCAGGAGUCUGUCUACUUGUCUCGGACAUGAUGCCUAUAUACAUGAUCAUACCUAGAUAUUCUCAUAACUAUGCUCAAUUCUGUCAAUUGCUCAAUAGUAAUUCGUUCACCCACCGUAAAAUACUUAUGCUCUUGAGAGAAGCCACUAGUGAAACCUAUGGCCCCCGGGUCUAUCUUCAUCAUAUUAAUCUUCCAACACUUAGUUAUUUCCUUUGCUUUUUUACUUUGCUUUUAUUUUUACUUUGCAUCUUUAUCACAAAAAUACCAAAAAUAUUAUCUUAUCAUAUCUAUCAGAUCUCACUCUCGUAAGUGACCGUGAAGGGAUUGACAACCCCUUAUCGCGUUGGUUGCGAGGAGUUAUUUCUUUUGUGUAGGUACGAGGGACUCGCGCGUAGCCUCCUACUGGAUUGAUACCUUGGUUCUCAAAAACUGAGGGAAAUACUUACGCUACUUUGCUGCAUCACCCUUUCCUCUCUAAGGAAAAACCAACGCAGUGCUCAAGAGGUAGCAAGAAGGAUUUCUGGCGCCGUUGCCGGGGAGGCUUACGCGAAGUCAAGUCAAGAUUUGACUCCCGACAACGAGCCAUUUCUGGCGCCGUUGCCGGGGAGGUCUACGCAAAAGUCAACAUACCAAGUACCCAUCACAAACCCUUAUCUCCCGCAUUACAUUAUUCACCAUUUGCCUCUCGUUUUCCUCUCCCCCACUUCACCCUUCCCGUUUUGUUCGCCUUCUUCCCAUAUGCCUUUCUGUUUGUGUUUCCAUGUGCCUUCUAUUUGCUUGCAUCUUUGCUUGCUAAAAAUCUUUUGAUAUGGAUCCACUUAAAGUGUUCUACUUGGAUCAUCUUCGAUCCUUAUGCGCUCGUGCUGAAACCCCAACUAACCUAGUUGAUGGGAAAUCUUUAGAUGAGCAUGCUCAUUUUGUGUGUCAUCGUUUGUCUGAAAAAGGGAAGCUCUUAUGGUAUCAUAUAAAUAGUUUGCUAUGCUAUCCUUGGAUUCUUUGUGAAAUGUGUGAUUUUACUUGUUCCUCUAAGAACCCUAAAAAACACCUUCCCUACCUAUGUGAGUUCAAUGAUAAUGAAAUCUUAUCUUCUUAUGCAAAGGGUGUUUAUAGUUACUAUGAUAUUGAACAAAUUGAAGAAUUUGUCGUUUUUAAGGGUGCUCAUGAAGUUGCUUCUUUGAUUGAACAGUAUGAUUUUACUCUCAACAAAUCUGAAAAUUCCGUCAUACUUAAAUAUUGCAAUGAAAACUAUGCUCAUAGUCUAUGUCAAAGAAUUUAUUGAGAGAAUGACCGUUGCUUUGGAAGAAAAUAAUGAUAUGCAUGAAUCUAUAGAUAAUGAUGAUUCCGAUGAUUUGGUUGAAAUAUCCCUUGAUGAACAUGACGCUUGCUAUUCUUGUGGCCAUGAUGCCAAUAUUUAUGAAGAUGAAUUUGCUAUAGUUCCUUAUGUUAAAACUGAGAUUGUUGCUAUUGCACGCAUGCUUGAUAGUUCCCUCGAUGAAAAGCAUGAUUUCAAUGAUUUUACUAUAAAUUCUCUUGAUGUCAAUUGUGCUAAUAAUAUGCAAAACCCUAAGCUUGGGGAUGCUAGUUUUGCUAUGUCUACUACUUGUUGCAAUGAUAAUGAUUGGGGUGAUUCUUCUUAUGAUCUUGAAAAUUUAUUUAAGCCCCAUGAUGAAUAUAAGAUUGAUAAUAGUACUUGCAAUAAUAUUGAAAGUGGGUUUGGAAGAGUGUCAACUUUAGAUCCCACAUAUUUGGAUAAUAUUCAAUCUUAUGAAAUUUUUGAUAAAAGUGGGCUUGGAGAAAUCAUGACUUUAGUUAAUGAUAAUCCCACUAUUUUGGAAGAGUGUCAACUUCGCAUGCAUGUGGAUCGUGUUGAGAAUAUGUUAUGUGAUAGCUAUAUUUUUGAAUUUUCUUAUGAUCCUACAUGUAAUUAUUAUGAGAGAGGAAAAUAUGGUUAUAGAAAUUUUCAUGUUACUAAAUUACCUCUCGUUAUGUUGAAAUUGCUAUUGUUCCUUUCCGCUUCCUUGCAUAUGCUAGUUUUUGCUUGCCUUGAUAAUUUGUUUGCCUAUAAGAUGCCUAUGCAUAGGAAGUAUGUUAGACUUAGAUGUGUUUGUAACAUGUUUUAUGAUGCUCUUUUUGCGCUUCAAUUCUUGUCUUUCAUGUGAGCGUCAUUAAAAUUAUCAAUGCCUAGCUAGGGGCGUUAAACGAUGGCGCUUGUUGGGAGGCAACCCAAUUUUAUUUUUAGUUUUUUUUUUAUUUUGCUUCUGUUUAGGAAUAAAUAUUUGAUCUAGCCUCUGGUUAGAUGUGUUUUUAUGUUUUAAUUAGUGUUUGUGCCAAGUUAAACCUAUAGGUUCUUCUUGGAUGAUAGUUAUUUGAUCUUGCUGUAAUUUCCAGAAACUUUCUGUUCACGAAAACAAUUGUUAAAAAUCACCAGAACGUGAUAAAAUAGUGAUUCAAAUUUCUGCUGAUCAAUAAACAAAUUUUCUAGGUCUUCCUAUUUGGGCUGAUUUUUUGGAGUUCUAGAAGUUUGCGUUAGUUACAGAUUACUACAGACUGUUCUGUUUUUGACAGAUUCUGUUUUUCGUGUGUUGUUUGCUUAUUUUGAUGAAUCUAUAGCUAGUAAAAGAGUUUAUAAACCAUAGAGAAGUUGGAAUACAGUAGGUUUAACACCAAUAUAAAUAAAGAAUGAGUUCAUUACAGUACCUUGAAGUGGUCUUUUGUUUUCUUUCGCUAACGGAGCUCACGAUAUUUCUGUUGAGUUUUGUGUUGUGAAGUUUUCAAGUUUUGGGUGAAAGAUUUUGAUGGAUUAUGGAACAAGGAGUGGCAAGAACCUAAGCUUGGGGAUGCCCAUGGCACCCCCAAGAUAAUCUAAGGACACCAUAAAGCCAAAGCUUGGGGAUACCCCGGAAGGCAUCCCCUCUUUCGUCUACUUCCAUCGGUAACUUUACUUGGAGCUAUAUUUUUAUUCACCACAUGAUAUGUGUUUUGCUUGGAGCGUCUUGUAUGAUUUGAGUCUUUGCUUUUUAGUUUACCACAAUCAUACUUGCUGUACACACCUUUUGAGAGAGCCAUACAUGAUUUGGAAUUUGUUAGAAUACUCUAUGUGCUUCGCUUAUAUCUUUUGAGUUAUAUAGUUUUGCUCUAGUACUUCACUUAUAUCUUUUAGAGCACGGUGGUAGAUUUGUUUUAUAGAAACUAUUGAUAUCUCAUGCUUCACUUAGAUUAUUUUUAGAGUCUUAAAUAGCAUGGUAAUUUGCUUAAAUAAUCCUAAUAUUCUUGGUAUUCAAGAUUUGUAAAACUUUCUUAUGAGUGUGUUGAAUACUAUGAGAAGUUUGAUGCUUGAUAAUUGUUUUGAGAUAUAAAGAUGGUGAUAUUAGAGUCAUGCUACUUGAGUAGUUGUGAAUUUGAGAAAUACUUGUGUUAAAGUUUGUGAUUCCUGUAGCAUGCACGUUUGGUGAACCGUUAUGUGAUGAAGUCGGAACACGAUUUAUUUAUUGAUUGUCUUCCUUAUGAGUGGCGGUCGGGGACGAGCGAUGGUCUUUUCCUACCAAUCUAUCCCCCUAGGAGCAUGCGCGUAAUACUUUGCUUUGAUAACUUGUAGAUUUUUGCAAUAAGUAUAUGAGUUCUUUAUGACUAAUGUUGAGUCCAUGGAUUAUAUGCACUUUUCUUCCUUCCACCAUUGCUAGCCUCUCUAAUACCGCGCACUUUUCGCCGGUAUCAUACACCCACCAUAUACCUUCCUCAAAACAGACACCAUACCUACCUAUCAUGGCAUUUCCAUAGCCAUUCCGAGAUAUAUUGCCUUGCAACUUUCCACCGUUCCGUUUAUUAUGACACGCUCCAUCAUUGUCAUAUUGCUUAGCAUGAUCAUGUAGUUGACAUUGUAUUUGUGGCAAAGCCACCGUUCAUAAUUCUUUCAUACAUGUCACUCUUGAUUCAUUGCAUAUCCAGGUACACCGCCGGAGGCAUUCAUAUAGAGUCAUAUUUUGUUCUAAGUAUCGAGUUGUAAUUGUUGAGUUGUAAGAAAAUAAAAGUGUGAUGAUCUUCAUUUUUAGAGCAUUGUCCCAAGUGAGGAAAAGGAUGAUGGAGACUAUGAUUCCCCCACAAGUCGGGAUGAGACUCCGGAUGAAAAAAAGAGGCCAUAAAAAAAGAGAAAAGGCCCAAAUAAAAAAAGAGAGAAAAAGAGAGAAGGGACAAUGUUACUAUCCUUUUACCACACUUGUGCUUCAAAGUAGCACCAUGAUCUUCAUUAUAGAGAGUCUCUCAUUUUUUCACUUUCAUAUACUAGUGGGAAUUUUCAUUAUAGAACUUGGCUUGUAUAUUCCAAUGAUGGGCUUCCUCAAAUUGCCCUAGGUCUUCGUGAGCAAGCGAGUUGGAUGCACACCCACUUAGUUUCUUUUGUUGAGCUUUCAUAUACUUAUAGCUCUAGUGCAUCCGUUGCAUGGCAAUCCCUACUCACUCACAUUGAUAUCUAUUGAUGGGCAUCUCCAUAGCCCGUUGAUACGCCUAGUUGAUGUGAGACUAUCUUCUCCCUUUUUGUCUUCUCCACAACCACCAUUCUAUUCCACAUAUAGUGCUAUAGCCAUGGCUCACGCUCAUGUAUUGCGUGAAGAGUGAAAAAGUUUGAGAAUGUCAAAAGUAUGAAACAAUUGCUUGGCUUUUCAUCGGGGUUGUGCAUGAUUUAAAUACUUUGUGUGGUGAAGAUAGAGCAUAGCCAGACUAUAUGAUUUUGUAGGGAUAACUUUCUUUGGCCAUGUUAUUUUGAGAAGACAUGAUUGCUUUGUUAGUAUGCUUGAAGUAUUAUUAUUUUUAUGUCAAUACUAAGCUUUUGUCUUGAAUCUUUCAGAUCUGAAUAUUCAUACACAAAUUAAGAAGAAUUACAUUGAAAUUAUGCCAAGUAGCACUCCGCAUCAAAAAUUUUGUUUUUAUCAUUUACCUACUCGAGGACGAGCAGGAAUUAAGCUUGGGGAUGCCUGAUACGUCUCCAACGUAUCUAUAAUUUUUGAUUGCUCCAUGCUAUAUUAUCUACUGUUUUGGACAUUAUUGGGCUUUAUUAUUCACUUUUAUAUUAUUUUUGGGACUAACCUAUUAACUGGAGGCCCAGCCCAGAAUUGCUGUUUUUUGCCUAUUUCAGAGUUUCGCAGAAAAACAAUAUCAAACGGAGUCCAAACGGAAUGAAACCUUCGGGAACGUGAUUUUUAGGAAGAUUAUGAUCCAGGAGACUUGGACCCUACAUCAAGAAACAAAGGAGGAGGCCACGAGGUGGGGGGCGCGCCCACCCCCCCAGGGCGCGCCCUCCACCCUCGUGGGCCCCCUGUUGCUCCACCGACGUACUCCUUCCUCCUAUAUAUACCUACGUACCCCCAAACGAUCAGAUACGGAGCCAAAAACCUAAUUCCACCGCCGCAACCUUCUGUACCCACGAGAUCCCAUCUUGGGGCCUAUUCCGGAGCUCCGCCGGAGGGGGCAUCCAUCACGGAGGGCUUCUACAUCAUCACCAUAGCCUUUCCGAUGAAGUGUGAGUAGUUUACCUCAGACCUUCGGGUCCAUAGUUAGUAGCUAGAUGGCUUCUUCUCUCUUUUUGGAUCUCAAUACAAUGUUCUCCCCCUCUCUCGUGCAGAUCUAUUCGAUGUAAUCUUCUUUUUGCGGUGUGUUUGUUGAGACCGAUGAAUUGUGGGUUUAUGAUCAAGAUUAUCUACGAACAAUAUUUGAAUCUUCUCUGAAUUCUUUUAUGUAUGAUUGGUUAUCUUUGCAAGUCUCUUCGAAUUAUCAGUUUGGUUUGGCCUACUAGAUUGAUCUUUCUUGCAAUGGGAGAAGUGCUUAGCUUUGGGUUCAAUCUUGCGGUGUCCUUUCCCAGUGACAGUAUGGGCAGCAAGGCACGUAUUGUAUUGUUGCCAUCGAGGAUAACAAGAUGGGGUUUUUUAUCAUAUUGCAUGAAUUUAUCCCUCUACAUCAUGUCAUCUUGCUUAAGGCGUUACUCUAUUUUCAUGAACUUAAUACUCUAGAUGCAUGCUGGAUAGCGGUCGAUGAGUGGAGUAAUAGUAGUAGAUGCAGGCAGGAGUCGGUCUACUUGUCUCGGACGUGAUGCCUAUAUAAAUGAUCAUACCAAGAUAUUCUCAUAACUAUGCUCAAUUCUGUCAAUUGCUCAACAGUAAUUCGUUGACCCACCGUAAAAUACUUAUGCUCUUGAGAGAAGCCACUAGUGAAACCUAUGGCCCCCGGGUCUAUCUUCGUCAUAUUAAUCUUCCAACACUUAGUUAUUUCCUUUGCUUUUUUACUUUGCUUUUAUUUUUACUGUGCAUCUUUAUCACAAAAAUACCAAAAAUAUUAUCCUAGCAUAUCUAUCAGAUCUCACUCUCGUAACUGACCGUGAAGGGUUUGACAACGCCUUAUCGCGUUGGUUGCGAGGAGUUAUUUGUUUUGUGUAGGUACGAGGGACUCGCGCGUAGCCUCCUACUGGAUUGAUACCUUGGUUCUCAAAAACUGAGGGAAAUACUUACGCUACUUUGCUGCAUCACCCUUUCCUCUUCAAGGGAAAACCAACGCAGUGCUCAAAAGGUAGCAGGUCCGUCCAGGCCAAGUGAGAAAGUUCUGAUUCUCAGACCAUAGCCGACUGCCCGCAGUCAACUAUGGUCUCGGGGACUACACCCAGUGGGUGCACUCAGCGUGCCCCCACUGGUUCAAAGACUCAAUCGACACAACCUAGUCGACCCAAGAAGCAAAACGAUUCAGCAAUUAGUUAAACACCCAGUGGGUGUACAAAUGCAAAAUGCAGACUGACGAAAAGAUGCACAAGGAAAGUUUUCAGGUAGCAUAUCCUAACAGAACAAGCGAUGAGCUAAAGGAUCAGUCGGUAAUCAACCAAACUGGAUGUUGCUCUGGAGAGCUGAGCUGGCGUCGUAAGCAGCUUGACUGGCCUCCUGAACCACCUUCAUCUGCUCCAUCAUGAUGCCUGCCUGGCGUAUAGCUUCAUUGGCAGCACCCACUUGGUCCUCUGGGACGUAAUGCGCAGUGAAGAGUGAAGAUGGUGGAUCGGCUGGAAUCUGUGAGUCGACGCUGAAGGCUGGGCACUCGGUAAUGGUACGGCAAAAGUCACAGAAGCCCGGUUGACAUCGCCAGUCUCCUGGAUCAUCGGCUCCGUCACUGGCAUCGACUGAGGCACCUUGCCAGUUGAUGUCUUCCUGCUUCUCCUUCCCACGGGCCUCAGCGGCACAUCCUCGUCGUCGUCUGGAAGAUCAAUGACAUUGGGAGGAGCUGCAAAAGAAUCAAUCGCCAGAAUUCAGUCGACCAACAAAAUGCUGAGAAAGCAAAGACAAGAUUGCAAAAGUCAUACCCGGGUUAGAAGUGACCGCGUCUUCCACAUCCUCGUCACCAUCUCUGUAAGCAGAAGUCCCAUACGUAGCAGCUCUACAAGUUUCAAGAUUCACUCGGUUAAAUCAGGAAAAGGGUCAACGGCACAGGUCCUUGAACAAAAAGUGAGGACAAGACACUUACGCAGAAGCGACGGGGACAUCGAUCCUGAUCUUGGGCGGGGUCUUCCGAGACUUCGAUGCUGCAACUUUGGGCUGCUUUGGGGCCUUCUCAGUCGGCACAUGGGAAGAGGUCCGAGUGCGCUUGGAAGUUUGUCCGGUCGGCUUAGCCACUUUGCUGCGGAUACUUGCUGGGUCGUGCUGAUGCUUGGAACGCCUUUUGUUGCGAGGUGGUGACUCGACUUCUUCGCCACUGCUCGAGUCCUCGCUUUCCUCCUCCUCUUCUCCUCCAUCAGACUGCCAAUCCAUGCUUUUGCCUCCGCUUUCUUCUCCUUCCUAGUACUGCUCUUGCUCCCCGUUUGGCAUUGAGUAUGUCUCCAUAUAGAUCUGCGAAUCAAAAGAGGUGAACAAAGGAUGGUCGACUCAAUAAGCAACUGCAAGUCAGAAUGAAAAACACUCGGAAAUAAAGAAUUGACCUGGUCUAGUUGGUGGUUGGCGUUGAAUGGUAAAACUCUUCGGGACCCCCUAGGGUUAUCCUUGUUUCCUGUGAUGCCUUGCACCCAAUGCGCCACCAUCUUCUCAUCAACGUCCUCCGGGUGGAUCCGAGUGGAAUCUUCAAUCCCCAAGUACAUCCACAUGGAGUGGUCAUGAGCCUGGAGAGGCUGGAUACGUCGACUGAGGAAUACCUCGAGCAGAUCCAUACCAGUUACACCCUCAUGGAUCCACUGAACUAUUCGCUCCAUCAACAUGGUCACCUCCACCUUCUCUGCUGGAGUCACUCUCAAGGUAGUGGGUUUCUGUACUCGCUCCAAGGAAAAGGGAGGGAGACCAAUCGAAUGGCCAGGGGUCGACUUGUCUUUGCAAUAAAACCAAGCCGACUGCCACCCUCUAACCAAGUCAGGGAGUGUCAUCGCGGGAAAAGCACUCUUCCCCCUCAUCUGGAUACCUAAGCCCCCACAAAUCUGGAUCACCUGGGUUUUCUCGUCACUCGGGCUAGCUUUUUUCACAGUCUGUGAGCGGCAUGUGAAGAUGUGCUUAAACAGACCCCAGUGCGGUCGGCAGCCCAGGAAAUUCUCACACAGGGAGACAAAGGCAGCAAGGUACGUGAUAGUGUUGGGAGAGAAAUGGUGGAGUUGAGCUCCGAAGAAGUUCAGAAAAUCACGGAAAAAGGGAUGUGGGGGCAAAGAAAAACCGCGGUCGACGUGAGUGGCGAGUAAGACGCACUCACCCUCCUGAGGCUGCGGCUCAGUUUCAUCCCCCGGGAGCCUCCAGGAACCAUGCUCAAUCAGCCCGCUCUCGGUCAGAUCUUCCAAGUCAUCCAGCUCGAUCGUGGACUGGAUCCACUCGCCCUGAACCCAGCCGCGUGGCAAGCCGGAUCUCGACGACGACCCGCUCCUGCCGGUUUUCUUCCCCUUCCCCUUCGCUGCCCCUUCUUUCCACGCUCCAGCGCCGCCGUCUUGUCCUUCGCCAUCCCAGCAAGAGGAGCACGGGCGGGAGGCGGCGUCGAGAGCGGAAGCGGUAGCGGUGGAGAAGCAGAGGAGGAAGAAGGAGAAAUUGGGGCGCACUGUGCAAAAUUCCCCAACCCAACGCCUUAUAUGGGGUCAUUUCCGAGUGACUGAUGGCUGGGCCUGGGCAAUCCUAUCAAAUCAUGCAACUGUCGCUUGCUCGGUAUGUGGCAAAAAAGGUGCCGCAGAGAUCGAGGCGCCUCCGCCUAAUCCAUCCCGAUUACUGCGGCUUCCUCCGUCCCGCGCACUUCCCAAAAUUUCAAAUCCCGCAAGAUCCGGCAGUAGCAGAGCAACCCAUCAGACUGAAGAUUUUUUCCAUAUCAACACUCGAAGCUUAUCAGCGAAGUUCACUCGACUACUUUAGAAUGGAUUAAGGCGACUGAAAAUGAAGUCAAAGUUGUCACAUGGUUCAUGAGUCUAAGGAAAACGCUUCCCCAGCGUGUAACUCAGUCGGAACCAACUUCCACUCCUUUUUCCACUCAAACCCUAAACCAUUCGGGGGCUAAUGAUGAUGACAUGUACCUAGGGUAGGGUCAUAGUCUUGACCUAGACACCCUCCCCAAGGACAUUCACCUAAAGUCAGAAGCAUUCAAGGGAUACCAUCAUCCACUCGACUAGAAACAUCCCACUCGAAAGACUCAAGUUCAUUCGACCAGGAAGUACUCACUCGACCGUAACAAGAAUCACUCAAUGGAUAGAAGAUCUAAAGUCACUCUGUAUGGCAACGGUCAGGCGUUACUCUGUAGACUUAAUGUUCAUUCAUGUAUCUUUAUUGUUGGCAUUAUCAGUAACGCCCUAUCUUUUUGUACCUUAAACCCUGUGUAACUGAGGGACGGAGGGGCCUGGCGAACUCUAUAUAAGCCACCCCCUCCUCAGGGACAAGGGUUCGCACCCCCUGUAACUCCACACACAUAAUCCAAUCGACCGAGCUCCCGAGCACCGAGACGUAGGGCUUUUACUUCCACCGUGAAGGGCCUGAACUCGUAAAUCUCGUGUGUAAAACUUCGCCAUAGCUAGGAUCUUGCCUCCUCAUACCUACCCCCAUUCUACUGUCAGUAUUAGAACCACGACACCGCUACCAUGGCGUGGCGGCUAGGCUCAAUUUCCCCUUCGGCACACAUCCGGUCGACCUCGUUCUGCCGGAGCUAGGGGUGGUGAACUCGGCUAUGGCGCGGGAGGACUGCGAGGCGUGGGAGCGCCUCGAGGCCGAGGCCGCCGACGAGGACUACAUGCAAGAGUUCCGCCAGUAGCACCCGGAGCUCGUGGAGGCGGAGCGGGUGAUCUUUGCCGACGCGGAGGGCGGAGAGGUUAUCGCGCUCUCCUCCGAUGACGAGGUCGAAGGCGGCGAGGACGGCGGUGCGGAGGGCGGCGAGGUUAUCGCGCUCCCCUCUGAUGACGAGGUCGAAGGCGGCGGCGACGGUGGUGCGGAGGGCAUCGAGGUGGGCCUCGAGGAUGAGGAGAUCGACGUCGACGAGUGGAGGAGUGCCUUCCCCAACGACCCCGACGACGGUACUGGCUCGGACCCGGCUCGCGGCACACCGUACAUGAUGAGGAAGGAUUGGCUCGACCUCUACUUCGACCGAAAGUAGUUUAGCUUAGUUUAAAUUUAUGUUUUAUGUUCGGUUAUGCAAAGCUAUCUAUGUUUAUGUUUGAAUGCAUGCUACUUUCGGUUGAACCUGCUUUGAACUUGAUCAAAUUGAAGUUUACAACCUUAAGUUUAGGGGAUCGACUAGAAAAGGCCAAAAAUUGCUGGAGUAUAUAUAUAUAUAUAUAUAUAUCCACUAAGGGUUUUAGUCCUUUAACUUUUUGAGGAUCGCCUAGAGAUAUCAUUAUGACUUGUUUAUUUCAGUUCUUCACAAUGUGAUGCUCUAUAUGUGCAACUAUUUGCCGUGCAGUUCAAUUUCAUCAAUAACAGUUUCAACAAUACCACUAUGAAUUACGAUAUUUGGUUGUUGUUAAGGAUAUUGCAGUUAACAUGCCUUUUCGUUUUUCAAUUGUUGUUUAGCAACAUGCAUUGUACUGAAUGACUAAAUAUGCAAUCCCAAGCUACAUAGCAACAAGGAAGAGUGUUACCUUAAUGUUCUGAUGAUGUCUAGAUAUACAUGUAAUAAAAUCUUACAUAAUGGGAUGGAUGCAGUGUUGUACUACAUCAUUUUUCAAUUGUUGUUUAGCUUCUAAUAUUAACUUGGUGCUUUUAGGUACAUAUAUCAUUGCCGAAGAUCCACACUUCGACCCUUUCUGCGUAUGGGGCAAUGGGAUAUUCAUGAACCAGCAUCAAGUGAGGAAACUGAUAAAGAUGGUUAUUAAAAUGGGUCAAAAGAUGUCAAUCGAACUAUUUGUUUACACUUUAUGCAAGACAACAGUGAACUGCAAGAUGGUAAGUAAGAACCAUGUAGCCUUCUUUUUACUGCCCGUAAUGAGUUGUGUUAGAUGACAAUAUCUGAAUCUUUUUUCUUUUGCAGUGGAUCCUGAAGCAGUUUACUCAAGAUUACCUCUCAAACUACAGGAUUGGCGGCCGUCCAUCACAAGGGUUUGGGCUAGAGCCCUGCAUGCCUUCUGCAUCCAGGAGAGCACAAUAGGGCCAUUCCGCUUCACCUUGUUCAGCAACUGGAAUGUAUGUCGCCUCUUUCUUUACCAUCUGUAAUAGUACAAGUGUAGAACCCUGGUACAUCAUUCUUUAUUUGGUGCUUAUGUAAUUCUUAAACAUAUGUACCUAUGAAUCGAAUAAUGCAUUGGUUGUUUGAACCUGAUGGAUAUGAAUAAAGCUAUAGCUUACUUUCAAGUUUAAAUUAGGUACAAUUUUAAAUAGCAGCAAUUAAAUUAGGGCGAAAUUAUGUUGUGCAGGUCAUUAUGGCACACACGGUUGGUAAAACAUAAACGUUUGCGAUAUACACCAUAAUCCGAGACGGUUCACAGAGAGGAAAUGUGUGCAAGCAUGCACACAGUUGCCAUUUGCAAAGCGUGUGUGAUGUCAGACACUAUCAUAUACGGUGCGGGAAAACUAAAUGUGUGUGAUUGUCUACCUAUCGUACACGGUCUAUAAUCAUGAACUUUUCUGAUGUGCUAGGCAUCGUAAAACUCCCGUGCCUAGAAUCUUCCUGGAAAACUCCCGUGCCUGGAAUCUGCUUGUUUUUAGGCAAAACCACAAAACUCCGACUGCGAUGGCAAUGCGAGCACAAAUGAGUAGCAAGGAUGAAGCGUUUGGGAUAUUCGAGAUAUCGGAAAUGGUUAUAUAGGGACAACUGUAUGCAUCAAGGCUCCCUAUCCCCGACGUGUGGCACCCCGGCUCAGAGAAAACCGGAACACCCCGUAUUCCAGCCCAAAGAUCAAGGAGAAGUCUUCUGGAAUACGGCACUGCUUAGCAUAGAAAAAACCAGCUUACUAUUAUUACACGAAUAUGAAUAAAAGGUCUCCGAUAUUACAAUUAAUAACAUUGGCACGACGACACUACGCCAUCCUCAGUUGCUCUAUGCAAGCAGCAGAACAACUCGAAGCAGCGGAAAAAACUUCUAGCAACAGAACAACGACAACGGUGGUGAACUCCACUCCGCAGGGACUCUGGGUGAAACGCUUAUCCUAGAUCGCGGACACAGGAACAACACCAAACAAGCAAGCAAUCCAGGCACGACUUGCAAACUGGCAUGACAUGCCAGGUUAGUACAUUGAAUGUACUUGCAAGCUCACAAUAACCAGAAGCAUUCAAGACAAACAUUAGCAUGGCAUUUACAGGUUAAGCAGGAAUUAACAUGAGAUCAUCAGAAUAACAUGGCAUGAACAACAUGAACAUGAUAUAGGUAGAACAACAUGAGCAUGACAUUAACAUAUAGAUCUGACGCUACUAGCAUGCAACAUGAUGACACUAUAUGCACUAUUUAUUCUGCUCGGGUUACUACGUAACCAUCACAUGCAUCACUUACCAACCUCGGACAUCGCACGAUUAUCUCAGGAUUAAAUCAAGCUUGGUAUAAACAAUACCAUAGUAAUCAUUAAAUGACCACAAGGAGCUUGAUCUUUACCCAUGAUUCUCACACAACAUCACGAAUAUCCAACAACUCGGUAUCCACGAUACCACGGUGAUCAUUCCGGCGAUCACAACCAUGACCAACACUUGGUCUCAAACGGUGAUCUUUCCGGCGAUCACAACCAACUUAACUCAUCAUCGAACCGGGGUUGUCAUUAAUCAAGUUAUUAUUAAUACUAUUGACUCACAGUGGGACCGACUACGAACUGGGCCCUUAUCCGCGGGCGCGGCUAUCGAUAGAUUUAAUAUACACUCUGCAGAGGUUAGUACACUAUACCCACACCACGGAACCCACGGCCUCGCACUCCCAUUCGGGUGGACCAACGGCGUUCCGACAAAACCGAUCUACUGCCAUGAUACUCUCCUGGCCACUCCGACUCACUCCCCAUUGGGCUAGUCCUGGGUGGCCCCGUGUCUACCAAAUACACAACGACCACCGUCGUGGUCCAUCCCAAACAGGGGCAAACGCGCUUAUCAUCCAACUACGGGCACACAAGGUUAUGUCUGCUUACCUGAUCAGGGUACGCAUGCCCAUAACCUUCCCUAGUUGGAGGCACCGGUGAGAGGCACGACAAUAGACCCAGUUAGGACCCCCCAUAAGGCAAGUGUGGUUGCACAGGUCAGCUCGAUUUGGUGGCACCAUGACUCAGCCAACAUUUGUUCAAGUUCAAUUUAAUCCGGUUAAACUUGAAUGCAAUAUGCUCAACCUUGAUAAAAUAACAUGAUGCAAUAAUGCAUAAACAUGAUAUCAGCAUAAGCACGGGGUGCAACAUAACUAUCCACCAUAUCCACAAUGAAUCAUAUCCAACUGAGCAUAGUAUAAUGACGAGCAUGAAUAUCACAAGUACAACACUACUCAUAGAAACCUAGCAUGACCACUAGCAUCAACAAUAAAUAUCAUGCAAGACAUAUCAACAAUGCUACCAUGCAAGCAUUUACCCAUUUGGAUGCAAUCGGACAUGCAUAACACGGUACUUGGGACAGACGACAGCCAUGCAUCGAAGACCAUCACCAACAUCAACAUGUACUACUAGCAAGCAUAAGCAUAUCAAAGGAAUACUAGCAACUAGCAGGGCAUGAUAACCAGGUGCAUAACAACGUAGCAAGAAAGUAAGCACUAACCCAGAAGCAUUACCGAAACAAAGAUAACCAUAUUUUAAAAAAGAAAUCAUUUAAUAAAUAUUCAAGUUGAAAACCAUGGCUACUGCAUGACUAUCAUGCAAGUGGGUAUUGUGGCUUGCCUGGGGAUGAAGAAUACUCCGGGAAGAAGUGCGGUGAAGCCGCGAAAAGAUUUGCCGGAAACAGUUCUCUCCCGGAGGGGCUGUUUACGUGCAAGGGCAAAAAGGCCAUUUUCACUGUGAAACCACCUAGAGAAAAUGUUACCAAAAGAUAGAGCUCGACGAGAUGAAGAAGUGAGCGCUGGUUUCACCUCAACCGGAGUUACGGUUGCGGAGUUAUGAGGUGUAGAAGAUUAGGGACCUAUCGGUGAAACUCUUUCAGCAAACAGGCCCCUGGUGGAAAAACUGAACGUGCCUUCGGGCUGAAUACGUUUCCUGAAAAGGGAAACGUAUUUUCAGCCGCAGAAGAAGGCAAUACGCUUUCCUGAAGGGAAAACGCAUACUGGGAAAAACAGGAAGGAAAUACGCUUUCACUUAGCGAAAACGCAUUUCAAGAAAACGUUUCCACUUAUCCGAGUGGAUAAGGUGCUGCCUCACUUACGGGUGGGGUCCGAUGGAGAGGGGGGCCCGCCUUGCCAGCUGGCAAGGCGUCGUCUUCCUCCUCCCCUCGCUCAUGUUCGUUCCCGAGCGGAACAGAACGGAAGCAGAUGAGGGAAACGGCCAAGAGGCCGGCCAGCUCCGGCGAUCCCCGGCCCAGCCGAGGGCACCCCAAGGACCGCAGGGCUGUGCCACACCCGUUCAGAGGGUCAGCCAGCGCCGGGGUGGAGUGGAGAGGAGGGGAGUCCGCAGCGACGGAGGCGGAGAGAGAGGCUGCGGUGGUGAUGAACUCCGGUGAUGCAGGGCGCUCCGGCGAGAGAUGAGAGGGUGGGGAGGUUCGCCGGGACAUGGGGAAGGCGUUGGUGGAGUCGAGGAAGCACGAGGAAGCUCGAGACGGCCGGACGAUGAGGUGGCCGAACGGCGGAGGCGACGGCCGUGCGUGGGGAGGCGUGGCCAGAGGCACUCCGGGGUCGAACGAGUGGGGUGGGGCGAACCGCAGAGGAGUGGGGAGUGCGGUGGACAGGUCAGGGAGGCGAGAGGAGGCUUGGCUUGGCCGGAAUCAUGCCGAGGCCGAGGCGGCCAUGGAGGAAAACGGCGGACUCCGGCGAGAUGAGGCGAUUCCAGUGAGCAAAUGAGGUGAGGGAGAGAUGGUUGAGGUGCGGAGGGACUCGGGGCACGCUUAUAUAGCCGAGGGGAAGGCUCUGGAGCUCACGAGCGAGCUCCUGACCGAGCUUUAAUGGCGGGCACAGGCUGGACGCGGCACGGGCAUGGAGCUAGCGGCUCAUUUAUGGUGAACAACGACGAGGCACCGAUGCAGGGUGACGCAGUCGAGCACGGGAGAGCUCCAGGACAUGAAUGGAGGUCGAUACGAGGAGGGAGGAGACGAGAACAGUGGCCGGACCGAGCCAGAGCUUGCAUUGUGCGUAACGCCAGCGUGAUCACCACGCACACUGGUGCAAACGGCGAUUUCUGGCCGGGCCGACCAUGUCCAGUAGAUAGACCGUCGUGCCCUCGGUCAAAAUGAGGAAAUAAAUCGGUCCAGGAGCAAAGAUGAUAUUUGCACUUAGCUCCAAAGUAAAUCAGUAAGAAGGUGUUUGUAACUUGCUGUGGUUAAACCAGCUUGGUAACGUGGUAAAGAGUUUGUCUAGUGAUGAUCACACACUAAGGUGAUGCUGAUCACCAAAAACCAGACUAAGAGGAGGAGUUUAGAUGAGGGUUGCUGGAGAAAGUGCAAAACUAGCCAGAAUUAAGGAUUUGGAUGAUACACUCACAUACUUGAUUGUCAUGAGCUGAAAUCUGGCAGAGAGAGGUUAUAUGAUGGUAUGAAGCUGCUGUAAAGAUUUCACGCCAUUUGGGAAUACCAAAGUGGCACUUGCUUCACAAAGCUUCAUUCUGGAUAGAAACUUGCAAAGAUUCUAGAGGAAUAAUGGCUUGAUUAACCAUGCACAAAAUGGGUGGAGGUAGGUUAUAUGGAUAAUAGAAGGCCUAGAAAAAUUGGCAGCCAUAAUGGAGCAAGAUAAAAUAUACUUGCUUCACAAACUGAAAUUUUGGACAGAAUCAAAGAAUUGAAGAUGAGCUCACAUGGAGGCAUGAAAUGAGCUCUACUUUGGUGGAGGACUAUUAUAUGAUGAUAUGAGGGAUCAUGCAAAAUGGCAAAUCAUUUGGAUAUGCCUAUCUUGCACCUCCUUCACAAAGCUUCUUUCUAGAUAGAAACUUUGGAAAAUCAUAAUUAAAUAAUUACUAGGCAAAUGAGGUUGACUUUUGGCAUGUGGCAAUGAUAUGGACUGUAAUAGGUGUCCAAGGAGUUUGAGUACAAUUGGGAAAAGUAAAAUAGCACUUGCUUCACAAUGUGCUAUUUAGGGCAUAAUAGGAAAUGAAUUAUUUGAGCUUGAUGAUAAACAUGACAAAUGAAAUAUUUUGCCAUAUUUGAGAAAUAUAUGACCCAAAAAAUUUAUGAGAAUUAUUUGGGAAUUUUAGGAGUGAUGGAAAUAAAGGUUGCUUCACAACCUAGGGCAAUUUGAGUUAUUCCUUUAAUAGAAAAGGAGUAUUCCCAAUAAAAAGAAUAUUGGGAUUUGGGCUAGGAUCAAAAUGACAGGGUCUAGAGAAGGAUUUGGGAAUGACAAGCCACUCUGGAAACAAAGAAGAGGGCAUCUUCUUCAGUUUCCAGACCACAAAGCCAUGGAAAAAGAAAACUCAAGAAAAAAACCUCAGAAAAACAAAAGAAAAAGAAAGGGCCAAAAAUCAGGUUGUCACAAACCUUAUCCCCUUAAAGAAAUCUCGUCCUCGAGAUUUGGUUGCUCCGGGAACAAGUAUGAAGAUACUGACUUAAGGAAAUCGUUUCCAACUCGGGUAUCCUUUUUCUUAUUUUUGUUCACACUAAAUUUUUAUCUGACUGGCCCUGGGGUGGUUUGCUUUAAUAUAUCCAUAUUCUGACAGAUCAUACCUUGCUUGUUCAUGCUUAUACAGGCUCCAAUUUCUUUUUAGAUCUGCUGACUUAACUGACUGGAUUCUCACGACUGAAAUAUAUGUCGGUCUCACAAACCCAAGAGUGAUUUCCGCUGGGUGUGUCAUCCGGCACUGACAAUCUUUCAUGAAGUGGUGAUCAGAUUUUUCUAGUGGACACCCAAGCUCUAACUCCUUGCAUUGGGUUUCUCCACUAGAUACAGGUCCUUCGGGUUACAAACAGUGAGUUGGGUCAUAACCGCUUUCCUGACAGAUUCUGGCUUAUUGCGGAAGUUUCUGAAUCAUCUUAACUGGUUCCACUGUCUUGAGUAUCGGAUCCGUACCAAAUAUUUGAUUGUCGCCUACAUCACUGGUCUUGCUCCUUCAUUAUUGUUUUCUUGGCCUGGAUCCUUGGCUGAAAGAGCUAGUUCAUAUUGCUUCUUUGUAUCACCAUAGGUACUGUUGGUGCAAUUUUUCAGCAAUCGUAGCUUAUCCUCAUUUUUCUGACAGGGUACCCCAUUAAACGGCAGGUUCAACACCCCUCAAGUUCUGACCGCAGGAAAAUGAUCAUCCGAACCUUUGCAAGAAAUCGGCAAAUAAAUCAGUAACCACCAGAACGGUUUUUUACAACUCAGAUCUAGGACAUUACUGAAAUAACUUAACCACGGCUCAGGACGGCCGAAAAGCAGCUCAGAACAUGAGACCGGGUUUAUAAGAAGAAGGUGGCAGCUCCCUAAAAUAGCCAAAAAGCAGCUAUAGGGCUACUGUCACAAAAAGAAACUCGACAGCUGUACGAGACGGCCGAAAAGCAGCUCAGAACUCGUGACAGUCGUUGAAGAGAGAAAUAAAAAUCGGCAUCCACCCCAGAUAGCUAAAAACAGCUUAGAUCACAGGCGUGGUGCCGUCAUUGGAGAAAAAGGGGACAAGGGCUCAUCAGGACCAUUUUCCAGGUUCACAGGUACUUGUAUUGAGCUCAUUGAUGUCGUCAAUCCUCAUAAUCCCUUUGUCACACUACUGUGUAUAUUGGCUUUCUUCUCUUAACCAUCCUCAUGUGGUUGUCAGAUCCUCAUCCGAGUGACUUGUAAGAUCUUGGUGGUAUGAUCACCGCAUAUAUAUGAGAAUCUGAUUCCCGAGACAGACGUGUAUUCUGACUGAUUCUUGCUUCUGACCAAAAUGUUGCGGAUCUGAUUCUUGGGAUUCACUGCCAUAUGCUGUCAAUUCACAGCGUACUACCUUGUACCAAUGUCUUACUGAGGAAGAUUGGCUGGCUUGUGCUCGAAACUUUCAUCCGACAGCUUGCUGAAGAAGACUGGUAUCGUGCUUCAGAAGCUUACCUCCAUAAAGACUUUGCUGGGGAAAGACUCAGUACCUUAUGCCGGAAGCUUUUCUGGUUGCCUACUGAAGAAGGCAGAGUACCUUGUACGGGAAAUCAUCCAUGUAUCGUACUGAGGAAGAUAGAUGAAUCUUGCCUUGGAAGCUUCUCGGGUAUCUUGCGAGGGAAGAUUGGGUUGCUUACACUAGAAGCUUCUUAUUGUGAUAUGCGGACCGAUUUCCACAUAUAUAACCAUCUUAAUAUUUUUGUUAUUGAUUUCUUGUAUGAAACGGGGUUUUGCAGGACUAUCCUCCUUUCUGAGUACAUGCCAUAUUUUUGCUUGCUUCCAGGUACAUCGGGUUCCAAAAUCAUCCUCACCGAAAAAUUAAACUUGUAUCUGAGCCAUACCUUUGACAAUUUUCUGUAAACCUUGCACACAAUUUAUCUUCUUGCUGAUUUGAUCAUUUCUGCUAUGAGGAGUGCACGUUAAUGCAAACUUUAUACUGACAUUCCAUCCAGGAUUUCUUUCGUAUUCAGAUGAGCUCUUUCCAAUUUCACUGCAGUCUGCUGACAAUUCCAUUCUAUUUAGCUGAGUUUCCAAAUAUAUGCAUUUCUUGCUGACUCUUCGGGUCCGGUGUCGGCUGAUGAGCAACUUUAAUAGGGGGAAAAUUUGUAACACCGAAGGCCCAAAGAAAGAAACAAAAGAAACGACUAAAACAAAAGCACCCAAGCAUACUACUAAUAUAAUUAAUCAAGCAAUCAUCACAUAUUACUGCUACUCACACCAUAAUAUGCAUGCACACCUAAGCACACAAAUCGCGCGGAAACUCCGGUAUUACGGUCUAAUAUGCUGUGGCGGUGUGCACGAAAAUUAUAUCCAUGUGUGGAAGGAGUUGGCGUAACCGAAGCUACACCAAGCACUGGCUGAACAGUGGAUGGAUCUGGAUGGAUACACAGGUGAGGACGGACUUGACGAUCAAGUAGCAAGACACAAAAGUCACGACCACAUCAUCAUCAAACGUACGAAAGAGAUUCGUACACGUCCAAAGAAUAGAAUGACUGGGUAGGGUAGCGGUGGAAAAACAAGGCUCGCUGGCAUUGCCCUUUUCUGAUAAGCAAGAUCAGUAAGGGUUGCCAGAGGGACGAGAUGGAUGACAGGAUUCGGGAUAGAAAAAAGUCUAGUACCGAAAUAAUAUGGGUGGGUGGCAGAAAAAUAUACGCGAUACCUGAGCAUAACUCCUGCAAAUGGUGUCUGGAACUCUGGGUACCAGGGCAUCACUCUGCUGGGACAGAGAUGACGCCGAACACCAAAGAGCGGACAUGUUAAGAAGGAGGGUGCAGGCGGUGGACCGAAAACGAUGCCACCUACACUCACAAGAUUAACCGUUAGUGACAAAAUAAUAAUCUAUAUGCAUGCUAUGCGACAAACAAAUGCAACAAUCAAGUGCAACAAACCAACUGGGGUCUAUACUACCGCUUUCUAACGUUCGCUCGGGCUAGGACAUCCUACAGCCAGACCUGCUCUGAUACCAAGCCUGUGGCACCCCUGUAACACCCCGAGAAUCAUGCUACAAUAACUCCCUGUGAUUAAGCUAAUCAUGUUGCUAAACAGGGCUUGAUCACAUUUGAAUCACAUUCCUUUUCAAACUCCUAGUUCAAACUUCAAUUAAAAUCAAAGUGGAAAAUAAAAGUUUUCAAAAAUUUAAACAAAAAUGUUCGGUGCGUGCCAAAUAAUACACUGGUAAUUAUGGUGGAGAAAACACAUUUUUAUAAAAUACCUAAAUACUUUUAAAUAAAAUAAAACAGAAAAGAAAAUAAACAAAUAAAAAGAAAACAGAAAACAGAACAGACGAAGAAAAAGAAAAAAAGAGAAGGCCCUCCCCCCACUGGACCUCUGGCCCAACUGGGCCGACCCCCGGCCCAGCCCACCUCUCCCGCUCGCCCCCUCCCCUGUUCCCCCGACCGGGGUCGAAACAGGGGCCGUCCCCGCCGCACCACCUCGCCGGCGACGGGGAGGAUAAGGGCGCCAGCACCCCCGCCUCCUCGGGCCUCUCUCCCACUCGCCCCGCUCUCCUCUCGGCCUCUGCGCCUCCCUCUUCCCCCCCAGAUCCGCGCCGCUCUCUUCUUCCCCACGCCCGACGCGCUCGCCGCCGUUCCCGUCGUUCGCACGGCCACCGUGCCCCAAUCGCCACCUCGCCGUGUCAUACGCCGUCGCCGCCCUCGACUACACCACCUCCGCCUCUCCGUUGAAGCUCGGAGCCACUGCAACGGCCUCCCCGAGCUCGUCUUCAACUUCGGACGCCGGCGACCCCCUCCUUCCCCGGCGCCGACCUGCUGCUCCUAAGCUCUCACCGGCCUCCGUGUGCCGCGCGGUGAGCCUCUUCCCCCCUCCUCCCCUGUCCUUUCUCUCUCGCGCGCCCCCUAGCUUCUUCCCCGCGCGCGCCCGAACGCCGCGCCGCGGAGAUCGCCACCGGCGGGUCUCCGGUGACCUUAUGGUCACGGGCUCAAGCCCGUUGCACUCCCCACCUCGCGUAGAUGCCCCCCCAGCCCCUCCGCUUGCUCGAUAGCCCGCCGUAGCCUCGUUUCCGUCGGGCACCCGUGCGCGCCGCCGCCUCCGCCGCUCGCCGGCGCCGAUUCCGGCGAAGCCCCGGCCACCCCUGGAUGCGGCGCUGCGAGCCCUUUCGAAUGGGCCUAGCCCCGCUCCUCCCCGAGCCCGGUAGCGCGAUUUCGGCCAACUCCGGCGAGGGGCCGCCGCCGUUUUGGUCGCCGGAGUUGCUCCGGCGCCGGCCGCCGACGUGGCUGGCCUGCCCCCCCAGUGCCACUGCCACUGGGCCCGUGGGCCCCGUUGACUGGGUCCACCCAGUCAACGUGCUGACUGGGCAGGCCCAGCCACUGACAUGCGGGCCCCGCCGCAAAAAUAAAAGAAAAAGAAAAGGAAAAUGUUUUAUAAAUAAAAAUAAUUAAUUAAUCUAAUCACUCACUGACAGGUGGGCCCAGUAGUUAAUUAACUAAAAAUUAAUUAGUUUAAUCUUCUGUUAACCCACUGUCUAUGACAGGUGGGUCCCCCGUGUCAGUUUUGACCAGUCAACCGGACUGUUGACCGCUGACGUCACUCAUACGUCAUGCUGACGUCAUAUCCCUUUUCUGUUAAUUUAAUAAUUCCAGAAAUUCAAAUAAUCUUUGAAAAUUCAUAUCUUUUAAACCGUAACUCGGAUGAAAAUGCUUUCUAUAUGAAAGUUGCUCAGAACGACGAGACGAAUCCGAAUACGCAGUCCGUUCGUCCACCACACCUCCCUAACCUAUCGAACUAGCAACUUUCCCCCUCCGGUCCGUCUGUCCGAAAACGUGAAACAUCGGGAAUACCUCCCGGAUGUCCCCCUCCUUCGCCGGUACCACCUACUGUCGCGUUAGGACACACCUAGCACCGUUCAUUGUCAUGUCACGCAUUGUCAUGCUUAUGUUUGCAUUGUAUUUACUGUUUCUUCCCCCUCUUCUCUCCGGUAGACUACGAGACCGACACUGUUGCUGCCCAGUUCGACUACGGAGUUGACGACCCCUCCUACUUGCCAGAGCAACCAGGCAAGCCCCCCCCCCUUGAUCACCAGAUAUCGCCUAUUCUUCUCUAUACUGCUUGCAUUAGAGUAGUGUAGCAUGUUACUGCUUUCCGAUAUCCUAUCCUGAUGCAUAGCCUAUCCUUGCUACUACUGUUGUUACCUUUACCUGCAAUCCUACAUGCUUAGUAUAGGAUGCUAGAUUUCCAUCAGUGGCCCUACAUUCUUGUCCGUCUGUUGUGCUAUACUAUCGGGCCGUGAUCACCUGGGCGGUGAUCACGGGUAUAUACUUAUAUACUACAUACAUGACACAUGUGAUGACUAAAGUCGGGUCGGCUCGUAGGAGUACCCGCAAGUGGAUCUUUGUGGCGGAGCGACAGGGCAGGUUGAGACCGCCUAGGUGAGAGGUGGGCCUGGCCCUGGUCGGCGUUCGCGGAUACUUAACACGCUUAAUGAGAUCUUGGUAUUUGAUCUGAGUCUGGCCAUUUGGUCUAUACGCACUAACCAUCUACGCGGGAGUAGUUAUGGGUAUCCCGGCGUCGUGGUAUCAGCCGAAGCCUUCUUGACGUCAGCGACUGAGUGGCACGCGCCGGAUUGGACUGGAACGCCACUAGGCUAGGUCUGCUUCCGGCCGCGUACGCAACGUGCAGGUGUGCAUAGGGCGAUGGGCCCAGACCCCUGCGCGCAUAGGGUUAGACCGGCGUGCUGACCGCUCUGUUGUGCUUAGGUGGGGCUGCGACGCGUUGAGCUUACGAGGCCGGGCAUGACCCAGAAAAGUGUGUCCGGCCAAAUGGGAUCGAGCGUGUUGGGUUAUGUGGUGCACCCCUGCAGGGAAGUUUAUCUAUUCGAAUAGCCGUGUCCCUCGGUAAAAGGACGACCCGGAGUUGUACCUUGACCUUAUGACAACUAGAACUGGAUACUGAAUAAAAUACACCCUUCCAAGUGCCAGAUACAACCCGGUGAUCGCUCUCUAACAGGGCGACGAGGAGGGGAUCGCCGGGUAGGAUUAUGCUAUGCGAUACUACUUGGAGGACUUCAAUCUACUCUCUUCUACAUGCUGCAAGAUGGAGGCUGCCAGAAGCGUAGUCUUCGACAGGACUAGCUAUCCCCCUUUUAUUCUGGCAUUCUGCAGUUCAGUCCACUGAAAUGCCCCUUUACACAUAUACCCAUGCAUAUGUAGUGUAGCUCCUUGCUUGCGAGUACUUUGGAUGAGUACUCACGGUUGCUUCUCUCCCUCUUUUCCCCCUUUCCUUUCUAUCUGGUUGUCACAACCAGAUGCUGGAGUCCAGGAGCCAGACGCCACCGUCGACGAAGAUACCUACGACACUGGAGGUGCCUACUACUACGUGCAGCCCGCUGACGACGAUCAGGAGUAGUUAGGAGGAUCCCAGGCAGGAGGCCUGCGCCUCGUUCGAUCUGUAUCCCAGUUUGUGCUAGCCUUCUUAAGGCAAACUUGUUUAACUUAUGUCUGUACUCAGAUAUUGUUGCUUCCGCUGACUCGUCUGUGAUCGAGCACUUGUAUUCGAGCCCUCGAGGCCCCUGGCUUGUAUUAUGAUGCUUGUAUGACUUAUUUAUGCAUUAGAGUUGUGUUGUGAUAUCUUCCCGUGAGUCCCUGAUCUUGAUCGUACACAUUUGCGUGCAUGAUUAGUGUACGGUCAAAUCGGGGGCGUCACAAGUUGGUAUCAGAGCCGACUGCCUGUAGGAAUCCCCCUUUCCACACUCCUUGGCCGAAGUCGAGUCUAGACAUUACAAAACUUUUACUAACAUGGCUGUGUGUCUUACGGGCCCACGUCGCCAUUGGGUGGUACUAGUAUCUUUUACUCCUCGACCUUUACUCUGGGACUCUGAACUCUCUUCUACUCAGGUUAAACGAAUUUACUAACUCUAACACUAGGAUCCCGUGACCGCAUUCACCCCAAAGUUGGAUAAGCCAUAGUUGUUUCCUAGAAUAGUAUAUUGAACAAUUCACACACUGUCAUUUGACUCCUUUGAAACGUCUUUGCUUUCAGAUGGAACCCACGAGGCAGGUCGUUCGUCACACGACGGCCAUUGGUGCCUCGGGAUCACCUGCGGUGCUAGCUGAGAUGAUGACCUAUCUGGGUUAUCGCUGGCACCCUGAGUACACCGUCUACGAGGAGUACCAGGACUUUAACCAGGAGCAGUACCGUGCCAUCGUCCACCUCUACUCUCGGGAGUAUGACUCCACUACUGUGCUUCACACCGCACAUGGAGUUGGUGUGACCAUCGAUAUGGCUGUCCACGAUGCUGCCUAUGCUGCUCUGACACGUCUUCGUGGAGAGUAUCGGGAGUUGGACACCUCCCCUUUCAGGCACAUUGCUAUCGCAUCCGAUGAUGGUGCGGAGGGAUACUAUACUGCUGCCUACUCCACUGUCACCCGAGAGCCCUUCUACCAUCAGAACCUGGUUCUGCAUGCUGAUGGGCUGGAUCGAGCUAACCGAGCUCUUCGCCACGAGAUGUACACCACCCGUCAGCACCUUUACCGUGCUCUGACGCUGCUGCACCCCUUUGUCCGAUCUGGACAGGUACCGCGUACUGCGAUCUACCCAGCCAGGACCGUGAUGCCCCACGGUGUCGGUUGGCCAGAGGUGGGAGGCUACUCCCCCGCACUUGGUCCUCUUCUGCCACCUGAGCGUCGGGCUCUACACCUGAGUAUCCGCGGCCCCCAGUCUGCUGACGUGGAGGGCUAUCCGUUGCCUCACUACCAGCUGUCGGGCUACGAUUACCUCCACAGUACCUCUUGGGACUGAUGUAGGCUUGCUUGUAGUAUUAGUUGCAGUCGCCGCGAGCCUGUGUGCCGCCUAUGAUGUAUUAGUCUAUGUACUGGACUCUAUGUACUGAACUCUAUGCAUGACCCCUUUUGUAAAGUUAUGCCGACUACUAUGUAGUAGCUAUCGUGCUCCUUUCAUUAUGCAUGUUUCAUCAUGAAUGAUUCUUGUCAUUGCAAAUUUCUCAAUGCUGAACUACCCCUGUUAUAUAUUAGCAGGAUGGUUAGACCAGGUGGUCGUGGUCGUGGUGGCGAUGCCCCACCACCACCUGAGUACAUGGCUGGUAUGAUCCAACAGUUUGAACUGAACCGCCAAUUCAUGGAAAAUAUGAUGGCCCAGUUUCCUCGCCCCAAUAUGAACCAGCAGCCAGUUCAAGUGACUCUUCAAGAUUUCAUACGCCUCAACCCAACCAUCUACCGCAGCUCAACUCAGCCUCUGGAUGCUGAUGACUGGCUCCGUGACAUCACCUAUGAGAUGGAGUCUGCUGAUGUAGCCCCUGCCAGCUAUGUCACCUUUGCUUCCUUCUUCUUGAAGGGACCCGCAGCUCAAUGGUGGGACAGCCACAGGCGUACUCUGCCAGCUGGAACAAUCAUCACAUGGCCAGACUUCCAAGCUGCUUUUCGUGCCCGCUUCAUUCCUCAAGGAGUCAUGGACCGGAAGAAGCGUGAGUUCCGCAACCUCACCCAAGGCAACAAAACUGUCGAAGCUUAUCAGCGGGAGUUUCUGGACUUGUCCCGCUAUGCUGAAGAAGACAUUGCAACUGAUGCACGCAGACAGGAGAAGUUCCGUGAUGGCCUUCAAGCUGACAUCAAGCUCGCACUUCUAGUGCAUGACUUUGCUGAUUUCGCCACCUUGGUGAACAAGGCCAUCAAUGUCGAAACUGGUCUGCAGGAAUACCAGAGCUCUCACAGGCGCAACCGUGACACGGGCUCAUCUUCGGGCCCGCCCUCACAGAAGCGUAAGAUAUGGAUCUCGAACAGCAUGUACCGUCCAAAUGCAUCUGCCCCAAGGCAGACAUAUGCUGUACCUCGUCUGCCUCCACCACCAUCUAGGCAGUCAAGACUUCCAGCUCCACCAUCCCAAGCUCCUGUUCCCACUCCAAAUAAUGGCUUGUGCUUCAGGUGUGGUCAACCAGGACACCGUGCUAAAGAAUGCAACCAGAACCAGAAUCAACUGGCCCUUCCAGCAACUGGCCAUGGUAACAAUCAGCCUCGCAACAACAAUGCUAAGUCUUAUGGUCGUGCUCAUGCCAACCACGUUGAUCUCAACGAAGCUCAAGACCAGCCUGCUACUGUGAUGGGUACACUCCUCGUAAAUUCAGUACCAGCAUCCGUUUUAUUUGAUACAGGUGCAUCGCAUUCAUUCAUGUCAGAAGAUUUUGCAUACAAGCACGACGUUAAAUGUGAGGAGAUGAACACCUCUGUAUUGGUCAAAAACCCGUUGGGGCAGUGUCAAACCUCCUUGGUUGGCAUCGAUGUCCCCGUGGAAAUUGAAGGGCUGGAAUUCUAUGCCUCUCCCAUUAUCCUGAAGUCGUCUAACAUUGACCUCAUUUUGGGUAUGGAUUGGUUGAAAGCGCAUACUGCUUCUAUAGUUUGCGCCACUAAGACCGUCCAUCUGCUACACCCUUCAGAUGAAAUAGUUGCUUACCAAGCUCAUCUGGUGCAAAAUGCCGAGGCAAGGCUCUAUGCAUUGAAUGCAUUGAACGCUGCACCACUCGAGGGCAUUGAAAACAUUCCCGUCGUGCGUGAAUUCCUCGACGUCUUUCCUGAAGAACUUCCAGGGAUUCCCCCUGCUAGAGCUGUCGAAUUCAUCAUCGACUUGAAACCAGGCACCACUCCUAUAGCCAAGCGACCCUACAAAAUGCCGCCGCAUGAACUCCUUGAGCUUAAGGAGGAAAUCGACAAAUCUCUUCGCAAGGGAUUCAUUCGCCCAAGUUGCUCUCCUUGGGGAGCACCUUCUCUCUUUGUCAAGAAGAAGGAUGGGACAAACCGGUUAGUUCAAGACUACCGUCCUAUAAACCAAGCUACCAUCCAGAAUAAAUACCCCCUUCCUCGGAUCAAUGAUCUGUAUGAUCAACUGGCGGGUUCGUCAGUGUUCUCUAAGCUCGACUUGAGGUUGGGCUACCACCAGAUCCGUGUUCGCGAAGAGGAUAUCCCAAAGACCGCCUUCGUGACUCGCUAUGGUUCAUACGAGUACACCGUCAUGUCUUUCGGUUUAACCAAUGCUCCAGCCACCUUCUCUCGUCUGAUGAACUAUAUAUUCAUGGAUUACCUUGACAAGUUCGUCGUGGUUUAUCUGGAUGAUAUCCUGGUAUUUUCCAAGAACGAAGAAGAACAUGCUGAACAUCUUCGACUUGUGCUGGAAAAGCUACGAGAGCAUCAACUAUAUGCCAAGUUCUCCAAAUGUGAAUUCUGGCUACCCGAAGUAACCUAUCUCGGGCAUGUCAUCUCUAAGGAUGGUAUUGCCGUCAACCCUGAAUGAGUUCAGGCUAUUCUUGAUUGGACUCCUCCCAAGAACGUUAAGCAAGUCAGAAGUUUUCUCGGUCUCGCCAGCUAUUGCCGUCGAUUCGUCGAGAACUUCUCUAAGAUCGCCAGGCCUCUGACUAACCUGUUGCAUAAGGGUGUCAAGUUCCAAUGGACAGACAAAUGUCAGGAAAGUUUCCAAGCACUCAAAGACAAGUUGACUUCUGCUCCAGUUCUAGCUCCACCUGAUACUAAGAAGGACUUUGUCAUUUACUGCGACGCUUCCCGCCAAGGAUUAGGCUGUGUCCUAAUGCAAGACCGCAAAGUGAUUGCUUAUGCCUCUCGGCAAUUGCGCCCUCACGAAGAGAACUACCCAGUUCACGACCUCGAACUUGCUGCUGUCAUUCAUGCGCUGAAGCAGUGGCGACAUUAGCUUCUCGGUAAUCGUUGCGAGAUCUUCACUGACCACCAAAGUCUGAAGUAUCUGUUUACUCAGCCAGAUCUGAACCUCCGUCAACAGAGAUGGAUGGAACUUGUUGCAGACUUUGACUUGGGUAUUUCCUAUACGCCAGGCAAGGCUAAUGUAAUGGCUGAUGCCUUGAGCCGCAAGUCUUACUGCAACCACCUCCAGGUUCAUAAAGUUCAGCCCUCGCUUGUUGAAGAAUUCAGGAAGCUGAACCUCCAUAUUGUUCCUCCGGGUGCACUCACUCCCCCUCCUAAGGAGUUUGGCAAGGUGAACCUCCACGUUGUUACCCAGGGUUCCCUCAAUACCCUAGUUGCUAAACCAGAUCUCGUGGAUAGCAUCAAAAGGCUACAGAAGUAUGACUCUGAAGCCCACAAGAUUAAGCGCUACCUCGCAGAAGGAAAGCCCUCAUUCUUCACCAUUGCUGAAGAUGGCACCCUAUACUUCAAGGGCCGCCUAGUGGUGCCAUGUGCAGAGAAAAACCUGGAUAUGACACAGGAAGUUAUGAAAGAAGCUCAUGAUACACCUCUGUGUAUCCAUCCUGGUAGUACAAAGAUGUACCAAGACAUCCGUCAGAGAUUCUGGUGGCCUAAUAUGAAGCAAGCCAUUGCUCGUUAUGUUGCUGAGUGUGACGUUUGCCGUCGUAUCAAAGCAGAACAUCAAAGGCCUGCUGGAACUCUGCAACCUAUCUCUAUUCCUGAAUGGAAAUGGGACCAUGUUGAGAUGGACUUCGUCACUGGAUUUCCCAAAUCACAGAAAGGUAAUGAUGCUAUUCUUGUCGUCAUUGACCGACUUUCCAAAGUUGCACAUUUUCUGGCGGUCAAAGAAACGAUCACUGCUAGCCAGUUGGCAACGCUCUAUAUGACCAGGAUUGUUUCACUCCACGGUAUUCCAUUGGUUAUCAGCUCAGACCAUGGCAGCUUAUUCACUUCAAGAUUCUGGGCAAGUUUCCAAGAAGCUAUGGGAACUCAUCUGUCAUUCAGUACUGCGUUUCAUCCUCAAUCGCAAGGGCAAGUUGAACGCGUCAACCAAGUUCUCGAAGACAUGCUUCGAGCUUGUGUUAUUUCCUUCGGCAAGAAAUGCGAGGAAUCUCUCCCGUAUGCUGAGUUCUCUUAUAAUAAUAGCUAUCAAGCUAGUCUGAAGAUGGCCCCCUUCGAAGUGUUAUAUGGACGAAAGUGCCGAACCCCUCUGAACUGGUCAGAAACUGGGGAACGUCCACUAUUCGGUCCGGAUAUUAUCCAAGAUGCCGAAGAACAAGUCCGCAUUAUUCGUGAGAAUCUCAAGACUGCUCAGUCACGUCAGAAGAGUCAGUAUGACCGUCAUCAUAAAGACAUGGUCUAUCAACCUGGCGAAAAGGCUUAUCUUCGAGUCACACCUAUGAAGGGUGCUCACCGCUUCGGGAUCAAGGGCAAACUAGCUCCUCGCUAUAUUGGCCCAUUCACUAUACUCGAAAGGCGUGGAAAAGUGGCAUACCAACUGGAGCUACCGCCGAACCUUUCUCAGGUUCACGAUGUGUUCCAUGUGUCACAGCUCCGCCGUUGCUUCAAGGACCCAAUCCGAGCUGUGGAUCAUGAAGUGCUCGAAUUGCAGCAAGACCUCUCCUAUAAGGAGCAUCCGGUCCGCAUUCUCGACCAAGCUGAACGCCGCACACGUCAGAAGGCGAUCAAGUUUCUCAAAGUCCAGUGGUCGCACCAUUCUGAAGAUGAGGCCACUUGGGAACGAGAGGAUCGUCUGCGCGAAGAAUACCCCGCACUGUUCCCUUCUACCUCCUAAAUCUCGGGACGAGAUUUCUUGUAGUGGAGGAGAUUUGUAACACCCCGAGAAACAUGCUACAGUAACUCCCUGUGAUUAAGCUAAUCAUGUUGCUAAACAGGGCUUGAUCACAUUUGAAUCACAUUCCUUUUCAAACUCCUAGUUCAAACUUCAAUUAAAAUCAAAGUGGAAAAUAAAAGUUUUCAAAAAUUUAAACAAAAAUGUUCGGUGCGUGCCAAAUAAUACACUGGUAAUUAUGGUGGAGAAAACACAUUUUUAUAAAAUACCUAAAUACUUUUAAAUAAAAUAAAACAGAAAAGAAAAUAAACAAAUAAAAAGAAAACAGAAAACAGAACAGACAAAGAAAAAGAAAAAAAGAGAAGGCCCUCCCCCCACUGGACCUCUGGCCCAACUGGGCCGACCCCCGGCCCAGCCCACCUCUCCCGCUCGCCCCCUCCCCUGUUCCCCCGAUCGGGGUCGGAACAGGGCCGUCCCCGCCNNNNNNNNNNNNNNNNNNNNNNNNNNNNNNNNNNNNNNNNNNNNNNNNNNNNNNNNNNNNNNNNNNNNNNNNNNNNNNNNNNNNNNNNNNNNNNNNNNNNNNNNNNNNNNNNNNNNNNNNNNNNNNNNNNNNNNNNNNNNNNNNNNNNNNNNNNNNNNNNNNNNNNNNNNNNNUCUCCUCUCGGCCUCUGCGCCUCCCUCUUCCCCCCCCCAGAUCCGCGCCGCUCUCUUCUUCCCCACGCCCGACGCGCUCGCCGCCGUUCCCGUCGUUCGCAUGGCCACCGUGCCCCAAUCGCCACCUCGCCGUGUCAUACGCCGUCGCCGCCCUCGACUACACCACCUCCGCCUCUCCGUUGAAGCUCGGAGCCACUGCAACGGCCUCCCCGAGCUCGUCUUCAACUUCGGAUGCCGGCGACCCCCUCCUUCCCCGGCGCCGACCUGCUGCUCCUAAGCUCUCACCGGCCUCCGUGUGCCGCGCGGUGAGCCUCUUCCCCCCUCCUCCCCUGACCUUUCUCUCUCGCGCGCCCCCUAGCUUCUUCCCCGCGCGCGCCCGAACGCCGCGCCGCGGAGCUCGCCGCCGGCGGGUCUCCGGUGACCUUAUGGUCACGGGCUCAAGCCCGUUGCACUCCCCACCUCGCGUAGAUGCCCCCCCAGCCCCUCCGCUUGCUCGAUAGCCCGCCGUAGCCUCGUUUCUGUCGGGCACCCGUGCGCGCCGCCGCCUCCGCCGCUCGCCGCCGCCGAUUCCGGCCAAGUCCGGCGAAGCCCCGGCCACCCCUGGAUGCGGCGCUGCGAGCCCUUUCGAAUGGGCCUAGCCCCGCUCCUCCCCGAGCCCCGUAGCGCGAUUCCGGCCAACUCCGGCGAGGGGCCGCCGCCGUUUUGGUCGCCGGAGUUGCUCCGGCGCCGGCCGCCGACGUGGCUGGCCUGGGCCCCCCCCAGUGCCACUGCCAGUGGGCCCGUGGGCCCCGUUGACUGGGUCCACCCAGUCAACGUGCUGACUGGGUAGGCCCAGCCACUGACAUGCGGGCCCCGCCGCAAAAAUAAAAAAAAAGAAAAAGAAAAGGAAAAUGUUUUAUAAAUAAAAAUAAUUAAUUAAUCUAAUCACUCACUGACAGGUGGGCCCAGUAGUUAAUUAACUAAAAAUUAAUUAGUUUAAUCUUUUGUUAACCCACUGUCUAUGACAGGUGGGUCCCCCGUGUCAGUUUUGACCAGUCAACCGGACUGUUGACCGCUGACGUCACUCAUACGUCAUGCUGACGUCAUAUCCCUUUUCUGUUAAUUUAAUAAUUCCAGAAAUUCAAAUAAUCUUUGAAAAUUCAUAUCUUUUAAACCGUAACUCGGAUGAAAAUGUUUUCUAUAUGAAAGUUGCUCAGAACGACGAGACGAAUCCGAAUACGCAGUCCGUUCGUCGACCACACCUCCCUAACCUAUCGAACUAGCAACUUUCCCCCUCCGGUCCGUCUGUCCGAAAACGUGAAACAUCGGGAAUACCUCCCGGAUGUCCCCCUCCUUCGCCGGUACCACCUACUGUCGCGUUAGGACACACCUAGCACCGUUCAUUGUCAUGUCACGCAUUGUCAUGCUUAUGUUUGCAUUGUAUUUACUGUUUCUUCCCCCUCUUCUCUCCGGUAGACUACGAGACCGACACUGUUGCUGCCCAGUUCGACUACGGAGUUGACGACCCCUCCUACUUGCCAGAGCAACCAGGCAAGCCCCCCCCCCUUGAUCACCAGAUAUCGCCUAUUCUUCUCUAUACUGCUUGCAUUAGAGUAGUGUAGCAUGUUACUGCUUUCCGAUAUCCUAUCCUGAUGCAUAGCCUAUCCUUGCUACUACUGUUGUUACCUUUACCUGCAAUCCUACAUGCUUAGUAUAGGAUGCUAGAUUUCCAUCAGUGGCCCUACAUUCUUGUCCGUCUGUUGUGCUAUACUAUCGGGCCGUGAUCACCUGGGCGGUGAUCACGGGUAUAUACUUAUAUACUACAUACAUGACACAUGUGAUGACUAAAGUCGGGUCGGCUCGUAGGAGUACCCGCAAGUGGAUCUUUGUGGCGGAGCGACAGGGCAGGUUGAGACCGCCUAGGUGAGAGGUGGGCCUGGCCCUGGUCGGCGUUCGCGGAUACUUAACACGCUUAAUGAGAUCUUGGUAUUUGAUCUGAGUCUGGCCAUUUGGUCUAUACGCACUAACCAUCUACGCGGGAGUAGUUAUGGGUAUCCCGGCGUCGUGGUAUCAGCCGAAGCCUUCUUGACGUCAGCGACUGAGUGGCACGCGCCGGAUUGGACUGGAACGCCACUAGGCUAGGUCUGCUUCCGGCCGCGUACGCAACGUGCAGGUGUGCAUAGGGCGAUGGGCCCAGACCCCUGCGCGCAUAGGGUUAGACCGGCGUGCUGACCGCUCUGUUGUGCUUAGGUGGGGCUGCGACGCGUUGAGCUUACGAGGCCGGGCAUGACCCAGAAAAGUGUGUCCGGCCAAAUGGGAUCGAGCGUGUUGGGUUAUGUGGUGCACCCCUGCAGGGAAGUUUAUCUAUUCGAAUAGCCGUGUCCCUCGGUAAAAGGACGACCCGGAGUUGUACCUUGACCUUAUGACAACUAGAACUGGAUACUGAAUAAAAUACACCCUUCCAAGUGCCAGAUACAACCCGGUGAUCGCUCUCUAACAGGGCGACGAGGAGGGGAUCGCCGGGUAGGAUUAUGCUAUGCGAUACUACUUGGAGGACUUCAAUCUACUCUCUUCUACAUGCUGCAAGAUGGAGGCUGCCAGAAGCGUAGUCUUCGACAGGACUAGCUAUCCCCCUUUUAUUCUGGCAUUCUGUAGUUCAGUCCACUGAAAUGCCCCUUUACACAUAUACCCAUGCAUAUGUAGUGUAGCUCCUUGCUUGCGAGUACUUUGGAUGAGUACUCACGGUUGCUUCUCUCCCUCUUUUCCCCCUUUCCUUUCUAUCUGGUUGUCACAACCAGAUGCUGGAGUCCAGGAGCCAGACGCCACCGUCGACAAAGAUACCUACGACACUGGAGGUGCCUACUACUACGUGCAGCCCGCUGACGACGAUCAGGAGUAGUUAGGAGGAUCCCAGGCAGGAGGCCUGCGCCUCGUUCGAUCUGUAUCCCAGUUUGUGCUAGCCUUCUUAAGGCAAACUUGUUUAACUUAUGUCUGUACUCAGAUAUUGUUGCUUCCGCUGACUCGUCUGUGAUCGAGCACUUGUAUUCGAGCCCUCGAGGCCCCUGGCUUGUAUUAUGAUGCUUGUAUGACUUAUUUAUGCAUUAGAGUUGUGUUGUGAUAUCUUCCCGUGAGUCCCUGAUCUUGAUCGUACACAUUUGCGUGCAUGAUUAGUGUACGGUCAAAUCGGGGGCGUCACAAGUUGGUAUCAGAGCCGACUGCCUGUAGGAAUCCCCCUUUCCACACUCCUUGGCCGAAGUCGAGUCUAGACAUUACAAAACUUUUACUAACAUGGCUGUGUGUCUUACGGGCCCACGUCGCCAUUGGGUGGUACUAGUAUCUUUUACUCCUCGACCUUUACUCUGGGACUCUGAACUCUCUUCUACUCAGGUUAAACGAAUUUACUAACUCUAACACUAGGAUCCCGUGACCGCAUUCACCCCAAAGUUGGAUAAGCCAUAGUUGUUUCCUAGAAUAGUAUAUUGAACAAUUCACACACUGUCAUUUGACUCCUUUGAAACGUCUUUGCUUUCAGAUGGAACCCACGAGGCAGGUCGUUCGUCACACGACGGCCAUUGGUGCCUCGGGAUCACCUGCGGUGCUAGCUGAGAUGAUGACCUAUCUGGGUUAUCGCUGGCACCCUGAGUACACCGUCUACGAGGAGUACCAGGACUUUAACCAGGAGCAGUACCGUGCCAUCGUCCACCUCUACUCUCGGGAGUAUGACUCCACUACUGUGCUUCACACCGCACAUGGAGUUGGUGUGACCAUCGAUAUGGCUGUCCAUGAUGCUGCCUAUGCUGCUCUGACACGUCUUCGUGGAGAGUAUCGGGAGUUGGACACCUCCCCUUUCAGGCACAUUGCUAUCGCAUCCGAUGAUGGUGCGGAGGGAUACUAUACUGCUGCCUACUCCACUGUCACCCGAGAGCCCUUCUACCAUCAGAACCUGGUUCUGCAUGCUGAUGGGCUAGAUCGAGCUAACCGAGCUCUUCGCCACGAGAAAACCGGAACGCCCCGUAUUCCAGCCCAGAGAUCAAGGAGAAGUCUUCUGGAAUACGGCACUGCUUAGCAUAGAACAAACCGGCUUACUAUUAUUACACGAAUAUGAAUACAAGGUCUCCGAUAUUACAAUGAAUAACAUCGGCACGGCGACACUACGCCAUCCUCAGUUGCUCUAUGCAAGCAGCAGAACAACUCGAAGCAGCGGAAAAAACUUCUAGCAGCGGAACAACGACAACGGUGGUGAACUCCACUCCGCAGGGACUCUGGCUGGAACGCUUAUCCUAGCUCGCGAUCACAGGAACAACACCAAACAAGCAAGCAAUCCAGGCACGACCUGCAAACUGGCAUGACACGCCAGGUCAGUACAAUGAAUGUACUUGCAAGCUCACAAUAACAUGGCAUGAACAACAUGAACAUGAUAUAGGUAGAACAACAUGAGCAUGGCAUGAACAUAUAUAUCUGACGCUACUAGCAUGCAACAUGAUGACACUAUAUGCACUAUUUAUUCUGCUCGGGUUACAACGUAACCAUCACAUGCAUCACUUACCAACCUCGGACAUCACACGAUUAUCUCAGGAUCAAAUCAAGCUUGGUAUAAACAAUAUCGUAGUAAUCAUUAAAUGACCACAAGGAGCUUGAUCUUUACCCUUUCUUGCACAACAUCACGAAUAUCCAACAACUCGGUAUCCUCGAUACCACGGUAAUCAUUCCGGCAAUCACAACCAUGACCAACACUUGGUCUCAAACGGUGAUCUUUCUGGCGAUCACAACCAACUUAACUCAUCAUCGAACCGGGGUUGUCAUUAAUCAAGUUAUUAUUAAUAUUGUUGACUCACAGUGGGACCGACUAUGAACUAGGCCCUUAUUCGCGGGCGCGGCUAUCGAUAGAUUUAAUAUACACUCUGCAGAGGUUAGUACACUGUACCCACACCACAGAACCCAUGGCCUCGCACUCCCAUUCGGGUGGACCAACGGCGUUCCGACAAAACCGAUCUACUGCCAUGAGACUCUCCCGGCCACUCCGACUCACUCCCCAUUGGGCUAGUCCUGGGUGGCCCUGUGUCUACCAAAGACACAACGACCACCGUCGUGGUCCGUCCCAAACAGGGACAAAAGCGCUUAUCAUCAAACUAUGGGCACACAAGGUUAUGUCUGCUUACCUAAUCAGGGUACGCAUGCCCAUAACCUUCCCUAGUUGGAGGCACCGAUGAGAGGCACGACAAUAGACCCAGUUAGGACCCCCCCAUAAGGCAAGUGUGGUUGCACUGGUCAGCUCGAUUUGGUGGCACCAUGACUCAGCCAACAGUUAUUCAAGUUCAAUUUAAUCCGGUUAAACUUGAAUGCAAUAUGCUGAGCCAUGAUAAAAUAACAUGAUGCAAUAAUGCAUAAACAUGAUAUCAGCAUAAGCACGGGGUGCAACAUAACUAUCCACCAUAUCCACAAUGAAUCAUAUCCAACUGAGCAUAGUAUAAUGACGAGCAUGAAUAUCACAAAUACAACACUACUCAUAGAAACCUAGCAUGACCACUAGCAUCAACAAUAAAUGUCAUGCAAGACAUAUCAACAAUGCUACCAUGCAAGCAUUUACCCAGUUGGAUGCAAUGGAACAUGCAUAACACGGUACUCGGGACAGACGACAGCCAUGCAUCGAAGACCAUCACCAACAUCAACAUGUACUACUAGCAAGCAUAAGCAUAUGAAAGGAAUACUAGCAACUAGCAGGGCAUGAUAACCAGGUGCAUAACAACAUAGCAAGAAAGUAAGCACUAACCCAGAAGCAUUACCGAAACAACGAUAACCAUAUUUUAAACAAGCAAUCAUUUAAUAAAUAUUCAAGUUGAAAACCAUGGCUACUUCAUGACUAUCAUGCAAGUGGGUAUUGUGGCUUGCCUGGGGAUGAAGAAUACUCCGGGAAGAAGUGCGGUGAAGCCGCGAAAAUAUUUGCCGGAAACAGUUCUCUUCCGGAGGGGCUGUUUACGUGCAAGGGCAAAAAGGUCAUUUUCACUGUGAAAAUACCUAGUGAAAAUGUUACCAAAAGAUAGAGCUCGGCGAGAUGAAGAAGUGAGCGCUGGUUUCACCUCAAUCGGAGUUACGGUUGCGGAGUUAUGAGGUGUAGAAGAUCAGGGACCUAUCGGUGAAACUCUUUCAGCAAACAGGCCCCUGGUGGAAAAACUGAAUGUGCCUUCGGGCCAAAUUCGUUUUCUGAAAAGGAAAAUGUAUUUUCGGCCGCAGAAGAAGAGAAUACACUUUCCUGAAGGGAAAACGCAUUUUGGAUAAAAUAGGAAGGAAAUACGCUUUCACAUAGCGAAAACGUAUUUCAGAAAAUGCUUUCCACUUAUCCGAGUGGAGAAGGUGCUGGCUCACUUAUGGGUGGGGUCCGAUGGUGAGGGGGGCCCGCCUGGCAAGCUGGCAAGGCGUCGUCUUCCUCCUCCCCUCGCUCCUGUUCGUUCCCGAGCGGAACAGAACGGAAGCAGAGGAGGGAAACGGCCAAGAGGCCGGCCAGCUCCGGCGAUCCCCGGCCCAGCCAAGAGGCCGUUGGGCUGCGCCGCACCCGUUCAGAGGGCCAGCCAGCGCCAGGGUGGAGUGGAGAGGAGGGGAGUCCGCGGCGACAGAGGCGGACAGAGAGGCGGCGGUGGUGAUGAAUUCCGGUGAUGCAGGGCGCUCCGGCGAGAGAUGAGAGGGUGGGGAGGUUCGCCGGGACAUGGGGAAGGCGUUGGUGGAGUCGGGUAAGCACGAGGAGGCUCGAGACGGCCGGACGAUGAGGUGGCCGAACGGCGGAGGCGACGGCCAUGCGUGGGGAGGCGUGGCCAGAGGCACUCCGGGGUCGAACGAGUGGGGUGGGGCGAACCGCAGAGGAGUGGGGAGUGCGGUGGACAGGUCAGGGAGGCGAGAGGAGGCUUGGCUUGGCCGGAAUCAUGCCGAGGCCGAGGCGGCCUUGGAGGAAAAUGGCAGACUCCGGCGAGAUGACGCGAUUCCAGUGAGCAAAUGAGGUGAGGGGGAGAUGGUUGAGGUGCGGAGGGACUCGGGGCACGCUUAUAUAGCCGAGGGGAAGGCUCUGGAGCUCACGAGCGAGCUCCCGACCGAGCUUUAAUGGCGGGCAGAGGCUGGACGCGGCACGGGCAUGGAGCUAGCGGCUCAUUUAUGGCGAACCACGACGAGGCACCGAUGCAGGGCGACGCAGUCGAGCACGGGCGAGCUCCAGGACAUGAAUGGAGGUCGAGACGAGGAGGGAGGAGACGAGAACAGUGGCCGGACCAAGCCAGAGCUUGCACUGUGCGUGACGCCAGCGUGAUCACCACGGGCACUGGUGUAAACGGCGCGUUCUUGCCAGGCCGACCAUGUCCAGUAGAUAGGCCGUCAUGCCCUCGGUCAAAAUGAGGAAAUAAAUCGGUGCAGGCGCAAGGAAGAGAUUUGCACUUAGCUCCAAAGUAAAUCAAUAAGAAGGUGUUUGUAACUUGCUGUGGUUAAACCAGCUUGGUAACGUGGUAAAUAGUUUGUCUGGUGAUGAUCACACACUAAGGUGAUGUUGAUCACCAAAUCCAGACUAAGAGGAGGAGUUUAGAUGAGGGUUGCUGUAGAAAGUGCAAAACUGGCCAGAAUUAAGGAUUUGGAUGAUACACUCACAUACUUGAUUGUCAUGAGCUGAUAUCUGGCAGAGAGGGGUUAUAUGAUGGUAUGAAGCUGCUGUAAAGAUUUCAUGCCAUUUGGAAAUACCAAAGUGGCACUUGCUUCACAAAGCUUCAUUCUGAACAGAAACUUGCAAAAAUUCUAGAGGAAUAAUGGCUUGAUGAACCAUGCCCAAAAUGGGUGGAGGUAGGUUAUAUGGAUAAUAGAAGGCCUAGAAAAAUUGGCAGCCAUAAUGGAGCAAGAUAAAAUAUAUUUGCUUCACAAACUGAAAUUUUGGACAGAAUCAAAGAAUUGAAGAUGAGCUCACAUGGAGGCAUGAAAUGACCUCUACUUUGGUGGAGGGCUAUUAUAUGAUGAUAUGAGGGAUCAUGCAAAAUUGCAACUCAUUUGGAUAUGCCUAGCUUGCACCUCCUUCACAAAGCUUCUUUCUGGAUAGAAACUUUGGAAAAUCAUAAUUAAAUAAUUACUAGGCAAAUGAGGUUGCAUUUUGGCAUGUGGCAAUGAUAUGGACAGGAAAAGGUCCAAGGAGUUUGAGGUCAAUUGGGAAAAGAAAAAUAGCACUUGCUUCACAAUGUGCCAUUUAGGGCAGAAUAGGAACUGAAUUAUUUGAGCAUGAUGAUAAACAUGACAAAUGAAAUAUUUUGCCAUAUUUGAGAAGUAUAUGACCCAAACAAUUUAUGAGAAUUAUUUGGGAAUUUUAGGAGUGAUGGAAAUAAAGGUUGCUUCACAACCUAGGGCAAUUUGAGUUAUUCCUUUAAUAGAAAAGGAAUAUUCCCAAUAAAAAGAAUAUUGGGAUUUGGGCUAGGAUGAAAAUGACAGGGUCUAGAGAAGGAUUUGGGAAUGGCAAGCCACUCUAGAAACAAAGAAGAGGGCAUCUUCUUCAGUUUCCAGACCACAAAGCCACGGAAAAAGAAAACUCAAGCAAAAACCUCAGAAAAACAAAAGAAAAAGAAAGGGCCAAAAAUCAGGCUGUCACACGACGGUUUCUGGGUCGUGUGGGAAGGACCCCCCCUAUCGCCCACAUUCACUUGGCGACGGUUCCAAUUGCCAUCUCGGAAAGGGGUUAAAAACCGUUUGUUUAGGACCGACGUGCACCAGUGUAGGUACCUAAAUGAACCAAUGAUUUGAGAGUAUCUCAAUUGAUCUUUAGUCGUGCCUUCGAACUUUCGAAUCAACAUGCUAGGAUCAUAUUUUGUUUGAGAUGGUUUGUAGUCUGAAUAUCCAAAACGACUAAACACCUUCUCAAAUAAUGUGAUUGCAGAAGUGUAAUCCCACCCUCGUUAUCUCUCCGUAGCUUGAUGUUCAAGAUAACAUCAGCCACACCAAGGUCUUUCAUCUCAAAAAUUCUGAGAUAGAAAUGACUUGACCUCCUGAAUGACUUUGAGGUUGGUUCCGAAUAUCAGUAUGUCAUCAACAUACAAGCACACUAUAACUCCUUCGCCCCCACCAUGGCGAUAGUAUACACAUUUGUUAGCUUCAUUAACAACAAAGCCAGCAGAUGUCAUUGUUGUAUUAAACUUGUCAUACCAUUAGGUGCUUGUUUCAGGCCAUAUAAAGAUUUCAGCAACCUACACAAUUUUCCUUCCUGACCAUCUAUCACAAAGCCAUCUGGCUAUUGCAUGUAGAUUUCCUCGUCUAGCUCUCCAUUUAGGAAAGUCGUCUUAACAUCGAUCUGGUGGAUGAGAAGACCAUGCGAGGCCUCCAACGAGAGUAAUACUCGAAUGGUGGUCAGUCUGGCCACAGGUGAAUAAGUAUCAAAGAAAUCUUCCUCUUCUUUCUGGUCAUAGCCCGUAGCCACAAGCCUAGCCUUAUACUUUUCAAUCGUACCAUCGGGCCUAAGCUUCUUUUUGGACACCCACUUACAUCCCAAUGGUUUGCAACCAUAGGGAUGUUCAGUGAUCUCCCAUGUCCCGUUAGCCAUGAUGGAAUCCAUCUCGCUACGGACCGCAUCCUUCCAGUAGUCAGCUUCUGGAGAGGCAUACGCUUCUGAAAUAGAAGUGGGAGUAUCAUCCAUGAGGUACACGAAGAAAUCAUCACCAAAGGUCUUUGCAGUCCUUUGUCUCUUGCCCCUAACAAGGGUUUCCUCGUCAUCCUCCUCGGGAUUUUUAUCAUGUGUUUGUUCAUAAUAUUCCAUAGGAAAGGCAGGCUCAGGAGUCACCUCAGAUUCCUGUUUAGAAGUGCUUUGUGUAUCUCUCAUAGGAAAAAUAUCCUCGAAGAAUGUAGCAUCCUUAGACUCCAUAAUUGUACCGACCUUCUGGUCAGGUACCUCAGAUUCACUACUAUAAAGCUAUAGCCAACGCUAUUCUUAGCAUAGCCCAAAUUAACGCAGUCCACAUUCUUUGGUCCAACUUUACGCUUUUUGGGGAUCAACACAUUGACUUUCACCAAACAGCCCCAAGUACGCAAGUACGAGAUUGUUGUCCUUCUCUUUGCCCAUUUAUCAUAGGGAGUUAUCUCAUUAUCCUUUGUCGGAAAUUUAUUCAGGACAUGACAUGCCGUCAAUAUAGCCUCCCCCACCAUGCUUUGGAUAAACCCGAUGUGUCUAAUGUGGCGUUAACCAAAUUAGUUAGAGUACAAUUUUUCCGCUCGGCAACCCCGUUUGACUAGGGUGAAUAGGGAGGUGCCCUCUCAUGAAUAAUACCGUGUGCCGCACAAAAAGAAUCAAACUCACUCGAGAAGUACUCUCCACCACGAUCUGAUCGGACUCGUUUAAUCUUCUUUUCAAGUUGAUUCUCAACUUCUGCCUUGUAGAUUUUAAAGUAGUGUAGAGCCUUAUCUUUAGUAUUUAACAGAUAAACAUAGCAAUAUCUAGUGGAAUCAUCUAUCAAUGUCAUGAAGUAUUUCUUUCCACCUUUAGUCAACACACCAUUCAUCUCACAAAGAUCAGAAUGUAUGAGUUCUAAUGGUGCCAAGUGUCUCUGCUCUGCAACCUUGUGAGGCUUGCAAGGUUGCUUAGCUUGCACACAUGAAAGGCACUUAGAACCUUUGGCUAAAGUGAAAUUCGGGAUUAAAUUCAACUUGGCUAGCCGCGUCAUAACACCGAAACUAAUGUGACAAAGACGUGAAUGCCAAACUUCAGAUUCAUAACACUCGAAUGAAUAUGGUUCACGACUUUAUUACAAAAAUCUGCAGGGAAAGACGGAACAUCCCUCCACUCUCAUAACCUUUUCCAACAAAUAGUCCAUACUUAGUACCAACUAACUUAUUAGACUCGAAGACCAACUUAAACCCAUCUCUACAUAGAAGGGAGCCCCUAACGAGGUUCUUCUCGAUGGCAGGGACAUGUUGCACGUUCUUCAGCUGCACGAUCCUUCCCGUAGUAAACUUCAGAUCGACCGUGCCAACACCAUGAACAAAAGCACUCACGCCAUUCCCCAUCAAUACGGAGCCGCGGCCUGUGACAUGGUAAGAAGAAAACAAUGAAAUUUUAGCACAUACAUGGACACCUGCACCUGUGUCCACCCAUCAAUCGGUGGACCAAAACACUGAAAAAACAGUAAAUAAAUUACCGUACCCAGAUGCAUCAUUCUCAUUAUUGCCCACAAUCAUGUUAACAUACUUCAAAUCCUGCGCUGGCUUCUUGUACUUGUUUGGGCACUUGUUGGGCCAAUGUUCAUCCGAACCACAAGUAAAGCAACCAUCUCCCUUCUUGUUCUUCUUGAAGGUCUUCUUACCUUCCUUCUUAAAGUUGGUAUUCUGUUGGACACCGUUCUUUCCCUUGAGCUUGUGGGAGUUGAAGUUCCUCUGGUGCACCAUGUUGGUGAUAGAAGUUCCUUCGACCCCUUCUCCGUGCGAGUCCUUUGCCCUCGAAUUUUUCUCAACACUCAUAUGGCCGAUGACGUCCUCUACUGAGAACUCACGCCUCUGAUGUUUCAGAGUGGUAGCAAAGUUUCUCCACGAGUUAGGGAGCUUCGCAAUUAUACAUCCCGCGACAAACUUGCCAGGUAAAUCGCACUUCAGAAGCUCAAGCUCCUUAGCGAUGUGAUACGUCUCCAACGUAUCUAUAAUUUAUGAAGUAUUCAUGCCAUGUUUACAAUAGUUUUAUAUGAUUUUGGUAUGAUUUGAUUAGAACUAACCCGGACUGACGCUGUUUUCAGCAGAACUACCGUGGUGUUGUUUUUGUGCAGAAAUAAAAGUUCUCGGAAUGCGAUGAAAAUCAACGGAGAAUUUUUCUGGAAAACAUAAAAAAUACUGGAACAAAAAUCUACCGAAGGGGAGUCCCGUGGGCCCCACGAGGGUGGGGGCGUGCCCCCUAUCUCGUGGCCGCUGUCAGUGUCAAAACCGGCGGAUCUCGGGUAGGGGGUCCCGAACUGUGCGUCUAGGAUUGAUGGUAACAGGAGACGGGGGACACGAUGUUUACCCAGGUUCGGGCCCUCUCUAUGGAGGUAAUACCCUACUUCCUGCUUGAUUGAUCUUGAUUAAUAUGAGUGUUGCAAGAGUUGAUCUACCACGAGAUCGUAAUGGCUAAACCCUAGAAGUCUAGCCUAUGAGUAUAUGGUAAUGAAUCUGUCCUAUCCGGACUAUGCUCUUCCGGUUUAUAUAGACACUGGAGAGAUCUAGGGUUACAUGAGGUCGGUUACAUAGGAGGGAAUCUUCAUAAUCGGUCGCCUAGCUUGCCUUCCACGCCAAGUAGAGUCCAAUCCGGACACGGGUAUAGUCUUCGGUCUUCGUGUCUUCACAGCCCAUCAGUCUGGCCCAUGGAUAACAGGCCGGACGCCCGAGGACCCCUUAGUCCAGGACUCCCUCAGUAGCCCCUGAACCUGGCUUCAAUGACAACGAGUCCGGCGCGCAGUUUGUCUUCGGCAUUGCAAGGCGGGUUCCCCUUCUUCCGAACUCCAAUAUAGCCUUCGGAGAUGAUGAUUGUAUCCGGACCUGUGUAUAUAAUCGCAGAAAAUACAAUACUCCACGAGUCUAAUCUGCAGAUAAUUGUUUAUGACACUGUAUCACGCCCGCCCGGUUAUUAUUUCCAACUGUUGGCUAGCCCAUCGCCCCAUGUCUCGGGAAGCGGUUUUAUUGGCAUGUCUAGUCAAAGCAGAGAUCGUGUCCCCUUGCUCACGGGAUUUUCAAUAAUAUUGGUAUGGGUAUCCCAACCGUCCCAGGGUACAACUCUUUGAGGUUAGGUAAGUUUAAUGACCCAGGAGGGGACAGUUGACAUUCUGGGCCUUUAUAUAGGGACCCAGACUUGUCCUUUUCUUCCGCGCUUGCUUCUUCCUCAACCCCAGCCACCUUGAGUUCUAGCCCUCGAGUCCUAAUCACCAACAGCCCCAAUCAUGCCCGGGCCUCUUCCGUCACGGAGGAGGAUAUUGCGAAGCUCCGUGUAGCGAGGUACCUGACUCCAUAAAUCCUUCAUCGGCUUCCUGCCGAGGGGCAGAUUAUUCCCACCCCCAAAUCCGGCGAGAGGGUAGUAUUGGUGUCCCACUUCCUCCAUGGGUUAGGGUUCGCGCUUAACCCCUUCGUCCGGGGGCUCAUGUUCUACUAUGGGCUAGAUUUUCACGAUCUGUCCCUGGACUCCGCUCUCCUCAUCUCGACAUUUAUCGUCACGUGUGAGGCCUUCCCCCGGACUCCUCCGCACUUUGCUUUGUGGCUCAAGACUUUUGAUGUGAGGCCGCGGGUGAUAGAGGGGGAGCAGGCAGAGUGCGGCAGCGUUGUAAUAAACAAGCUUGCCAGCACGGUUUGUUUUGAAGGAUCCUUCGCCGAGUCUUCCGAACUAUGGCAGCAGAGGUGAUUUUAUGUUAACGAGCUGCGGGGCUCCAAGUGGGCGGCUACGCCUGCGUUCCGACCCGGCCCUCCGACUCAGUUUGCUUCAUGGAUCAACAAGGGGUUGGACUGGGGAUCCGCUAAUGAGGUGCAGACUCUGCAAGGUCACAUCCGAAGCCUUACCGAGAAGGGCAUCGAUCUUGUGAACGUCGUUCAGGUAAUGCUAGUCCGCCGGAUCCUACCGUGUCAACGGUGGCCUCUCCGUAUGUGGGAGUUCAAUCCAGAAGGGCGGCGGACUCUUCUGCACUUCUUCAGUACUACACACGAAGGAAUGUGGAAGUUAUAUUUCGGGGAGCGAGAGCAAUGGCCGGACACCACCGAAGACAUCGGCCUCGACUGCAAUAAUCCGGAUACUCCAAUAAGUAUUCAAUCCCCGCACACCUUUCAUUCAAGCAUCUCUUGACAAGACACUAAACAACCUGCCCUUAUACAGGACUGGAUAAAGAAAGUGGUGUUAAUCUGGUGUCCAGCACCCCUUCCCGAAGACCCUGCGUCUGCCCUACUGACGCGGAUGUUGAUCCCGACACCAUACCUGGUGUCUACAGAGGGGGCGAGAGCGGGGAGCCCAAAGGAGACGCCUGCCACGGCAAAAAGCGGGCUGCUUCUGGAGGCCAGGAGGGGAAACCUUCCAAGAAAGGAAAAAUGCCAUCGUCGGUCAGCUUGAACCGGGCAAGCGAUGUAGAGCUUGAUGAUGAGGACGAACCUCUGGCCAGGCCGUAAGUUAAGCGGGGUACUUUAACCAUACCUCAUUCCUUUCUUAUUACUGAAAUAACCCUCCGGCAUAUGUGCAUCCUCGCAGGUUAAAGCCUGGCGUUUCUCAAUCGUCCUCCUCCUCGGGAGACCUUCUUCUGGAGAUGAUGGAGAGUGACACGCCUUCUCCGGCCUCCUCGCCUAACAGGGCGGAUGAUCUCGAGGUGUCGUCCCGGAGGGCUUCUCCCAAUCGGCAAGUACCGCAGGAAAUGAGGAAGGAGCUACCCGAAGGUGGUGCCUCUGUCCCUCAAGGUUCGGGGAUCAAGGAUGACGGCCCCGAACUGUACGGGUUACAGCCGGAGACAAUGCUGGAGGCGGGUAAGCAGAUACCUUCAAAGGAAUGUCGUGCUCCGGCAGCGGUGUCCGAAGACCCAGGAGUGCCGGAGACGCUGACUGACAUGCUGCGACGAGCGUCUGUUUCAGAGAAGCACCGUGCCUUAAUGGUUACGGUGGUCAAAAAAGUUGUAUCCGUGAAGAGCGGGUUGAACGAGGCCUUUACGAGCCUUCUGAGAGGUUUUGAGGUUUGUGAUGUAAUGUUGCCAAUUGAAUAAUAUUGACAGAAUGCACCUGUUGUGUAUGCAGUAGCCCCUGAGACUCGGAUCGCCUUCCAAAGGAGGAUCAAAAAGAUAUUUUCAGGUACUAACCUUGGUUUAAUUUGGAAUGCAGGUUGUCUCCCCUCCUGCCGCUGCCCGAAAUUCGGAGGUAAUCGAACUGCAGCGAAAGCUGGAUAUUGCGGAGGAUGACAUUGCUUUGAUCAAUAGGCGUCUUGACGACUCGCAAGGUAUAUAUUUCGAGCAUUCCUUACACCAAUGUGCUUAUAAUGUAAGCCUGACUCUGAAGAGAGUUUGACAUAAAAUGUGCAUCAAUGCAGAUGGUGCUGCCGCCGUGGAAGCCCUUCGGGCGGAGCAGGCCCGGUUUAGUAAUGCGGCUGCAGAAAAGGCAUCGGCUGACUUGAAGGCCGAACAAGCCGCGCGGUGCCAGGACAAGGAGGCCAUGUCCACCAUGGCACGUGAGUUAGAGAAUGCGGCUGGCCGCUGUAAACUUCUUGAGAAGGAAAAUGAAGCCAAAACGGCUGAACUUGACAAGGCCUUACGAGAGGCGAGAGAGGCGCGGUCUGAAUCCAGAGCAGCCCGUGAGGAAAUCCGGCAAGCUGGGGAUAUUGUGGCUGGCAAGCCCUUUUUGCUACAGGCUAAGUUUGGCGAUCUGAACUAUGCUCAGCUUAACCAAGUAUGGAGUUCUCCGGACAAUUUUUUAGACUUUCCGAAGAGUUCUUCAGAUGCGGCGCAGUUUUAUCAGGCGCAAGAGGGGUAUGCAAUGGAGAAGCUUUUCUGGUCGCAAUUCGGCGCGUCGAAGCGCCCUCUGUUGCUGAAUGAACAGAUGUCCCAGUGGGCCGAUCUGCAUAGGAUAUCCGGCGCUGUCAUGAAGAACGUCGUAGUCCAUUUGUGGCCGACUGAACCUGUUCCGAGUAGUUACUUCGGCCUGGUGCAGCGGCUUGCUAACGCGGUGCCGCGUAUCACCGCUAUGAAGCGAUCGGCGUGCAUUGAAGGUGCACGGAUGGGCUUCGCCCGAGUCAAGACAUUCUGGGGGAAGAUGAAGGCCAUCAAUAUUGCGACGAAGAGUCCACCCGAAGGCAAGGACCGUCUGGAACCGGAGCAUUAUUUUGGAGACGUCCUAGAGGCCGCCCGCUUGAUAGAGGGUCAGUGCUCAAAAGACAUAAUAUUCGAGUGAUGUGUACAAGGGUUGUAACAGACAACUUUAUAGUUAAUCUAUUUUUUGCUCGAAAGCUUGUAUUCCCCCUGUGCGGCCGUUUUAAUGUAAUUUGAAAGUUUUCCAGUCGUCGGCUUCAGCCCCCUCGUAGGAAAUAUGGGGGUGUUUGGAAAAGCAUUGGAUCACUCUUUAUCCAACAUCUUGGUCCAUAAAGGAGGUGAUAAUGCGGCGAACCAGGCAAUCAGACUAUAGGGCGUUAACACUUUCACUUAGCCAUAGGAGUUUUAUGGUGGGCCUACGACAUAGCCCCUAGUAUGUAUGCAGCAUAUCGUAAUAUCGUGCCUUACAUGUUUUGAUCUGAAAAAGACCCUUCGUGCGACACGGAGAAUCGCUAAAGAUUCGAAUAAGUCGUCAAGUGGUUGACCAGCUCCCGCCGCAUCAUGACAGUCAGUUUUCGGCUUUUUCUACUGCUCAUCCGGUCAAAGCCAGCGCACAAUCACAGUAGUUCUCCCUUUACUACCCUAGCCGAUAGAGCGGAACGUAGGGUACCAAACACAGGAGCCGGGCAACCCAACUAUUGACCAAAGAAAAUGAUUCGGAGCUGAUGCAUAUAAGGCCAAACUUGUGACGCCGAAGUAUGCUAUAGAGUUGUUCAGGCUUUUAUUGGCGACUCAUUUGUUCCCAAACCGAGCCCUUGGCCGGUUAUGCCGAGGUGCGUCUUGUAACACCGCCGUUGCGGCUGUACUCAUUGUAAAAAGAGUACAGAAGAUUAGUUCGGAUGAAAUUUACUGGGAGUGGAGCAAUAAGCCAAUGAUAAAUUCAUAUAUAAAAAAGGAAAAAUCCACAACCCCGCCAUUUGACAUGCUCAGGGUCAGGAACGGAGGAAAAUAGGCAUAGUACAGGCUCAAAAUAAAGAGUGCGGUCUACAAAAACUAUUUUGGACCUCCUGUCGCACGUCCGCGCCGCCCGUCCUCUGGGAGGGGAGUCCUUAUCUGAAGUAACCCCUUAGGUGAGUGUGUGGAUCUGAACUCCGACAGAGUCCGUUGUAUAUGCAGUCCUGUCGGUCACCUAUUUAUAAUAAAGAAAAGUAAAGAACAAUGGAUAAAAAAACGUUAUGGGAAUGCUUGUAGGGUUGUCCAUAUUGUGCUUCCAUCGAUGCCCAUGGUAUCUUGAGCGCGUAGUGAUGUACGCGUGGUGUAAAUCCUGCCAUCAUAGUGGGUGGGUGGCGGAAGCCGAACUGCUAUUUCCGCUCCGGUAGUGGUCGAACAUCGGAGGGAAACUGCUUCUGGCUCCCGGUGUUCGGCUGGCGAGCCUUGCCGUCGUCUUUAUCGCUUGGUGGCCUUCUCCCCUUGUAUUCGGCAUUAAGCUUGCCUGCCUGCUUGAAGACCCAACAGUUUCUGUUGGUAUGAUUAGCUGGUGUAUCAGGGUGGCCGUGAAUCUGACAAGGUCGAUCCAAUAUCCUGUCAAGUGCGGAUGGUCCGUCCUGUUUGGCCUUAAGUGGCUUCUUCCGUUAACCUGGUUUCAGAUUGUGAAAUCCGGCGUUGACCGCUAUGUCACGCAAUCUUUCGUUAUUGCUGCGACUGUUAUGCUCGUUUAGUCGUGGCUUGUCGUUGCUGUCUCGGAUUUCGGAAGUGCCCGGGCCGCUGGCGUCGUUGCUUUUGCGAGUGAGCCAGUUGUCUUCUCCCGCACAAAAGCGAGUCAUUAGAGCGGUAAGGGCUGUCAUGGAUUUAGGUCCUUCUUGGCCGAGGUGACGUGCUAGCCAUUCAUCCCGGACGUUGUGUUUGAAGGCCGCGAGGGCUUCCGCGUCCGGACAGUCGACGAUUUGAUUCUUUUUGACUAGGAACCUAGUCCAGAGCUCCCUGGCUGACUCGCCGGGCUGUUAGACAAUAUGACUUAAGUCAUCGGCAUCUGGUAGCCGAACAUAUGUUCCUUGGAAGUUGUCAUGAAAGGCGUCUUCCAUAUCUUCCCAGCUGCCAAUGGAAUUUUCUGGCAAACUGUUUAGCCAAUACCGUGCUGGCCCCUUAAGCUUGAGAGGCAGGUAUUUAAUGGCAUGAAGGUUGUCUCCGUGAGCCAAGUGGAUAUGGAGGAGGAAGUCCUCAAUCCGUACUGCGGGAUCUGUUGUUCCAUCGUAUGAUUCGAUGUUGAUGGGUUUAAACCCGUCUGGAAAUUCAUGCUCCAUUACCUCGUUGGUGAAGCAAAGAGGGUGUGCGGCUCCUCUAUGUUGGGCCACACUGUGAAGCACCUCCGGCAGACUCCGCUUACGGUUUUCGGACCGAGCGUGCUCGGGUCUGUUGCAUCCGAAUAGAUAACCGUUAUUACUGGCCGGGGCAUGUCUGCGCAGUCUGUGUGUCGAUUUUGUGUGUCUUGCUCUACCCUCCGGGUCUUGUUGGAUGUCGUGAGUGUUCCCCCGAGCUUCUUUAUUCUUGCUUGGAUGGCCGGAUGGGUUGGUAUGGUGCUCUGCUGGGGCUGUUGCUUUGCCCGGACCGAACUGUGGUCGGCCUACCGGCUUAUUCGAUGGUGGUGUGGGCUCCAAAGCCUUGCCAUCAUAUUGAGGGAGCCACCUACUGUUGUGGUGGCUUUUGUCUGGGACGCUAAGGCUGUAUUCUUCGGUGGCCAGGACCUCAGUCCAUCUAUCGUUGAGCAAAUCUUGGCUCACUUGAAGCUGCAGCUGCUUCCUCCUUAGGCUCCUUGCAGUGGCUAUGAGCCGGAUUUUAAAGCGCUCCUGUUCUAGUGGUUCCUCAGGCACGAUGAAUUCCUCGUUGCCGAGGCUCUCUUCUUCCUCGGAGAGUGGAAGAUAAUUACUAUCCUCCGAGUCUUCGUAUGUGGCCUGUUCAUUAGGGCUAUCCUGCCCGCUUUCCUGGUCUUCCUGUUCGGAUCCUGUCUCAACAGGGUCUUCGUUGUCCGGAGUAUUAUCACCUCCGGUGCUAGCAUUGUUUUCUCCUGAGUGACGUGACUUAAAGUGGCGCCGGUGUUCGGACUGUGUACCAGGAGGUCUAUCCUCAACUGGAUCCUCCUUGUCAUCGUCGAGAUCGUCGUUGGGUGUGUCUACCAUACACACGUCAUACCAGGAAGUGGUCGCCCCGUGUCUAGCGGAUCGUAAGCUUUGGCUUUCCCCCUCAUCGUCGUCCAGACCAUCGAUGUCUUCGGAGCACGGGUCAGGCGUGUUGGUUGGGUCUUCGACGGUAGCUAUGAAGUGGGUGGCGGGUGGGAAGAAAAAUUCUCCAUCAUCCGCUAUAAGGUCGAGUCGAACAUAGUUCGGCAAUGAGCCGUCUGCCAGGGAUAGGUUUUUUAGUGAGUUUAGUAGGUCGCCCAUGGGCGAGUGUUGGAAGAUAUCUGCGGCGCUGAACUUGAAGAUCGAUAGCCGACCGAGUUCGGUAUCCGCGGGCUCGCAGGGUCCGGAACUCGAUACCGGAGACGAGUCCGGGGUUCCGUUGAUGCAAGUAUCGUACGAAGUGGAAUCUGCAUGUGGCUCCAACGCCGCCGAAUUGGUAGCCCCCGUGAUGGGGUUGAGUUUCCCAUCUUCGGACGACUUGAUCUGCUCCGGAUCUAAGGCCAGAGUUGUUACAGGAGCUAUCUCCUGGAUGCGGCCCGAUGACAGGUUUAAGCCAUGUUCAUUUGGGCGGAGGGGAGCGGUUGCCGCGGUCUCGAAUCCGUCGAAGAUCAAGUCUCCACGGAUGUCCGCGACGUAGUUCAGGCUUCCGAAUGUGACCUGAUGGCCAGGAGCGUAGCUAUCAAUCUGCUCCAGAGUGGCCAAGCGAGUUGGCCCGCAGUACGAAGCCGCCGAAUACAAAGAUCUGUCCGGGGAGGAAGGUUUCUCCCUGGACCACGUCAUUACUGACAAUCAAAGGGGCCAUCAAGUCCUUUCGUCGACGGCACAGUGGAACUCUCAGUGAAAGCACCACUGUCAGUGUCAAAACCGGCGGAUCUUGGGUAGGGGGUCCCGAACUAUGCGUCUAGGAUUGAUGGUAACAGGAGACAGGGGACACGAUGUUUACCCAGGUUCGAGCCCUCUCUAUGGAGGUAAUACCCUACUUCCUGCUUGAUUGAUCUUGAUGAAUAUGAGUGUUACAAGAGUUGAUCUACCACGAGAUCGUAAUGGCUAAACCCUAGAAGUCUAGCCUAUGAGUAUAUGGUAAUGAAUCUGUCCUAUCUGGACUAUGCUCUUUCGAUUUAUAUAGACACCGAAGAGAUCUAGGGUUACAUGAUGUCGAUUACAUAGGAGGGAAUCUUCAUAAUCGGUCCCCUAGCUUGCCUUCCACACCAAGUAGAGUCCAAUCCGGACACGGGUAUAGUCUUCGGUCUUCGUGUCUUCACAGCCCAUCAGUCCGGCCCAUGGAUAACAAGCCGGACGCCCGAGGACCCCUUAGUCCAGGACUCCCUCAGCCGCCUCGGGGACCCCCCUGACUUGUUCUCGACGCCAUCCUCUCCUAUAAAUACAGAAACCUCCGGAAAAUAACCUAGAUCGGAAGUUCCGCCGCCGCAAGCCUCUGUAGCCACGAGAAAUCAAUCUAGGCCCUCUCUGGCACCCUGCUGGAGGGGGCCAUCAUCACCGUAGGCCAUGGAGGAGGAUCACGGAGGAGCCAUCAUCGCCAUGAAGGCCAAGGGCCAGAGGGAGAACCUCUCCCCAUCUAGGGGGGAGGCCAUGGAGGAGGAAGCACAAGGGGGAGAACCUCUCCUCCUCUCUCUCGGUGGCGCCGGAGUGCCAUCGGGAGGGGAAUCAUCGCCGCGGUGAUCGUCUUCAUCAACAUCACCAUCAUCAUCACCAUCCUCAUCUCUUUUACGCGGUCCACUCUCCCACACCCCGCUGUAAUCCCUACUUGAACAUGGUGCUUUAUGCCACAUAUUAUGAUCCAAUGAUGUGUUUCCAUCCUAUGAUGUUUUGAGUAGAUAUCCUUUGUCUUUGGGUUGAUUGAUGAUCUAGAUUGGUAUGAGUUGUAUAUUUUAUUUUGGUGUUGUCCUAUUGUGCCCUCCGUGUCGCGCAAGCGUGAGGGAUUCCCGCUGUAGGGUGUUGCAAUACGUUCAUGAUUCGCUUAUAGUGGGUUGCUUGAGUGACAGAAGCAUAAACCCGAGUAUGGGGGUUGUUGCGUAUGGGAUAAAGGGGACUUGAUAUGUUAAUGCUAUGGUUGGAUUUUACCUUAAUGAUCUUUAGUAGUUGCGGAUGCUUGCUAGAGUUCCAAUCAUAAGUGCAUAUGAUCCAAGAAGAGAAAGUAUGUUAGCUUAUGCCUCUCCCUCAUAUGAAAUUGCAAUGACGACUACUGGUCUUGUUAACGAUUGCCUAGGAUAAUUCCGCACACCGAUCCAUCAUUAUUCCACACUCGCUAUUUAUAAUAUUUAGUAAUAUAUUAUAAAUUUAUGAUAACAGCAUCUACUUUUAUAUUUUAGCUCUCCGAUACCAUGCAAAGUUAUCCUCUUCAUACCCACAACGUAGUUUUAUUUCUCAUUUCUAGUUGGAAGCAAACGUUCGGUGUACGUAGAGUCGUAUCGGUGGCAGAUAGGACUUGAGAGAAAAUUGAUCUUACCUUUAGCUCCUUGUGGGUUUGACACUCCAUACUUAUCACUUCCACCUUUGGGAAUUGCUACGAUGAUUCCCUGCACUUGGGGAUUAUCAAGCUCUUUUCUGGCGCCGUUGCCGGGGAACAAUAGCGUGGGGUUGAUAUUUUCGUGUAUGCUUGUUUGCUUUCUUCACUAAGUAGAUUUUGUUUUUCCUUUUUGUUUCUGUUUAGUUGUGGGUGAAACAUACAAAAAAAUUAAAAGAAUGAAAAUACAAAAAAAAUCACUUGCCUCUCAUGCCUAAAAAGUUUUUCAAUAAGAGAAGUGAUUCGAAGGUUAUGCAUUGGAGAAGUGAGGGUCGACCUUGAACACUUGUGUUCAUGCUCAUGGAAACAAUGUAAAAAAAUUCAUGGAAGCUUCUAAUAAUCAUUCCCUUGUAUAUAUCCAUUGUAUUAUAAAAAUAAUGUGUCAAGCUUCGGUUUUAGGAUGAUUAGAUUGCUUGUUUACUAUGUGCAGUACAGAAACAGAAACUUUGGCUGUAGUGCGUGAAUUUAUAUUUUUUAAUGGAAAGUCAAAUGGGGCUGGAAAUUUUUGCACAUUACUUCUGUAAUUUGUUUUUAAAUUUUCAUAUGUUUUUAUUAUUUUUUGGAGUUACAGAAAUUUACUAAACUUCCAGAUUACUACAGACUGUCCUGUUUUUGACAGAUUCUGUUUUCUAUGUGUUGAUCGCUUAUUUUGAUGAAUCUAUGGGUAGUAUCGGGGGGUAUGAACCAUGGUGAAGUUGGAAUAUAGUAAAUAAAGUGCUAAUAUGAAAUUGGAAUGAGUUUGCAACAAUACCUAAAGGUAGUGAUUUAUUUUAGUAUACUAACGGAUCUCACAAAGUUUUUGUUAAGUUUUUGUGGAUGAAGUGUUCGAAGAACGAGGAGUUACUGAUGUGAGAAGAAUAAAGAGAGGCAAGAGUUCAAGCUUGGGGAUGCCCAAGGCACCCCAAGUAAAUAUUUCAAGGAUACUCAAGCAUCUAAGCUUGGGGAUGCCCCGGUUGGCAUCCCAUCUUUCUUCUUCAACAAUUAUCGGUAUACCUCGGUUUUUGUUUUGUUCACAUGAUUUGUGUCCUUUGUGUUUUUCUUUUUCUUUAAGAACCAUGCUAGUAUGAGAUGUCCCAUCAUCAAUUUAUAUAAUGAUUCAUGUGCUUCACUUAUAUCUUUUGAGUAUGACCUUAUAGAAUGCUCUUUGUGCUUCACUUAAAUCUUUUGAGUAUGGUUUUAUAGAUUGCUUCAUGUGCUUCACUUAUAUAUUUUGAGCUUGGAUAUUGGUUAGUCUAUAUUAAUUGUAGAAUGCUCCAUGAACUUCACUUAUAUCUUUUGGAGUAUGAAUAAUACUAUCAUCUAAAGCGGGUUUGGAAGAGUGUCACUUUAGGAAUUAGUGAUCCCACUAUUCUGAAUGAGAAGAAUUUUGCUUAUGUGGAGAGUAGAAAAAUUUCUAUGCUUGUAGAUCAUGAAAAUAAUGCUUUAUGUGAUGGUUAUAUUGUUGAAUUCAUUCAUGAUGCUACUGAAAGUUAUUAUGAGGGAGGAAUAUAUGCUUGUAGGAGUUGCAAUAAUAUCAAGUUUCCUCUCUAUGUGCUUAAAGUUUUGAAGUUAUACUUGUUUUGCCUUCCUAUGCUAGUUGAUUCUUGUUCCUAUAAAUUAUGUGUUCAUAAAAUCCCUAGGCAUAGGAAGUGGGCUAGAUUCAAAUGUGCUAUUCAUAUUCUUCAUGAUGCUCUCUUUAUGUUUCAAUUCUUUUCUUUUAUGUGAGCACCAUUGAAAUCAUCAUGCCUAGCUAAAAGGCAUUAAAGAAAAGCGCUUGUUGGGAGACAAUCCAAUAUUUACCCUUACAGUUUUUGUGUGUUUACAUGAUUAAGCUACUGUAGUAAUCAUGUUUUAUAGCUUUUGUUUCGAUAAAGUGCCAAGUAAGACCUUUGGGAAGACUUGGGUGAAAGUUAAUGUGAUCUUGCUGUAAAAAGCAGAAACUUUGCGCUCACGAGAUUAGCUACCAUUUUUUACAGAAGAGUGCUUUUGAGUUGAUUCUUUUUGCAGAAGAUUAAUAGACAAAUUACUCACGUCCACCAAUUUAUUUCAUAAUUUUUGGAGUAGCAGAAGUAUUUUUUCUGUUCAGAUCAUUACAGACUGUUCUGUUUCUGACAGAUUCUGUUUUCAUUACAUAGUUUGCUUGUUUUCUAGUUUCUAUGGUUUAUAUUUCUCGAUAUAAAUUGUAGAAAUGAUAUGGUACAGUAGGAAUUGUGUGAGAAGAAUUAUGAACCUUGUUUUUGACAGUACGAAAGUGAAUGGUUUACUCUUUAUCAUACUAACCUAUCUCACGAAGUUCCGUUAAGCUUUAUGUGAUUGAAGUUUUCAAGCUUUGGGUGAGAUAUCGAUAUGAGGAGAAUAAGGAGUGGAAAGACCCUAAGCUUGGGGAUGCCCAAGGCACCCCAAGGUAAUAUUCAAGGAAGACUCAAGCGCCUAAGCUUGGGGAUGCCCCGGAAGGCAUCCCCUCUUUCGUCUUCAAAACUAUCGGUAUACCUUACUCGGAGCUAUAUUUUUAUUCGUCCCAUGAUAUGUGUUUUGCUUGGAGCGUACUUUCAAUUUUACUUGUUGUUUGAAUAAAAUCAUUGGAUCUGAAAUCUUGAAUGAAAAAGAAUCCUCCCAUGGCUAGUUAAUUAUUUGACUACUCAGUGUCCUUCACUUAUAUCUUUUGGAGUAGUUUGUCAUUUACUCACGUGCUUCACGUACAUCCUAUGAGUAAAUAGUUGAAUAAAUUGAAUAUCAUAAAUCUGAAUUUAUAUAUGUUUCAUAUGCUUAUAACACGGGGAGUAAUGACUUCACACAUAAUAAGUAUAGGUAGUAAACUUAUUGAAAGUUAGCAAACGCAGAAUUGGUCACUUGAACAAUUCAUGAAAGAAUAUUGAAGGAAGAGAGAUUUCACAUAUAAAUAUACUAUCUUGGACAUCUUUUGUAAUUGCGAGCACUCAUUAAAAUAUUAUAUGCUAAAAAGUUGAUGUUGGACAAGGAAGACAACCUAAUGGGUUAUGUUUUCCCAUAUCCGAAACGUUAUAUUGUCUUGGAUCAUCGAACAUGUUGAGCCUGCCUUUCCCUCUCAUGCUAGCCACAUUCUUUGCACCAAGUAGAAAUACUACUUGUGCUUCCAAACAUCCCUUAAACCAGUUUUGCCAUGAGAGUCCACCAUAUCUACCUAUGGAUUGAGUAAGAUCCUUCAAGUAAGUUGUCAUCGGUCCAUGCAAUAAAAAGUGCUCUCUAAAUAUGUAUAAUCUAUUAGUGCGAAGAAAAUAAGCUUUAUAUGAACUUGUGAUAGGGAAGAAAUAAAAGCGACGGACUGCAUAAUAAAGGUCUUUUUCACAAGAGGCAAUAUAAAGUGACGUUCUUUUGCAUUAAGAUUUUGUGCAUCCAACCAUAAAAGCGCAUGUCAACCUCUGCUUCCCUCUGCGAAGGGCCUAUCUUUUACUUUUAUCUCCUACCCUUAUACAAGAGUCAUGGUGAUCACCACCUUUCCUUUUUACACUUUUUCCUUUGGCAAGCACUUUGUGUUGGAGCGAUCCGGAUAUAUGUAUCCACUUGGAUGUAGGUUUUCAUGAGUUAUUAUUGUUUACAUUACGCUUGAGGUAAAAGGUUGGGAGGCGAAACUAUAAGCCCCUAUCUUUCUAUAUACCGAUUAAAACUUUGAACCCAUAAAUAUCACAUGAGUGUUAGAAAUUGUGAAAGAUUAAAUGAUAGUUGAGUAUGUGGAGUUUGCUAAAUCAAAGCUCUGACAUAGACCCUUCCUGAAAAUAAGAUGAAUUGCAAUUGUUUGAUGACUGAGAAUAUAGUUUGUUAGUUUCAAGAAACUUUAUGAUCUAUACUUUAACAUGUGAAUAGAUUGUUACUUGAUCAUGAAAAGUUUUAUGAGAUGAGCUACUGUUAUGACAUAUAAUGAUGCUAGAAAAGGUGAUUGAAAUUAUCAUUGAUCAAUCUUGUGCACUUGCUAGCAUUCACACUUCAUAAAUUAUUUCUGUUAUCAUUUACCUACUCGAGGACGAGCAGGAAUUAAGCUGCGGGAGGCUGAUACGCCUCCAACAUAUCUAUAAUUUAUGAAGUAUUCAUGCCAUGUUUACAAUAGUUUUAUAUGAUUUUGGUAUGAUUUGAUUAGAACUAACCCGGACUGGCGCUGUUUUCGGCAGAACUACCGUGGUGUUGUUUUUGUGCAGAAAUAAAAGUUCUCGGAAUGCGAUGAAAAUCAACGGAGAAUUUUUCUGGAAAAUAUAAAAAAUACUGGAACAAAAAUCUACCGGAGGGGAGUCCCGUGGGCCCCAUGAGGGUGGGGGCGCGGCCACCCCACAGGGGCGCGCCCCCCUAUCUCGUGGCCGCCUCGGGGACCCCCUGAAUUGUUCUCGACGCCAUCCUCUCCUAUAAAUACAGAAACCUCCAGAAAAUAACCUAGAUCGGAAGUUCCGCCGCCGCAAGCCUCUGUAGCCACGAGAAAUCAAUCUAGGCCCUCUCUGGCACCCUGCCGGAGGGGCCCAUCAUCACCGGAGGCCAUGGAGGAGGAUCUCGGAGGGGCCAUCAUCGCCAUGAAGGGCAAGGGCCAGAGGGAGAGCCUCUCCCCAUCUAGGGGGAGGCCAUGGAGGAGGAAGCACAAGGGGAGAACCUCUCCUCCUCUCUCUCGGUGGCGCCGGAGUGCCAUCGGGAGGGGAAUCAUCGCCGCGGUGAUCGUCUUCAUGAACAUCACCAUCAUCAUCACCAUCCUCAUCUCUUUUACGCGGUCCACUCUCCCGCACCUCGCUGUAAUCCCUACUUGAACAUGGUGCUUUAUGCCACAUAUUAUGAUCCAAUGAUGUGUUGCCAUCCUAUGAUGUUUUGAGUAGAUAUCCUUUGUCUUUGGGUUGAUUGAUGAUCUAGAUUGGUAUGAGUUGUGUGUUUUAUUUUGGUCUUGUCCUAUUGUGCCCUCUGUGUCGCGCAAGCGUGAGGGAUUCCCGCUGUAGGGUGUUGCAAUACGUUCAUGAUUCGCUUAUAGUGGGUUUCUUGAGUGACAGAAGCAUAAACCCGAGUAAGGGGGUUGUUGCGUAUGGUAUAAAGGGGACUUGAUAUGUUAAUGCUAUGGUUGGGUUUUACCUUAAUGAUCUUUAGUAGUUGCGGAUGCUUGCUAGAGUUCCAAUCAUAAGUGCAUAUGAUCCAAAAAGAGAAAGUAUGUUAGCUUAUGCCUCUCCCUCAUAUGAAAUUGCAAUGACGACUACCGGUCUUGUUAACGAUUGCCUAGGAUAAUUCCACACACCGAUCCAUCAUUAUUCCACACUCGCUAUUUAUAAUAUUUAGUAAUAUAUUCUAAAUUUAUGAUAACAACACCUACUUUUAUAUUUUAGCUCUCCGAUACCAUGCAAAGUUAUCCUCUUCAUACCCACAACGUAGUUUUAUUUCUCAUUUCUAGUUGGAAGCAAACGUUCGGUGUACGUAGAGUCGUAUCAGUGGCAGAUAGGACCUGAGUGAAUAUUGAUCUUACCUUUAGCUCCUUGUGGGUUCGACACUCCAUACUUAUCACUUCCACCUUUGGGAAUUGCUACGAUGAUUCCCUACACUUGGGGAUUAUCAUGGUGCAUAUUAUCUUAUGAGCCUACUCCAAUAGAGGACGGUUGUCGACCAUCUUGUAAUCGUGGAACUGCUCUAUAACAUACAUCUCGCUCCCAGCAAGCAUCGGUGGCCCCGAAUUUAGAUUCGAGCGCCUCCCACAAGUCCUUGGCAACAUGCACAUGUAAAUAUGCGUCGAUCAACUUACCUCUGAUCAUGCUAAGAACCGCUCUAAGAAAUACGACGGCAGCUUCCUUGAACGCCUUCUCCUGUUCAAGAGCAAUCGUUCUCGUGGAAUGGACACCGGGGACCCAUAACACGUUCAUAGCCGUGAGCCAUAAGGUGGUCUUUGUCUGCCGACGCUUAAAAUAUGUACCGGUAAAGUUGUCCGGUUUCAGUGCUGCGGCAAAGCCACUUGCUGAAAAAUUCCUACACAUCUUAGGUUUUUGUAUUGGUGAGUAAAUAGGCAAUUUUUCGACUAAUUUAAUCCAUAAAUAAAUCACUAGCAUGGCAUUGACAGAAUUAACGACAUACUGAUUCUGAUCUAGACAAGUAGCUCGGCUCAUUCCCGUGGCGUGGCGGGCGGCGGCAGAGGAGGAGUGCGCGAGGGCCUCUGCUCUUCUCAAGAUCCAAUAGCAUGCGGAAGAGAAACCCUUAUAAGGAGGUCCAACUCCUCUCCAAUUUCCGGGGUGGAACUAAACCUUCCACUACACCUAGUGCCAAUUAAACCCACAUAGGCCCUUAGAGAUUUCCAGAAAUUGUUAGAUGGGCCUUAGGUCCACCCUAAUAUUUCAAUAGAUGCACACAACCAUAGCCACAUGAAUUUGAUGUCUUAUAUCACCGGCGACACAAUUGUCACUAAGGGAAAAUAAUUAAAUGAUUGUUGGAAUUUAGUCACUACAAGUGCAUCAUAAGUGAUAACAUGAUUGGUUCCGGUGCGUCAAAUAUAUUUGAAGGUCGAGAGUGUGGUUUGCCAUUGUCAACACUCAUACGUAUAUAUGGUACAUAUGAACAAUUUUAAGAUAUGGCCUUCGCCUCCUUGCAAAAAUAUAUAUUCAUAGGAAAAUGAUUCCCUUCAACCGAACGACCGCCACCUCGGUGUCCAUUGGAUGGGCUAUUAAUCAUACAGUCAGGAGUCAACCCCUCUUUGCCAACGUUUUGCAACUCGUCCAUUGUUUCAUAUGGCCCUUGUUGUAAACCGACCAAGGGUUAGAUCUUGCAGCGGCUGGGACUACGGAGGGUGUCGGCGGCUGGGACUAGGGAGGGCAGCGGUGUAGGCCUACGAGGCAACCCCGGCAGAUCUGCCGCGGCGGCAACGAUGGUGGGAUUUCCGCCGGUGGUGGCCGGCCUCUAUACGGAUUGGGAGAUCUCUUUCUCUCUGCUCCUGUAGCUGGCAUAAGUGGUAGGCGGUGGCGGUCACCGGCAGUGGUGGUGGUGGUGGUCUCCCCGGCGUGCUUCUGAAACAGCGGGAGCGGCGGUGCUAUUGCUCUGCUGAGGUUAGCGACGACGCGCUCGACGCAGGCAACAACGCCGACGUUUCUGCACAUUUUUAGUUUCCAAUUUUUCUGCAACAUUACAUAUGUUGCAAAAGUUCUCCCAUCACAUCACCAUUGGUGCAAAAAAAGUGAAGACAGGGAAAAAAAUCUGCAACCCAACCUAUGUUGCAAAAAAAAAUUCCCGCGACAUAACCUAUGUUGGAAAAAAACUGCAAUAUAACCUCCAUUGUAAACGUUUCCGCUACAAGACCUCUGUUGCAAAGUAAAGUAAGACAUUCGGCCUCUUGAUUGUGUCAGAUCCCACGGCUCAGGAGGCGGUGGAUCUUUCUAAAAGGUCCAUCGGCCGAUGCGCUGCAGCCCCCUUCUUUCUUUCAGUCAACGUGGUUGUUGCUUGCUGCUCACUAUCCACUAUGAUGAGUUCCCGCGGCAAGGUCUCUGUUGCAAAAACUGCAACAAGAACUCUGUUGCAGAAAAAUUAAAUUUGCAGUGAGACCUCCAUUGCAAAAAAAUUAAAUUGAACAAAACCUAUGUUACAAAAAUAACUGAAACAAGGCCUCUGGUGCAAAAGAAAUAUCUUGCAAAAAUUUAUGUAACAUGGCCCGUGUUGCAGAAAUUUGCUGCAACACGACCUAUGUUGCAAUGAUAAAAAGUGACGCUCGAUCGCUCAAUUCCUCAUAUCCAAUGGCUCAUGAGGCAGUGGAUCUCUUAAAAAGAUCCACCGGCCGACGCGUAGCAGCGCCCAAGAAAGAAAGAAAAGGACCGCUCCAUCAGAACACGCGUCGUACGUACAAGCCGGCAGAUGGUCCCUUGCAAUCCGACGGUAGAAGCCAAGUGUUUCCCUUAUUUUUGUAUACCGUUGUUUAGGAAUCUUUAUUUUCAUACUUAAGAAGCCUGUAUUGGGCACUGGGCUUUCUUUUUUCGUACGUAACCAGCCCGUAUUGGGCACUGGGCUUUCCUUUUUUGGGUACAUAACCAGCCUGUACUAGGCUUUUCUUACUUUUUUAGAGAACUACUGGGCUUUCCUAGAGACCGCGAAAAAAGAGUGCGCUUUUUUACACAUCGUGAAAAAUAAGUCACCAGUGGGGAUCAAACUUAGGACCUUUCGAGUCUCUCAGCGAUAACAACCAACUGAACUACAAAUUUUGUUGUCGAUUAGUCCCACCUCCAAUUUUUGAACCGGCUCGCACCGAGUUUUUCUUUGACGGGAACCGACUCGCACCGGUUAAUAUACCAGUCCCCCCAGGAAUCAAUAAAUAGAUGGAUUUUUUUGUAGAAUAAAUAGAUGGAUUUUCGAAUUAAAUAAUGGAUUGUGGGCUUGAAAGAAGGAUUGUGGUAAAAGAUGGGAUAUUUAAAGGAAAGAUUAUGGGCUCAUAUACGGAUGUGGCUGAUUUAAAGGAAAGAUUCUGUCUUAAACACAUGACACAUGUGACAAGGCUGCUCGUAAUGAGAGUAUAUCACGCAUGUCAAGUACCAAUGAUCCUAACAAUGGUUGCCCAUAGAGAUGAAAACACACCUGAGUGGAUAGUUGGGAUAUCGCUCCUCCGCAAGGGCUUCCCCUCCCAUCCCCUCCCUUGCGCCGCGGGCCGCUCUUGCCGCGGCGGCCACCAGAUCCGGCCAUUAUGGCCGCCAGCUCCUCCGCCACCCACCCCGCCCCCCUGGCCGGUGCCCCCUGAUGCCCGCUGGCCGCUCGCCGUCCUCCUCCCCGCGGUCUGCCGCCUCGACGACCGCUGCGUCAGAUCCAGCCUCAACACCGUGAAUCUUGCAACGCGGCGGCCUCUCUAAGGCGGGUGCGUCGCUAGAACCACCGGAUCCUUGCCUCUCUCCUUGUGGGGGCCGGCCCGGCUUAAAUCCCUGGUUGUCUGCCCCCCUCCUCCCCAGACCCGAUUUCCUCUUCGGGCUAGGCCGGAGUGACGGGCGACGGAUGGACGGAGGUCCGCUCCCGGAAGAAGGGGAGGGCCGGCUCCGGCUCGACGGAUCGAAGGGGGCGCUCUCCGCUCCUGCAUUCGGACCACCGCAGUUCAUUCAAUGUUGGCGCGGGGCGGGACGCCUUCUUAAGACAAUUCAAAGGAAAAUGCUUCCGCUGCCUCAGUAAGCUUCACCGCCGCAAAGACUGCCGUGAUCCCCUCCGCUGCAUCAUCUGCAAGCGAGCUGGGCAUUACGGCAAGGAGUGCCUGCAGAAUCCAUGAAACGGGGGUCCAGGAGGGGCCGCCCGUGACCGUCUGAAGCCGCCCGCUGCCGCGCGCCCCGGUCUGGGAUCGCCUCGUCUUCCCGGCUGCGCCACCCCCUGUCCCCAUGGAUUGCCUCCGCCUCUGCGACCCGGCCAGGCGGCCGCGAGAGAGACACAAGGUGAUCGUGGCCACCCCGGUGUUGGAGAUCGAGGAGCACCUCCCACGUCAGCACGCUGUCACCCUCACCGCAGCCUACCGCUCGCACUCCACCACCCCGGCGGCUGUUGGCAGGGUGAUCUUCGAGCAGCUCUCCACCAGCCCGCACCAGCUACGCGUCACCGCCCACCAGCCUGAAGCUUUCCUCGUCCAUUUCGACCUCCCCGCUCACCGGGACAACGCCGUGCGACGUGGCGUCAUCAAGGUCGAAGGCUGCAAGUACUUCAUCUGGGCGUGGAACACGGACGACCACGCCGCGAUCCUCAAGUUCAGUCACCAUGUGCGUGUGGUGAUCGAAGACCUGCCCAUGCAGUUCUGGUCUCUAUCGGGUGCCGAGGAGGCCCUCGGAGACAUCGGCCGCGUCGACCGGCUGGACUCGCGCACCUUGGAGAGGGGCCACACCAAGACUUCCGCGUGCUGGCUCUGGGUUUGGGAUGUUGCCCACAUCCCGACCAGGCGCGCUCUCUGAGUGAUGAAGGGGGGCGCCGGCAGCGUUGACGAGAUCAUCGGCAUCACCCCUGAAGACCGCCACAUCCCUCCGCCACCUGGUGCCCGCCGCUACGACCUACUGAUCCACAUCGACCUGCUCGAAGACUGGAACCCCCUCUCACCGCGCUCCUCCCACUCGGGGCAGAGCGGGCUGCCCUCCUCGGAAGAGAGCGACGACCGCCCCCUUUCGUGCAUCGAGCCGGACACUUGGGUCGCCCACAUGGAAGAUGGGCAGAGCAGGGCCCGCGGUGCCGCGCCGCGCGUUGGGCCGGCGGGCUGCAGCCCGAUCCUGGGCAGCGCAGGCCGUGACCGUGAAGACGAUGGUGGGAGUGGCGGCUCAAGCCGGUCCUGGAUGGACCAUCUGCUCGGCCACAGCUAUCAUGCCAGGAGCAGCGGCGCGGACGUCGUCAGCGAUGCGCAUCGUCAGCGCAGCCGCACUCCGGUGGGUCGGCGCCGCUCUUUCGGCCAUCGGGGCCGCCAUGAUGAAGGAAAGAGCUCCAGUGCCCCGGCUCUGCGCGCCACCCCGCCUCUUCCCCUCUGCCCGGUGCAGGCCGAGCCGGUGGAGGCGGACCCGGUGGCCCAGUUCUUCUCCUUCUCCGACUCGGGGCGUGCCCUAUCGCCGGCCCCGCGAACGGACUGCAUGCAGCUGGAAAUGGAAAACGCCAUGAUUGAAGCCCUGCACACCCCCUCGCUUUUGAAGACAGUGGCCGCUCCCCCCCCCCGCCAAUGCGACGAGCCAGUCAAGCUUGAGAGCCCGGAGAUGCUGCCGUGCCUGCUGCCCUGCAUAAGCUCCCCUACAGCAGCCACAGUGGGUUUCCAGCUGGAGGCGGUGACUCAGCAGGUGAGCGAAAUGCAGAUCGAGAGCCGCAACGAGCAGGCGGCUCAGCUGUUCGCAGCAGUGCCCCCUCCGGUCCUCCCAAGCCAGCCGCCUCGUCCUCGCCACUCUGCUCCUCCCAAGUCCAGGGCCACCUCCGCCCCCUCUCAUCGCAGCGCUCACCAGGCAGCGGCGGGCAUCACCACCCCAGUGGCACAGAGAGCAGUGCUGCGCCUCGUUCAAGAGCUUGGAGAGCUUGGCCCAAAGGACAAGAUGACGCCGAAGGCGGUAGCGCAUAUCACGAAGCGUUUCCAGGAGCCGCUGUCUGAAGGCGACAUCGCUGCCAUAGCAAAGCUCACAGGCCUCGACCAUGACGCCCUCAAGAUCGCGGCGGGCAUGGCCGGGCUCGCUGAAGCAGAGGAGAUCAUGCAAGUUUAGUUAUGUUAGCAGUUUCAGACGUAGUUAGGCUCCGCCAGCGGCUGGUCUUCCACCGGCUCGAGUUAGGAUCUGUGUUCAUGUUUAGUUCUCUCCUGCAGCGGUUAGCUUUGCGACGACGGGGUUUUGGGCCUACUGGUGGCCGCCGUCGCCCCCGGAUGUAUGUGCUGGUGUAUCGUUUCUUCUCUAGUAGUUUCUUCAGUUGGUGGAGCAACACCUGUUUCUUAGAUGGAUGACAGCGCCCUGAACUUCAUGUCCUGGAAUGUUAGGGGAUUAAACUGCCCGGCAAAGCGUACUGCGAUCAACGACGUUGCCUCCGCGCAUAGAUUAGCUGUGCUUUAUUUGAAGGAAACCAAGAUAGAGGUGUGGUCGACGGCGAUAGCCACGGAGAUCGGUGGCUCUACGAUGCAGGGCUGCGUGGUUCUGCCAGCAAUAGGAACUAGGGGAGGUGCAGCGAUCUUUUGGGACAAAACAGUAGUUGACAUUGUUUCUCAUCGCAUAGGUAGUUUCUCCAUAACCGCUAGGGCUCUUGAGCUACAAUCGGGACUACACUUCUGGAUCACCACGGUCUAUGGACCGACUGACGACGCCCAAAAAGACAGUUUUUUAGCUGAAAUUGCUGCAGCAGCUCCUCCAGUGUCUGAACCUUGGAUGAUCAACGGUGAUUUUAACAUGAUCUAUCAGGCCGCAGACAAGAGUAAUGCAAAUAUCAACAGAAGGAUGAUCGGCAAGUUUUGCAGGGCCAUUGAUCUGGCGGGGCUGAAAGAAAUUAAGUGCAAAAACCGCCGCUUCACGUGGAGCAACGAAAGAGAAAAUCCAACUCUCUGCAGCAUCGACAAAGUUUGGGAAGAGCUGCACCCUGAUCACAUCCUAGUGGCUGCUUCAACCUCUUUCUCCGAUCACUGCCCGCUCUACCUGACAGCCGCAAGCAAGCCCUGCCGAAAGGCGCGCUUCCGAUUUGAAAAUUUCUGGCCACAGUUCCCCCACUUCACUGAAACUGUUCUCCGAGCGUGGCAAAGGCCAGUGCCUCACGACUGCCCUUUUCUCAGAAUCAAGAAAAAGCUUGAGCGCACGGCAGCUGAUUUGAAGAUCUGGAGCAAGGCCACAUUUGGAAAGGCAAAGAUGCAACUCCACAUUGCAAAUGAAGUCAUACGUUUACUCGACCUGGCCCAGGAAAACAGAAGACUUUCGACAGCAGAACUCAACCUCAGAAAGCAGCUAAAGCUCAAGGUUUUAGGUUUGGCAGCCAUUGAGAGAGCCUGGAGGAAACAAGCGUCCAGGAUCACCUGGUUGCAUGCUGGAGAUGCGAGCACCAAGUUCUUCCACGCAAGAAUGAAAGCAAGAAGCAGAAAAAACCACAUCCACUCCCUCACAAGCAGCAACACUAAGGUUUAUGAUCAUGCAGGAAAAGAAAAGAUCAUCCAUGAUCACUUCACAAGAUGUUUGGGCAAGCAGGAAGCCCGUCAAACAACUCUAAACUGGGACAGACUCAACAUCCCGAUGAGCAACCCGCAGGGUUUCACUACAAAAAAGACACAUCCGUGACAUUUUGGGCCGAACGGAAAAAAAUUCUGUCAUACAUAUGACACUUCUAUGACGAUAAUUGUGACAAAACCCGGUAUCAUCAUAGAUGUGGUGGGUUCGUACUUCUAUGACAAAAAAUCAUGACAGAAAAUGGGCUUUUCGUCCUGGGCGGGCCGGAGACGCAGCUGCAUGACAUUCUUUGGGCCGUCCAUGACGGAAAAAACCGUGGUAGAAGCGAGGGCGAGGAAAAUUUCGGGGAGUUCCCGGUUACGGUGGGAGGUCAGGGGCCGAGCGAUGCGCAUUUCUCUCGUACAUGUAUGCACGUGUGUGCGAGGCGUUGGCUCUAACUGAACCCGAGCGAGGCGUUGGGCUCUAACUGAACCCGAGCGAUUGCACUGCAGGCUACGCGUUACUGAACCCGAGCGAUCGAUCGAUGGCUGUUAACUGAACCCAAUCGAGCGAUUCCUUCGCUACUGCUGCUAACUGAAGCCGAUCGAUGCUGCCUCUGGAUGAACAGUGAGCAUUGCUGGGGGGGGGUUUGGAUGAACAGUUCCUGGUGGGGGUGGAUGAACAGGACCCCGUGGUGUUGCCUCUGGAUGAAUAGGACCCCGAUCGAUCGAGCCGGUUGGGGCUGGAUGAACAGGACCCCGUGGAGGGCAGGAUGAACAGGACCACCCCGUGGAGGGCAGGAUGAACAGGACCACCCCGUGGAGGGCUGGAUGAACAGUAACCCGUGGAGGGGUGGUUGAACAGGAGCCCGUGGAGAGGGCUGGUUGAACAGUAGCCGGUGGAGUAGCGCGUGGUGGAGGCUGGAUGAACAGGAGCCCGUGGAUGAACAGUCGCAGGUGGAGGCUGGAGGAGGUCGACGGUGGAUGAACAGUAGCCCGUGGAGGCGGGAGGGGGUCGAAGGUGGAGAUGAACAGUGUCCCGUGGAGUCCCGUUUUGCGGUACGCCACACCCUCCCGAUGAACAAGACCCCCGUUUCGACCGUAGCGCUCCAACACAAGUCUGUUUCGUCCGUUUUGCGAUACGCCACACCCCUCCCGAUCAACAGGACCCCUGUUUCGACCGUAGGAGUUCCGUUUCCUCCAUUUUGCGGUAUGCCAGACCCCUCCCGAUGAACAGGAUCCCGUUUCAAACGUGGCCGGUCGAACACAAGGCCGUUUCCUCCGUUCUGCGGUACACCAGGCCUUGUUUCCAUCGGCUGUUCCGUCCAAGCCCUCCCGAUGAACACGACGACGCAUUCUGUUCCAACCCAGCCGGUUGGCUCCCCAUGAACACGACGACGACGUUGUUUCUCCGUUUCGACCCAGCCAUGUACACGAGCCCUGGCCGUACGUAUGCGCAAGUAGGCGUUCGAGACCCUGCCCGUAUGUACGUACGUGGCCGUAUUUUCUUUCUUGCACACUGGCCGCUGUACAUACGUGUACAUGCUACGUGCGCGCCUCUACUACGACACGUGCGCGCCUCUACAUCGACCAGUAUGUACGUACACGUUCGCGACCAAAAUGACAAUGCUACGUACGCUUCGACCAGGUGGGUCCCGACUGUCAGGCACUUCCUUGCGUGCGAAGAUGUAGCUGGUGGGUCCCAGCAGUCAGGGGGAAACGUUUUUUCGCAAAAUACAGUGGCCCGUCCGGUGGGUCCCAGCUGUCAGGUGGAGGAAUCAUUAUUUUCCGCGUAAUAAGGAGGCACUUCCUUGCUGUGGCCGUGGACCCAGCUGUCGGCCUCUCCACGUACACUCCACGUCCGAUGGAAGUCGUUCCUUGAUCACGUUGACCACGCCACGCUGAGAGCACCAGGGCGGUGGACGACGGCGAGGCCUAGGAAGGGGACGACGAGGAGCCGGGGAAGACGCGGCAGUGGAAGCCCGCGCGGAGAGGAGUAUGAGGGUUCACUGUUUCGGCUGCGGUGUGAGGCUGCCGUCGCCGCAGGGCCUGGUCAGCGGUGGGAAUAGUAGGGGGCGGUGAGGCCUCUACGGCAGCACAGCCAGCCACGGGAGGCAGGAGCAUGCGGCACGACCGGCGCUGCUUUGGGCGGCUGGAGCAAGAAGACCAGAGGUUGAAGAAGCACUACGGCCGUUGGAUGGACAUCGUACGAUCACUGGAGCUAGAAUCGUUCAUAUUGACUAAAGUUGACAAAGGCCCCCGUCCCAGUCAACUUAGUAGGCCCACAAGUCAGCCUCCCACCAUGGUGGGUCCCAGCUAGCAGGGGGAAUAUUCAUUUUUUUGUGCGUAAUAAGGAGGCACUUCCUUGCAUGCGAAGAUAUAGCUGGUGGGUCUGAGCUGUUAGCGGCGGUAACGUUUUUUCGCGAAAUACAGAGGCCCUUUCGGUGGAUCCCUGAUGUCAAGUGGAGGAAUCAUUAUUUUGCGCAUAAUAAGGAGGCAUUUCCUCGCGUGCGGCCGUGGACCCAGCUGUCGGCCUCUCCACGUACAGUCCACUUCAGAUGCAUGUCGGUCGUUGACCACGUUGACCAGGCCACGCCGAGAGCACCAGGGCGGUGGACGACGAUGAGGCCUAGGAAGGGAACGACAUGGAGGCAGGGAAGACUCGGCAGUUGUUUCCCACGCGGAGGGGAGUACGCAUGUACGAGGGUUUACUGGUUCGUCUGCCGUCGCCGGAGAAUAACAGCAGGUGUGGGUGAGUAGAGGGAUGGCUAGGCUAGCGAUGGGAGUACGGUGGGGCGGUGAGGCAUGCGCGGCAGCAGAGCCGGCCGCGGGGAGGAGGGAGCAGGCAGUCCCGCCGGCGCUUGUUUGAGCGGCUGGAGCAGGAAGAGCAGAGAUUGAAGAAGCACGAUGGCCGUUGGAUGGCCAUCCAACAGUCACUGCUUGUGCGUCAACCUUUUUUUAGGAAAGCCUCAAAUCUGUGGAAAACAGCAUACAGCCCAUCUGCCAUUAUUUCUAAUAAUUUACAGCCCAUUUGCUAAUUAUUAAGGUUUUUUUGGAGCCCAUAUUCUUUUUGUUAGCAUUACAGCCCAUAUUGUGGCACGGUUAAAAAAUUAUACGAAAUUUUGCAUAUUUCGGUGCGGACGAACUGUUUUUAAUCCCGAAAUUUCGACUCACAUUCAAACUGAUUUUAAAAAUAAAUGUAUAUCAAUAUAAAAUCCAACAAAUUCUCCACGCAUAAAAAUUAAUGUAAUUGAAAUCUCGAAAUAAAAAAAAGAUAUUUGAAACUAAUUGCCGGUUUGAUGUGUUUUAAAAAUGUACAACCCAUUUCUCAUUACUGAUGGGCCAUUUUCUCAGCCAGCCGAACGAAAGCUCUCCUCGUCUUGAAAGAUAUGCAGCCCAACAAGCCUGACAAAGCGACUUACUUGGCAAAUCACAAAAAAACUGGGAUGUGGCCGUGGACCCAGCUAUCAGCCUCUCCACGUACAGUACUCUUUCGAUGGAAGUCGUUCCUUGACCACGUUGACCACGCCAUGCGGAGAGCACCACGACGGUGGACGACGGCGAGGCCUAGGAAUGGGACGACGCGGAGCCGGGGAAGACGCGGCAGUGGAAGCCCGCGCGGAGAGGAGUACGAGGGUUCACUGGUUCGGCUGCGGUGUGAGGCUGCCGUCGGCGCAGGGCCUGGCCAGCGGUGGGAAUAGUAGGGGCGGUGAGGUCUCUGCGGCAGCGCAGCCGGCCACGGGAGGCAGGAGCAUGCGGCACAACCGGCGCUGCUUUGGGCGGCUGGAGCAAGAAGACCAGAGGUUGAAGAAGCACUACGGCCGUUGGAUGGACAUCGUACGGUCACUGGAGCUAGAAUCGUUCAUAUUGACUAAAGUUGACAAAGGCCCCCGUCCCAGUCAACUUAGUAGGCCCACAAGUCAGCCUCCCACAAUGGUGGGUCCCAGCUAGCAGGGGGAGUAUUCAUUUUUUUGUGCAUAAUAAGGAGGCACUUCCAGUGGGUCCAAGCUGACAGCGGGGGGAACGUUUUUUCACGAAAUACGCUGGCCCGUCCGGUGGGUCCCAGCAGUCAGGGGGGAAACGUUUUUUUCGCGAAAUAAGGUGGCCCGUUCGGUGGGUCCCUGCUGUCAGGUGGAGGAAUAAUUAUUUUGCGCGUAAUAAGGAGGCACUUCCUUGCGGCCGCCUGACCCAGCUGUCAGCCUCUCCACGUAUAGUACUCUUCCGAUGGAAGUCGGUCGUUGACCACGUUGACCACGCCGCGCCGAGAGCACCAGGGCGAUGGUCUGGACGACGGCGAGGCCUAGGAAGGGGACGACGCGGAGCUGGGGAAGACGCGGCAGUGGAAGCCCGCGCGGAGAGGAGUACGAGGGUUCACUGGUUCGGCUGCGGUGUGAGGCUGCCGUCGCCGCAGAAUAACAGGGGGUGUGGGUGAGUAGAGGGAUGGCCUGGCCAGCGGUGGGAGUAGUACGGGGCGGUGAGGCCUCCGCGGCAUCACAGCCGGCCACGGGAGGCAGGAGCACGCGACACGACCGGCGCUGCUUUGGGCGGCUGGAGCAAGAAGACCAAAGGUUGAAGAAGCACUACGGCCAUUGGAUGGACAUCGUACGAUCACUGCAGCUAGAAUCGUUUAUAUUGACUAAGUUGACCAAGCCCUUGGUACGCGUCAACUUAGUAGGCCCACAGCUCGGAUUUGGCAGAGAACAUAUAGCCCAUUUGCGAUUUGUAAGAAUGUACAGCCCAUUUUUUAACUCUAAUGGAAUUUACUACAGCCCAUUUACAGUUUGUUAAAAGUACAGCCCAACUUCUAGCUAGGACAAUGAUUAAUAAUUUCAAACAACCGCUCAAAACAGAAUUCAAAAAAAUUCCCACAUUUUGAUGGGAUCCGAAAUAUUUUUAUCCGAAAUUUCUAGUCAGGUUAAAUAUAAUUUCAAAAUAAAGUUGUACUAUGUUAAAAUCCAACGAAAUAUUGCGCGCGCAACAAGUAAUGAAAUUAAAAUUUUCAAAUUCCAAAAAUAAUAUAUGUUUCAAACUAAUUACGUGUUUGGUGCAUAGUAAAUGUCCAGUUAUUAUAAUUACAUCCCAUUUAUUAUUUCUUAAAGUCCAUUUUCUUGUUAAGCCUAAUGCAUACCUCCUAGGAAAGUUUGCAGCCCAGCGGGGCGGAGAAUAACAAGUUGACCCCGAUAUUGUGUACAACUGUCGGCCCAGUUGCAUUGUUGAUGUUGAAAAAAAGGCCUGUGUAGUACAGUACAACCUAACAUGGUUACUCAGCCCACAUUCAGCGACGCCGGAAAGGCCCAAACAAGUCUUCUGUACAAAUUUUUGAAGUCACUAAGCUCAAUUAAUAACUUAAGAAAAAAGUUAGAUUACAGUGGAACCUAAUUAAAAGCUGUCACGAGCAAAUAAAUAAUUCAACGGGUCCCACUUGUGCGUGUGCGUGUGUGUGUGUGUGUGUGAGAGAGAGAGAGAGAGAUAGAGAGAGAGACCCAUUGUUCGAUGCUCGUAAUACAUCUUUCAGCCAUAUGCAUUGCUGAUGCUCAAUAAAAACUUAUAUAGUUGACACAAUCAUAUAGAACAUCAUAGCACACUGAACUUGCAUACAAAAAUUUCACGCAGGCGGCACAAUCAGGAUGGAAGCAGUGGAUCGCUACGGGAAGGGCUAUGUUGAAACCAACGAAGUUGUACAUAACGGUUCAUCGUCUUUAUCAAUGAUGGGGAAAUAUCUUGAAUGUUGUGCAAAGAAAACAGACAGACAACACAAUAAGUUCUGCUAGCACAUUAAGUUGACGUACAGCCCUUUCUAAAAAAGUUCAGGUACAAAAUUAGAACAGGUCACAAUCAAAUGUACUGGCAUAUCAGUGCUUCACACCCAUAGCUCGGAUUUAACUAGUAUCUGACAAGAUUCAGUUGUUACCUCAAAUUAGAGCACAUCCAAGCAGCCAGCCCAGCCUCUUCUCCCAAAGAAGCAGUGGCCUCCGCCGCGCGAUGGAGUAGGCCCUGUGCCAUCCAUCGUUCCAAGCAACACGGGGAAAGUCUGACGUUGACUCCUGUAAUGGACGUCGUCGAUGGACCCUGACACCAGCGGCCGCGGCAGGACUUCGAUUGAUGGAUUGACCACUUCUUCGACAUGCACGAACACUCGAUACAGGUACAUCCCUAACGUGGUCCGCGGCCUUCUUGGUGGUGACGAAUAGUACAACCCCGGUUCCUGCACCGGUAUCUCAACACCAAUCACCUUCGGUAUGGUGGACGGCUUCUUCAUCCAUGCCAUAACCGUCAGAGCCCAGCUGUCUGGAGGAACAAACAUACUUACGAGCUCACCUCCAAGGUCGUUGAUAAGCUCGUUCAUGGACUCGUUGUUCCAAGCACGUCGAGGCAUGUCGUGGAAGGUAAGCUUUGUUAAAAACUCAAGCUCAGAGGGCACCGAGCCCCAUCCUGGGUGCCACCGAUCAAAGCUCACCAGUGCGCCAUCGCAGAACAAACGCCGGGAAGAUUCGAACACACGACUGCAGUCGAAAGUUGUCCGGAACCUGACGAAGAAAUCAGCCGGUGGCGGACAGACUUCGACGAGCAUGUCACUUAUUUGGAUGUCGUGCGCAAUGCCAAGAGCUUUGACAAGGCCAUCCGGCAAGACGGGAGGCCGGUCGCCGUUGAUGGUUACCAUCAGCACUUUGCCGCCAACUGGUUGUCAAGCGCCGCCAUGCCACUGUUGAGCGACAGCAUGCAGCGACCGAAGGCAGGACGGACCUCAGGAUCUCCGGCUCGGAGAUCCGCGUUGACCGGCGACAUGAUAGUGCGCUUGAGUACAGGGAGUACAGGAGGGGGAUUUGGGGGAACUGGAGUAGGAAUCGAGAUUCCAGAGGUGGGGGAGGGGCGGGAGACUGGGGAUGAAAAGGUAGCAUGAAUUUCGAGCACCACUACAGGAAUCAGCUAUUUUGCCGUCUGCCACGGCGGACGGCAAAGGCCUUUGCCAGCCGCGGACGGCAAAAGGCUCCGGCAAAGUAGGCUACGGUAAACAACUACUUUGUCGUUUGCUUCCUCGCGGCUGACGGCAAAGGCCCUUUGCCGUCUGCCGCGGACGGCAAUAAUUGUGCUCUCAGUCCGUUAAGUGGCUAACGGCAGGCCUUUGCCAUCCGCUGGCAGACGGCAAACUUUCUACUGCCUUUGCUGUCUGCCAGCGGACGGCAAAGGCCAGUGUCGGGUCGGGGUUUUUUUCCUCUUUUUUCCUUUUCUUCUUCUUCCUAUUCUUCCUUUUUUCCUUCUUCUUCUUCUUCUUCCUCCUUUCCUUUUUCCUCUUCUUCUUCUCCUCCUCUCCUCUUUUUUCUUCUUCUUCUUCCUCUNNNNNNNNNNNNNNNNNNNNNNNNNNNNNNNNNNNNNNNNNNNNNNNNNNNNNNNNNNNNNNNNNNNNNNNNNNNNNNNNNNNNNNNNNNNNNNNNNNNNNNNNNNNNNNNNNNNNNNNNNNNNNNNNNNNNNNNNNNNNNNNNNNNNNNNNNNNNNNNNNNNNNNNNNNNNNNNNNNNNNNNNNNNNNNNNNNNNNNNNNNNNNNNNNNNNNNNNNNNNNNNNNNNNNNNNNNNNNNNNNNNNNNNNNNNNNNNNNNNNNNNNNNNNNNNNNNNNNNNNNNNNNNNNNNNNNNNNNNNNNNNNNNNNNNNNNNNNNNNNNNNNNNNNNNNNNNNNNNNNNNNNNNNNNNNNNNNNNNNNNNNNNNNNNNNNNNNNNNNNNNNNNNNNNNNNNNNNNNNNNNNNNNNNNNNNNNNNNNNNNNNNNNNNNNNNNNNNNNNNNNNNNNNNNNNNNNNNNNNNNNNNNNNNNNNGGGUACGGGCCGUUAGGUAGUGUCCUAUUUGCCGUCCGCCUCUCUUUGCCGUCCGCCCUUUUGCCUCUUUGUCAUCUGCUAGCAGACGGCAAAGAGGUGGGCCGUUAAGUUUUUUCCAAACGGGCGGGGGGUGGGGGCCACCUCUCUCUUUGCCGUUUGCCAGCGGACGGCAAAGAGCUCACAGAUGGCAAAGAGCUUCUUUGCCGUCUGCUGUUUCUUUGCCGUCUGCUUUUGGGUAGCUGAUGGCAAAGAGCUUCUUUGCCGUCAGCUAGCAGACGGCAAAGAGCUGGCAGAUGGCAAAUUAGCUGAUUCCAGUAGUGCACGCGCCAAUAUGCUCUCGGCGCGCAAGCGCACGAAAACACCGGUGGCGCCCACAUGUCGGCCUAAGAGUCCUUAUUCUUUCUUUUUUGGAGAGCCCGGCCUUUUUUUCAGGAUCUUUUGAGAGCCCGACCUGAGAGUCAUAAUUGACCUGUUUGGCAUUGUGUUACUACUCGGCCCAUAUUCAACAACACCUCACUGGCCCAAACAAGUGUACAUCAUCGAAAAGACACUGAGCUCAAAUUAUAUAACUUGAAAAAAGGAUAUAUACUCUGAACACUGGAGAAUGGUGAUGCCCUCAUUUAGCCGACCAGUAGUUCGAGACAAUAAACAGUUCGAAACAAUGAUAUAUACAACAUUCAAACACUGACUAGUGACUACUACUGACAUAAAUAGCAAGAUAUGAUAGUUCAUAAGAAGUCUUGCUACACCACCAAAACGCACCCAUCUGCAGCGCUCAGACUCUCGUGAUCCAGACAAGAAUGACAUUCUAAACAGAAGCAACUAUUACAUAGUAAGAGUGACAUAGACAAGGAUGACCAAAUGACAAGGAAUAUGCAUAACAAAAGAAAGAACUACCCAUCUAGAACCAGCAGCAAAGACAACAAAGUCAUUCGAAGAGAUGAUCCAACACCAUCAUAAUUUGUAGCCCCGCUUCAGCGACCAGUGAUCCGGAGACACCAGUACUCCACCCUUUCGAUGCAACAGCCCAAUUACCUAUCAACCUGAAGGCUUGAACCACAUCACUGCCUGUCGUAAUUGAGACAUCCAAGGAACAAAGUUAAUCCGGAUGCCUUUGUCAUUCUCACCUUCUUUUGGCUGCAGGCUAUAUCGUUGACAAUCAGGGGAGUUUGCUCCCGAACUCCUAGGGCUCGCCGUGUAGACACAGUUUUCCAUAGCAAACAGAGCCUCUCUGCCAUCAAGGUCCUUGCCAACGGUGAUCUCCUAGUUAAUUGGAUAAUUGAGUCCGAGAAACAGAGAGUGUGAACCAAGGCUGUUUACCCACCUCCAACUAAAAAAUCCUAAAGGCCCCAACAAGCUGGUAUCCUGCUCAUAGACGUAACAGCCACUGUCUGGAUACUCACGUAUUACACGGUGCUUGUAUACAGUGGGGUUUUUGCAAUAUGACUUUUCCGGCUCAUGUGUCCGAAUGAUCAUCAGUCUUUUGCCGUCGUCUGAUCGAGCGAGGAACCAGUUGUGCUUCCCUGUUUUUGGCAAAGGUGGUGUGAUUACAAAGGGCAGUAACUGUAGGGACACUGCAUCAUAUCAAAAAGGACAGGCAUUGUUAAUGUAAGAUCAGCAUUGUUCAGAGUAUCAGUAGGAUAAUGCAAGAAACAGCAUUGAUAUGUCCCUGUUGGAACUGGGAGGAAAAUACAGGGAAAUGUAUACUGGGUUUGAAAAUAUAGAAGUGCCAUGCAUGGUUAUACUCAUGUUAUCUCGCAAUCGAUUCUUCACAGGAAACUACCAUGUCAUGCAUGUUAUGUACUCCCUCCAUUCCCAAAUAUUUGUCUUUCUAGGCAUUUCAAAUAGACACAACAUACGGAUGUAUGUAGACAUAUUUUAGAGUGUAGAUUCACUCAUUUUGCUCCGUAUGUAGUCACUUGUUAAAAUCUCUAGAAAGACAAAUAUUUGGGAACGGAGGGAGUAAUCAUGUUCUGUCCUCAUAAACAAAUUCUUCAAGGUAACUAACAGACCAUGCAUUGUUAUAUACUCGUGUUCUGUGGGCAAAAAAUUUGUGAGGAUAUUAUUCUAGCCAUUGAUUGCUGAAGGGCGAAUAUAGGUAUGUACACAUGGUAAGCAUUGCAGGAUUUCACUACUUCCAAAUAUAGAGUUCUCCAUAUGCACAUUUACUUCCCUAAUGUAUGGUUAGAUGAAACCAACAGUGUGGUGCAUGUUUCUACAUCAUGAAAAUGAGGAAACUAACAUGGCCAUUGAUACACACUCAUAUUUAGUAGUAGUAUAUAGAUUACUGUAAAAUAAGGAUAAUAUCCAUAUAUUCCUAACCGUUUGAUUAUUCAGGGUACAAAUUGGCUGUAAUGACAUGGUCACAAUCGCAUGAAUUAGCUCAUUCCAAAUAUAGCUGAUUUACGGCGUCUCUAAUACAUUGCCAUAGUUCUACUCAAAUUCUGCUCAAACAGGGAUAUGCCAAUCAUCACAAAAAGUUCAAACAGUGUCAUGGCGUCAUCAUUAACAUGAGACGGAAACAACUUACACGCGCCGUCCCAGCAAUACGUGGUGCCAUCUGCUUUGUCGAUCGCGUAGAUGAUGCCAUUGUGUUCAAUAGCAUCACAGAAGUGUGUAUCAGCUUUGACGAUGAUCCACUGCGAGCCGAGUUGUCUCCAGCUAAAGAAGGCACCGGCAUAAAGAUAGGCGAGUCUGCGGUCGAACAAGGCAAUUAGCUUGAAGUCUGCGUAAUUCGCAUGUCGUGUGGGCACUUGGCAGAUUACAAUCUUCUGCAAAACAAGGUCCGUCCAACUGACGUAGUAAUCUAGAUGACUUGGACCGCGAUGGUAAUACUCUAUAUAAUCCAACGAAGGAAGGAUAAUCUCAUGGGAGGUCUAGAAGUUCCUGAGCACCAACUUUUUACCGUCUUCUCUGAAGGCAGCCAUCCAGUGGGAGUUCAUGCCGACCCAGUACAUACCUGCCAAGAAGUUUCGGGCGAUGGUGAUCGGAUCGAUGUCGAGGGAAAUGAUGUACGGCGACCCACUACAUACCUGCAAAGAAGUUUCGGCUAAUGGAGAUCGGAUUGAAGUCGAGGGGCAUCAUGCACGCCUCCGUAUCAUGGUGAGCCAAUCUCGCAAGACCAGAUAGCAGCAAGCAGGGUGUCAUGAAAAGCUUAGGCCUCGCUUCGACGAUGGCCGUGUGCAUGUCCCUCGAGCAUGCAGCCAGCCGCAGGGCGCUCAACAUAUCCAUACACGAACAACAGAGGUCGAGGAUGUCACUGGGGAGAUUGCCCCAAUCGCGGCUCAUAUGGAUGCUGCGCGGUUCGCGUUCGGCCAUGGUGGAGUUUGGAAGGGGGCUUGAUUUACGGGGGGAGAAGGAUGUUGGUGCUGGAGCGGCUAGCGAGGGAAUAGUGGUACUGGGUGUAGGAGAUAUGCCCUAGAGGCAAUAAUAAAUGAUAUUAUUUAUCUCCGAGUUCAUAAUUAUGUUUAUGUUCCAUGCUAUAACUGCAAUGAUUCUCGAGUCUGCAAUAUCCACGAGGCUCGGAGGAAGACUCAUAUGCACGUGUGGAAUAAUAAACGGUAAUACGUAUUCCUAGUCUGGCCUCUAAGACUAGCUCAAGUGUUGCAUGAUGGUUCUGUUUUCCUGAUCAUGGGCAUGUCUAUGCCAGCAAUUUUGAGGGCACAAUGUUAAGAGAACAUUUGUGUUGAAUCGACCCGGAUUGAUGUUAUGCUAUGAGAUACAUUUGUCACAAGUUAAUGGUUUAUAACACAGAGAUAUUUAAUGUUUGCAUAAUUCCUUAGACCAUGAGAGUAUCGAGUUUCUUCAUGCUUGCUUCAUGAACUUUGGGGUUUGUUAAACGUCAUCCGUAACUGGAUGGCUAUAACGGCGGCUUACGGGUUCAUGGGAAAGUAUGUUAAGUAACUUGAUAGCUCGAGAUUGGGAUUUGCUCCUCCGAUGAUGGAGAGAUAUACUCGGGCCCUCUCGGUGUUACGGUGUCCAUCAUCGUCUGGCCAGACACUUUGUGAUUUGAUCACGGGGAUGCCGGAACACGAAACGAGAAAAGAGAACAAAACCGGUAACGAGGUAACUAGCAUAGUGGACAAGUUGUUGAUCCACGGGAAUGCCAACAUGUCUCACCUCGGGUAUUUGUAACAUAUCGCGAAGCAACAGGAAUAGCACACGGCAACUGGAGGUUCACUCGAAUAUUUAUUCGUGUGGGUAUAGGGGUCAAUAUGGGUGUCCACGGCUCCGAUGUUGAUCAUUGAUCGGAAGGGGUUCCGGGUCAUGUCUAUACUUCACCGAACCUAUAGGGUCACACGCUUAAGGGUCAUCUAUCUGCUGAAUACUAGACAGGGAGUUUGAGAGAAAAUCACCGAAAAAGUUUCGGACAGCGGAAUCGUACCGCAGAGAGAGGUCAUCGGAUAAGUUUCGAUGAUACCGAAAAGUUGUUUCGGGAUACACCAUUAAGUAAAAUUGGUUUCGGCACAUGCCUGAUAAUUCUUGGAGGAUGCCAGAAUCAUUCUGGAAGCUUUUUGGAAUUUUCUGAGAUAAAAACCGGAAAUGUUCCGGAGCUGCCGGAGCCACUUCAGAUGCGUUUCGCAGAUGAAAAUCACUAAAACCGGAAUUCUUUCGGAAUGAAUUGAAAAUCAUUUUAGCGGGUACUGGAAAUGUUCUAAGCCCAGAUAAAUAUUUUCAGUUCGAACAGACGCUGAAAAAUGUCGUCGUGAAUAGUGAAAGUGCUUUUUGGGAUAUUUUUGGAGAGCCACCUUUUUGGACUUGGUCAAAGUUCUAGAAGGAAGUGGCUUACAAGGGAAGGAACCCCAUUUGGGGGGCCCAAGAGGGGUGGCCGGCCAUGGGUGGUGGAGCUCCUUGGAGCUCCACAUGGCAUCCCAUUUUGUCCUUAACACCCUCAUGUGUGACCUAAUGCAUGGGGGUUUUUGGUAAUUUGUGGAGGCACACUACCCCUUGGUUUUCCUAUAAAUAGAGGAGGUGAGGGCUGCCAUCUCUUCAUCCCUUGCUCUCAUACACAUGCCAUGCAUUAUCUGGCUAGGAGCCAUAUUUUGGGCCCCUCAUGGGGGUGUGGCCGGCCACAUGGAUGGAUAGGAGCCAUAUUUUGGGCCCCUCAUGGGGGUGUGGCCGGCCACAUGGGGUAUCCCCCCUUGGGGACCCUCUUGUUCAUUGGUUUCACUCCUAGGUCCUUGUGGAAGGACUUCAUUCAUGUGCAUUUUAUGUUUUUUUGUGAAACUACCCUACCCCCUUGGGAUUUCCUAUAAAUAGAGGUGGAGGGGCAGCCCUCCACACUCAUCCCUUGCUCUCAUACACAUGCCAUGCAUUAUCUGGCUUCUUCUCUCCCUCCCACGAAAAGAGUUUCGUAGAGCCGUAAGGCUGUCUGGGUUCCGGCAGGAACUAGUUCUGGACGGCGAAGCCCUGCCGGAUAGAUGACACCGUAUGUGUGGAACUCUGUAGAGAGAUCAUAGUUUCGGUCUUAGUUCGUGAGUGCCUCCCGAAGGGCUGUCCGUGUGACCGUCCGAGUUUCGAAGGUCCUCCCGAAGGGCUGUCCGAGUGACCGUUCGAGUUUCGAAGGUCCUCCCGAAGGGCUGUCCGCGACACCGUCCGGGGGGGUGUUCGACCGCCUCCCGGAGGGCUGUGUGAGGAGCAGAUGAGGGUAUACAUCCUCGCGGUUGGGAGGUUGUAAAUCCUAGCUGCGGGGAUCUGCAUCGCCGAUCGUCAUCGACUCUACUUCCCGCUGCGCUACGAGUCGGUAACGAAAAAGAUCAAACCAUGUAUGCAGUCUCCAUAGUGGUCCUGGGCUGGUGCGUAGGUCGAAAUUUUUUUGUUUUCUGUCGCGUUACCCUACAGUGGCAUCAAGAGCCGUGCUAUGCGUAGAUGCAGGUUUCGAUCUAGAAUACAUGGAGAUGUAUGGGUAUUGCAUAAUAUAAUUAGGUAGUAGAUGAGAUCUAUUGCUGAAAAUUAUUUAUGCGGGUGACAGAUGAAAUCUGUUACCCGACGUUCUUGUUGCUUCCCUAGAAUUUGCGUUUGCUCAAUCUCGAGACAGCAUGGUGGAAUUUGACAAAGUUCUGGCAAUCCAUGAUCCUGAUUGAUCAUGGAAGUGCUAACAGUUCUUUGGGUUCUGCCGUAGUCAAAAGUAAGAUGAAAUUCGCAGAUGAAAGGGCAUUGCAGAUAUGAUCUGCACGGGGGUCAUGCAUAUGACGAAGUUUAGUAUGGGGCUCGAGAUUUAAUUAUCUCGUGUUUCAUACACCCCGAGAUGUUAAUCUAGCAACUUGAAUAAUCAUACUUGAUGAUAAAACGUUGGUAGCUGCGGUUUAAGUCAAAACCUUAGAAGCCACGGAAAAUAAAAUUUUGCAUAAACCGAUUAGAGGCAUCUAACUUGGUUUUGCAGGAUAUGCAUGUGAUGUGGUAUAGCAAUGCUCAUAUUCAAUUUGAUUAUGUAUGAGAUGACUAUAUGAUGUAAUUAACAUGACCUGCGUGUCAUGAUUCGGCAUGAUGGCUGGAGCCAUAUGAUUGUCACUUUAAUGACCUGCGUGUCAACCUUAAGUAAUGCACUUAUUUUAUUAGCUAUAGAGAUAGCAAUAUUAUCUGGUGCAUCAACAGGGUGGUGGCAAUCUUCGUGAAGGUGAACACCGACGCGAAUGCCGAAGACGAAGAAAUGAAAUACUUCUCCGUCAGGAAGGGCUAUACCAUAUCAUGCUAUUAUGAAUUGCCUGAGAUGUUUAUCCCUUAUGAUGCACCCUUCUUGAUUGCGCGGUAGUCGCUUUUUAUUAGGGUGAUCUCUCACUUAAAAUAUCAAAGUAGUUAGUGUUCACCCAAGUGUAGCACCGUCUGAAAUUCGUAUCUUUUCGGGGUGCGCCAUGUACACAUGAGCACGAACGAAUCGAGAGGAAUGAGGCGGGUGAGGUCAGACCUCGCAGCAAGAUCACUUGGUUGUCUUUGACGUUCAGGCAGGAGAGUCCUGAGCUCGGAACACGCCCAUCGAAAGAUGAACAAGAAUCACAUAGAGAUGUGAUCGGCAAGUUGGCCUACCGAUUGAAAUUCGUGUCAUCAGUGAUGAACCCGUCAAUGGCAUCGAAUAGAAAUAUGGAUCUUGAAUCACUCUAAAUCAAUUAUGAGAGAUAUUGAUUUGAGUGGGAGCGCACUGUUGAAUUAACAUGUUUAAUUCUCAGUGAAAUUAAUUAUGAACACUGUCUAAGUGUUUCUUGCAAAAUAGUUGUAGAAUAAUGGCUCGCAUUUCCACCUUCCCUGUUAAAAUUGAAUAGCUGUUAAAUAUCUGGUUAAAACUUUACGUUUGGUAACGUAAUGUGAGGAUUGUCCUCAAAAGUGCCGAGAAGGAUUUUGUCCUAUCGCAUGCUUUCCGUAUCCUCCCUCUAAUGCUAUGGAUCAUGUGACUCUCGUCCUUCGAUCCAAAAGCUAGAAUUCUGUUACGGUCAAGUGGAAUAUGUUUGCUUCCAUGAAACCCAAACUUCGAAAGUUGGGAUAGUUAUUUGAUAUUCAUGGAACUGAAAAUUAUUUUCAGAUACAAACAAAGCAAUGUUUGUUUGCAAGUAUUAGUAAAAGUGUUUACUAUGCAUUUGACUGUUGGGAAAGGGAUCCAGAAGAACGCCUGUCAUAUAAUGAAAGGUGAAUAAAACAACAACUUAAAGAGAAAGGAAGUGUCCAAAGGGUGUUAGUAUGACUUACACGCCUAGGAAGUCCGGGGCUAACGCCACUCUUAAGUUGGGUGCUUCUUUUGCGAGUAGGAGAAAUACUAAAAGUUAAACUGUUAGAAGUAUAAAGGCAGAAAGAAAGAUGACUGGAAUAUCCAGCUCAUGUAUGAAUGUCAUACAAGUUUUUGAUGUAUAGUAGGCUGGUCAAAGAUAUAGUUCUUGGGAAUUAUGGUUAAACAUGUUAAUCACUAAUUCUUGGGUAUUGUGAGUUAAUCACAAAGAUACCCGCUCGAUUGCAUUCUGUUACGAAUCAAUGUAAGAGCUACUAUGACCUAAAAAGACUAGCCUGAAAUGAGGUUAAGGUAUACACAGGGAACAUAGUAAAUGUUACUAUACCUUCCAUCGGUGUAUUGCCGUCUGUAUUUAUUUUCAUAAUUCAUUUAGAGUUUUACAAACUCUAGCCCAUUGCAUAAGGUAUCUUGCAAGAAGGUUGUUCAUAAGAGAACUUUUUUAUGUUCGAUGUUAUGAAUAACACAAGGACCAUACUUUCAUUAUGAAUGAGAUGUAUGUUAUGAAUAUUGAUAAUAAUACAAUACCUCUGGGUUUACUUUCAUAAUUCAUUUUAGAGUUUCAUACACUCUAGCCCAUUGCACAAUGUUUGUUGCAAAAGAGUUGUUCAUAAAAACAACAACUGUUGUUAAGUAUUAUGAAUAACAUGAAGGGCCAUGCUUCCAUCCAAGAUGGCAUGUAUGUUAUGAAUAUUGAUGGUAAUAUGAUACAUCCAUAACACUGACGCUAAAUGUCGCAAGACUAAAAGAAUACCACACAAGUGUGGCACUACAUUUGGUCACAUUGGAGAAACCCGCAUGGAAAAUUCCAUUAUGAUGGAUUUUGAAGUCUUUUUGAUUUUGAAUCAUCUGACACUUGCAACUUUCCUCCGAAAAGUGAAGUGACUAAAAUACCAUUCACAGGCCAUAAGGAACGAACAACAAACUUAUUAGUGAUCAUACAUUUGAUGUGUGUAGUCCGAUAAGUGUUGUUAGUAGUGGAUUUAUAUAUCUUCAGAAAUGACUCAAGUAGAUAUAUGGAUAUUUGCUUGAUGAGACGUAAGUCUGGAUCUUUUGAAUCAUUCAAAGGGUUUUCAAAAAUGAAGUAGAAGUUAUUGUAACAAGGAAAUUAUGUUUCUACAAUUUGAUUGCAGAAAGGAAUAUCUGAGUUACAAGUUUAGCGAAUGUCUGAUGAGUUGUGAAAAGAGUUUCAUAAAUUACACCUUCCGGAACACCACUAUGAGUGGAAUGUCUGUGAAGAUGUAAUCAAACCAUUUAUGACAUGGUAAGGUCAAAGAUGACAUAAAUAAAUUUGCCAUUAUCCCUUUUAAAGUGAUGCUUUAGAGACUGCGGCUUUUACACUGAAAAGAGCUACAUCGGGUCUGUUGAAAUGAAGCCAUGGUAUGGUACGCCCAACCAUGUUAUAUAUUUUCUUAACAUUUGGAAUAUGGGGCUUGUGUAAAAGGUUACAAACCUAUUCCAAAUCAGACAAGUGCUACUUUGUAGGUUAUACCAAAAUGUUGGGUAUUCCUCCCUCACUAUACCGAGGCAAAUAGUUUUGCCGCGAAACGGUGUGCUUUUAAAGAGAAUGGUUCUUUCAAAAAGGUGAGUGGGAGAAUAGUGCAACUCGACGAGAUAAACAGUAUCUACGUCAUCAGAUCAAAGGAAAGAGACCUUGGAAGUUAUUCCAGAGUUUCCUACUGCGACUGAUACGGAAGUCUCUACAAUAAAAUGUAUGAACUUCGGUCGAACUUGCAGCUGAACCACGUAGGCAAGGCUCGUGCAAACCUCUCAGGUGCGCAAAUGAUAUAUUGUUGUUAGACAACAUUAUACCUAUGAUACACAAGGAAGCGUUGAUGGGCCCUGACUCCGGAAUUGGCUAAAUGCCAAUACAAUCCGAGUUAGUUUCCAUAUAAGUGAUUCAAGAUUAAAACCUUGAUACACCUUUCGGAAGACUUAGAGUCUAACGAAUAUUUAUGGAACUUAAAACUGAUAUGGAUAAAAAUGUUUUAUCCAUAAAGCUCGACUUGUUGAAAUAACAAGUUCAAGAGUUGACUACGAUGAGGUUGUUUUCAUCAUAGCGAUGCUUAAAGUCGGUUCGGGUUGAACUAGCAAUUAAUACAUAUUUCAAUCAUGACAUAUGAAACAUGGAUGACAAUAGGAUUUCCAUCUGAUGGAAAUGAAACCAAGGACUUGCAUGUGUUACAGUCCAAGGCAUUUUGUCUAUCCAGAGGAUGCUAGUAAGGGUGCAAACUUCAGAGUUCCAGCGAUGGACAGAAGAGAGCAAAAUGGAGUUGGAAUCUUCGUGCUUUGAUGAAAUGGUCAAAGGGGUUUGACUUCAUCAAUGGGUAAUGAAGAUGCUUGUAAUUCAAGAAAGUAAGUGGGAGCAUAAUAAUAUUUCUAAAAACCUUGUGUGCUUGACACAUUGUUAAUUGGAAAUAAAUUUCUUGACACGAAUUAGGACUUCAUUUGAAAAUAGUUUUUUGAUGAAGUGCUUAGGCUAAAUAGCCUCAAUAUUAGGCAUAAUGAUCUAUGGAGAUAGAUUUACCUAAUAGGGCUAAGCAAUGAAUACAUAUUGACAAGGUGCUAAAACCUUUUAGCAUUUAAAACCGCCAGGGAGUGAUUCUUGCCGGAGUCACAUGGAAGAGUUUUUUGCAAGACUCGGUGUCCGCAAAACACUGAUGAGCAAAAUACAUGAUGCAGAUUCCACACACUUAUGUGUUUGGAUUAAUCAUGUAUUACAUGGUAUGUAAAACAACCAGAUAUGUCCGAUACUCCCAAGGUGUUGCGAGUAUGGAUACCAAAGUGAUCAAAUUACUGAUCAUGGGACAACAGUGAAAGAUGUCACCGAGUACUAGAGUAAGUACUGAUGACAUGGUUUUCUCGCAAGCAGAGAUCAUGAAGAGUUCGUUGUAAAAUGUUACAUCGAUACAGUCUUCAUCUUUUCUCCAUGCGAUUUUCGAUUUAAAUUAAGGGUUUUGUGUAACACACAAUGUGGUGGCACAGUUAGUUGGAAUUUGUUCAAACUAGUUACUGUGGCGAAUUCUAUAACAAGGGCUAAGUAUGUUGAUGCUUUAGAAGCGACAAAGAAGAUGUUGAAUCAUAUAGUUCAUUCAUGAACUUAAUAUGGUUCCAAGAUGGCUUCUGACAAUGGGACACUACUGCAGGUAGUUGCUCCAUAACUCAGUCUGAGGAAUCCAGGUUCGACCUGUGAUUCACAUACAUACAAAGCCAAGUCCACACAAAAUAUGAAUUUUGUGAAAACGUGAAAACGCGAGGACAUGCAAAGAUACACACGGAGCUGAAGUCGUCAGAUCCGUGGGACAUCGGGCUAUACCACAAGCGAAGCAUAUUUACACCGGUGUGCCACAGGUGUGAAGUGCAUUAGCAUUAACUAGAUUAUUGACUCUAGUGCAAGUGGGAGUCUGUAGGAGAUAUGCCCUAGAGGCAAUAAUAAAUGAUAUUAUUUAUCUCCGAGUUCAUAAUUAUGUUUAUGUUCCAUGCUAUAACUGCAAUGAUUCUCGAGUCUGCAAUAUCCACGAGGCUCGGAGGAAGACUCAUAUGCACGUGUGGAAUAAUAAACGGUAAUAAGUAUUCCUAGUCUGGCCUCUAAGACUAGCUCAAGUGUUGCAUGAUGGUUCUGUUUUCCUGAUCAUGGGCAUGUCUAUGCCAGCAAUUUUGAGGACACAAUGUUAAGAGAACAUUUGUGUUGAAUCGACCCGGAUUGAUGUUAUGCUAUGAGAUACAUUCGUCACAAGUUAAUGGUUUAUAACACAGAGAUAGUUAAUGUUUGCAUAAUUCCUUAGACCAUGAGAGUAUCGAGUUUCUUCAUGCUUGCUUCAUGAACUUUGGGGUUUGUUAAACGUCAUCCAUAACUGGAUGGCUAUUACGGCGGCUUACGGGUUCAUGGGAAAGUAUGUUAAGUAACUUGAUAGCUCGAGAUUGGGAUUUGCUCCUCCGACGAUGGAGAGAUAUACUCGGGCCCUCUCGGUGUUACGGUGUCCAUCAUCGUCUGGCCAGACACUUUGUGAUUUGAUCACGGGGAUGCCGGAACACGAAACGAGAAAAGAGAACAAAACCGGUAACGAGGUAACUAGCAUAGUGGACAAGUUGUUGAUCCACGGGAAUGCCAACAUGUCUCACCUCGGGUAUUUGUAACAUAUCGCGAAGCAACAGGAAUAGCACACGGCAACUGGAGGUUCACUCGAAUAUUUAUUCGUGUGGGUAUAGGGGUCAAUAUGGGUGUCCACGGCUCCGAUGUAGAUCAUUGAUCGGAAGGGGUUCCGGGUCAUGUCUAUACUUCACCGAACCUAUAGGGUCACACGCUUAAGGGUCAUCUAUCUGCUGAAUACUAGACAGGGAGUCUGAGAGAAAAUCACCGAAAAAGUUUCGGACAGCGGAAUCGUACCGCAGAGAGAGGUCAUCGGAUAAGUUUCGAUGAUACCGAAAAGUUGUUUCGGGAUACACCAUUAAGUCAAAUUGGUUUCGGCACAUGCCUGAUAAUUCUUGGAGGAUGCCAGAAUCAUUCUGGAAGCUUUUUGGAAUUUUCUAAGAUAAAAACCGGAAAUGUUCCGGAGCUGCCGGAGCCACUUCAGAUGCGUUUCACAGAUGAAAAUCACUAAAACCGGAAUUGUUUCGGAACGCGUUGAAAAUCAUUUUAGUGGGUACUGGAAAUGUUCUUAGCCCACAUAAAUAUUUUCAGUUCGAUCAGACGCUGAAAAAUGUCGUCGUGAAUAGUGAAAAUCAGCUUUAUGGUUACUUUAUGGAAAGCCACCUUUUGGGGCUUUGCUCCAAAAGAUCUUGGGGAUGACAUGGAUGGAUAGGAGCCAUAUUUUGGGCCCCUCAUGGGGGUGUGGCCGGCCACAUGGGGUAUCCCCCCUUGGGGACCCUCUUGUUCAUUGGUUUCACUCCUAGGUCCUUGUGGAAGGACUUCAUUCAUGUGCAUUUUGGGUUUUUUGUGAAACUACCCUACCCCCUUGGGAUUUCCUAUAAAUAGAGGUGGAGGGGCAGCCCUCCACACUCAUCCCUUGCUCUCAUACACAUGCCAUGCAUUAUCUGGCUUCUUCUCUCCCUCCCACGAAAAGAGUUUCGUAGAGCCGUAAGGCUGUCUGGGUUCCGGCAGGAACUAGUUCUGGACGGCGAAGCCCUGCCGGAUAGAUGACACCGUAGGUGUGCAACUCUGUAGAGAGAUCAUAGUUUCGGUCUUAGUUCGUGAGUGCCUCCCGAAGGGCUGUCCGUGUGACCGUCCGAGUUUCGAAGGUCCUCCCGAAGGGCUGUCCGAGUGACCGUUCGAGUUUCGAAGGUCCUCCCGAAGGGCUGUCCGCGACACCGUCCGGGGGGCUGUUCGACCGCCUCCCGGAGGGCUGUCUGAGGAGCAGAUGAGGGUAUACAUCCUCGUGGUUGGGAGGUUGUAAAUCCUAGCUGCGGGGAUCUGCAUCGCCGAUCGUCAUCGACUCUACUUCCCGCUGCGCUACGAGUCGGUAACGAAAAAGAUCAAACCAUCUAUGCAGUCUCCAUAGUGGUCCUGGGCUGGUGCGUAGGUUGAAUUUUUUUUGUUUUCUGCCGCGUUACCCUACACUGGGGGAGGCGAGUGAGGCGACGGUACACGGGGGCACAGUGAGAUGGAGACGGAGAUGGAGACGGAGACGGAGAAGGAGAUGGAGAUGGAGUUGUGCUAUGGGAGCGGAGAGGGAGACGAGGCGAGGCGCCAAUGUGCUGUACAGCGGCGGUGACAGACUACACAGUGCACAUGGUGAGGCUGACUUUGGUAACCCGAACACGCCGCCUGGACUAGUGUCAGGCGCAGGGUGUUGUCACUUCACUGUGAGGACCGGAUGAAUAGUAUUUUCACCAUCAAGUGUACCACAGUUGUACUACUACUACUACUACUAGUAGUAGUAGUAGUAGGAACAUGAGUACUCCAGUAUUGUAUAGCGGAAAUAGGUCUCCUGUUCUAGCAUUCCUGUUCACUUCAUCGUUCAGGUAUCUUCCAUAUUGCGAGCAGAACCAAAUUCUCGUGCAUGCCCAAUCAACGCCAUGCCGUGAUGCAUGCAGUGGUCGUUCUGGUGCAUCAAGGACGGCAUGAAGAUCGUUCCACACUUGAGAAGAGGAAAAAUGGAAAGGUAGAACGCGGCAGCAGAGGAAGAGAACGCUGGCUAACGAGGCUGGGAGGGGAUCGAGCAGGAAGUUAAUGCUCCACGCCUAAAGGUUUUGGGAAAACCUGAUUUUCAUAAGGUGACUUAUACUCACCUAAACGGAGGGAGUAUUCCUUAACCAGAGAAUGUUGUGUCUCCCACUCACGCGCUCAAAAAAAACUACGACGCAUUUUUUUAUCUGUUUGCAUAGGUCCCACCUAUCAGGAAGGAUGGGCACGUACACGAACAGGUACGAUUCAUCAGUCUAUCCGCAUAGCCUUUUCGUUUAGUCUACCUAGCCGUCUAAUCAACUGCCUGCAUGCCACUUCUCCCAUUUACUUCUCCAUCGGGAACCGAUUCUCCUCGGCUUCUUCACCUCCCCUUCGUCUUCAUUUGCAUCCAUACCCCACUGCGUUCACAUUGUUUUAACCUCUUUAAAUAAUCAUCUACUACUUCAGUUAGACUAGCCAUCUAAUCCUAAUUCUCCAAACCAUAGCCCUCCGUUCCAGCGGUUCCAAAUGGCGAAAGAGAUCGAGAUGCAGGUUUUUAGCGUCCAACAUGUCCUCGUCGAAGGCUCGAUGCGCAUAGUUGCCACCGUCACCGUCCACCCAAGGGUUGUUCGGCAGUGGAUCAACAAUGUAUCCAACUCCCUCGAAAAGGUAGAGACGAGGGUCAUCGGUCUCGACGCAGAGUACACGGAGCGUGCCCCUGGGAAGAUCCAGCGCGCCGCCGUCCUUCAGCUGUGCCUUGAAGAUGAUGUUUUGGUGUACCACAUCAUACACUCGCCCUCCAUACCAGGUGAGCUUCACGAUUUCUUGUCUCGGGAGGACGUAUACUUCUGUGGGGCAGCCAUCAAAGGGGACAAACAGAAGCUGGAGCCGUACAACCUUGAUUUGAAAAGCAUCGCUGACCUACAAACCAGAAUCAAAAUUCCUGUAGAAGAUUGUGAUAAACAGACACCAUCCCUAUUCGACGUAGCAAAUUUUGUGCUCGGUACAAAUCUUCAGAAGGGUGACGAGACAGUGGCAUUAAGGUCGUCUGGAUGGGAGAAUUAUCCCUUGACGUACGAGCGGAUAAAAUAUGCUGCCCUCGAUGCCCGUGUGAGUUUCGAGAUAGCUGCAAGGUCCAAAGAGCUUUUUGCGAAGCCGUCUCCCACAGAGAAUGAGAAGAAGAAGAAGAAGAAGAAGAAGAAGAAGAAGAAGAAGAAGAAGAAGAAGAAGAAGAAGAAGAAGAAGAAGAAGAAGAAGAAGAAGAAGAAGAAGAAGAAGAAGAAGAAGAAGAAGAAGAAGAAGAAAAGGCUGCACCAGCAGGAGGGCAUUAUGGAUGGAUGAACUAUUUCCUCUCUUGUAAAAAAAAUUAUUCCCUCUCGGUGUAUAUUGAUAUAGAUGGACUAUUUCGAUGGUGUGCAUGUCUUUGGAACAGAGUAGUAGCAUGGGUCCGCUUGACUAUAAGGAACUAUUUAUCUGCAUAUAUAGCUUUCUCUGCUACUCCUUCCAGUGAUCGGUAUGCAGUGCAUGUGUCCGUAGACAUGACAGCUUGUCCAUGGAAGUUCAACUACGGCGACCAUCACGUUUCAUCUCGCGAUUCCCACGACGCCUCUCAAACCCACGGCACCACGCCCCCGACGUGCGCCUCACCCCUCUCGGCCGCACCGCCCCUCUGCCUUUGUGUGCAUGACAUGUGGGCCACCUAAAAUGCGGCGAGCAUCAAGUUUCUACCACAGCCACCCACGAUUCCUACGACGCCGCUCGAACCCAUGAAACCACACGUCCCCCGACCUGCAGCUCACCCCUCUUGGCCCCACUGCCCCUCUGCCUACGGGAGCAUUACAUGUGGACCAGUCACCUAUCGGGUCCACAUGUUAUUGACUCAAAGGUAGGUGUAGUAAGGCGCUGAAGCUCAGUCCCGACGGCCCUGAGAGGGAAAUGUAACUCCUGCGCCAGGGCUUGUUGUGCUCCCGCAGCACGAACUCGUGCCAAACUCGAGAUUUGUUUCUUUACUAUACAUGCACGCAAUGAUUUAAUGGACAUUAUAAUCUCAACAUGUGAUGGGGAGCUCUAAAUUUGAAUUUGAAACUUAUAAAAUGAAAAGAUUCAAAACAAAUAAACUGGGAGAGAGGGAGUAUAUCAUAGGAUGUGUCCCAUACAAAAUAAGUCCCCUGGUUUGUCACCGCAAAGAUGCGGUUAGAAAGGAGCACAUCGUCUUCCUACUCGUACGGCAACAAAUCGGUCGCAGACAACAUGGUCUGCCUUUGACCGCCAUGUGCAAGGUUCGUGCUAUCUUAUUCAAUCUCACUGUGGUUCCAUCGUACCAAUUCAUGCGGUGGCCCGUUGCAUGGCUGGUCCCAAUGUUGGACAAAGGUUCUACGGGAACGGUGUCACCGUUGUAAAUGUUGUGAAAAUUGAUGUUGGUACCCUCCCGUACAUAUGCAAGCCAAUCUCCACUCGCACCAAGCCUAACCUGUGAAACAGUGGGCAGGGGGAGAAUUAGGAAAUGGACACGGAAGUAGUCUUUAGAAUGCAUUUACUACGUGAUCAAACUCAUCUUACCUACUCAUCGGAGGAAAUCCGAGUGCCCCUCAACGUCGGCAUCUCAAGGGGCGUCAACUUGCAACUAUGGCCACGCCGCGCUGGAGAGACCCCCAAGGAAACAUCCUCGUGCGUUCCACGGAACAUCAAGAUGCAUUUGUAUGAGUAGUUUAUCUUGUGAGAGAAAAGGAUGAACGAGGGAAGGCCUCUAGAGAUAGAGAUGGACACUACUACUACCAAUGUGCUGGCCCGUGCGUUGCAAUGGAUCCAAAGUAGUAGAAUAAUACUUGUUCACGUGCUUGAAAUAUAAACACUCUAGUUUUGAUAUACAUGUGUCAGCAGACAUGACAGCUUGUCCAUGGAAGUUGAACCACGGCGACCAUCACGUUUCUUGUUUCUACCACUGCCACAUCCACACGCGAUUCCCACGACGCCGCUCCAACCCACGGCACGACGUCCCCCGACGUGCACAUGGAUCCUCUGACGUGGCUAUCACUGCCUUGCCCUGCCUUUCCUUUGCUGACAGGUGGGACCCACGCUUAUGGGUCCCACAUGUCAGUGACAGAAUGGUAGGAUUGUUCGCAUCAGGGGAUCCUCAUCCCCCCGACGUGCCCCUAUCCCUCUCGGCCCCACCGCUCCUCUGCCUUUGUGUGCAUGACAUGCGGGUCAGCUGAACUACGGCGACCAUCAACUUUCUACCACAGACACACCCGAUUGGACGCGGUUUGCCUGCUCCGCUGCUGUGCUCCGAUCCGUACUCCCGCACCAUCGAAUUUUAUCCAGCGGCUAUGACACAUUUCGUCCUGGUCAUCAAUCCUCAGCUGGAGUACUUAUGUACUACAGGUAGUACCCACCGGUGUGGCCAUCUACGCCUCGUAAUGCCCCGACGCCCAGCUGUGGCACCCUCGCCACGGCCACGCCACCACCGGCCGGUUCAUCUCGAACGAGUGAGUCGCGAACCACGCCACCACCAUGAGAAUGACAUGUGGGCCAGCCGCAUUUAAGGUCCGCAUGUCAUUGACUCAUAGGCCGGGCACUAAGCCACUGAAGUUCGGUCCCGUGGGCCCCGAGAGGGAAAUGUAACUCCAGCGGCAGGCCUUGUGGUGCUCCCGCAGUACGAGCUCGUGCCAAAACUAGAAUUUGUUUCUUACUACUACCAACUAGUACUAGUAAGGUACACGUGCAUUGCACGCAUGAGAUUCUGGUGGUUUGUGCAUUAUGCUUCUACAUGUGGAGCUUUCUGGAUUCUAACAUGUGGCAAAAUCUGGUGGAAUGUAAGGUUAGGCAAGUUUGAUUAACUUAGGUGAGUGUUUGGUUCAAGCCACACCUUAGGCAAGCCACACUAAGGCCCCACAUGACAUACACACACAAAAUGUGGCAAGAUUCCCUUAGGCUUGCCAACUUGUGGCUCUCAUUUUGAAGAACUAAUAACUUUGCCUAAGCUUAGUUGUGGCAAAGUUAGUCAUGAAUUCAGUUCAACCAUGGAGUCUUCUAGAUUAUACAUGUGGCAGAAUCUGGUGGAUGAUAUCCAACGGCCAGUAGUGCUCGGAUUUGCCAUCUUUGUACCGUCGGAUUGGCUUCAUCCAACGACCAACUUUCAAAGUUUUUCACACACUAUAUAGGGGGUAUAGAUAUAGAUGUGUCGGUCCGUUGCAAUGGAUCCAAAGUAUAUCUAUUUAGUGGAGUGCACUCUAAACACAUUAUCUAUUUAUUUUUCUCUAACCUUCCGUAGCGAUGCAACCAAGCCACAUAAGCUUCAUGGGUGCCCCCCACAUCAUAUUAUUCAUACUACGUUGAUUGAAAAAAAGAUAAAUCACCCAAAACAAGAUCUUCCCGUUUUUUGUUCCUAUGAUGUUGUGCCGUGCACGUACCUACUAGUUGUAUAGUGGUAGUACUAGUAAUAUAGUAUUAGGAGUACAAACUUGGUACUAGUAGGGGUAGUACUAGUACGGAAUGCUCCUACUCUAUCAACGAGCCCCGUCUGACACCAAAUUUCUUGGCUUCCGUGCUACAGCUAGAUCUUCCCCUCAUUUCUGUUUUCCAACCCGGCGGCGGGCGGGGUGUCGGUUUGCUCAACGGCGGUCCCACAUGAAAGUGAAAAUACUAGGCAACACGCCUUCCCUAAGAUAUGUGUCGUGCCGGACGGGCCGUGUUGUACUCCCGAUUCCCGGGCGUGUGGGGGUGCGACGCGAACGCGGCAGGCCUUUUCCUUUUACCAGCAAUGUGCAUGUGCGUUGCGACGGAUCCAAAGUAGUAGAAUAGUAGUAUUUGUUCACAAACUUGAAAGAAAUCACUAUUGUUUUGAUAUACUCCUAAUAUAUUACUCCCUCUGUACCUAAAUAUUUUUCUUUUUUGAGAUUUCAAAUGGACUAUCACAUACGGAUUAUAUAGACAUAUUCUAGUGUUUCUAGCAAGAUGCCCGCGCGUUGCACGAAGUUGAUGGAAAAGGUAAGCACAACUUAUAAAUUGAUGGAUGGAGUACUAGUUACAGUGAUGCAUAUAAUUAAGCAAAGGGAUCGCACAUGUCGGUAUUGACUGGAACGAGAAUGCAACAGCACAAUAAGAAUUAAGGCCACGAUGAUGUGAUCACAGUGGAGGUUACAGAAGGCAAGAAGAAAGAUGGAUCCACGAACGUACGACCUCCUCCUCCUCAACUUAGUGCGCCGGGCCACCGACCGGCGGCUAAGGAGCGGCGGCUUUUGUGGCGAGGUCGAGGUGCUUCUCAGCAAAGGCAUCCAAGGCUUCCAGCCGGUUGAGGAAGGCCAACAUUGUAGCGUCCUCACUGGCCUUGUAGAUACCUAUGUACACGAUUUGCUCGUACACGUGGAUGUGUAGGUCGAUGAAUUCUUGCAGGGCGAGGCGCCUCGCGGCGAGCGCGACCUCCAGGUGGACAUUCUUCGUGGCGUCGGCGGGCAGUCGCAGGGCCACCAGUGCUUGAAAGAGGUUCCGGCCAUGGAGGCCGAUUAGGGUGGCAGGCAAUGAGGAGCCCGGGCGCGCGGGCUGGAGGAGUACGCCGAUGUCGUCCGCGAGCUUCUUGAGGAUGGUGAACUUGUUGCUGGUGGCAACGAUCAUCUGGUCCAACUGAGAGUCGUAGUUGGCGUCGACGGCGGCCAUCCACCAGCCGGUCUCCAACACCGUCUGGAGAUGAUCCUCGGCGCCAUGCCGCAGGCCGGCGUCGUGGACCAUCUGGUGCAGCCGCUGGCCGCUCACGCGCAUCGCCGCCAUGGGUCUGGAGUGAGCUCUUUUGCGCUUAGUGUAGGUGCUUAGGCAAAUGCUUAGGUGCGUACGAUGUGGUAGAUGCAUUGGAAUGGAGGGGCGCCUUUAUAUGAGGGCAAACUGCGUUGCAUUCACAUCAUGCAGCCUCUUUUCCUGGACCUCCUCCCAUUACUUCCCUCAUGCAUUAAUUGAAGGAGGAUGCAUUGGCCGUUCAACAUAUCGGGAACCGUUACUCCCUCCCUCGUCUGCAUUAAAGUCGUAUCGGGAACUGCACCGCCCGCUGUCAAAUCGAAUACUCCCUCCCUCUAGGUGAGUAUUAAGUCAUCUUACGAAAACCAAAUAGUAAACACAUAGGCGUGGUGCAUUAACUCUCACGUUGUUUCUUAUUUUUUGACAUAAAUAGAGGAAUCAACCAAGAAGAGAUGUGGGGCUUGUAUGCUUUUAAUGACUUGAGACUAUCAAACAUGACAUGCAGUGGUCAGUUCGUUGCACAAGAACAAAUACAACCCACGUCAACACACAUACAUCUUAUAUAGCAUCACAUCCAAUGGCUAUAAAAGAUGAAUGAGACCAAAUUAUAUCUCAUCUAGAUGAGUUCUAGCAAAACUGUAUUAAUAAUACUUAGUACUCCUGCGCCAUGUAUCAUAUAUUAGUAUCAUGUAGUACUUUAUUUAUUGCCAUGUAUGACACAUAGUACUCAACUCUCUCUCUCUUUCUUCAUUUAAUUCUAUGACACCUCAUCAAAAUUGCUAAGGCUAGUACCAUUACAACCAGCCUUAGCAAAUACUAAACGUUAAGUUCUCUCGUUUUCCUCUCCACCUUGGUCACCUAGACGGAGGGAGUAUACUGCGCGGGCUUUUCCUGCGCGGUAGGCGGGGCAGUUCCGCCUAGUCGGUUCGACAGAGACGCGAGAAGACGAGGGAGUAGGCUGCUGCAAGCGUAGGGCUGUGUGAUUUGAUAGCGAGUUACUGCUGGACAGGUGGGGCCCCGUGAUUUGACUUGCCAUUAUCAUUUUAACUGCGGCGCUACGACCGGCGUGAGUCUCCCGAUUCCUGACCACCUCCAUACAGGUGCCUCUACCAAUGCUCCACCAUGUAGUAGAGGCUGGCUCUUGCAUGAGAGCCCACUUCUCCACUUUUUCCUUGCCUCUCUUUCCUCCACAUAUGCAAAAAUGCCAUGUAAAGCGCACUAUUGUACUUACUUGCUCCUACAGGUGCUUAAGCUUGCCACAUAGGCAUAAAGUCUGAUGUGGCAAGUUAAUCAAGAAGAGAGAGACUAGUUUGGUGACCCAAUGAAGAAAUGGUGCUAAGCGCGUGUACCUAGGUGAAAAGACAAUUUUGAGUCUAUAGCUAAUUAAAUGAAGCAAACUUAGCAACACCAUUUCAUUGGAAGAGGUCACUCCUUGGCAAAUGCAAUAAAUACUAGUACUCCCUGUGUCCCAUAAUAUAAGAACGUUUUUGGCACUACACUAGUGUCAAAAACGUUCUUUUAUUAUGGGACGGAGGGAGUACGAAGAAAGAGAUAGAGAGAAGUAAAAAAAUACACUUAUAGCCAACCUUAUAGCCAACCUUAUAGCCAAAACCUUGUUCUAGUAUGAGUGACUAAGUGAUGACUAUGUAUGACAUGCCAACAUCAGAUAGCCUAACGCACCGUGUUAAAUCUCCAAGGGCACGACCGCACGAGCGAUGCGACGGUCGUGGUAGGCGCGACCACGAUACGGGUUGCUGGCAGCCCUUGGAUCUGAGAUCAAACGGUCGCAUGCUAAGUUGCUGAAAAUUUGCAGAAUAACCCUCUAGGAUAGGAUAUUCACCCAUAGGUCUAGAAUCACGCCAUGCAACCGUUCGAUCUCAGAUCCAAGGGCUCUCGGAAGCCCGUAUCAUGGGAGAAUGGAAAGCCACUACCCUGCCGUUCGCACGCUGGCAGUUCGCUCCUACUCGUCCCCGCACGUCCCUCAAUACUACGGCGGUUCGCUCCUAGUCGCCCCGUCCAUUCACAUUACGGCAGUUCCACUAAUCCUAACCCUCCUCCCAAAUCCAUGGCGUCCCAAAUCUCCCCGAUCGGCGGUGAGUACAAGGUUAGAACCAUCACCGGCGAUGAGUUCGACGUCAUCUACACCCGUUCUUCCGCGACGGUGAAAGGAUGCCUUUCUCGCUUCAGACGCAUGUUCGAAUACUCAGAUGAUGAGUGGGUCGUUGGGCUAGAUGUUGAGUACACCACAGUCCUGGGAUGAGAGAAGGAUCUAAAGGACGAAGAGAGGAAGAAGCCCGCCGUGAUCCAGGUUUGCGUGCAUGACUUAUGCUUGGUCUACCACAUAUGCCAUGCCGACGUUGAGUGACAGGAUUUAAGGACUUCCUCAAGAGCAACCUAGUCAAAUUCGUUACUGUAGACUUUGGUAACGACAAAGAAGUCCUGCGUCGGAUAGGCCUCAUUGUAGGCAACACCUUCGACCUCCAGAAGAAUCGGCUGGUGUCCUCUCGUCAGCCUUCAAUGCUAACCCUGGUAGGAGCCAUGGUUCAUCCUUCGUACGGUAAACUGGAGAAACCUCCAUACACGUUUCAUCGUCAUGCAUGGCAGCGGAAUGUACUAGAUAUAGACCACAUCCACUACGCUGCAAUGGAUGGCUACCUUUGCUUCAAUAUCUACAAGGGUUGGAUGAAGAGCAACAGCCAAGUGUGCGUCUCAAGCAAAGAAGUAUCGGCCAAGAGGAAGAGGGACAAGGACGAAGUCGAGGACGUGGACGAGGACUCCGAGUAAGGUGGCAGUGUCGUUGCUCAUGGUGGUUCUAAUGCAGUGUCUACCAGAAUAGUUUCAAAGUUUAAUUUCAGGUGUGCUUAAUUUAAUUUGAGGGGUGUGUUGUGCUGAGCCCCCAGCAGAACUAUGUUAUGUUUCUUCUUGUUACUUUAACUCUUCAGUACGUACAUACUAGUAUUUCUUACAUUUCAUCUUUUAGUUGGUAUAGUACUAGCACUCGUUUAUUCACAUUAUAUACGUACAAUAUAUAUGGCCAACAUCAUAUAGCCAGCAGUUUAGUUGUCAAAGAAUUUCAGGGUGCUUAGUUUUGUCAAAGAAUUCCAGGGUGCUUAGUUUUAUUUGAGGGGUGGGUUGUGCACUUGUGUUGGACACCAUUAUUGUGACAAGCCUUUUUAAUAGUACUAUAUGCAUAAUUUGGCGACGAGCGCUCUCUAUAUGUAUCACCUUUUUUUUAAUUUCAAGUUUUGCUCCAUGGCGCAAUCCAUCGAUACUACUACGGUACAAAAGUGGAGUAUAUACAUUUUUUAAAAGGCUAGAGGGCGGGGCAGUCUAGCUCGGUCGGUUUCACAAGAGGCGAGGGCCUUUGUGAUUUGACGGCUCAUUACUGCUGUCAAAUCGAAUAGUACUGCGCCGCCCGCUGCACGCCCGGCGCCUCCAUUAAACCCCUCCGUUAAACCCGCAUGCAAACCGAGAAUCCUACUCCUGCCACACAUCCGUUCAAGAGCGGGCCGGAAUUAAACGCAACACCGGCCGAGCUCCUCCCGUCCGCCCUCAGUUUAAACGAGGCCAGACGCCGGCCAAGCUCCUACCGUCCGCCCUCUAUUUACACGAGGCCAGACAGACAGCGGGCAAGAAUCGCACCCCUCCGCCGCUCCCCAUCUCCUCCUUCACCAUUUUCUCCACUCUUCCGAUGGCUUCCGAUGAGCCGUUCUCCGGCAUAUUACCCGGCUGGGUGGCCCGCCGAGCCCUCCGAUACGGGCGAGGCCGCUCGGUGCUUCACCAACCUCGCUUGGCCCGACGGAGCCAGUUGCCACCCCAAGCAGGCGCGUGGUUCAGCAACUCGCCACUCUAGUUCAGCUCGAUGAGGAGUGGCGAGUUGCUCCACGCCGGCACGGCGGCUGGCACGCCGGUACGGGCGUCGUCGCUGCCGCGUUGUACCGCGCCACCAGUGUCUGCGGUGGCCGCGCCUCCCGUGUCUGUGGGCGCGCCUUCCGUGCCUGCGGCAGCGCCAUGCAGGCAGAGACAGAAGCCGGGUGCGUGGAGAGCGACGAGUCGGCCAGCUUCUCCGUGUCCGCCGCCAUCAUCAAGGAGAAGUAGAACACGGGAGGCCGCCGCCACUUGGGACCCAUGAAGGCCACCGCCGAGGCGACGACCACGGAUUCAGGUGGUUUCUUUGCUGCUUCGUCUCUUCCGAGGACCUUCGUCGACCCCGCAAGUGUCUGACGGACAUGAGGAAGACAAAGGGAUCCGCGGGCGGCCAUUUAGAACUAAAAUAAGUCUAGAUACAUCCAUUUAUAGGACAAGUAUUUCCGGACGGAUGGAGUAUUAAUUAUACAAGAGAGCCGGAUUGGCACCUCUUAGUUCAUGUAAAUGUAAUGAAAUCCAUCAUGUUUAUAUGAAGAUCCGGCUUUUUUAUACGAAAUCCUUCAUGCUUAUAUGAAAUCAGUCCGUGUUUGCACGAAUUUCAUCUGGUUGGUUAGAGUUGUAAAAAUGUAUGCCGCCGGCGUUUGAUGUCGUCCUCCGCUUAAGGAAGCGGGAGGAAAUUUGCCGGCUGACGUUGGAGAUGCUCUUUAUGCUGGAAAUAAUAGAGUGACAUCCAAUCCAUUUGAGUUAAUUGCCUGUAUGAUUGUCCCUCUAUAAAAAGUUAAUUGCAUGUACAGUGUACACGUGACUUGCAGGGUGGCUACAGCUUCGUACAGAAAGUUAAAAAGAAACAAGUCCAUCCUUAAUCUUGUAUUCUAAGUACUCUGUGGGUUCCACUGUCAGUACAGUAGCGAAAGAAGUAUAUAUUAAAUAAGUAGAGUAAUAUAUGAUAUAAAAAUAUAAAGAUAAAAGACAGAAUUCGAACUCAUGUCAUCGCGUUGCGAGCAUCCGGCGCUAACCAGCCCAGCACAUUUUUGUUGUAGACCAUGCUGGAGAUAUAUCUCCAUGUCUACUCUUAUAUAUACUCCAUUCGUUCCUAAAUAUUUCUCUUUCUCAGAUUUCAAAUGGACUACCACAUACGGAUGUGUAUGUAGACAUAUUUUAGAGUGUAGAUUCACUCAUUUUGCUCCGUAUGUCUUUUCAGGAAGGGGUCAGAUUUGUCCUUGAUUUAUUUAUGAGGUAUCCAGAUGACACUGCACCGCCAAGAAAAGAGGGUAACAUCAAAAUUAUGGACUACUUUUUUGAGUAUGUUGGUAAGGUCCGGUCAUAGUCACUUGUUGAAAUCUCUAAAAAGACAAAUACUCCCUCCGUCCGGAAAUACUUGUCAUCAAAAUGGAUAAAAGGAAAUGUAUCUAGACAUAUUUUAGUUUUAGAUACAUCUCUUUUUAUCCAUUUUGAUGACAAGUAUUUUCGGACGGAGGGAGUAGAAAACAGAGUUGGUGAUGAUGGUGUGCGUGCCAUCCUGUAAUAUAGGCCGUCGGAUUUAUAUCUAACGGAUAGGAAAGAAACUAUGGCAAUUUUGCAAAAAUAUACCCACACGUCUCUGCACGUUCGCAAAUAAGGCCUUCCCUCGUUCAACCUUUUCUCUCACAAGAUAAACUACUCAUACAAAUGCAUCUUGAUGUUCCGUGCAACGCACGGGCAGCUAGCUAAUUUCUUUUAAAAUAGUUGCUGCGAUAAUUGGGUUGAAGUGAUAUAUUUUAUGUUUGCCCUGAAUGAUUUCAGAUUCACUAGUAGUAACAAAGAAAAGGUUGCCUUGUUAAUUAACAGAAAACAGGGUGAAAACUAUCACAUGAGGCCGGUAAAAACAAGGCACACUGGGUUCAGCGUCAUCGUCACUACAGUUGUGCGCGCGCGAGAAGUCUACAUAUCGAGGGGGCUACCGAGCGAGGCACCGAGACACAAUGUUUGAGAGAGAAACCAAUUGACAGAUUAUGAUCAGAUCGAGUUGUCACCCUUCUGCUGUCAUUGUUGGGGGGAGGGAGAGAAAGACGUAUCGAGAGUGUGUGCGGUAGGCACAGAGACACAACUAGCGAGUGUGUGUGUGUGUGUGUGUGUGUGUGUGUGUGUUUGAAAGAGGAGUAGAUAGAUUAUUAUCAAGAUCGAUGUGCCACCCUACUCCUUCGGUGCCGGGUAGUGUGUGUGUGUGUGUGUGUGUAUGUUUGAGAGAGAAGCCAGUCGAUAGAUUAGUAUCAAGAUCGAGGUGUCACCCUACUCCUUCGGUGUUGGGAAGUGUGGGUGUGUGUGGGGGGGGCAGUGACACUCACAUAUCUCUACUCUUAUAAAAAACUGAGUUGGUGAUGAUGGUGUUCCUGCCAUCCUGCAAUAUAGGCCAUCCGAUUUAUAUCCGACGGACAGGAAGGAAACUAUGGCAAUUUUGCAAAAAGAUACCCACACCCCUCUCCGCAUUUGCAAAUAAGGCAUUCCCUCGUUCAUCCUUUUCUCCCACAAGAUAAACUUCUCAUACAAAUGCAUAUUGAUGUUCCGUGCAACGCAUGGGCAUCUUGCUAGUAGGGAGAAGGAGUUUGUGUGAGACAUAUCUAGCUAUAUUAAGGGAUAGGUAGAUAGCAUAUGUGUGAGAGACAUUAUUAUACUUUGAGACAUUAGUGGCUGUCGGUGGGCGGAAUUAAAGGGGUGGGCGUGUUAGACAUAGAGAGCGUGUGUGUUUCUGUGUGAGAGACAUGUAGGACGGGGUAGAAAGACGAAUUUAACCCUGACGGAGGGAGAGAAAUACACGAAGUGCGCGUGUGUGAUUCCGAUGCCCACAGGGAAAUGAGAUAUGUAUGUGUGUGAGAGAGAUUGCACAAUUCAUUCACGUAUCACUAUCUAGCGAUCGUGGACGUGCAUCGCUUGAACAUAAGUCAAUAUCUACUUCGUAUCGUGGCCAAAGGUACAAUAUCGAUUCAACGCUAUAAAUAUUGGACACUCACAUAUCACAUUUUUUUCUAUUUAAAUAAACCUUUUCAAUUGUGCAUGCCAAAGUUAUAGUGAUGUUUCUUCAAACAACCAAUGUAGCUAUCAUGUAUAUGCACCAUUGUUACUCUUGCAUUCAAAUUCAUUAGUCCUGGAUGAUUUAAGUUUCUAUUUUGAAAUAAUAUAUGUAAUAUUCAUAUAUGAAUUCAACGGGUAUGCAAUUUAUGAAAUGGAGGCUAUGUAAUCAUAUGAGGUAACACUUUUAAGUAGCUGACUACAAUAUCCAUUUCUUUUUGUGCGCCUCUACACUAACACGUCAAUGCAUUAUGUUUAAAGUAAAUAACCAAUGGCACUAAAUUAUCUAUUUACACGAGAAAUACAUAGGCUGAGCGUUUGAUCCCUUUUUUGUGAACGCGCCACUACACCCGUACGAUUGGUCGCGCCCGUGUGAACGUCCAAGUUAUCGGCGCAUCAUCCCGAGUUAUUGUCUUUUUUUCUGGGGUGGACUUCACACCAGUUAUUAACUGCUGACGCGUGCCCCGUGUACAUAGUCUAGCAUGACCUUCCCGCUAGCACGGUCCAAAAUUAGUUGAAACUGGAUACGAACGAUCCCCCGGGCGGCAAAAUCUCCCGCCUCCUUCUAAAAUUUCCGCCACCUUAGUCUUUAGCAUGCGAAAUCCCCUUUUGUCCUUGGUGCACGGAGACCAACAGUUACAAUACCACCCUCAUCUACAUGAUAGGUCGGGGCUGCUUUCGUAACUUCCGGUUCCCCCACUACACGGCACCCCCAUUUCCUCUCCCCCUCCCGCAAAAACGACUAACUCCACAGCACCAGAGCAUCUUACAUCACGCCGUCCGUACUUCAUCGCCCUUUCUCCCCUCCCCUCUCGAAACCCUAGACUGCUCAUCCACCGGCGUACAUAGCCCAUUCACUGCCAGCGGCGUCCACCUCGCUGGAUCUGCUUCUGCGGCCGCAUCUACCCCUCCCACCUCCCCUAGAAACAAGUAGACUGCUCAUCCACCACUGUACCACAGCCCAUUCAGUGCCGGCCUUGUCCACGGCGCCGGAUCUGCUUCGCCGGUACUCUCGUCAACCGCCGCGCAUCUGCAGCGGCUCAUUCGUACUCCCCACCGGAGACGCUUCGUCCACACCCCCCGGAGCCGCCCCACCGACGCCCCCAUCGACGGCCUCUGAUCCUCUUCGCCGACACCUUCCUCAACCCUACCGGAGCCGCUUCGCCGACACCUUCCUCAACCCUACCGGAGCCGCUUCGCCGACACCAUCGUCAACCCUACCAGAGUAGCUUCGCCUAUACCAUUCUCAACCCUACCGGGGCCGCUUUGCCAACUCACAAGUCCACGGCCUCAGAUCCGCUUCCUCGCACCCUCAUCCAACCUACCGGAGCAGCUUCUGACGCCCCGUNNNNNNNNNNNNNNNNNNNNNNNNNNNNNNNNNNNNNNNNNNNNNNNNNNNNNNNNNNNNNNNNNNNNNNNNNNNNNNNNNNNNNNNNNNNNNNNNNNNNNNNNNNNNNNNNNNNNNNNNNNNNNNNNNNNNNNNNNNNNNNNNNNNNNNNNNNNNNNNNNNNNNNNNNNNNNNNNNNNNNNNNNNNNNNNNNNNNNNNNNNNNNNNNNNNNNNNNNNNNNNNNNNNNNNNNNNNNNNNNNNNNNNNNNNNNNNNNNNNNNNNNNNNNNNNNNNNNNNNNNNNNNNNNNNNNNNNNNNNNNNNNNNNNNNNNNNNNNNNNNNNNNNNNNNNNNNNNNNNNNNNNNNNNNNNNNNNNNNNNNNNNNNNNNNNNNNNNNNNNNNNNNNNNNNNNNNNNNNNNNNNNNNNNNNNNNNNNNNNNNNNNNNNNNNNNNNNNNNNNNNNNNNNNNNNGACACCAUCCUUAACCCAACCACCGGAGCAGCUUCUGACGCCCCGUCCACGGCCGCAGAUCCGCGUUGUCGACACCAUCCUUAACCCAACCACCGGAGCAGCUUCACCUACGCCCUCGUCCACGGCCACAAAUCCGCUUCGCCCACACCGUAGUCCACCCUACCGGAGCCGCUCCACAAACACCCUACUCGACGGUUCUAGAUCUCCUUACCGGACCCCGACAGCCAGCGCAGCGUCAUCACCCUCGACGUUUCUAACCUGAUUCCCACCGUCUUGAGAGAUGCCAAGCACCCGCCACGGCCUAGGUACUUGUCACCUUUAAACCCGUCCAGCAUCACCUGCCCGAUGUACUUCAAAUAUACUAACCGGUCGCUGUUACCUGUUAUGCAGCUGGCAAAAACUACAAGGACGAUGUUUCUUCUGGAUCUAACAGCUUGGCCAACCAAGAUCCUAGACUGAGGCAUUGCUAUGAUCUUGUAAGCACGUCUCUCUCUCUUGUAUUGUUCUGUGCCUACCAGCGUGCUUUGCUAGGAUUUUUGACCAGUAAUCCCUUUAUGCAGACAAUGAUUUCUACUACUGGCUGCUAAAUUAGAUAUGUAGAUGUCAUACAUGAUACUACCUCGUACCUCCGUUCCUAAAUAUAAGUCUUUCUAGAGAUUCCACUAUAGGCUACAUACGGAGCAAAAUGAGUGAAUCUACACUCGAAAAUGCAUCUAUAUACAUCUGUAUGUGGUCCAUACUGGAAUCUCUACAAAGACAUAUAUUUAGGAACAGGGGCAGUACAUUACACAAAAUCGUAGGUGGCAUGUAGGAAUUCCAGUGCAGUACAUUAGGCUCCCUUAGAGUGCCUGCUAGUCCAGCAUACAGAGUCAUGGCUAGUUUAUGGUACGCACACAAUCGUUAAUUGGUGGUUUAAAUAUGCGCAAGGGAUAUGCAAUGUAGUAUCAUGUAGAGAUGUCUGAAAUUAGCCGUGUCAACUUGCAUAUAGGGUUACAUAAUGAAAAAGUACAAGAUGUAUGUGGCAAUUUCAUGGAACAUCGCAAAAAAAGGAGAGGCAGCGGUGAGCCUAUACAGUGUGCUAUGGUACGUCACUCCUCCAUUGCAAUCAUCGUGACAUGUUAUUUGUAUGCCAGUUCUAUUAGCCAAGUUUCUUAGGGACAGUUAUUACGAGUUAUCCUAAGAAAAUAAGCACCUGUGAAUAUAAGCUCCAUGUAAUAAGCCAACCAGUUCUUUUCAUUGCGUUUUCAGCUUAUCUUUGGUAUGAUCAGUGGAAAGUCUAGAUUGCAUUUUUUUUAUUUUGCUGCCCAUAUGGAAAUUAAUUUGACUUGCAAACAUCACAAAUUGAACCCAGUGCAGUAAUUAAUAUGAUAGGAAAACAGACCAUCACUAUUUGCUCAAAAUGCAAAUACAAAGAUAGCAUCUACUUGGCACAAUCUACUUUGGUCAAUAUUUUCCAUAGAGAUCCCAUUGCCUAAUUUAAACGAAGAACGCAUGACCCACAUUUAAAUGAAGAACAAUUAUUUAUUGAAAUUCGAUGGUCCAAGUGGCUGGUUAUUAUCGUAUAGCAGCACCACCUGAAAGCAUCAUAUAGCAGCAGCAGCUCAUAGCAACUCAUCAUACAGCAGCAGCAGUCUGCAAUUCAUCAUAUACCAGCAGCAGCUCAUAGCAAUUCAUCAUAUAGCAGCAGCAGGAGUAGCUCAUAGCAAUUCAUUAUAUAGCAGCAGCAGGAGCAGCUCAUAGCAAUUCAUCAUAUAGCAGGAGCAGGAGCAGCUUGUANNNNNNNNNNNNNNNNNNNNNNNNNNNNNNNNNNNNNNNNNNNNNNNNNNNNNNNNNNNNNNNNNNNNNNNNNNNNNNNNNNNNNNNNNNNNNNNNNNNNNNNNNNNNNNNNNNNNNNNNNNNNNNNNNNNNNNNNNNNNNNNNNNNNNNNNNNNNNNNNNNNNNNNNNNNNNNNNNNNNNNNNNNNNNNNNNNNNNNNNNNNNNNNNNNNNNNNNNNNNNNNNNNNNNNNNNNNNNNNNNNNNNNNNNNNNNNNNNNNNNNNNNNNNNNNNNNNNNNNNNNNNNNNNNNNNNNNNNNNNNNNNNNNNNNNNNNNNNNNNNNNNNNNNNNNNNNNNNNNNNNNNNNNNNNNNNNNNNNNNNNNNNNNNNNNNNNNNNNNNNNNNNNNNNNNNNNNNNNNNNNNNNNNNNNNNNNNNNNNNNNNNNNNNNNNNNNNNNAGCUCAUAGCAAUUCAUCAUAUAGCAGCAGCAGGAGCAGCUUGUAGCAACUCAUCAUAUAGCAGCAGCAGCUCAUAGCAAUUCAUCAUAUAGCAGCAGCAACAGCUCAUAGCAACUCAUCAUACAGCAGCAGCAGCAGCUCAUAGCAACUCAUCAUAUAGCAGCAGCAGGAGCAGCUCAUAGCAAUGCAUCAUAUAGCAGCAGCAGAAGCAGCUCAUAGCAAUUCAUCGUAUAGUGGAUCGGAAUGAAAAUUUGGCAAAAAAAAAUCAGAGGAGAUCCUCACCUUGUUGGAUGAGCUCAUCCUUCAACAGCACCUCAAGGCCAUGGCCUGGGAGAAGGGGAGGGGGAAUAAGGUGCCUUCUGCCGCAGUGUGGCAUCAGUCGUAGUUGUGCAGCGCCCGCCGGAGUAGUGCGUUGGACGAACCACAAUGGAGCAGCUGCUGGAGACCAUGAGAAUGAGGGGCGGCGCCAGAGGGAGGAGCAGCCAGGGAGAUUUGCCCCUACCCGCCGGCCGUGUAGCCUAGCUGGACAUAGCAUCGUCGAGGACCAGGCCAGAUGGGACCAGUGGCGACGGCUCGCUGGAGGAACCCUAGUGCUGCAGGCAGGGGAUCGAGGUAGAGGGAAAGGGGAGAGGAGAUGCAAGCGGGCAGGGCAAUGAAUGCUUGCGUGUUUGUUUUUACUUGAGGGUCAGGUGUGACACGGGCGUCAGCAGUUGCAUUUUGAGUGUAAUAUAGGCAGACAACAGAGUCAUUUCACUAUUCCCCUUCCCUUCAAUUUUUAGUGAGGUUCUACCCGAAACACCCCCCCUCCAAAGCGAAAUUAGUUAAGCCCAAGCCCAUAACUCAAAAAUGACUUUUUUACAUCUUUUAUGGCUUAUUUUGACAAUAUGCCCUGAAAAGGCGGAAUCGAACUGGCCCUUAACAUGCAAUUCAAUUGUGCGUGCAAUGAUGAAUCACUCCUGCCUGCUAUCUGUACAUUUAGGCAUCAUCAUACAUGGCAUAACCUAAUACAUGUGCAUUCCAUUGUAGAAUCUGGAAUAUGCAAUGUUUAUGUUAGUUCAUACGUUGCACAUGAUGUUUAAAUGCCCCUUAAAUCUGGUCAGUCAAGUGAUGGUCUUUAAGCCUCCUUCUUUGCUUCUUUUCUUGAUAUGUAAGAUUUGCUCACACAUCUGUUCAAUUGCUUGUUUGCAUCAGCCAGCCAUACUAGGACUGUUUGCUUUGAUUACUUGUUGUUCUUGACCUAACACUCUAACAGAGCCUGUCAACGAUUUUAACACUAAGGGCUGCUGUAGUGGGGCCUUGUCUAACUCAUAGGUGACAUAAAGGUUUGGCUGUACACUACAGUAGGCUCUCCAAGAGUACCUGAAGAUCCAGUUCGAAGGUAUGCCUAGUUUUUACAUAGUGCAGACAUAGUAAAUGCUCAUUUCAUUGUGUGCAAGUGCAAGAGAUGCGGCAUGUCUCAUUAUGUGGUGUUGUUUUGUUAUAAUCUCAUCCUUUUGUGUUCACAGACUGGACAGUAUGCAUAUUUAUCUUCCAAGGAGACGAGUAACUAGUUUGUGUCACCUUGCAGAGGGGGUGCAAUGAAGAUAAGAUUGAGGAUUUCCAAGUACAAGAUGUUAGGAAGGAGCCUUGCAAGAGAAGUAGGAGCUGCGCUGAGCCUCUUCAACCUGCUAAGGUAAGUCAUUGUAUGCAACUCAACCGUUCAAUUCCUUGUUUGUUUCAGGCAUAGUUAAUUUUCUCUUUUCAAUUGCUUUAUUUGUCCUCAGUUAAUGAGAUGCCCAAAUAAUCAUGCCUGAUGUUCGGUACUUGUAUCACUAUUAGUUGACAUAAUUAAAGGCCUUACCAUUUAAUUACUCUACCGAAGUGUGCCUGAAGCUUUGAAGUCUAUUAACCAACUAUUAUUGCAUGAGGCUCACAAUCUAGUUUAUACUACGCUAAUGAUUGCAUAGUUUUGCCUGCUGUAGUAUGUUUGUAUGAAACCCUCGGCUGUUCAUUAUGCUCCCUAAGACUUUAAUUGAGGCACAUAAUGGCCAACUGCUUGCUUACGUAUACGCAACGUGCUGUCUAAAUUUGUAACUUGUCUGUGUUUUCGAUUGGGCCCCAACAUCAUGCUCCUCUGGUGAGCUAAGAGGGAUUUCUGUAUGCAGGCUGCACAGACUAUCUUUUUUAUAAUUUUUAAAAUAUCACCUGCUUAUGCUUCAUGACGUGUAACAUUUUUUUUGAAAGUGACGUGUAACAUUAUUGUUAGUCCUGUUUUGCCAUGUAGUACAAAAUAGUGUCUUGUUCGCUUCACUGUUGUAACUAUAUUUUUGCCCUAGUCAUGUGUACUUACAGAAACAUUUCAGGAUGAAGUGACAUCAACACAAAGAUCUGCGAGCAGUGCGGCAUGGCCAUUACCAAAUGAUUAUGGAUUGGAAUUGGAAUGUGUUGAUGUUCUCGAGCAUCAACUAGAGGUGGCAAGACAACGUGUACAUGAUUGUCAACGUAUAAUCAACAAGUUGAGACUGGACAUGCAGGUAUUAGAUGCAGGAGUCAAAAAAAUGAAACAAGACACUGAGGUAACCAUGAAGGAAUUGGAGAUUUUGCAGACCGAAAUUUGUGCUAUCUGAAUCCGGCCAAUCCUAUUUUCUGAAGAGAUUAUAGUUCAAAUGUAGUUAAGUUGAUGCGCGUCCAUGAUGUAUGAGUUGUAUUUGCCCAGUGUAUGUAAUUUGCUGUUUGUGUAUGCUUUAUUAUCACCUGUGCCGAACCAUAAUGCCCAGUGGGUAUAAUCGGCUGUAAUUUCUUUAUUGUAUAGUGUAGGAUUAUUCUACCUUUCUAUGCCUUGAUCUCUUUGUUGUAUAAUAUUGAGUAGGAUAAUUCUUUGAAUAUGCUAUAUCGUUCAAACGGGGGCCAACUCGCCCGACCAUGGCCCUUCACGGGCUGUCGGAUCCAUGGGCCUUCUACGUCUCGUAGGAUCCAUGGGCCUUCUACGUCUCGUAGGAUCCAUGGGCCUUCUACGUCUCAUAGGAUCCAUGGGCCUUGUACGUCUCGUAGGAUCCAUGGGCCGUGUACGUCUCGUAGGAUCCAUGGGCCUUCUACGUCUUGUAGGAUCCAUGGGCCGCCGACUCAUUUAUGGGUCUUGUGCGGGCCUUUAAUGGGCCAUAGACGGGCCUUUAAUGGAAAUUGUACAUUUUAUGGGCUGACCAUAAUGGGCCGUUAAUAGGCCGUAUUUGGUGAUGCUAUGAAAAUGGCCCAACAGACUAACAGUCCACAAACGGGCCUACUGUAACGACGGGCUGAAUUUGGCCCACAAGCAGAAAAUGACAGUAACGGACCGUAAGUAACCGAAUGCUGCAAAUGAGCCCAAGAAUAAAUGGGCCCUCAGAAGGCCGAAAGUUAACUUGGGCUGGAAACGGCCCAACGGAAUAACGGGCCGUUAAUGGGUAUAAAGUGAUACACUGUUCAUUACGGGCCAGUUUCACCACGGGCCAUUAAUGGGUGUAAAGUAAUACACUGUUCAUUACGGGCCAGUUUCAGCACGGGCCGCUAAUGGGCCAAGAGUUACAAAGGGCCUCAUAUGGGCCGAAAGACAUCAUGGGCUAUACAUGGGCCAGAAGUGAAAACGGGCUGGAAUCAUAUUGGAUGGCCCAGAUGACGCUACUGGGCCUAAUUCGGAUAGGGCGUAACGGGCCUUGGGUUAGUGGGCUGUAAAUGGGCUAUAUGUGAACAGGCCGUUAACAGGCUUUCCAUGGGCCGGGCCGCCAGCUUUUGACCAAGUCAAACGGGCCGGCCUUUUCACAGGAAUGGGCCACUGUUGGGCCGUGCCACGUGUCGACGUAUCAUAGGUGCCUUCUAUCCAGUGAGUGGAUGACAUCUGUCCCAACGAUGAGCCGACACGUGUUUCCUCUAGCCAAUGAUGAUUUUACACGUGGAAAAUCCCCAUUGGUCGGGCUGUUAACGGGUUAUCGGAUCCAGAACCCGACCCGAUAGCUUAACGGCGUUCCGUUACGGUGGAUGCCAUGUGUCGGUCACCCUUGACGAAAGCACUUCUGUGACGCGCGAUUUAUCGUCAUGGAAGUGGACACUUCCGUGAUGAUAAUUUUGGUAAUGUCAUGGAACACUUCUACGACAGCACAGGUAUGACUAUCUUGAUUCUGUCAUAAAUUUGUCAUGGAUGUACAUGCAUGACAAAAAACGCGACCUACUGUGACAAACACGUAUCAUCACGGAAGUGUAUUUUUUUUGUAGUGUUUGGACGCCCCUUUCUCUCAUGCAGAAAUUUGGGCAGCGGUCACUGAUUCCCCGGCUGACAAAGCCCCGGGACCUGAUGGAUUCAUAGGGCAGUUUUCCAGAUCAUGCUGGCAUACAAUCAGAGAGGACAUCAUGGCAGUUUUUCAGAAAUUUUAUCAGCUUGCGGGGCAAAAUUUUGCAGACCUAAACACCGCCCUGAUCGCGCUGCUGCCUAAGAAAAAUGGUGCCUCUGUGGUGGGGCACUUUCGACCGAUCAGCCUGAUUCACUCAAUUGCAAAGCUCAUAUCAAAGGUCCUCUCCACCAGCCUUGCAGGUGCACUCAGUGCGGUCAUCUCUCCAGCGCAGACAGCGUUUCAAAAAGGAAAAUGCAUCCAUGACAGUUUCCAAUAUGUGCAAAGUUCAGUUAAGAUGCUGCACCGCAUGAAGAAAAAAGCUGUUUUUCAAACUGGAUAUCGCGAAAGCUUUCGAUUCUGUUUCCUGGGAAUAUUUGUUUGAGCUGAUGGAGCGAAUGGUCUUUCCUCCGAGAUGGAGAGACUGGAUUGCGCUGCUGCUUUCAUCGGCUUCAUCAUCUUGUAUGCUCAAUGGUGCACCAGGGCCACCGAUCGCCCAUGGGUGUGGGUUCAGGCAGGGCGACCCUCUCUCGCCGCUGCUUUUCAUCAUGGCAAUCGACCCAUUACACCGCCUGCUCGAAGUUGCCGCAGCGGGGGGUGCGAUGGCACCGCUGCAGGUCGCGGGAUCAGCAUGAGAGUCAGUUUAUAUGCAGAUGAUGCAGUGAUCUUCGCAAACCCCGAGAAGGAAGACGUGGACACGCUGCUACUCCUGCUAAACAAAUUCGGCGAGUCCACAGGUCUCAGACUAAACCAGGCAAAAUCAUCGGUUAUCCCAAUCAACUGUGAUGAGAUUCAGCUGUCUGACGUGCUGGCAAGCUUCGGCGGGCAACAGUCUUCUUUCCCGACCACUUACCUCAGCCUCCCGAUGUCCACGAGAAGGCUACGGCUGGUGCACUUCCAAUUCAUAACUGAUCGGAUUCGGACUAGGCUAGCGGGAUGGAAAGGAAAACUGAUGAGCAUGGCGGGCAGGCGUGUUCUCGUGCGUGCGGUGCUAACCGCCCUUCCUGUGUUUGCUAUGAACGUGCUCAAAGUCCCAAAGAAAAUCCUCAAGGAGGUGGACAAAGCUCGCAGGCAGUUCCUUUGGGCUCAGGAGGAAAAAGUCACUGGCGCCAAAUGCAAAGUGGCUUGGGAAAAGGUUUGCCGGCCGGUGGACAAGGGGGGCUCGGCAUCCUGGACCUCCACCGUUUCAGUUCAGCCCUGCGGAUGAGAUGGCUCUGGCUCACCUGGCAACAACCACGGAGGCCAUGGAUGAACUUUCCUGUCCCGUGCGAUCAUGAGGACCGGAUGCUUUUUGCAGCUGCCACCUCGGUUCAGCUGGGCAAUGGAAAACCCGCCAGUUUUUGGACAAGUUCAUGGCUCGGAUCAAUGGCACUAUGCAAAGAAUUUCCAAGCCUUUUCAGCAUUCACGAGGAAAGAGCGGGACAGUACAGGAAGCCCUAGCUAAUGACAAAUGGAUUCAUGAUUUGCAGCAUGGCAGCACGGAUACAAUUGUUGUUCAGUUCCUGCAAAUGUGGCGCAAGUUACAGAGGGACAACAUUGCCCUAUCUCCGGGCGAUGACUCGAUCACCUGGGUGGCCGGUGGUGGCAGUUCUUACACAGCCAGCGCCGCAUACAAGAUGCAAACCAAGGAUGCCACAUCUCCAAGAAUCAAAGCAGCAAUAUGGAAGGCCUGGGCUCCUGGAACUGUCAAAAAUUUUGCCUGGCUGCUUCACCAUGACAGAGUUUGGUGCAAUGAUCGUCUGCAGCGGCGCGGAUGGCCGAACGGAUACUUCUGCGCCCUCUGUGUGAGAAACCUCGGGAGCUCUACUCAUCUCUUCUAGGACUGCCCAUUCUCUUGCUCGAUCUGGGAAAGAACCUCAAACUGGAGGGGCUGUGCAGCUUUGGAGUAUAAGAGAGCAGCGAACCACAACUCCCUAAGUCGCUGGAAAAGAAUAGUCCAGCUCACGCCGCCAAGCUUCAGGAAAGGGCUGAAAUCGAUGAUGCUAAUGAUCGUCUGGGAGAUAUGGAAGGAGAGAAAUGCGUGCGUGUUCAAAAACAGGCUGCCUCAUGCUGGCGAGGUACUGCACGCCAUCAGGAGUACGCUAGAGCUGUGGAGACUAGCAGGGGCGCGAUGCCUAGAGCCCCCUUUUGGGGAUAAUGUAGCGAGAGAUUAGCCCUCUGGUAGUUUAGGCCACCUGUUUUUCUGUUAUGUUCUCUCUUGUAACCAUGAUCACUUGAUCCCCCCUAUUUUCCCGCUGCUUUCUCCUAAAUCAAUGAAGCCGGUUAUCCCGGAUCUUUCAAAAAAAACGUAUGUCAACUAGGCAAUUUUAAUUAGGUAAAGAAAAAAGUGUUGAGUAUCAUAUCAUGGUACCGUAUCAUAAUAAAUAAUGUACUAGAUGUGUUUUGCAUGGCAAUAAAUAAUAUCAUCUAAUAUACUAAUCUAUGAUACUAUGCAUUAUGAAGAUGGUAUGGUAUACUAACAUAUGCAUGAUACUAACUUAUGAUACUACCCAUUAGGCUGCCCGUAGUGGGUGGUAUAAAACAACAAAAAUUCCCUAUGUUGUCCCCUCCCUCCUCCCACUAUUGAUUUCACCUCUCAUCUCUGGUUUCCACCAGUUUUUCUCUAAAAACACCUCAACCUCCCGCGUCUUAUUGACUUUCUCUCUAUCUAUAUCUACAUCUAUCUAUCUAUCUAUCCAUACAUAUAUCACUAUCUAUCUAUCUAUCUAUCUAUCUAUACCACUUCAAAAGGACACGAGGUUUCUGUUCCACUCUUUCUUCGUCUAUACCUAUAUCUACAUAUCUAUCUAUAAUAUUUCCUUUGUCCUAAAUUAAUUGUUUUAGAUUUGUCUAGAUACGAAGAACCUAAGACAAUUAAUUCGGUGCCAAGAUUCAAAGCAACAUAGGCCGUUGGAUCGACAUGGGUGGACGGGUAAGAUCUGUUGGAUGUAGAUAGGGAUUUAUAUCUAGUAUGGAUAUGAUAACCCUAUGGCCUCCAAAUACUAGAUAGAUAACAUUGAAAUAGCCGCACACCUGAAGCCUAUAUAUAUAGACCGCAAAAGAAAAGAGUACGUGCACUUGGUUUAGAAGACCUAUUCUAGUGUCAAGAUGGUUCAUCGGGAUCAGGGGAAGAUGGUGCAGGAGGUGGCCGCGGACGUUGGACUUGUGGCGCCGCCGAGCAGGUACGUGCUAAGUGAGGAGAACCGGCCGAUCACCGUCGCACAGCAGGCCAAGCUUGUCAUCCCAAUCGUGGACGUGAGCCGUCUGGCCAUGCCCGAUGAUGUUGAGGAGGCGGCCAAGCUUCGCUCUGCGCUCCAGUCAUGGGGCCUCUUUGUGGUGACCGGCCAUGGCAUGACAAAGGAGUUCCUGGACGAGAUCCUCGAGGCGACGAGGAAGUUCUUCCACCUGCCGUUGGAGGAGAAGCUGAAGUGUGGCAACGUGAUCGACGGCGUCAAGUUCCAGAAUGAAGGGUAUGGCAUCGACCGCAUCGACUCCGACGAGCAGAUCCUCGACUGGUGUGACCGGCUCUGGCUCCAGCUCCAGCCGGAGGACGAGAGGCGGCUGCAGUUCUGGCCACAGAAUCUAAGGUUCGAUCUACACAUUAAUUGUUGCCCUCGAUGAUUUAAAAUCUUUUUUACUUGCAUUUAUAUUGGAGAUCAUAUAUAAUCUGCAGGGAUCUCCUACAUGAAUACACCCUAGAGAGUGGGAGAGUGACUAUGGAUGUGCUGAAGGCCAUGGCAAAGCUUUUGAACCAGGAGGAGGGCUUCUUCAUCAACAUGGUGGGUGAGAGGUUCAAGUCAUACUCGAGGUUCACCUACUACCCUCCCUGCCCACGCCCGGACCUCGUGAACGGGCUGAAGCCGCACACCGACAACUCCGUCAUCACACUCCUCCUCAUGGACAAGGACGUCGGCGGCCUCCAGGUGCUCAAGGACGGCCACUGGGUUGAUGUCCCCGUGCUCGGUAAUGACCUGUUGGUCGUCGUAGGCGAGGGCAUGGAGGUAUGCAUAUACACACACAGUUAAGGACUUCUACAAUGGACAAAUAUGCAAUUAUUUGCAUUGAUCAUGAACGAGACUCUCAUUUCUGUGCAUACAGAUCGUCAGCAAUGCAAUAUUCAAGGCGCCAUGGCACCGCGUGGUGACGAGCGCCGACAAGGAGAGACUGUCACUGGCGAUGUUCUACCAGCCAGAACCGGAGAGGAUCAUAGGGCCGCCGGGGGUGCUAGUUCACGAGAAGCGUCCGGCCAUGUUCAAGAAGUGCCUGGUCCAGACCUUGGCCGAUGGAUACUGGGAUGCGUUUGCAGCGGGAGAUCGCACCGUCGACUUCCUCAAUGUCAGGAUCAAUGCUGAGGCCGAUGCCGAACUGGAGGGGCGCGCGGUGGUUGCAAACAACUAACUAAUUUGCUGUAGGGAGUGAGUGCAUGAUGUUCCUCUCUCCCACCCAUAAGUGUAGUGUGAAUAGGAGUUGAUCGAUGUACUUCGUAUAUGAUCACCUCGAUGGAAUAAAAUAAAUA
rnacentral:lncRNA from 1 species